UCCAUUUAUUCAGUAACAUUACAAAAUAUGAUCUAGAAUAUAACCUUUUAUUUCAACAAAAAAGAGGUCAUAUCUGAACGGUGAAACAACCAAAAUAUAGAAAAAUCAUCUAAAUAGUACAAAAUUAAAAGAAAAUAAGAGCACACAACUAAUACUGUAACGACCUAGCCCACUAGCAAUAAUAACUCGUUGGGCCCAAACACCGGCCCAAAAUGCUUAAGCCCAGUUAUUAUUACUAGUGUCUAUGUCUCUUAUAUACCCAAUCAUAUCCCCAUUCCUAUCCGAUGUGGGAUUAUUGGGGUGUGACAGACUCCCCCCGUUAAGGCCCUGACGUUCUCGUCAGUCCAAUCACACACACACAGCCCAAGAUCACCAAGCGAUGUGAGACUCGUCUCGUUAGCCUUGUCAUCCAGACCCUGGCGCCGGUCACCUUGUCAUUCAGACUACGGCAUAACCUAUCACCUUAUCUUUCAGACCCUGGCUCAGCCAAGACUCGUCACACAUUUUCGGCUGGUGAUUGGCUCUGAUACCAAAUGUAACGACCCAGCCCACUAACAAUAAUAACUCGUUGGGCCCAGACACCAGCCCAAAAUGCUUAAGCCCAGUUAUUAUUACUAGUGUCUAAGUCUCUUAUAUACGCAAUCACAUCCCCAUUCCUAUCCGAUAUGGGAUUAUUGGGGUGUGACAAAUGCUUUAAACUAUUAGGAAUACUUAUAAUUGUCACAAAGUCAUACAGACGCCGAGCAGACAGAACCUCCUCUGUCCGCCCAAGGCUCAACAACAACGAGUACAUGUAUAAAGAAAUAAACAAUUUCCAGAAUAACAUUUCAGUAUACAUGGCUUGCACGAGGGCAAGCAAUAAUCACAAGUGAUAAUAAGCUAGCUAUACUGAAAAUUCACUGUAAUUUAAAACUUUCAAACUGAAUUAUAUAACUGAAAUAUUUAGUUAUUUACAUACUUUAUAAUACAUUCAUUUACAUGUCUCUGCACAUCAAAAUGUCUCACAUGAACUCAAAAUGGUAACUACUAUACUCUGAUGUCAGCUAGCUAAGCUGCGGGGCUCUUGCCACGAUCCUCGGCCGCACCGCUCGCACUGGAAUCUGUAUGGUUAGUGGUAUGAGAACUACUGAAAGUUCCCAGUGGGUUCGGCCGCCGACCUCGCUGACUCACCCACUAGGUCUACUCAGGCAUAUGUAGGCAAGGAAAGUAAACAGAUAGUAACCAACUAAACAUGUAACUAUUACAAUGCCUGUACAAAGCUGAAAGAAAUGAUAUAUGAAAACUGUAAGUAUGCAUGCAUGCUUUUACUGAAUUUACCAAUAUUCAAUCAAUCUAGCUAACCAUUUGGUUAACUGCAACUCACUAACUCAAUCCCUGGCGGGCCCUAAGCUGCCUCCAGACGGGACCGUCUGCUGGACAGAUACUUUAGUCCAAGGGCAAAUACUUUAGCCCAUCAAGUGACCACUCCGGAGCGCACUGCCUGGGGAGAGCGACCACCACCAAGCCAAAAACAGACUAUGUGAGUAAGAUCUGAUCCUCCUUUAGAGGAUUCAAUAAUAGCCAGUGUCACAUUUUACUCUAACUAGCUCUUUUUGCUAGUCUCACUGUUUUAUUUCUCAAUGCUAUCCAAUUCUCUAGUUAGAAUGUCACCAAGUUCACUAUUGUUAUCGUCCAAGCAUUUAUAGGGUUCUAUGUCCACAUUCUAAGGUUCACAAGUUCUCCUUGUUGAUAGAAAUUUACAUUUUCACUUGCACAAUGCCGAACACCCUAUAAUGCAUGACUACAAAUAUAAAUAUGCUCAAUGAAUAAUCAUAGACAUAAAAGGUGAUUCAAAGACUUCGGAUAGCACCACCCAACUGUAGUGGUGUCAACAACUAGAAUCCACGUUUCGAAAUGUGUCGACAACUAGCUCUCGCGACUCGGUGUAAAUAAAACUAGAACGAUCUCUACCGUAACUAGUGUGUCGUCGACCUGUCGGAAAAUCAAUUUAGACUUUCGAGCAAGUUUAACUUUCAUUUAUAUAAGAAUAAAAGGGAGGAAACUGGUAUCAUAUUCACAUUUUAUUAAAACUUGCAUUUCACUUAAGAGUUUCUCAAUGCUACUUAAGUUUCAAGGCUGAAAUUCAGCUUUUGCUGAAUUUCAGCAUUUGUGCUUCCCAACUCACACUUUAGUAUCUAGGAACUUAAGGCCAUUAACCUCAGCCUUUAACCAGGGUUUACACAAUGUUAACUUAGAUAGAAGUCUCAACUCAGCAUAUAUUUCAGCAUUAGGUUGAAAUUCUAACUUAUGCUGAACUUUUAGUAUUCAACCUCAUCUUGGAGUAACAAUUAUAAGCAUAGAACCAUUAGUUCUAAUUAGCAAGAAAUUGUGCUUUGAAGCCUUUUAUUUCAGUUUAAUACUUAUCUCAAUACUAAUGCUGAAAUCUUGUAUCAUGCAGGAAUCUCAGCAUUAAUACAUCAGCUAGUUUUAGAGUACUCAAUCUAGAAGCUGAUCGAUGCAGCUUUGAGCUUCUCUUAGCUCAAAUAAUCAUAGAAUCCUAACACGCCUCUGUUACCAUUAAUUGAACCUUAGUUCAAAUUGAAUCAUACAUAUCUCGAUUUGCUGCUGAAUUAGUGCCUUCUCAGCCUCAACAUUGAUGGUCUCCAAUACUGAAAUUCUGCAUUGGAGCUUCACAAAUUCAGCACCAGUUCAGGUGCUUAUUUUCAGCUUUAAUUCCAUAACAUCAUAUCUUAAUUCGAAGCUCUCCUUCAGGCUUCUUUUCAGCUCACAAUUGCAAAAAGCUUCAGCUAAUGCAUCAACUUUACUCAGCCCAAUGCUCUCAAAUUUGCCAAUUCCAACUGCAGGAAUUCUUACUACUUAAUUCCAAAUCAAUUAACUUGAUCAAUAUUGCUUAUUAGAAUCAAUUUACCUCACUUAGAUGCUGAACUAGCCUAUUCAUUGCUUCAAAAAGCCCAUCAAUUCAUUGAAUUACAAUUCCAGGCAGCAAUACUUAAUCAUUUAACUCUCUUAUAACCAAUCAGUCUAAUUGUAAUUCAAUAUAACAUCAUCUUACCUUAGUUUAGGAUCUUAUCAAGUUGAUCUUAGCACUAAUAUCACCAACAGCACAAGCUUGUUGUUCCAACAAUAAGAAAUCAGCUCUAACUCUGAAAUUUCCACAACAUACUCUUAGUUUGAUCCAUCUUACAGCAAUUAAUUUGAUUAUAAUCCAAUAUAGAAUGAACUCACUUUAACUUGAUGCCAAAUUGACUUGCUCACUGCACCAAAUAGGCCAUCCUUGCAUUUCGGCAGCACCAAGAACAUCUAUCAACUUUAAUGGUCUAAUCUUUCUACUCGGCAGCUUCAACAACAGGAGAAUCCAAUCCCUUUUUAUUUCUACCUCUAUUGGAAUUUCCUGCACACAAUCCAUCACUUGAUCCAUUUAAAUACUUCUACAAAGUAAUUACCCUUAUACCUGCCGAGGAGCAAGCUAUCAGCUUCAAUUUCAAGCUUCCUCAGCUGAAAUUUCUGCUCAGCUACUCAACUAAACCAACACCUCAAAGCUGUCAGCUCCAACAGCAGAAAUUCCUCAUGUAUAGCAUCUCGGCAAUGGUCCCUAGUAUUCCAACAAGAAAUUAAACAUCAGUUUACCUGGAUUAGAAGCUUCUCCAAAGUUCUCUUCAGUUCCAGAGGCCUUCCCAGCAACUCCAACUGCAACAACUCAAUUUCUUAAGCCUUCCCAAUUUCCUUCAGCUUAAGUAGAUGCUGAACCCUGAUGCACAGUAAUUCCAACAGUAGGAAUUCACAGCUCGGGUCACUUCCCUCAGCUCCAACAAUCCAAUUUUCUGCUCGGCAGCUUCAUCCAUCAAAGCCCUCCCUAGGCUUGCUCUUCGGACAGAGAGAGAAAGAGAAGAAAAAAAAGAUGUACGAAAGAGAGAGAGAGAAGGGUCCCAAUACGUGUACAAACUCCAGCCAGCAUGGGUUAAGUGAUAAGGAUGAAAAUUUGCAACUUACCCCUCAAUUUUCUCAAAACUGCAUUGCAGUCCAGGCAGCCUGCACUUGCUGUCCGGUACAAGAAGGAGUACCGGUACAGGGCAGCAGCAUCAGCAGCAGCAACAACAGCAGCAGCUCCAUCUCUCUUUUUCUCUUAUUUAAUUCACUCCAAUUUGAUUCGAGCACUUCUAAAACAUGCCAAAUGACCUUCCCAAGCUACCAAAUUAAUUUGGAAGCAAUUAUUUCUCCAUUUUGCAUUAAUUUGAUCAUUUUUUAUCAAGUUAACUAAACAUUUCAGCAUUUUGGCAGCAACAGCAGUUGGAGGUCCUUUUGCACAACCAACUCUUUUCUAUUCCAUUCGAACACUUCCAAGUUACUCCAAUAUACCUCUACAAGCUGUCGAAUUGGUUUAGAAGCAAUUAAUUUUCAAUUUGGCAUCAAUGUGACCAAAUCGACUAAAAUUUCAACUUUCGAGUCAAAAUGGCAAUUGGAUGUUUUUAGCCACUCCAAUUCCAUUCUUAUCUUUUCUCACACUUCCAAAACCAGUCACUUGAUGUUCUCAAGCUACUAAUUAAGCUUAGGAAUGCUUAAUUUUCAUUUUAGCAUUAUUGGGACCACUUUGAUCACAAUUAGUCUUUAAUCAAAACUCAGCCUAUUACAAUAUUAUUAUUAAUUUAUUAUUUAUAAUUAAUUAUUAAUAAUUAAUAAUAAUUAUUAUUAUUUAUUAAUAAUUAUUAAUAAUUAUUAUUCUUAAUAAUUAGAUAAUCGAUAUUAUUAUUAAUUUAUUAUUUAUAAAUAAUUAAUAAUAAUUAUUAUUAUUUAUUAAUAAAUAUUAAUAUUAAUUAUUAUUAAUAAUUAGAUAAUCAAUAUUAUUAUUAAUUUAUUAUUUAUAAUUAAUUAAUAAGAAUAAUUAAUAAUUACUAUUAUUUAUUAAUAAUUAUUAUUAAUUAUUAUUAUUAUUAUUAAUUAGAUAAUUAAUAUUAUUAAUUUAUUAUUUAUUAAAUAAUUAUUAUUAUUAUUUAGAAUUAAUUAUUAAUAAUUAAUUUUUUAUUUAUUUUUAAGUAAUAUUUUGAUGUUAACUAAUUACAUAAUAUAAUUUUAAUUUCAAAUUAUAACUCUUAUUCCUUUUGUUCCAAUCUAACCAUCCAAACACUAUUUACCUUAUUUCUAGGAACAACUCAUUUUUCAUCCAAACGCAAAAUUGGUCUAGUUCCUGCUUACACCUGAAUUUGUACCUAUCCCUGGAACUAGCAGUUCUUAUUUAUAUCCGAACCAAACGCACUAGAGAAUAAUAAUUGUUUCAUAUUAUUUGACAUGCUAUCAAAGUAGGAGGUUCUGCGUUCAAGUCACGCUAGAAUUCUGGCAUUAUUAAUUUUUUUCUAUUUAAUUCAAGUCCACGCUAUGUACCUAGUAAAAAAAUUUGGAUCCAAAUAUGAGAGAGAUCGUUUUAAAUACAAAAAUCUUUAAACACGGUUCUCUAGUAGAUUAAGCUAAAACAGUUACGACAGUCGUCUAAGGUGAUGUUGUCGCGGCAGAUGGUGAGGCUGAAUAACCUGGUCGGGGGACUCAUCCGCACUGGCAGAGCUGGCAGAGGUUUGACUCGUAGGUGCUGUUGGCAAUUCGAUUGAGCGGGAAAUUGGCGCCGCCAGGCUGGAAGAGGGGAAGGCAAAAUAGUGAGAUGAAUAAAUAAAAUGGAGUUAGAAAAAUUAUAUAAUUGGAAUAUACUUUUGUUUUUUCCCAAAGAAUUAUAGAAAAUCUAUCAUAAUAGACUUAUUAUGAUAUGCAUAAUGCGAUAUUAUAUAGUAAAAUAAAGAAAAUAUGUUUAUUUUCUCGUCAUACGUAAUGCAGUCUCUUUAUAAUCUCAAAUGAUGUCUUAGCUUACUGAAUUUGAUGUGUACUUCACUUCUAUAUCAACAAUAACUGUAUUGGAUUAUCAAUCCUAAUCGCAAGUGGAAAAGUAUCCUCGCUAUAAUUGUUAUAUUAGUAAUAUCUUUAUCUAAUUAAGGUUAUACUAAAAGAUUUAGUAGGAAAUAAUAUAAUAAUUUUAUAUUGAAAUAAAUUUCAAAAAAAUUGCUUUUCUACUUUAGGGUUGGUUGGUUAUAUGUUCAUGCCUACUAAAAUCGGCUGCUUGAUUUGAUAUAUUUGAAUUGGAACAUUGUAAUUAUAACUACACGAAAAAGUUUAGCCUGUUUGGAUGCAUGGUAAAAAAAUUCCAUAGAGUUUAAAUACCAUAGUUUUGAUCCAAAUAAAAUGGAGAAUCCUGUAACUCUAAAAAAAUUUCACGAGAUUAUUUUUAGAAGCUGUUUGGAUGCACAUUACACAAUUCUACAAAAUUUCUUACAAUCUUAAAAAAAUUAGCUAUUAGGAUCUUUAAAUUUAAGUGUUAGAACCAUACAAAUUAAACUUAGCUCACAAUCUUGGAAUUCUCGACUUGCACUCGCAUCACCUGUCACUUUGCAAUUGAAGCACUGAACACUCAAAAAGUGUUUUAACUUUCGAUCUAAAAUUAAGCCUGAUGAAAUCUGAAUAAUGCGGGAAACAACUUACAUUUCCACUAUACAACAGAUACUUCUCUUCUACAUUUACAAUACAAAUCGAAGUUAAUUAAUGAAAAUCGAAGAAUUGGUUGACAGGAAAACCAUAUAAGGAUUUCUCGGCUUUUGGUGCACUACUUGUAUAAUAUCUUUCACUCUGUGAUUUAGAAGAAGCAUAAAUCAGCAAUAUGAAUUCAUAACAGCAGUCCUCCAAACUAUGUUAAUUAUAUAACAGAGCUGUGCGCCUACGAUGAGAUUCCAACUUUGUAAAUUAUUCUAGCCUUUCAACAAUAUUGGAAACAAAUCAUCCAAGAACCGAAGCUUCAAAACUCCAGCCGAAAUCAAGAACAAAUUAGUGAUGCAAACUCUCAGAAUUGACUACCGAUUGGAGAAUCUCCUACUAUGUCCCAGUAGACAGCGUCAGCGAGAGAUGAAUAAAGCGAGUGCUCAACAGCGGCGGCAACCGUGGCCGAGAUGAGUGCGGCGGACGAGGUGAGUAUAGCGGCGUCGGCGGCGGCUGAAGUGAGUGCGGCGGCGUCGGCGGUGGGCGAGAUGAGUGCGGCGGAAGAGGUGGCGGCCGAGGGGAGUGCGGAGAGGGUGGAGAUUGGAGAGUGCGGUUGUGGAGAGGGUGUAGAUCGGAGAGAAAGGGGGUCCGAGGAAAAGGGGAAAAAACAUAGGUGGGGUGCGUGAGGAAGAAGAGCCCGAGAAGUAGAGUUUUGUUUUUAGGAGAAAAUAUUGGAUUUUAUUUUUACCCUACUUUUUGCGGUAUAGUUAAACUAUACCCUAUUUAGUUGGUAUGUUUUUAAAUUAUCCAAAUACUUUUUAGAAAAAUUUUUCUAUACCCAUAGUAUAGUUAUACUAUACUCCAAAAAAGUGAGCAUCCAAACAUGCCGGUAAAGCUCUGUUUCAAGUGUUUGGGAAGUCUGUUUUGAUUCGAAUUCAUUUCAAUCCGAUCUAAACUCAUUUUAAACUUUUCAAAACUCAUUUUAAUCAUAUUUAAUAUGACUUAAUCUGCACUUUCUCAGUUUAACCAAAAUUUGAUACAUUACAAAUUAUCCAACUUUAAAUUUAAAUUUGAAUUUGAUUUUGAAAACAGACUUAAUUUAAAUUUGAAAUCGACUUCAUAAUCUGAAUUUCAGUUUAACAUUUGAAUUCAAAAUCUAAAUUUUGAAUUUGAAUUUGAAAUUUCAAAUUCAAAAAAUAAAUUUGAAGUUGAAGUUGAAUUCAAAAUAUAAAUUUUGAAUUCAAAGUUGAUUUCAAAAUAUGAAUUUGAAUUUGAAUUCAAAUAAAAAAUUUAAAUUUUGAACAUGGAAUACAAAAGCAAAUGUAGAAUUUUAAUUUUGAAUUCAAAAUCUCAAUUUAAAUGAGAAAUUGAGUUUAAAUUGUGAAUGUGAAUUUAAAAAAGGAAUUUAAAUUUAAAUUUAUGAUUCAAAUUAAAGCGGAAGGUAAGUUGGGUUUUCUAAAAAUAUUUUCCUAUCACCCCGCACUCGAAAAUAGCGUACACUCGGGUCCCUCAAUGUUAAUAUGAUUCUCCCAAAGAAUUUAAGUACUGUGGUACGAAAUUGUACUGAAAAAUUGCCUGCAUGGUAUGGUACAGUGUGUGCCAAGCCGUACAAAUGCGUGCUGAUCAUAAAAAAUAUAUGUGUGCCGACAUGUAAUGGUAUAAAAUAUUUAUUUUCUUUAGCAACAAAUUAUACCAAUUAUUUUUUAUGUAUUUUUAUUAAAUCUUUUGAACUUUAUUGAAAAAAUUACUUACUAAUUUCAAAAAUAGAGAAUUUUGAAUUGUAUCAUCGGUACAGAGACUGUAUCGUGUCGAUAUCUUGCUGGCACGAUACGACACGGCGGAUACAGCCCGUGCCGAUGGGCACUUUAAUCCUUGAUUCUCCCUUUCUAAUAGGAACAUUCUCUUACCUUCAGAAUAAAAAAUUAUCAAUUGGAUUACCGAGUGAUAUUAUCUAAACGCAGUAAUCUGCAAUUGAUUCCCAGUAAUUCAUUACAAAUAGCAUGAACCAAAUGAGCCUCUAUUAUUAUGACUGAUACGGUUGCAAAUUUUAGCUACUAUUGCAGCCAUAUUAAUUUGCAUCUACCCUUUCUUAUUCUAACAUCAUUGAAUUAAAUAGAAAUCCUAUCAAGAAAAGGGCGUGAAACAGCAGAAAUUCAGAAUUUGUUGCGCAGUUGAAAUUAAACACUCGCACCAAAAUAGAGAUAUAUAUCCUAGUCAAAACUACAAAAUUUUUUAAGAGUAAAAAGCAUUACAAAAUGUGUAAAAAAAAAAAGAAACAAUUAACCCAUAAAUGAUAGUAAAAGCAUAACCAUGCCAAGUUCACCGAGUCAUUUUGUGCCGAAAGCAUUCACAGCUCUCAAUGCUCAUCAGAAACUUUCACUCUGCAUCACUUUAUUCCGCCUAAAGCUUUGAUGAUAUAGAUUUGUUAUAAUCUUUCCUUUGCAAAAAAAAGGAUGAUUAAUAUGCAAACAGAUUGCAAGAUCAGAUAGUGAGUAACAAUCCCAGUUUCCUAACAAAUUGCAAUGAUAAAGAAGCUGAAACGAAUUCUAGCUUAAAAGAGGAUUCGUCGUUUUUGCAGUUCGAGUAUCACCUGCUAUUGUUCAAAUCCAGCUCCCCCGCAUCUCGCCAGUCGUCCUGCAUCGCCGUCUCUCCGUUUUCAUUCUCGUUCUCGUCGUUCAGGAAAUCCUCCGACAGUUCCUCAUCAUCUCUCUGCCCAUUUCCCCACCCUUGAGUCUGUUCCUCGUCGCCCCCCUGAUAUUGUCCCGUACUACUACGGACCGAGCCAUCCUCCCCCCGGGCGGUGGCUGCACCUGCCCUCAUUGGGCCGCGGGCCAUCAUCUCAGCCCGAUGAGCCUGCUCGGCCUGGGCCAUGGCCAUCCGCCCAGCCCUUUCUCUCGACUCGAGCUCCGCCCUUAGCUCCAACAGUGAUUGCUUCUCCUCCUGAAGUAGGGCUUUCUCUAGCAUGAGCCUUUCUUCGGAUCGCAAUUCGCCAAGGGCUCGUCUGCGGGUCAUUAUGUUGAAGGCGAGCAGCUGCUUUUCGAAUGCGGUGGUGAGCUCUGCGAUCUUCACAAGAACACUGUGCUCCCACUGCUGGAGGCGGGAGUUGACCUGGCCGGUGGCAUCGCUGUCGAGGAUCCUGUCGUCCUCUUCCGCCUCAUAGUCCGACACCACGUGAUACGGCAGUAAUCUUUUUUUUUUGUAAUAGUAAAAUGGAAAAUAUUAGAUAAGUUUUGUAUAAGAUUCUAGACAACUGAAUAAUCAUAUAAGAACCAUUAAUACUAAAACUACAAAAAAAAUCAAAGAAAACAAAAACAGUGACUGGGAUUUGAUCAACAAAUGUACGUCAUGGUUACUCUCGUGUUAGUAAGUUGAACACCCUUUAGGGGGCAUUUGGAUCGCGUUACCUAAGAAACCUAGGUAUUGAAGAAGUAAGAAAACGUUCAUUCGUAGUAAUGAAAUUACUAAUUGUACAAUUCCUACAUUCGAUUCACUCAGCUAUCUCAUUAAAGAUUAUUACUAGGGUUAUAAAAUUUUAAUGUGUUUGGUUUAGCAGUAAAAUUCCAAGAAUAGUUAGCAGUAAAACUCCAACAACGUAGAUAAUAAUAUAUAUAGUUUUCCACAAUUACUCUUAUUAUAGUUUUAAAACUCUUAUUUACUUUUAUAUUAGCCAUCUGAAUUUACAAAUAUGAAUUCCAAAUCCGAAUUCCAUUUUGAAAUUUGAAUUCAAAAUCUAAAAUCGAAUUUGAAAUUUAAAACUUUUGAAUUCCCCUACAAAGUGGGAUCAUGCAUUCUAAAAAAGGGAACGUCCCACAACUGUCUUUUGGACCAUUAAGGUAGAUGCAAAAACGACCCCCAACAGAUAGAAAGUAAAAAAAGAUCUUAUUCCGACUUUUCUUCUUCUAUUCUGUUGUUCCUUUGAGUUUAGAUCUUCAAAGUCUGAUAACAUUCAAUCAAGCACUCCUUCGAAUCCGUGCAAAUAGGGGAGAUCGGGAUAAUCCAAGGUGUUGUAUCGCCAGAGAAGUCACAGGUGGAAAGGCUAAAGCUAAUUGGGACAUCGCAUCACACGUCUCACCGGGCUAUUUUCCGAAACUCCACUCUCCUUUUAACUUAGUUUCGUUUUAGUUUAAUAUUUUUUUGUUAUAAGAUUUAUAGACAAAAUGAAGCGAAAUUAAACCAAAUUCCUUGAUGAAGAUGUCUUGCUACAGCCAUCAAACACUGGGUGUUUAUGUCUCGGAGGUUCCGGGGGUCACCUCGAAGCAGCCCAUUUCUACCAUGUUCUUGAGUUUUUCGCUUUCUGUUACAUUCAAAAUGGGGAGGCAACGACCGAGCAAACGCACAAAACUAUUCGCAAUUUUGGGAUUUUAAAAUCCCGCUAAUUCCAAGCUAUUCUGGUGAGUAAUUGGCGAAUGGCGAUUCUCCGCGAACCCCCGUCCCAUCCCUAACCCAAAACUACGUUACUCCGGCGCCCCAUUCCCACAUCAAGAUUCAAGAACCCUAAUCAGGCACCGACAACGGAGAACAAACAGAAACCCUAAACAACUGAGGUGUGAAGGGAGCGGAGCGGUACCUGUGGACGGCGUCCUCGAUGGAGGAGAAGGGGGUCUUGACGUCGGGGUUGCAGACCUUCAGGGCGUCCUGCUGCGCCAUCUCCACCUCCACCGGGUUCCGCCGCGGCUGCGCCUGCGCCUGCGAUUGGGACUGCGAUUGGGGAUGGAAGUGGAGGGAUCGGAAGCCCGGGGAGCGGAGGUGGGCGUCGAUGUUGGAGGGAAAGCGGGAGACGGCCUGCUGCUGCUGCUGUUGUUGGUGGUGGUGGAGGAGCUGCUGCGGUCUCGGAAGCUGCUGCGGUUGCGGGAAUUGGUGGUGCUGCUGCUGUUGCUGUUGGAGGAGGAAGAUCUGGUGGUGGUGCUGCUGGAGGAGCAGCUGCUGCUGCUGCGCCGCCAACGCGGCGGCGUUGUUCGCCGCUCCGUCGUCCAUUUUCGCUGCAGAAUUUUCUCUCUUUGCCUUCUUUUUUUUUUCUUCUUUUUUUUUUUUUUUUUUUUUUUUAAUCUCGGUCCCCAAAACUCUACAUUUUUGCAUAUCCAGACUAGGCGUGUGAUGUGUGGGCUGCGGUCGACAUAAGUCGGGUCCAAACGGGCUAGGGAUCGGCCCGGCCUGGCCUGAUUUCAAAUCCGGGCCGGGCCGUGCUCUUGGCCGUCUCUUGGCCGGCCUCUUAAUUUUUUUUUUGUUUUUUUUUUAAAAAAAUAUAAGAUUUUAAAAAAUAAAAAUCAAAUAUUUUUUCUAUGUGAAUUGAUAUUUUGAUUAAAAAAUUUAAAAUUUAUCAAAAUAAUUAUAAAAUAACAAACUUUCAAAUUUUUAUAAAAGAAUAUAAAUUAUUAUUAUUAUUUUAAAAACGGAUGGGUUUUUGGUCCAAUGAACCAAACCUGUUUCGUCUAUUGGACCACAAACCACUUCUCCUAAGGCCUACCACUACAGAACUUGGGAGGAGCGCUUCUGCAGCCUCGGGUGGAUGCAUUAAUUAAAAGUCCGGUGAAGGAAAGGUAAAAGGCCACAUAGAAAAAAAUACAAUACAUAAAAUAAAGGUGGGACUCAAUUCUUUACAAUAAAAGUAUACAUGCCAUGUCAGUUUUGGUAUUGAGCAUUAAUAUAGAGAUAUAGAUAAGAGAAAGCUACAUAAUCCAAUCGUAACGACCAACUGAUGACAGUCUGGUCAAACCUAUCCUCAUUUAUUGCCACGGCACCACUCCCGCAAAUGAUCCAUCAACACAUAGGCUGCCCCUAAUGACUAGUCACGGCUUCUGCAGGUGGUCCGUCAACACAAGGCCUACCACAAUAUCAUAUCGCUAAUCCAAAGUCUGGAGCGGCACUUAAGGGCGCGACCCCAACAAGUAUAAUAGCACUUAUAAUUAUCAAGCUCAAUGCGGCUUAUGCAGACUAUAGUCAAAUAGGAUGAUCAAAUAGAUCACUAUCAACUAUCUAGGUGCUCUCUAGCACGAUCACAUACUAUCUGUCACUACCCACCUGUCCAUGGAAUUUUCCUCGGUUUUACAUGCAAUUACCUGUUAACAGCAUAUACAUAUAAAGCACGACUACAAUCGAUCAAUAGAAUUAUUCAUCAAUCUAUGUCCCACAUGCUAAUAUAAUGUCUGAAGGAAAUCAUGCAUACAACUGACCAUAUACUACUACUAACACAGGAGUAUCAUAAUUUAAUAGAGCAAGAAUACCGAAAAUACCAAAAGACUAGAAGCGAGUUCGCCGUGUUCAGCAACACGGAACCCACCUAGAUACAUUAGUCUGAGGAGAGGUAGAGAAAAACACGGUCAAAAUCUCCUCCUCACAGGACCAAGAAAUCGCAAGAAAAUACUAAAAUUCCAGCCCCUAAAAACACCAUAAAAAGCCUCUGCUUAAAGAAAAGCUCUGCUACAACUAGCUCCAACAAAAUCCAAAAAUCUAUUCUCCAAACCAUCUGAUAAUUACAAUAUUCACCACUCAGCUCUAAACCAGAUGAAGGAAUUGCACUCCAAGCCCUCCUUAGCCGCGUACGGGUUCAAGGUCCUCCACAGGACCAGUGCAGAGGAAACUCCACUUCUGAGUCCAUUUUCGCAUCUAUUUCAUGCCAAAACGGCUCCAACUCGGCCCAAUAAAUACUUUAUAGACAUGCUAACCAUCAACUCCGACUGUGAUCAUGCCUAUUUACCAAGAUCCAGUACACUACAAGAGCUCUGGUCCUAAAAGAUGCUGCUUUAGAGUAGAUGCUGCUUUAGAGUACACUUUUAUAUAUUUCAAUUAACUUUUUGGCAUUCAUUUAUUUGCAUUCGAGAAGGAAGAAAAAGAGGAAAAAAAGAAAAACAUAUUCUUGUGAACAUACUAAUUUUUACAUCACUGAUGGAGAACUCAAAAUUGCUUAGGUACAACUCAGGAAUAUUUUAAGAUCCCGCAAUAUUUGAGUGCAAUACAGAACAUUGUCGACACCAUCACUUCGCCUCAAAGAAGAAAAAGGUUGGCGAAGUUGUGAACAGAAGGAGCUAAUCGCAAUGCCAUAAAGCUCAUACUCUCGAGUUCAACCAAUCAAUUAUGUCCCUCAUGACAAUUUCUCUCUCAGGUUCGAUAAGCAGAUCAUGCAAAAGCCCUUCAUACAACUUAAUUGACUUGUCCGAUGAAGCGGCUUCUUCGUAGAGUUUUUGCGAGCCUUCAGGGUCGGUAACCAAGUCGGCAGUACCAUGAAGGAUUAGAAAUGGAGUAUUGAUUCGGCUCAAGUUCUGCUGCAAGUAGGUGGACAUGCGGAGGAUCUCGUAGCCGGUUCGCACUCGGAUUGCGCCGGUGAAGACAAGCGGGUCUGAAUACUUCGAUCUCAGAGCCUCUGGGUCUCGUGAGACAGAUAGUCCGUUGCGGUUGGCAGCAGCAAAUUGGUACUUCGGUGCGAUGAGGGAGAUUACGGGCGCCAGCACCUGCCACAGUAAGAUAGAAAUAUUACUAUUCACUAGAAACUCCGAAAGUUAUGAUUAAGAAUUAAGUUACAGGAAAGCAGAAUGUCCUACAAACAAAAAACAAAAUUCUAAACCCUAGACCUCACUAUUUGCACUGCAAAUAGAUACUCACACAUCCAACCAAAAAACUAAUUCUAAUUUCCAAUUUUUCACUCAUGCAUUUUUUCUUAGUCCCCUAUUGCAUAGCUCUGGAUCACACACGUAGUAGUGAUAAACAGGUCCGUUAACUAUAUUUGAGCUCUCAAACGUAGAGAUUGAUGUCACAAUAAGCCUCCUUUGCAACGAUCCUCACAGGAAACAACUCACAGAACUUUACAACACAUGAAAAUAGGAUAGAGCUCCAAUUUCCUAAGUUCAACUUACCGCUACAAUAGGAUGAGUUGGCUGGACAUGAAUCGCCGGCGAAGUCAACACAACACCUUUAACAAGAGCCUCUACCUUUGGAUCAAGCACUGCCUUCAAUAACAUAUCAACAAAAAUAUUGCAUAGUUUAUAACGUUUCUAUUUCGAGCCAUCUCCAGAUUAAAAGUAACAUAAAUUUUGAAAACUACCUCACCUUCAAAAUAAUUGCUGCGCCAGUUGAGUGACCAAAGCAAAAGCAUGGCAAGCUCGGAUUUUCUGACAGCACUCUCUCCAGAAAUGCUUUCUACAUAAAUAGGAAAAGUUUCAAAACGAGAGAUUUAUAGAAGCUAAUUGUAUAUGGAUGAAAUGAAUUGUUGCCUCUUGAACGUCAAUUGCACUUAUUAUCCCUCAAGAUUAAACUUUUGGCAAUCAUAUCCUCGACGGGUGUAUGUAACCCAAUCUGAUCUUCGCAUAUCAGUUAUUUUAACGGUUGUUAAGGCAAGUGAUCUACAAGUGGUCACUUAUUGUGCGGAACAACAAAUAGACUUUAGAUCACACAUUAAAUGAUCAGUUGAUCGGUCUGUGCAUAAAUAGAUGUUACAUAGGGUAAGGUUCAAAUUUAUAAUUUACGGACUAUGGGGAGGACAUAAUCGCCAAAAUUGUCAGUUCAAGAAGCUACUUGCAAUCUAAUGAAAGUUCAAGGACAGGAGUAACAUUUUACCCAUCACUAAUUACGGAAAGUCAAACAUAAGAACAAGUGUCUAUACCAAGUCGCUGACUGCAUAAUCAAGAGACUGAACAUAUCCAUGCAGACCAUCGCUCCCACCAUGACCUGUGUUUGGAGACAAUCCUCAUUAUUACAGACAGCCAUGUACCUUCUUAAAUUAGAUCUAUCUUUUGGUUUUUAAUCAAUUAAGUUGGCAUUCAGACAUUUAUUUCCCCUAUAGUAAUCAUGUAACCUCUGAACAUCAGAUCUAUCACCAACGUUCUUCACUAUUUGCAACUGUUCAUCAUGAGAUUCUAGCUUUGAUAUCUUGCAUACAACAAAUUCAACAUUAAGUUAUAAUGUUAGCUUCACUAAAUAUGUUAAGUUUGGAAACAUAUUUUCACUUACAUCUGUUCAUGAGGAACUAAUAAAUGAAUACUAAAUUGGUAGGAACAGAUAGAAUUUGGAUAACUCUGUUCGGACUUUGAUUACCUUUGUCCCAUAACAUGGCCGGAAGUUUCAAAAAUUAUAAACAAGCCAAUUUAAAAAAAGGAAUAAAAGCUAAAAAAUUAUCGAUUGAAUCACAAUAAUUAAUUAUGGUAACUAUGGAUAUUCUUUUAUGCAAAAUGUUGCUGAUUUUCAAAAUGUCUUCAAUUGAAAUGAAUAGGAAUUACAAGUAAUGAAAUGAAAUAGCUUAACGGAAAAAGAUAAUGAGGACAGUUUUGUUUCUAUUUCAAAAUAUCACUAGUUGACAUAAAUUAAAAGUUCAAUACAUAGUAUAACACCUGUAGGCAAUAUAUAGCAAACCUCGCCAGAUUCAAAUAGCCUCAGGAAGGUGAAACCACGCAACUAACAUACACAUAUGAAGAAAUUAUUGCCUGCCCACGGGCUUCCAUGUCACCCAUAGCAGCUUUUAAAAAUCACCAUAGAAGCUUCUAAAAAUCACCAUAUACCCAUGAAUAGUAAAUUUGUUUGGUAAGGGCUUCUCUUUUUUUUCUUUUUUUUUUUUUGAUAAGCUAUUUGGUGGCGUUUGGCAGGUGAGAAGGAUUACAAUAACGCAAAAGCUUCUCAUGGAGAGAUGUGCGGCAACUUCUAAGAGCUGUAAUCCACUUGUGACAUGAUUCCCCAAGUCCAGGCGAUAAUUUCCCAUGACAAUUUUUGAUCAUUUACUUUAUUAUGCAUUUACUAAUUUACUUUGGUAGAUAAGGUAGAAACUUCAAAACUAGAGGUUUUUACCAGCCACCAUGCUUCAAAGGCUAUUCUUGCAGAUGUCAUUGUUGGAGUCUGCGCAGUGUAAGCAAUUAAGUAAACAGUUAUAGAUCUCUGUGGAAGCUAAGGUCACAAGUUACAACAAAGUUUCCUCAUUAUUUAUAACUGUUGUACAUUAAGCUAUAUUAAUGUUCCUAGCAAUUAAUAACAACAUAAAAGAAAAGAUAAAAAUUCCAAAUAAAAAAAAGGUGGCCUCAAGCUCAGUGAGAGAAGCUAUAAAAAGCAGGCCUUUUAUAGCCCCAAAUAUGUCCAAAUACAAAAUGUUUCAAUCUGAAUCCUACUUUCAGAUCGGCAUUUAUUCUAGGUUUGAAGUCAAAAUAUCCUACUAAUGUGAUACAUUGGUAUUUCAGUAAUAAUAGCCUUUUCCAUUUUCUAAGUCCUCGUUAGAUUUUCUGCAAGAUUUGUUUUUCCUACCAAUCUUAGCCAACUAGUUGAUAAUUAAGAUGGUGAGUCAUAUUCUACACUCUGUGGAUUAAAUAAACUAUGACUUAUUCGUGAGUUUUGGAUUAAGGGUAUACAUUUACAGCAAUCAGCUUCGGUGCUGGUUCUUUUAGUGUUAAGGAUAUUUAUUUUGAAUAUGGAUGAGUUAGUUUGAUUGGGUUUAUUUCAGAAGGAAUUGUGCCAUUCUUUAUGUUCUGUUAGUGGGGGGGGNAUUUUCUGCAAGAUUUGUUUUUCCUACCAAUCUUAGCCAACUAGUUGAUAAUUAAGAUGGUGAGUCAUAUUCUACACUCUGUGGAUUAAAUAAACUAUUACUAACUACAGAAAGAGAGUGUUGUAAAAUGAGGACGAAAAAUAUUGAUGGCAAUUUCACAAAUAUUUGAUGGGCAAUUUCACAACCCACACCCUAUAAGCAUUCAAUAGAGAGCCAAAACACAAGGGCAAUAAUAAAUUAAAAACCACAAGAACACAAGAAUUUAUGUGGUUCGGCUAGUCCUACAUCCACAGGAGAAAAAUGCAAAAAAAGUUUCCACCAUAAACCUUAGAGAUUACAAAAGAGAUACAAAUGAAAGAGAAACCACCUUAAAUCCGAAGAUAAAGAUAUUUCCAACAAUCUCUAGCUCUACCUAAAUGGUGUAAACCACACCUCACAAGGAAGAUCUAGGGAUGUCAACGGGUCGGGUUUGGGUCGGGUUUUUAAAAAUCCGAACUCGAACCAGAAAACCAAAUUAAAACCUGUACCCGGACCCGAACCCGGCAGGUUUUAAAAAUCCAUACCCAUAUCCGUACCCGACAAAAAACCCGAAACCCGAACCCGGAUCCGAACCCGGCGGGUUUUAAAAAUCCAUACCGUUGAAUGAAGAUCUAAGGGCUAAAAAUUAUUAAAUAUUUUAUAUAUUAUAUAAAUAAAUAAAAAUAAAUUAUGUAUAUAUAUAAUUUAUUCGGGUUCGGGUUCGGGUUCGGGUUCGGGUUCGGGUCGGGUAAAUACAAAAUCCAUACCCGUAUCCAUAUCCGUCGGAUUUUUAUUUUCCAUACCCAUAACUGAAUCCAUACCCGUUUAGCUCGGGUAAACCUGCCCCGUUCGGGUUCGGGUUCGGGUUCGGGUUCGGAUAAUAUUUCGGGUAUCCAUACCCAUUGACAUCCCUAGGAAGAUCCCACCUCCUUCUUGAUAGAACUAAGAUUAAACCAAUCUCUAGAGUUUUUUCUCUUUUUCUCCCAUUUCUUUUCUCACUCUCUACUUCUCUCUAUUUUUUUUUUUUUGACUCUAAUGUUCUAAUCAUCCCCACUUUAGUCCCUAAGACGAGCCAUCAAAUAUGAGCCUUCGGAUCAAAAGAAUCAUGAUCCAAAGGCUUACAAGUAGGAGGCCCAAUACGUAGUUUAGAAAACAUAAACAUAGGACAUUUGCCUUCACCAAAAUUACAUAGCCCAAAGAACAUGGCCCAAAUGACAAAUAGGCCCACUAUAAUUAGCUCAACAAUCUCCUAUUUGAAGGCAAAUCACCAUCCUUCAAACAAAUAAUCUUCAUCUAUUAAAAAAGCUUCAUCACAAAUGUGUUGUUCUCCAACCACUUCGUUUACAUCUUGAUCAAUCUGGAGUGUUUUCUACAAAAUAUGAGCUAUUUCGUAGGAACAAUCUUUGUCAACAUAUCCGAAAGACUUUUCUUUGCUUCGAUCUUCUCCACAUCCGAGUGUCGACUACCUAAUGCCAUCCGAAUAAAAUAAAAGCAAACAUCAAUAUGUUUAGUUUGGGAUUGAUACGCCAUAUUUUUUGCAAGAUGAAUUGCACUUUGAUUAUCACAAUGCACAACAUAUUUGUUUUGCUUUACUCCGUAUUGUGUAAGCAAUUGCUUCGACUAAAUCAUUUCCUUUGCUGCCUUGGUCAAGACAACAUAUUCGGCCUCCGUAGAGGACAAAGUAAUGCCGUCUUGCAAUCUAGACAUCCAACUAAUCGCACUACCUCCAAAUGUGAAAAUAUAUCCCAUAGUAGACUUUCUUAUCUCUCCACAACCGGCAUGAUCAGAAUCAAUAAAUCCAUUCACCUCCAAAGAAGUUCAACAAAAACGCACAACCAUUUUGCGUACCCUUCAAAUACCAAAGAACCCACUUAACGGCUUGCCAAUGUUCCCAUACUAGAUUGGAUAUAUAUCUUAAAAUACCUCCAAUCGCAUAAGCUAUAUCCAGUCUUGAACAAACCAUAGCAUACAUCAAACUCCCAACGGCGGAAUUAUAAGGAACAUUCUUCAUUUUAUCGCUUUCAGUCUUAUUCGUUGGAGAGUUUCUUUUGGAUAACUUAAAAUGCCCGGGUAAUGAAGUAGAAACCACUUUACAAUCAUUCAUUUCAAACCUUUCCAGUACCUUAGAAAUAUACCCCAAUAGACUAAGCCAUAACUUGCCUUGCUCCCUAUCUCUUUUAAUUUGCAUGCCCAAAAUUUUCUUCGCUUCACCAAGAUCGUUAGCAGUAAGCUUCUUUGACAUGUCAAGCUUCAACUUUGUAAUAUCAUUUUGAUCAUUAUUAGCAAUCAAUAUAUCAUCCACAUCAAGGUUUAAAGUGUUGUGGCACAGAGGCGUGCCGCUCUUUUCCUGGCACAGUACAACACAGGUACCCUUGCAUGCCGACACGUGAUACGAUUGCAUGCCGAUGGAUACGCAUGACCUCCUACUGGCACGCUUUGGCAUGGACUUAUUUUAGUUUUUUUGGUUCCAAAAAACUCUUAGACUGUUACUUUGAAAGAUUUAGAUAAAUAAUUAUGAAUAUUUGCUAUAUAUAGCUUACUAUACUCAUCACUUUUAACAUGCAUGCAAGUUUUUUGUAUGUAAGUACAACUAUACCUAAUGUAGAAUAAAAAUUAAAAUACAAUAACAAAAUUUACAAGUAUAAUAAUUAUUUAAAUUUACAUAUUUACAUAGAGAUGACUGUUUAAUUCUAUAUAGAUCGUCGCAGUAGUCAUACAACAUAUUGUCAUCUACAUAUACGAGAUUUAUUUGAAAAUGUUGAUAUAAAUAUUGCUGGUAUUGUGAGAAAUUCAUAUAUUCCCAGUAUAGCUUAUUGUAUUGUCCGAGAUAGCAUACACAACUGGAUCGUGGAUGUAAUGGACAACAGCCAUCUGUGGCAUAUGGACUGAAACACCAUAAGGAAAAGGAUUGUACGAAAUAGAAGAAUCAUAAUAUGGAUAUGCAUACGUAUCAGUAGAUGUAGAUUCGUCAUAUGAGCUUUCACUAUGUGAAGGUACAGAUGGAUAGUAAUUGGAUUGUUGUUGCUCCAAUUGAUGCCGGAUGGAUUGGAAUUCACUUUGAGUGCCACGAAUUGAUGCAUCAUAAUCAAACAUCCUUCGAUAAAGGCCAUGUUGAUAUUUGUGCAAAGUAUCAUCCCUUCGUGGAUGUCAAGUUGAUAUUGCCUCCAAACUUUCUCUCAUCUUCCCAUAAUCUUGUUGUGAGGAUCUUUUAUCUUUUCUACGGUCAUAUACCACUCUAGAUGUUUGACGUGGUUGAGAGUCUUGAGACCCAUGAUCAGUGCAAAAAAGUGCAACAUGACAAAAAUAAACUGGAGAGAGGAGAGAUGCUUCAGCCUUCGGGUUACCCAAAGGGCAAACCAAAAAAAAAAGAAACCAAAAAGCCAAAAAAAAGCAUCUAAGUCAAAAAGAAAAAUAAAAAGUACAAAAGGACAAAAAAAGAGAGAUAGGGAAGGUGUACCCGGAAUGGUCUUGGUAUCCUAAAGAACAAAACAAAGGGGAAAAAAAGCAAAAAGCAAAAAAGCAAAAAAAGAAAUUACACAGUGCCAGCACGGUACUGUGCCGCGGCACACUCCUGCGUGCCGCUCUGUCUAGUGCGAUACGGCAGAGUAUGACGCGGCACGAAGGGAGGAUCUGAGACCACCCCACACCCCCCCCCCGUGCGUGCCACCCCGUGCCGUACGGCACGGGGCAGCGAUUUAAACCUUGAUCCACAUACAGUAACAAAAUAGUGAAAGAAUCAUAUAUUGAGCCUUCGAAAUAAAUACAAUAAUCAAAAACACAUCUUUUAUAACCUUCAUCUUGCAUGAAAGAAUCAAAUUUCUCAUACCAUUGUCUAAAUACUUGCUUUAAACCAUACAAUCCCUCCUUUAGCUUACAUAGUAAAUUACGGUUAGCUUCAUCAAUAAAUCAAGCCUUCAAGUUCAAACAUAAAUUUUUUCAUCCAAAUCAGCAUGCGAGAAAGCAGUUUUAAUAUCAAGUUGUUCAAGCUCAAGAUCCAAAUUUGUAAUCAAGGAUAAAAAAAACUCUAAUUGAGCAAUGCUUAACAACGGGAGCAAAUAUUUCAUUGAAGUCAAUACCUUGCUUUUGUCCAUAUCACUUAACAACAAGCCUUGCCUUAUACCUCCUGGAUCCGUCGGCCUCAUUCUUGAUCACCUAAACCCAUCGAUUUUUCAAUGCUUUCUUUCCAACCGGAAGCUCUACUAACUCCCAAGCAUGGUUUUGAUGUAAAGAAUCCGUCUUGUCCUCCAUUGCCUCUUGCCACUUUACUUAUUCAGGACAAUCUUUUGGUUCUUGAAAACACUCGGGCUCACCCGAAUCAGUAAAUAAAGUAUAAUACAAGGAAGGGGAAUACUGUUGGAUGGGUUUAUGUGGCCUAGUUGAUCUUCUCAAUUCAUGUGCCAGCAAGGUAGACACAUCUUCUUCGCUCUCAUGAAAAUCAUGCCAACCUUCAAUAGAUUGUGUGCUUUCUUCAUGAUCAUUAUUACCAUCAUAACCAACAUCACUAUCGUGAAGUAGAGGAUGAACUGCAUGUACAUCUUGAGAACAACCAUCAACUUGUAUAUCAACAACAAGCUCAUCUUUUUUUUGCUCAUCUUUCGCGCCUUCUUUAAACAUUACAUACUCUAAACACGACAUCCGACUCCAAAUAGUUCUCUUAGCAACGAGAUUUCAAACCCUAUAGCCCAACUCAUCAACCUUCAUAUUUUCUUGAUUUCACAUCAAGCUUUGUUCUACUUUCUUUUAGAAUAUGAACCGAAGCUUCACACCUAAAUAUUCUCAAGUGCCCAUAGGAAAUGUCUUUGCCAUUCUAUAUAAUUUCCGGAAUGUCUCCAUCCAAUGCAACACUAGGUGAUCCAUUAAAAGUAAAUUAAUAUAUUUGCCGUUUCGGCCUGUAAAGGCUUUGGUAGACUGGAGUGAGACAACAUACUUCGAAUUCGCUCCAAAAUGGUUUGGUUCGUUCUUUCAAUGAUCCCAGUACGUUUAGUAUAGGAAACUGCCUUCACUCUUUUGAUGUCAUUUUCUAAACAAAAAUCAUCAAAGGCACUAGAGCAAAAUUCACAACCAUUAUCUGUUUGCAAGUACUUAAUAAAAUGUUCACUUUUUUUUCAACACGGGCUUUGAAUUUCUUAAAAUUUUCAAAAACUUCAUAUUUUGAAACCAAAUAAAUCCAACGCUUCCUAGAAUAAUCAUCUAAGAAAGUAACAUAGUAUGCACCUCCAAGUGACUCAAUAUUGAAAGGGCCACAAACAUUGGAAUAAACCAAUUCCAAUAGCUUGCCUUUUUUAUGCAUCUCUCUUUUUUUUUGAAGUUAACUCUAUGUUGGUUUCCCAUAAUGUAAUGCUCACAAAAGUUAAGAAAUGAAUGCUCAAAAAAAGGAACAAGGUUCUAUUCUUGUAAUACCUUCAUAUCAUGCUUACUUAUAUGACCAAGUCGAUUAUGCCAAACUUGCAUAUCUUUGCCUUUGCUUGCUGUAACAACUACUAAAUUUGAAUCAUCACCAUUGUAAGCUGUUCCAUGAAGUGUAUAGACUUCCACUCUUUUGCCCUUUCAAAAUAGUCAUACUACCCUUUGAUAUUUUCCAAGAGCCCUUUCCGAAAGUGAUAACAAUACCGAAAUCAUCCAAUUGUCUUGCCGAUAUUAAAUUCUUUGUGAUCUCCAAAACAUGGCAUACAUUUGUCAAUGUAUGCUUCUUGUCAUUUGUUUGUUUUAUGACAGUGUCACCAAUGCCCACAAUUUUACAUGCCUGAUCAUUAUCAAGAUAGACAUAUUCAACAUCUACUUCUUUAUAUGAAGAAAAAUAUGAUCGAUCCAGACAUAUAUGAAAAAAAGCACCAUAAUCCAAAAUCCAAGUGUUUGCACAAGAAGAGACUGUGCACGCAACACUUAAUGUGACUCCACCUGCACCAUCUGAAGCAUUGUUAGCUUCAUUCUUGACGUCCUUAUCUUUACCCUUUUGCUUGUUUUUCAAAGAAUUAACAACCAUUUCUCACACGGCCCAUUUUCUUGCAAUACCAACAAGUAAGCCUUUUACCUUGUGAUUUUGACCUUCCUUUACUUUGAUAUUUUCCCUUUGUGUUAGCAGAUUGGCCUCGCUUCAAUGACAUUCCUCUUUCACCAAUAAUUAGUGCUUGAUUCAUAUCACUAGACAAUUGGUUUGUGUCCUUGCGACUUUCCUCAUUCAACAACGAAGCAACUAUAUCAUUCAACUUGAAAUUGUUUCCCAAUGUGUUCGCCACCAUAGUAACAAGCGUAUCCCAACUUGAAAGUAAAGAACUCAAAAGGAGUAAACAAAAGACUUCAUCAAGAUUAAUUGAUUUUGAGAGACUUCAAUUGUAUCGCAAUAGAGUUGAACUCACAUGCUUACGAAUAGACAAACCUUCUUGCAUCUUCAAGAGAAAGAGUCUCUUCAUUGCAUGCAUCUUGUUCACACCGGAAGGUUGCUCAAAUGAUUGCUCCAAAGUCUCCCACAACUCAAAUGCGGUCUUGCAUUGAUAUUUGAUAGACAUCAAAUAAGACCGAUGGUGAAAUGCAUGGUCUAAUCGCUGUCAAACAUUUUCGGUCAAGUAUGUCUGAUUCAUGAUUAUCCAUAUUAGUGGGCUUUGCACCUUUUCCCAAUAUUGGUAAAAUCAAGCUCUUUUGCAACCAAAUAAUACUUUAUCAUGAUUUUCCAUAUAGGCCAAUCGUUCUCAUUCAACUUCUCAAAUUCCAUUGCCUUUUUCAUUGGAAAGAUAAGUGAAUGAAUACAAGUGAAUGCUUAGAUAACCACCAAUCAAGCUCUGACACCAAUUGUUGUAAAAUGAGGGCGAAAAUUAUUGAUGGCAAUUUCACAAAUACUUGGUGGGCAAUUUCAUAACCCACACCCUAUAAGCAUCCAAUAGAGAGCCAAAGCAAAAGAGCAAUAAUAAAAUAAAUAAACCCACAAGAACACAAGAAUUUACAUGGUUCGGCUAUGACAACAUCCACGAAAAAAUAAUAAAAAAAAAGCUUCCGCUAUAAAACUUGGAGACUACGAGAGAGAUACAAAUGGGAGAGAUAUCACCUUCAAUCCGAAGACAAAGAGACCUCCAACAAUCUCUAGCUUUAUCUAAACGGUAUAAACCAUACCUCAGAAGGAAGAUUCCCCUUCCUUUAUGGAACUAAGAUUAAACGAAGUUCUAGUGUUUUCUUUCUUUUUCUCCCACUUCUUUUCUCAAUCUCUACUUCUCUCUAUUUUUUUUUCCUCUAAUGUUCUAAUCACCCCACUUUAGCCUCUAAGACAAGAGCCAUCAAAUAUGAAUACAUAGUUAGAAUACAUAGAACGAGGAGAUCUGACUUCACUAAAAUUACAUAGCCCAAAGAACAAGGCCCAAGUGACAAAUAGGCCCAAUAUAAUUAGCUCAACAGAGAGAUGGACCAAUAUCGACUUGUCCUUUGUCCGUAGUACUCAGUCCACGUUCACAACUCAAUCCACUCUAAAGUAUAUUCCAUUUGAAUGUCUAAUAUUAGAGAUUCAUAUAAUCUUUAUAAGAUGAUUAAUGGCACAUAAAUCUUCACUAUUCCACACGAACGCCAUCAAACUUGAAUCCUGUAGAGUGCUCUGACAGAUUUCUAAUGGAAGUAUUAAAUCUAUUAACCAUUUAUGUUGAUGGAUGCACUAAUAACUGUUGUAUUAUAAUGACCAUCCAUUUAUGCCUAACCCAUGCCUGGGAGAGUCGAAGGAUUUGGCAUGAGAGAAUGAAAGAAUUUGCCGCCCUCUUUAACCGCAGUCAGAUACAACACUAAUGGCCUAUUUUUCCUCCCCGCCCCCAGCCCCCUAAUACCUUGUCUUCUCCUUCAAAGCGAUUAGCCCCUCUCCCCCAUCUCUUUAUCGCUCCUUCGUCUGCCACUAGUGGUGCUCUCGCUCUCACACUUACCAUCGUUCUCCUCACAUCUCCCCCUCCGCCCCUGACUAUCCUUCUACAAAUUCCCAAUCCCCCACCACCACCACCACCACCACGAUACAAGUUCACACUUCCAAUGAAGCCUCACCAUAUUUUCCUUGCUGCUUCCCUAUGAAGCCAACCAUCCUCGCCACCGUGAAAGUCGAAGCGUUUGGAUCAAAGGGGAGAAGCAGAAGAGGCAAGACGUACACGAACAAAUUCUUGAAUCUUGCCCGGAUUGGGUUGGUGGUCGACGGCAUGACAGACACCUUCAAGAGAGCAAGAUCCGGCAUAGGAUCACCGUCAACACUGCGUUUAUCGUGUUCGCUCCCCCUCCUGGGCUUCGAUCAAAGAUUGAUACCAACAACCUCCAAAAAUAGAUUUCGAGCUUUUGCUUUUGCUUUUGCUGCAAGCUUAGUUAGUUAAUUCGUGUUUAAUACGCGAAUUAUUCGCGUAUUUUUUAACAUAUGUAUUAAACGCCGAUUUUCGUAUUUUUCCAAAAAAUACGAAAAAAAACGCGAUUUUUUCAUCAAAAAUGAUUAUUCGCGAAUUAUUCGCGAUUCGCGAAUAAUUCGCCCAAAAAAUCGGCGACAGCGACUCGCAGCCGAGGGUCGAUUCGUCGCCAAUCUCGUCGCCGCUCGCGUCGUCGCCGCUCUCGUCACCGCCACUCUCGUCACCGCCGCUCGCGUCGUCGCCGUCCUCCGCAGCCCUCGCCGGCGCAGGGAUCAAGGGCCGCAGCGGCGGAUCCCAUCUCCUCACCCGAGGUCGUCAGCAGAAAAGAAGAUGAACAGUAAAAGCAUCGGGGCUUUUGGGAGAAAUAGAUGCGCGCAGUCCACGAGGCUAUUUCAGCCUCGUGGACCGCACGAGGGGGAGGUCCACAGUGGACCUCCCUCUGUGUAUGUGUGUGUAUAUAAAAAAUUUUAUUUAUAAAUAUAUAUUCAUUUAUUAUAUAUAUUAUUUUAUUUUUAUAUAGAAAUAUUUAUAUAAUAUUUUGUUUAUAAAUUUGUAAUUAUUUAUUAAUAUUUUUAAAUAUAUAAAUUUUAUGUAUUAUUAAUAAGGUUUAUUAUUAAUAUAUGAAUAUAUUUAAUCUAUAUAUAAAAAUUAUAAUAAUAAUAUAUACAGUAUAUUAAUUAUUAUAUAUUUAUUAUAUAGCCGAAUUUUUUAUUCCGAAUUUUUAAUUGGUGAACAUAUAAUAUCCGUACAAAUCACGUAUCCAAAUAAUUACCGAAUCCGUUUUUUUGCCGUAUUUUUUAACGAAUUUAAAAAUUAAAAGACGAAUUUUAUCCGAAUUAUACCCGUACCGAAUUUUUGCUGAAUCCGAAUUAACUAACUAUGGCUGCAAGUGAGAAGCUGUUCGGGGAUUUGUAUCAAAUAUCUAUUUGUGUUUUAUUUGAACAACAAUUUUAGACCAAAGCCCGGACAAAGAAACCAGCAAUUUCUGUCCUGUGACUUGCUUUUCCAAUUUUGUAACUCACAUGAAACGUAGGUCAAAAACACGAUAUAGAUAGUCGAAUCGACUUUGCCUGAUUCAUCUAAGUCAUUGAUCAAUGAUGCUUCUGAGAACAUUAAUAUCCAAGGUUAGAUAAUCUAGACCGUAACUAGAAUUUGUUUCACAUUUUACUACUGCUUUUUUGUGCUAAUAUUGUUGCCUAAAGUUCUAACCUUUGAACUAUAUUACUUACUUCAAUAGGUCUUGAAUUGGCUUCCUCAAUAAGAGCCAUAGCUAAAUGUAUCAAAAUUGUUAGUCUUCCAUAUAUCCAGAUCUUUAAUAAAUAUCUAUAGAAUUUCUUUUGCCAUCUAAUGAUUUUUUUGACAUCGAAUUUUGUAGUUAAAAUUAGAAGAGUUUGUCCAGCAGAACAGAUGGAUUAACCAGCGAAAGCACAAGUAAUAUGCAUUCAACAUAACAACUGACCCUCAUAUGAUUUUAACUUUUAGAUGGAUCUUUUAUUAUUGGUGUUCCAUAUAUCCAUGUAUUACUAUAUUCUCUUCAUCUCUACAUGUGUAGGCAGUGAAUUAUUCACUAUGAUUCCAAGGUCUAACUUUAAGUGAAAAACUUCGUAUUUUCACAACUAAGUUACUUUGUGGAAUGACAUGAAAUUCCUUGAUUAUUAUUUGUUUGACGCCUCGGUAGGUUAAUUGAUGAUGGAGUAAAUCUACCUUACAGCUCUUGUAUCAAGCAGGCCAUCUGAUAGCUAGUUUUAGAAUUUGAAUUCUCUAACGGCUAAAUUUUUAAGAGUGCCACAAAUUAUCUGGAAUUAUAUAGUGUAUAUCCAAGCAGCCUAAAAAUGAAGCGAUGGAAUCCACUAGAGUUAUAGGAUUCUCUAUUUUAUCCAGACCUAAAACAUAGACUAUAAACUCUAUGAAAUUUUUUAACUGUGCAUCUAAAUGAGGCCUAAAUGUAUCCGUAUUAGAUACUGUAUCAAAUAUAAUAGCUGUGGUCUACUUCACACACUGUGUCAGACACUCGUUGUAUUAAAUUUAUCCAAAAAAAUUUGUCAUAAUGCACCAACGAAGCUUAGACCCAGUUGGUACCCCCCACGUUCUAAGAAGCUGAAGAAACAGUUGAUGGAAUUAAGGUGGGGGCUUUGCUCCCGAUUCCCAAAAGAAAAACAAAAGAAAAAUAAUAACGUAGUUAUGGCUUAGUUACUUUUAGGACGCUUCUUCAGUACUUCUCAAUUUCAUAUAUAUAUAUAGAGUAGGGCUGCUGUGCUCUCAGGAGCACGGAGGCCUCCGUGCUCCUGAGCUGGCCUCCGUGCUCCUGAGCCAUUUCGAUGAUGGAAUUUCCGAAUCGACGAUCGGCUCCGUUAGACUUGAUCUAACGUGUUUGAAGUUUCUAGAAAAUAAUUUUUGCGAUUUUUUGAUAUCAUUUACCUAGCAAUUGAAAGGAUUCAAAAUCAAUAAUUUUUAACGGCUGAAAAUAAAAGUUCUACAAAAAGUGGUAAUAUAGCACUAAAAUUUUCAAUCAGAAAUAUUGAUCUUGUUGUAGAUAGUAUAAAGAAUUUUGUAUCAAAAUUUCAUCUGAUUUGAAUACUUCUACACCGUUAAACUUGAAAACGGCAGAUAUCAACCAUUAAAAAUUAUUAAUUUUGAAUCCUUUUGAUCACUAGGUAAAUGAUAUCAAAAAAUCGCAAAAACUAUUUUCUGAAAACUUCAAAUACGCUAGAUCACGUCUAACGGAGCAGAUCGUCAAUUCGGAAAUUCCAUCAUCGAAAACGGCUCAGGAGCACGGAGGCCUCCGUGCUCCUGAGAGCACAACAGCCCUACUCUCUCUCUCUCUCUCUCUCUCUCUCUAUAUAUAUAUAUAUAGAGAGAGAGAGAGAGAGAAUUAGGCUACUAUACUAUCUAUAGUACCGGAGCUCCGGUACUAUAGUCUUGUUUUCGAUCUUAUGGUGUUCAAAUUAACGAUCCACACCGUUAAAUAUGAUCUAAGGUAUAUGAAGUUCCUAGGAAUAAAAUUUUAGUUUUUUUCGACAUCGUUUACUUAGUAAAUAAAUUAUGUCAAAAUGAACGGUGGAAAUUGAAUAAUCUUUAAAAUUUAAGCAUAGAACUUUUAAAUUCAAGAUCAAGAAUGUUAACCUUAAUCUAGAUAGUUUAAAGUAUUUUCUAUCAAAAUUUGAAGAAAUUUAGAUUCUUCUACACUAUUAAACUCCAAACUCGCCAUAGUAGCCAUUGAAAAUUGACAAUUUUGAAAUGGUUUGAUCAUAAAGUAAACUGUUAAAUAUAAAAUUAUAUAAACACCGUUCUCUAACAGCUUAAGCUUUUAGAGUACAACGGUUGUUUCACAUGGUAUCAGAGCAGAAGGUCUUGAGUUCAAGUCAUGCCAGGCCCCAGCAUAAUUAAUUUCCUCCCAUUUAAUUCAAGUCCACGUCAUGGGCUUUGCAAAAAGUCUCGAGCCCAGACGUGAGGGGGAGUGUUAAAUAUAAAACUAUAUAAACACCAUUCUCUAACAGCUUAAGCUUUUAGAGUACAACGGUUGUUUCACAUAAACUAUGUCGAAAAAAUAUAAAAUUUUAUUUCUAAAAACUUUAAAUACCCUAAGUCAGUUUUAACGGUGUGGAUCGUUGAUUUGAACACCCUAAAAUCGAAAACGGGACUAUAGUACCGGAGCCCCGGUACUAUAGAUAGUAUAGGAGACUAGCUCUAUAUAUAUAUAUAUAUAUAUAUAUAUAUAUAUAUAUAUAUAGAACUAGGCUGGAAUACUAUUAAUAGCACCAGUGACUUGGUGCUAUUAAGUUUUCUGCCCUUAGAUUAAAAGAUGUGCGGUUAGGAUGAUGUGGGCCCCCUAGGAUUGAGUGGAUAGUUGAUUGAAUAGUAUAAUCGAAUGGAUGAAAAUGAUAAAAUAGGUAAAUCUGUCGAACAAUGCAAAAAAAUAAAAGAGGUACUUCUCAAUUUCAUAUAUAUAUAUGAAAAAUGCAAAAAAAUAAAGAAAAGAAAAAUAACCGAAAUAAUAAAACGAUCUGUCAAACAACUUACCAAUCCAAUCCAUUGCAUGCACCUUAAAACCAUGAUCAUUUAGUUUCCUUGCAAAAUGAUCAUAUCUGCCACUGUUACAUCAACAAGAGAAACAUGACAUAUGUCGCCUCUUAUCAACUACUAAAGCAAAUGAAGAGUGGAUGAUAAAAACAUCUUUCGGUGAAAAGACCAAACUAGCAUACCUGUGCUCAUUCAAACCAUGCAAAAGAACAACAAGACCCCUGCAUGGUAAUAACAAAAAGAAAUCAGUAACUACAUUAAAGUAAAGCUGGUAGUUCCAGCAAUUAAAAUUUAAAUCAGUAACUACAUUAAAUUAAAGCUGGUAGUACCAUCAAUUAAAAUUUAAAUUACCAAUGUGGUCCAACUAGACAAUAGCGAUAUUAAGGUCAACUGAGCCUUAUUUAGAUCCAAGUAGGUCUGCAAUUGAGUAUAUUUGACUCAGUGAGUUAUUCUGGUGCAUCCUUGGCUCUUCAUAGAAUAAGUGACAACAUUAAUCAGUCACCAUCCAACAUUAACCAGGAUCAAGUCACACAACUCAUUGUCGAUUCUGACAAUUCAAUUACGCGUGAUCCUUGUCAAUAUUGAUUACCUUAAGAUUCGUACUGUUUUGACCCUGAAUCGAACAGAACCAUAGGAUUCAAAUCGUGCACCAUACAAUUGUGGUAACCAUAUGAUUAAUAUGCACAAUUUCACUGAUUCAAUGGAUAAUCAAAUAUCCAUUUUUUAAGGGAUGGGAAAAAAAAAACUUGACUCACAUGAAGUAUCCAGCAUUGCGAAAUGGUAAUAAGAAUGAAGGUUAAUAGUUUCAAAAUGUUUUCUUGUGUUUUAAAUUUCGAAAAUUGUGUUAUGCCCACCCGAUAUCGUAAUUUAUAAUUCGAAUAAGAAAAAAUUGGAAUAUUUUAUAAUUAGUUCCAACACUUCCACGACCACCCAGAGUAGAAAAAUCUUCUGUUUCACUGUAGAAAGGAGAAAGGAACAAAUAGUAAGAAAUAAAAGGCAUGUAGAAUAUGUGAAACCCCUUUUGGCUAAAGCAAAUGGAGGUUAGCAUUUCAAAACACAUUUGCCUUAGCUUAACUUUCCAAAUUUGAAUUUCGUUUAAUACUACAUUUAUUUUUUUAAGCAUACUUUAUGUACGAGAAAUCCCUUCUUUCUGAGACGAUACUAUGGAUCGUUAGCGCUAACCAACUAUCCCAAAAGCACGAGCUAAUAGAAAAGAUGCACCCAUCACACUUAGGGGCUUCGACCUGACUCAAUCCGCCUGGACGUUAGGUCGAUUGUUGGGUCCACUAUCGUUAGCUCUAUUGUAGACCGCAGCUCCACUCAACUUAUUAGGCUCAUCCAAUCCAACUUAUUAUUCUCCUGGGUCUAUUAUCACAGGACAGGAAUUUGAAACUAUUUUACCCAAUAAUAAAUAGCCAAUAGAUACGACAAUGAAUUGAAUUAUUAGGAUAACAAAAUAAUAAAACAAGUUUUCAUAACAUUAGAAAUUCAGAUAUAAAAAAGGCUUUUAAGUUUUUAUAAAGGCCUAAAAGCACAUAACCUAUCUGAGCUAUAAAUUUUGAAAUGUUGAGUAGCCAACUCGAAAUGAUCCAUAAUUCAGAUAAGGUUUGUUCAAUUUUACCUAUACUGAAUUACAAAAUGGGCAACAAAAUUAAAUUUUAAAGAGAAGAACGUACUUUGUCUUAACAUUGAGGGGAGCCCAAGAUUGGGUGAAGAGAGUCUCCCCCCUAGCCGUCCCCAUGAGGGCGAAGUCCCUCCGACACCUCCCCUCCUCCCUCUCCUCCCUCUCCGCCGCCACCCUCACCCUCCGCACCGCCGCCGCCCUCCUCGCCGCCGCCUCCUGCUCCCUCUGCCUCCUCUUCGCCACCAUUGCCGCCGGAACCCUCACCACCACCGUCGCCGCAGCCGCUCCCCCCUUUUUCCCUCCGCCGCCGCCGCCGCUCGUCGACACCGCCGCCCCCUCCUCCCCCGUCGCCGCCGCGGCCGCCGCCGACGACGGCGAGGACGAGGAGGGCACGAACCUCGGCCAUCGCCGGAACGGGAGGAGCACGAAGAGCACCGCGGCGCGGAGGAGGAGGAGGAGGGAGACGAGGGCGCUGAGGCGCCCGCUCACGCCCGACGCCAACAUCAACGGCUCCGAGGGCUUCGUCGACGGAUCCACCAUCGUUUUACAGGGCGAAAAAAUCGGAGGUAACAAUUCCAACCCUUCCACACGCCUCCCCACCCCAAGAAAAAAAAAAAAAUUGCAAAUUUUGCUGCGUUCUUCGACGAAUUCCGAUCGUUAAUUACACUAAAUCGAAGAGAAAUUUCGAAAUUAGGGAUCUAAUUUACAAAAAUCGGAUUGAGAUUAGGGUUAGGGUUUGGCGGUGUUCGUGUUUGGGCAAGGAAAAGAGAAAAUUUCGAUUCGCCUCGGUGUUUAUAUGGCUUCGUCGCGGCUCUUCCCGGAGAGGAGGGGAGAGAACGACACGAACCUACUAGUUCCUAGGAGUAUACUAAUUACACCGGUAAUUGGGACUCCGGUUUCGGACUCCACGCGUGGCAUGUUUUCAACCUCAAAUUUUUAGAAGUUACUUGUGGGGCCCAGUUUACGCUACGGGUGUGUAUUUCGGUGUCUGAAUGUUUAGUCGAAUUAGUCGUGUAUAAAAAACAAAAAAAAAAAAAAAAAAGAUAAUGCGCCACUUUUCUUUGUCGGACUUAUGAGAAACGUGAGGCGGUGAGUGCGACACGUGUCGGAGAAAGAAAGGCCCAUCGUGCUACGUGGCGGGAAGCGGCGGGUCGCAGCCGCGGAUUUUAGGAGGGCGAGGUCGAAACUCCGCAUUGGUCGGCGAUAUGUCGCUGUUACACCGAAGAAAAACCUGUACAUCGCCGUAGUUAUUGUCGUUGUCUUUUUUGGGGUUAAUAAUUAAUUGCACCGUUCCUUCCCAACUUCUUCUUCUUCUUCUGUUUUUUCUUUUUUCUUUUUUCUUUUUCUUUUUUUUUUGUUGGGGGGUAAACAUUCAAUACCCACUUUAGUACUCUGUAAUUUAAAGUGUAUNGAAACUAUUUUACCCAAUAAUAAAUAGCCAAUAGAUACGACAAUGAAUUGAAUUAUUAGGACAACAAAAUAAUAAAACAAGUCUUCCUAACAUUACAAAUUCAGAAAUAAAAAAGGCUUUUAAGUUUUUGUAAAGGCUUAAAUGUAUAUAAUUUAUCUGAACUAUAAACCAUUUUGAGUUGACUACCGAACUAUGAACGACGUAUUCAAAAAUUGAAGUCAAAAUGCCGUUAACCAUCUCAAAUCAAACAAACUAAAAGAUUGGAUUAAAAAAUUAAAAUUUUGAAACGUUGAGCAGCCAACUCAAAAUGAUCCAUAAUUCAGAUAAGGUUUGUUCAAUUUUACCUAUACUGAAUUACAAAAUGGGCAAUAAAAUUAAAUUUUAAAGAGAAGAACGUACUUUGUCUUAACAUGGAGGGGAGCCCAAGAUUGGGUGAAGAGCGUCUCCCCCCUCGCCGUCCCCAUGAGGGCGAAGUCCCUCCGACACCUCCCCUCCUCCCUCUCCUCCCUCUCCGCCGCCGCCCUCACCCUCCGCACCGCCGCCGCCCUCCUUACCGCCGCCUCCUGCUCCCUCUGCCUCCUCUUCGCCACCAUCGCCGCCGGAACCCUCACCACCACCGCCGCUGCAGCCGCUCCCCCCUUUUUCCCUCCGCCGCCGCCGCCGCCGCUCGUCGACACCGCCGCCCCCUCCUCCCCCGCCGCCGCCGCGGCCGCCGCCGACGACGGCGAGGACGAGGAGGGCACGAACCUCGGCCAUCGCCGGACCGGGAGGAGCACGAAGAGCACCGCGGCGCGGAGGAGGAGGAGGAGGGAGACGAGGGCGCUGAGGCGCCCGCUCACGCCCGACGCCAACAUCAACGGCUCCGAGGGCUUCGUCGACGGAUCCACCAUCGUUCUACAGGGCGAAAAAAUCGGAGGUAACAAUUCCAACCCUUCCACACGUCUCCCCACCCCAAGAAAAAAAAUUUUUCAAAUUUUGCUGCGUUCUUCGACGAAUUCCGAUCGUUAAUUACACUAAAUCGAAGCGAAAUUUCGAAAUUAGGAAUCUAAUUUACAAAAUCGUAUUGAGAUUAGGGUUAGGGUUUGGCGGUGUUCACGUUUGGGAAAGGAAAAGAGAAUAUUUCGAUUCGCCUCGGUGUUUAUAUAGCUUCGUCGCGGCUCUUCCCGGAGGGGGAGGGAGGUAACGACACGAACCUACUAUUACCUGGGAAUAUAUAUAUAUAUAUAUAUAUAUAUAUAUAUUAAUUACACCGAUUCUGGGGACUCCGGUUUCGGACUCCACGCGUGGCAUGUUUUCAGCCUCAAAUUUUUAGAAGUUACUUGUGGGGCCCAGUUUGUGCUACGGGUGUGUAUUUCGGUGUGUGAAUGUUUGGUCGAAUUAGUCGUGUAAAAAAAAUAAUAAUAAUAAUGCGCCACUUUUCUUUGUCGGGCUUAUGAGAAACGUGAGGCGGUGAGUGCGACACGUGUCGGAGAAAGAAAGGCCCAUCGUUCUACGUGGCGGGAAGCGGCGGGUCGCAGCCGCGGAUUUUAGGAGGGCGAGGUCGAAACUCCGCAUUGGUCGGCGAUAUGUCGCUGUUACACCGAAGAAAAACCUGUACAUCGCCGUAGUUAUUGUCGUUGUCUUUUUUGGGGUUAAUAAUUAAUUGCACCGUUCCUUCCCAACUUCUUCUUCUUCUUCUGUUUUUUAUUUUUUUUUUUUUCUUUUUUUUUUUUUUGUUGGGGGUAAACAUUCAAUAUCCACUUUAGUACUCUAUAAUUUAAAAUAUAUUAAUUUAAUUUUUUUUUUUUUUCGUCAGUCUUUUUUUAACUUUUCGUUAAAUCAUAUACAAAAAACUUCACAUACUCUACUCAUAGUUUAUCGAAUAUUUAUUUUAGUACUCUUUAAUUUUAAUUUUGUCAUUGAUUUAAUUGAUUUAAUUAAAAAAAUUAAUGAAAGUAAUAACAAAAAGAAAAAAUAAAAUCAUAGGGUAUAAAAGUAAUGCACUUUAAACCAUAUGAUAUUAAAGUGAGAAAGUGCGAAACCACUGUAGUGAUAUUUGAAGUUUAUCUUAUUUUCUCUCACUUAAAUUUAUAAUUAUUCUUUAGCUAUUGAACUCCCAACUUCUAUAUUUUGGUAAAUUUUAACUAGAAAUGCAAACGAGACAUAUUUGCAGACUGCAAACCCGGCCCGCCUCCCACUUCAUUUUCGUGGCAGAAUAAAAGAUUUGACUUUUGUUGGCAAUCAGCAAGUCUUUUUAUUUUUAUUCAAAUUUAAAUAAAAAAUAAUUACUUUUUCGUUAUUUAGUUAAAAUAAAAUCAAAAAAUAAUAAAAGAAUCAUUACAGCAGCAACUAUCUUUCAAAUUAAAAAAAAAAAAAAAAAACUAAAUAGAAAACUGCCCUAAAAAUAAAAAAUUGUUGAAGAAUAAAGGAAUCAGUUUGGACAAUCUGGAUGUAACAACUGUAAAUUUGAAUUUCAGAGUUAGUUGAAUUCAAAUUAGGUUUUUGAAUUUUGAGGUUUAUAUUCAAAAACAGGAGUAGUGAGUGGGGGCCUAUUUCCAGAAAACGUGUUUGAUCGGUGAUUUUGCUGAUUAAUGCACCUGUUGAUGCCAAAAUUGAAAUUAGGCGGGAACGGUUGAGGAACGGUUGAGAAGUAGGGUGUAACUUCCACAAUCAUGGCUACACCACUCCCCCUACUAUUAAAAACCAACCAAUAAUGUGGGAUGAGAAGACAGCAUUAUAAAUAGUAACUUCGAAGCCUGUAAUAGGGGUCUUUCUCUCCUCUGAACGAGAAGACCACCGCAUUUUCAUAUGAGUAUUUGAAUUGUUUCAAAAUAGCCAAAAUCCGGUGCUUUAUGAGAAUGCCGGAAUCAGAGUUCGCCAAAAUGACGUUUAAUGGUAUGCAUUUUAAGAUAAAAGACUAUUUUGAAGAUAAGUAUUUUUCUAACCUAUUUGAUCUAGGUGUUCGAGUUGCCCAAUAUGAGCAAUUCCGAAAGAAAAGUAAGGACGAUCGGCUGCAAUGGAGCCGAUAUAAAAAUCAAAGCAAAGGCAAUGAGAAAUUCUUGAUAGAAGAGCAAUCGGUUUAAGAACAGCCGAGCCAAUCGAGUAAAAGUGAAGAAUCGGCUGAUGAAGCCGAGGUAUAUGCGGCUGGAAUGAUAAAGAGUCGUUUUCUUUAAGCCGACCAAGACCGGCAAAAUUAAAGCUUGAAUCUCGGCUGUGUCAUCGAGCCAUCGAUUUGGCACAAAUAGUCAUCUGAAUAUUCAUUCGAAAGACUAUUAGGGGGGGCAUUGUUGAUGCCAAAAUUGAAAUUAGGCAAGAAUGGUUGAGGAACGGUUGAGAAGUGGGGUGUAACUUCCACAAUCAUGGCUACACCACUCCCCCCACUGCUAAAAAUCGACCAAUAAUGUGGGCAGAAAAGAUAUCAUUAUAAAUAGUAACUUCGAAGCCUGUAAUAGGGGUCUUUCUCUCCCCUGAAUGAGAAGACCACCGUAUUUUCAUAUCUUUCUUUUUCUGCAUUUAUCGUUUUCUAGGAGUAAUCUACAUGUAAUCUUUUUUACCCGCAUUUACUGCUUUCUUAGGAGUAGUUUUUAAGUUAGAUCUCUGGAGUCUGUAUGCCCCACGGGCACACUCUGUUGUAAUCUAGAUUUUCAGAGUCUGUAUGCCCUUCGGGCACACUCUGCUUUAUUAAUAUAUAAAGGCAUUUGGCUCUUUCAACCGACCAGUCACUGUGUAUUCCAUAUAUUCGGCUCAUCAGCCGACCCCAGAUCUUGUGUUUUCUGUACAUUCGGCUCUUCCAGCUGAACCGAAUUUACUGUGGAGGCUUCGAACCAGGCUAAUCCGAUCCCUCAUCAGCCGAAUCGCUUGAUCAAUCAAAGGGCGCAAACUUCGAGGAUCACUAGCAGAAGCCGUGUUUCAUCCCGACGCACUCCCCGAGGAGGACCUUUGACCCGGUCGAGGAUCGGAGAUUUUCGGCGCGAACAACACCAUGACUCUAAAUACACUUUGCGAAGGCUAUAGGACCUUGGACGACGUUUUGAUUCGAUGUCAUGCACAAAAUCUUAUAAGAUUUUAAAAUAUAUAUAUAUAUAUAAAAAAAAAUCUAUUUUUUCUAUUCCAAUUUUGAUAAUAAGUAUGGCGAUCGAAGACUAGGUUUAACUGAACAUUAAUUUUUAUAACGUUGAUCACAUGUUAGAGUACAAACUAUAAUUUUUUGUGUAUCAUGAAGCUCUAUAAAACCAUAUGCAAUACAUACAACUGAAACAAUUGAGUAAUUAAUAACUUUAAUUGAAGAAAGAGUUCGAUUAAGCUUUUUAAUAAGAUUUAAGGGAUCUAAUUGCUAAAAUUGAAAGUUUAUGCAUGUAAAGCAGGUUUAAGGAAGUCUAGACUAAAUUUGGAUCAAAUUGAAAUCAAUUUGUAUCGAAACAGAGUUCUAAAAUAGAAAAAAAAAAAAAAAAAAAAAAAAAAAAAAAAAAAAAAAAAAAAAAAAACUAAGUUUCAAACCUUUUGGGCACCCGGAAUAAGGAUUUGGGUAUCUUAAAUGAAUUCGGAUGGCUUGAUGCGGCGCCCAAAAUGAGCAGGCACUUUGUUGGAGAGCUAAGUUGGUGAGAGGCCCACUUUCGGGCGCUCGGAUUCCUUUGUGGGCAUUUAGAUCAUUUCGAAUCUCACCCGAGGGUGCGCGAAACCUUUUCGGACUCCCAACCCAAGCAUUGGAACGCGAAGGACUAUUACAUAUAUGCAUCCAAAAUGCCCUAAGGGCACCGGGAACAACUUUCGUGCAGCCCCUUGCGGGCGGACAAAUGAUUUUUGAAUGCUCAAUCCAAGAGUACUAGUUGCAAGCUAGAAUAAACAAUUGGACGCUCAAUUCAUAUUUCAGAUGCCCAAAUUGUGAAAUGAACGAACCAAGCGAACACAGCUACGACACCUUCAAGCCGAACACAGCUACGACACCUUCAGGCCCUCAAAACCUAGCAUAAAAGCUAUGGUUUGUCUGGUUGCAAAUUUGAAAGGUUGGGGAGUUUAUGUGCUAUUGUAGCACCUCUAUAAAUAGGGUUUCACAGUAAACUCUAAUUUUCCGGCCUAUUUUCCCCUUCCACCCUCUCUUUCUUCCUCCUCUCUCCCUCAAGUGCCCUAAAGUUUUCAUUGUUGAAUCUUGAAGAUCCACUUAGAUGGAGGCUUAGAGAAGAUCAAUGGCUUCAAAACAAAGCUCUAGAAGGGAAAAGAAGUACACUUCACCCACAUUUCUCUUGCUAGGAAGAGAAAACGUAAGUUAGUGUUUUCAGGAUUUCUUUUGGAGUUUUCUCAAAUGUGACAUUUGAGGGUUCUAGCUUGGUUAGAACUCCUUUUUAGGUUUAGAAGAGAUCUAGAAAAAGGUAGGAAAUAUCACCAAAAUAGCUUUGAUCUCUCCUUUGUCUAAAGAUUUUCUUGAUUUCACGCAUAUACAAAUAUGCGAUAUAUAAGCUAAAUGCAUUUUAGUUGCAUACAAGUAAAACUUGUAGGUCAAGAUGGCUUAUUAGCAUUUGAUCUAGGAAAAGAAGGUUUUCAACAUGUAUAAAGGAAAAGGAAUAGAUGACAUACUCGCAUACAUGUAAAUAUUAUCAUGUGAACCUUGUGUGUAGGUGGAAUAUAUGUGGCAUUUAACCUAGGAUGAAACCUAAGGUAUAACAUAGUUGUACAUGAACUCAAGUUAAACUUGAGCUAGAGGAUGAGUGUAUGUGUAAUGGACAUGAUAAACAACCCUAGAAAUCAUAAAUUUAUAGUAUGACAAUGCCAUAGGUCACAACAUUCUGAAAUGGUCAAUAAAGAAGAUGCAGAUCGCCCUUCCUUUUGUAGUGCUUGGAGAGGGCUUUUUUUUUUCAUUUUAACCCUUUAAAUACUUAUAAUUGGCCAAAUAGUUUUGUAAAAAAAUUUAUUUCGGCAGAUAACCCUAUUUUGUCCGGCUCAGUAUAGAGAUAGAAAAAUAAUUGAAAGGUGGUCAAUCGUUUACCGUCUUUAAUGCAAUUUAGAAGAUGGUGAAAGAUUCACCAUCUUUUUUUAUUCUUUAAAGACAGUAAAUGGUGCAUGGUCUUUUCCUUAAAGAUAAAAAUGGUGAAUGAUUUGCCAUAUCUUUCUAUUUUUCAUAUAUAAUAUCAACAAUCACAUAAUAAUUUUUCAACAAAUUAUAUAUAAUCCUAACAACCUAAAAUAUUCUAACAACAUACCUGCACUAUUUUAACGAUCAAACAAAAAUUCUAAUAAUCCCCAUAUAAUCUUAACAACCUCAUAAAACUUAUAAAAUAAUGAAAACAAUAUAAAAAUGGCUAAUCAUUCGUCGUUUUCUAAAGACGGUGAAUGAUUCACCGUGUUUCUCAAGUUAGUUGGCUAAAUAAAAUUUUGAAAGAGUUAUUUGAAAAAUUAGAAAAUUUUAUAGAAUUAUCAUUAAAAAAAGUCUGCUUAGAGACGUCGAUCGCCCUCAACUCCAAGUGACCACUAUGCUUGGUGAUGUCGAUUUUCCUUGACACUGAAUGCCUACCAAUUGGAGAGAUGCCAAUCACCUUUGAUUCUCUAUGAUGUGUAUAGUGUGAAAUGGAACCAACAAAAUGAUUAAUUAAAGACAUGAGACAAAUUGGGUAUUAAUAUAGUCGAUAACAAAAUAACUCAUUGUGGCAUACUUUGCUUACUUGAGGUAGUAAAUACCUUGCUUAUUCUACUGUGGUAAUGGUUGUUAUUUAUUAUUACCUACCACUAAUACCUCCUUUGGACGGAGUGAAUAUAGAGUGUCACUUUCGUUGAUUGCACUCACUAAGAAUUUAUCUAAAAUUCUUAACCAGUGGUUGUUUACACCUUUUAAGAUCCUACCACGACUAGUGAGGUAGGGAACUAUGGGAGGGCAUCUAAACCAAGUGAGAGGUCUAGAGUGUACUCUUAUAAGAACACUAGAAAUUGUAAUAUUUUGAAAAGGUUUAAAUGUUAUAGACUUUAAAGAAUUAAAGUUAUAAUGGUUUAAAUCUAAUAAUAUUAGUCUGAUGGUUCUUGUAUCUAUGUCAUAUAUAUUUUGUACAGGUUGGUAUAUGCUUUGCUCAUGUAGAUAGAAAAAAAAGUUACCCGUUCGGAGGGUUUGUUGCACUUGCCCAAGCGGGUCUAAUUAAUGGAAUUCAUGACAUGACAAUGCAUCUGUUUACAAAAAAACUAAAGUUCAGAAAAUCUUUAUACAUUUUUUAAAAAAUUUUAACACCGAAGUUAUUAUCAUUAUUUCUUUCUCUCCUAACUACCUUUGUUUGUUGUCUAGAACAAAAUUAAUUAUAACAUAUUAAAAAGAUGGGGUUAAGAAUAAAUUUGAUUUAUCACCAACUAAACAAUGAAAUGAAAGUCGCCAUAUUAAGGCCCAACUCAAUACCAUGGUGGAAAGGGAAGUAAAAUAAUGAUGUAUCAUUUAUUGUGUUCAAUAAGACUUUAAAAGCAGUAUGUUCAUAAGUAACUCAAUUUUUUUUAUAAGUUUAUAUUUAUUUCUGUCAAGUUUAUCUUUUAAUAUUUUGUUGGUUAGACAUAAGAGAUAAGUUUAAAUCUUGUUCAAUUAUAGCUAUUAGGAUUUUUGGGUUAUGUCUAUAUACAAACAGACUGUUGUAAAUGUGUAGAAAAUAAUCCACCAUCAAAAUUUAGUCCAAGAAUAUUUAAUAAAGUUUUUAGUUUCAUUCAUUGCAAUACUCCUCACCUUCCAACAAGUGGUAUCAGAGCCAAGUUGAAGAAGCCUUACGACGAAGAAAAGAUCGUCGGCUUCAUGAUCGAGGACGUAGAACGUGCCGGCAUCGUGCUCUCCAUCAACAUCGAUAGUUGAUCGUGGCCCUAAAUAGGAUGAUUCAACCACAGCUUCCGAAGUUUACAGGAAAGAACUUCGAUUACUUGAGUAUCCAGAUAAAAUGCUUAUUCUCAUCUUAGGAGUAAUGGGACAUUGUAAAGGAUGGCUUCAAAGAUGUUAUUGAUAGUGAGUUCGAAAUGCUCGCUGGUGCAAAGAAGGAGGUGCUCAAAGAUUUCCAAAAGAAAGACAGAAAUGCACUAUUCUUUCUGUAUCAGGUGGUGGAUCAAGUUAUUUUUAAGAGGUUAUUGAAUGCCAAGACAGCAAAAAAAAAGCGUAGGACAUGCUUGAGAGGAGUUACCGAGGCACAGAUAAAGAAAAAAAAGUAUGAAUCCAAACUUUUAAAGGUGAAUUUGAAUUUUUACAGAUGAACGAAGUUGAAUCAAUUGACGACUAUUGUAGUCUGGUAGUAUUCGAAUCAAAUCAAAUACGGAUGAAUAGGGAAAACUAGCACGACAAAUUAAUUGUUGAAAAAAUUAUGAGAUAAGUAACUGGCAAACAUGAUCACGCCGUGUCUUCAAUUGAGGCGGCCAAGACAUAGACAACCUAAUAGUAGAAGAUUUGUCGGGAUUAUUCCAAGCCUACGAAUAGCAUGUGAAACUAAGAGCGGAGCGCACAGUUAAAUAAGCUCUCAAAACCCUACUAACAAUCAGCGACAGAACUCAAAGAGAAAACAAAGCUAGCAGAGGACAUGGCCGUGGUGGCAAACGCGGUCGUGGCCGCGGCAGAGGCCGAGGCCAAAACAAAAUAGUCGUUGGUGAUACAGAUGGUUCAAAUUCAAAUAGAAGAAUAAGAAGGAGAGAUAAUUACCACAAUUAGUAAAGAUAUGACAAAUCUCGAAUUCAAUAUUAUUAUUACAUAAAUAUAGGCACUAUCAAUCUGAAUGUAGAAGAAAACAAGCGGAUAAGCAGAAUAAUAUUAAUGCAAAUUUUGUUGAAAAUAAGGAUGAAGAUUUCAAAUUUAAGGAUGAAAAUAAUGCACCUAUGCUUCUCGUUUGCAAUAUUGUUGAAACACCAAAAAGUAAUAUUUAGUAUUUAGAUUCAGGCUGUAGCAACCACAUGUGCAGUAAAAGGAAGAUGUUUAUAAAUUUAGAUGAUAAAGAAAAUAUGAUGGCAAAAUUGGAAGAUGAAAGAAAAGUUGUUGUUCAAGAAAAAGGUGGCAUUUUAAUUCAAGCAUGUAAUGGUGAUCAUAUUAUAAUAUCUGAUAUUUAUUAUAUGUCUAGAUUAGAAUGUAAUCUAUUAAGUAUUGGUCAAUUUUAAGAAAAUGGUCGUAUUGUGCAUAUUGAAAAGAGAAUUUGUGAAUUGAAGAAUAAAGAUAAUAGAUUAAUUACUAGUGCCAAUUACUAGAAAUCGCAUGUUUUCUUUCAGAAUUGAUAAUGAUAUUUUGCCCUAUUUCAAUACAAUUGUGCAUAAUGAAUCUUGGUUAUGACAUUUACGGUUUGGUCAUUUAAAUUUUUGAUCUUUGAAAAAAUUGGCUAGCAAAAAUAUGGUGAAGAGGUUACCCUACAUAACUUAUCCAAACCAAAUUUGUGAAGGUUGCAUUUUCAAAAAGCAACAUAGAGAUCCAUUAUCCGAAGAAAAGUCUGUUAAAGCCACAAAGCCUCAACAGUUGGUUCAUACGGAUUUAUGUGAGAUGGAUAUACGCUCCAUUGGAAACAAUAAAUAUUUUAUAACUUUCAUUGAUGAUUUUAGCAGAAAAUUUUGGGUUUAUUUUCUGAAAGAAAAAUUAAAAGCUUUUACGGUAUUCUAACAUUUUAAAGCACUUUCUGGAAAAUAGUGAAAAUUAUUUGAAAAUUCUACGGUUAGAUGGUGGAAGAGAAUAUUUUUCUAUAAAAUUUAAUGAGUUAUGCAGGACACAUGAAAUUGUGCAUCAAAGUACCGCAGCCUAUUCACUGCAACAGAACGGCAUGGUAGAAAGAAAAAAUCGUACAAUUGUGGAAAUGACAAGAAGCAUGCUUAUUGAAAAAGAUAUGACGAAAAAUUUUUGGGCUAAAGCUGUUUCAUGUACAGUUUAUAUAUUAAAUAGGUGUCUGACAAGUAGUGUGGCGAAUAAAACACCUGAAGAAGUAUGGAAUGAAAGAAAACUUAUAAUAGCGUAUCUACAUAUUUUCGGAAGCAUGGCAUAUACACCUGUUCCAAAACAAAUGAGAAAGAAAUUGGAUGACAAAAUAGUCGGGUGCGUUUUUAUCGACUAUACAGAAAAUAUAUAUAAAAGCUUAUAAAUUAUAUGAUCCAGUAGCAGAAAAAAUCAUAAUGAGCAGAGAUGUAAAAUUUGAUGAAACUAAAUGAUAAGAUUGGAAAGAAAAAGAAAGGAUAAAUAAAGGUAUUAGCAUUCAAUUUGAAGAUAAUUUCGAGAAUCAAGAACAAUGUGCAUCGGAUCCUCCGACUGCACUAGCAUCACCACCCUCGUCGUCAUCAGGUUCUUCGCCUUAUUUUUUGAAGGAAAAUGUUCGAAGAAAUUCUCUACGUAAUAUUACAAUGCCCGUAAAAUUAACAGAUUACAUUAUUAAUGAUACUGACAAUGAUGAUGAUAGUGAUUUAACCCACUACAUCAUAUUUUUAGAUUGUGAUCCUCUCAAGUUUAGUGAAGUGGCGAAAGAAAAAAAGUGGCGUAAAGCCAUGUGUGAUGAAAUCGAGGUGAUUGAGAAGAACAAAACUUAGGAGUUGACAAAACUUCUAGAAGACCAAAAAGCAAUUGGCAUGAAGUGGGUAUACAAAACCAAGUACAAACAAGACGGGUCAAUCGAUCGUCAUAAAGCUAGACCCGUUGUAAAAGGCUACAAGCAAAAGCCCGUGUUGGCUUAAAUUGGCUAGCACCCUGCCCUGUGGUGGGGGCCAUGUUGGGCCGAGUCAUAUUCGAAAUGGCGUGAGGCUGGGUGCGCCAAGUCAUGUUCGAAGUGACGUGAGGCUGAUUGGACCAAGUCACAAUCGAGAUCCGUGGGCGUUGUAUCUGUACACUUUAAGUGAAUUGGUUGCAUAUUUCUAACAGCUCGAGCUUUUGGGAUUAAUGGUUAGUGCCAACGAUCCGACAAGUGGUAUUUGAGCCAGAGGUCACGGGUUCGUUUCCCGCAUGUUACAAAUGUGUGCAAGUGCUGGAGGGAGGAUUGUUGGCUUAAAUGGGCCAACAUUCUGCCCUAUGGUGGGAGGCCAUGUUGGGCUGAGUCAUAUUCGAAAUGGCAUGAGGCUGGGUGGGCCGAGUCAUGUUUGAAGUGGCGUGAGGCUGAUUGGGCCAAGUCAUAAUCGAGAUCCAUCUGCACUGUAUCCGUACGCUUUAAGUGAAUUGGUUGCACAUUUCUAACAGCUUGAGCUUUUGGGAUUAAUGGUUAGCGCCAACGAUCCGACAGUUCGGUGUUGAUUUUCACGAGGUGUUUGCUACCAUUGCCAGAUUGGAGUCGGUGCGGCUUCUAAUUGCUUGUCACGUCCCAGGGUCCCUUUUUGAUUUAAAAGCAAAGCGAAAGUGCCCAAAUUUUUUUUUUGAAAAACCUGACCCCCAGGGUAUGCCAGAUCCACCACAAAUACAGGAAGUUCACUGUUCCAACAGACAGAGUCUUCCCUGUAUUUGCACGGUGUCGCACUUGUACAAGAUACAUAACACAGGAUACAACCACUACACAUGAAUAUACACGCCUUCAUACACCAUUCACAUUUAAAUUCACAUUCAGAGUUUAUCCAUAAAUUCACAACUAUUAGUUUAAAAUGUUUCCUACCCGGAAACUCGUUUUGAAAUACUAAGUCAUGAAAACUAAGAGAAAAUCUUUUAAAAACUGUUUCCCACACGGAAACUUUUUCCUUUUAAAACACACUACCAUGAGAGGUAGAAACCAUUUUUAGUUUACAAGAAUCACAAAUCCUUUAUUACAUUCAUGAAAACCCAAAUAUUCAGAUGUAAUAAAAUACUGAACCAUAAUUGUUGUCUAAGUUAAUUAUUGAAGGAAACAGAGUUAAGGAGUUAAAUCAAAAUGGCAGGACGGUGGCUCUAUCGAUCGCUAACUGCGCUCCUCACAAACCAUCCCACUAGGACCAACGACAUCACCUGUAAUGGGGGUGGGGGGUGAGAACAUGUAAACAUGUCUCCUCUCCCAGUGGGUACCACAAACCGACGAGGGUAAGGAGUACUCACCAGUCAAGGAAAAUAAACAAAGGUAUAGAUAAGUGUAAUACAGUAGCAACGAUAAUAAAUGAACAGGAUGUAUAAAUGCAGAACUACCGCUACUGUAUGUAUGCAUCAACCGGACGACAGUCCAAAAAUACCCAAUCUAAAUCUGCCCUAUCGAUCUGUAGACCUCAAGCCCAUGCCACUGCCAAUCUACCUGUAUAUGACCCAGCCUAGGCCGCUGGGCUCACAGGUUAGCACACACAACCACUUUUACGGAAAAGAACACCCUCUUGUGGUGGAUCAGACCGCUGGUGUUCGUGAAAUGCGUACGAGUCUCGGGCGAUCAAUGAUGAUAUGUUCAAUAGCCAACUGUCGGCAACUAGCCGACAAUCUUGCCCCUCAGGGCGUACCGACCGUAUAGGUCACCAAAUAGUCUAACCGACAAAGUAGGUCACGAUAGUAAUGCAAUAAGCUGACCCAAUAGGCCACAGAUACGAGAUACGAGAACUGACCAACCAGAUCACAGAUAUCACAAAUAAUCACGAAACCGCUCUACUCUAAACAUGAUAUAGGAUAUGCAAAACAGCUAAGUAGAGCAACAAGAAAAUAUGGUAUAGGUGCCAGGCUCGACAUAUAAUAUAUGCAUGUAGAGUAAUAACGGGAGAACAAGGGAAAGAAGAUAUCACUAAGCGUGCAUCACUGUACCGACUUCGGAUCGAAGUACCCACCUGUACGAAUACCGUACUAAUCUUCCGACUGCGGAGGAAAUAACAACCGGACCUACGAAGGGUCCACCGGGUUAGAAUCCAACCCAUGUACACAAAAUGCUAACACACAAUCCCCACCAACAAACCUACGAAAAUUAGUUUCCCAAAACUGAUUGUCGAACACGCCGGAAGCCCCGAAAAUCGCAUCGAGACUCCGCCAGGACCCACGAACUGUCCUGAAACUCACCGACUCAUGCUAUGAGUCACCCGCUGCCACUAAACACCAUUAUUCAUAGGACUUGGCAGCAAACACACCGCUUCACUUCGAAAUGAUUAUCGUCGGAUAAUCGUUCCGAUCUGGGUUGCCAAAAGUGUCCAAUUCGACACCGGAACCCACCGUCGCUCACCCGUCGUUUUCGAACCCUCGAAACGACACAAGUGACCAGCCAACAAGGCUCAACGACUACAUGAUCUACCGCGAGGUACCGUCGGAAGAAUUCCGAACCGAAAACGCGUUCCGUCGGCAGAUUUCGCCAAAAAACGCACUGAAAAUCAACAUUUGAUUUUCGGAAAGGCUUGGGGCCUUGGACAACUAAUCCAGAGGUUACCCGCUACCCGCACACACUGCCAACAGCAACCACAAAUUAAACAAUUGCAUAAAUACCCCCGCGAAAACAUAAAAUCACAUUAUUUCAUAUGAUUUUCGGGGUUUUACGGCCCGACAGCGCAAACCGAGAACCUCAAGCCUGGCCGAGGUAUCCACUGACAGGUCUCGAUGUGCCGGAGGCUGUGCUCACACUUCGAAGCACGGCCGGCCACUGUGGCAAGCGCGCGAGCGACCAAACUUCAGUGAAAUCGCGUGUACGGUGCCUAAACUGCGUUUAAUACGCACACUGGGGCUUCGCUGACCUAAAAGGAAGUGAGCAAGAUAUUCGGCACAAAUCAGAGAUCAUCGUGCUCACUUACGGGGGUGUCGGGGUGUCUCCGGAUCGCCGGAAAGGUGACUGGAAUCCCAAACAGUGCACAGAAAACAGCAACAGCCUUACCGGAGCAAGUUGGAGCACGGGGGUGGCCGGCGGCGGCCGGACGGCGGGCGCUCCGGCAGGGGAAGGGUGCGGCCGGUCAGUGGGGGCCGGGGCAUGUGUUGGCCGACGGCGGGAGGCGACCAGUGACGCGGCGGAGAGCCACGAGCCCGCACAGCUUGGCUCGGCUCAGGAAGGCAGUGGCGGCCAGGCGACGGUCGGAGGAGCGUCAGGGCAACGGCGUUCAGUCGCCUGAGUCCGAGGGAGGGUGGCGCACUCAACUGUGGGUGGCGGCGAUGCGCGGUGACUCAGCCUCGGCCCGCCUUGAGUCUGGGCGGCCGCAGGGAGCACGAGCGGCGGCCGGCGGCACUCCGGGACUAUGGGAGGGCUAGCAGAGGGUCGCCGGAGGUCGUCGGAGGACGGCACGACCGAUCACAAGCGGCAGAAGCUCGCGGCCACGAACUAAGCUAUGCUCAGCCCGAGAUCGGUCCAACAGGAACCAGGUUAGCCACAGUAAGCACGGUCGGCACCGACGGCGCACGGGGACAGCGGGGGCCGGCGGGGAUGACGCCGGAGAUCGGUCUCGGCCAGAGGAGUACGAUCACCCAGGGUUUGGGUGACUUCCUACGUCCAACCGCCGAUGUGGUGGAGACAAGGUAGAAGGAGGAGUUGGCUGGGAGGCCGAGGUGGCUUUUCCGAUGGCCGGGGGUGCUCGCCGGCGGCCGGGGCGUGCGCACCAGUAGGGUGGAGGGGUGCUGCGACGGCUAGGGCUUAGCUCAGCUGAGGAGGAGUCCAGGAGCUAGGGUUUCUUCAUGAAAACCCUAGUUGCAACUAUAUAUAUAUUGUGUACAAUUGCAAAAAGGUCCCCCAUAGACAAUUAUUUUUAGCUCAGUCCCUGUAAGUACGUGUAUUAUGCACACAAGCCCCUCGACAUUCGAAUUAAUACAAAACGGCGCAUAAAAUAUUGGGUUUCACGCGAAAUUUCCAUUUUGCCAAUUUCGACUCCUCAGCGAACUUUUCAAGAUUCCCAGAGAUCCGUUCGUCGGAUUUUCGAUCGGAUCACGCCAGCGCGUUCAGCACGACUGGGACAUCGAAUCUACCAUUUCGUUCAUCCGAUUCGGUCGUCGAUUUGCGACAAAACUAAACCUCUCCAAUCUCCAAAAACCACACCUAUACAUAUAAAUCCAAUACAACUCUUUUUCUCGAAAACCGUGCAUCAGAACCCAAAUCUGUCAGUGCCAUUGGGUCCAGAAUAGUCGAACUGUCGAAAAUGAGCUAUUGGAUCACUAUGAACAGAGUCCAAUACGCACCAGAAGCUUUCUCCACUCAUUGGCUUCUCCGAAAAAUCGGAGUUACUAUUCACUUUAGGUGAUUAGUACAGGUCGCAUAACUUCUCUAUUCUAACUCGUUUUCUCCUGAAACUUGACAAGUGCUUAUGUAAUUACAUUACACACAAAAAUAUCGUCAACAGAGGGUUUAACUACAUUGUCAAAAUCUCAGAUAUUACAUUGCUUUAGCGGCACAAAAACAGUGGAAGAUCUAUCAGAUGGAUGUCAAAUCCGGCCACUAUCCUCAACGGCUUUCUCGAUAAAGAAAUAUACAUCGAGCAACUGCUAGAAUUUAUACAAAAAGGUGAAGAAGAUAAAGUUUAAAAAUUAAAAAAGGCAUUGUACUGCUUGAAGCAAACUCUGCAAGCCCGGUACACACGUGUAGAUCUAUAUUUUCAAAAAGCCGAAUUUCGUGAGUGCCCCUGUGAACAUGCUCUUUACGUUAAAAAUAAUUCUAGUGGUGAUGUUUUAUUUGUUUCCCUCUAUGCUGACAAUCUUAUCUUUACGGAAAAUAAUUCUAGUAUGAUUGAAGAAUUUAAAAAGAGCAUGAUUAAUGAGUUUGAUGUAACCAAUACGAGCCAUAUGGCUUAUUAUCUGGGCAUCGAAGUUUCACAAAAAGAUAAAGGCAUUUCUAUAUCUCAAAAGAAAUUUGCAGGGAAAAUACUUGAAAAGUUUCAGAUAGCGGAUUAUAAACCGAUAGUUACCCCAGUAGAGAUCGGAUUAAAGCUCAACAAGAAAGGAGAAGGAAAGCCUGUUAAUCCCACAUAUUUCGAACAGUUGGUAGGAAGCCUAUGCUACUUAACUGCAACUAGACCCGACAAAGCCUAUGGUGUUGGGUUGAUCAGUAGAUAUAUAGAAAAGCUGACUUAAUGCAUUUACAAGCAGCAAAGCGUAUUUUACGCUAUAUAAAAGGAACGGUCAACUAUAGUAUUUUUUACUCUUACGGUGGCAAAUCCGAACUCAUCGGAUUCGUCGAUAGCGAUUGGGCCGGCAACGUAGAAGAACGGAAAAGCACAUUAGGCAACGUAUUUUUUCUUAGAAGCGUCACAUUCACAUGGUCAUCGAAGAAACAGGAUAUUGUAGCUCUCUCUACAACAGAAGCCGAAUACGUAGCGGCGUCAGCAAGCGCUAUACAAGUUAUUUGGCUUAGAAGAGUUCUUGAAAAAUUUGGUGAAAAUCAAAAGCCACGUACAAAAGUAUUUUGUGCUAAUAGUUCGGCUAUAGCAAUCGCAAAAAAAUUCAGUUUUUCACGAAAGGCGUAAACAUAUUGAAGUCCAUUAUCAUUAUAUUCGAGAACUUGUGAAGAAGAACGAGAUCAAGCUAUAUUUUUGCAUAAGCGAGAAUCAAGUCGCCGAUAUAUUUACGAAGCCGCUAACAUUGGAAAUUUCGUGAAACUACAAAAGCUACUCGAAAUGUGGAAAAUUGGGUUAAGGGAAGAUAUUGAUAAGUAACCCAAUAUUUUUUAUAAGUUUAGAUUUAUUUCUGUCAAGUUUAUCUCUUAAUAUUUUGUUAGUUAAAUAUAAGAAAUAAGUUUAAAUCUUAUUCAAUUAUUGUUGCAAGAAUUUUUGGCUUAUGUCUAUAUAUAGACUGCUAUAAAUGUGUGAAAAAUAAUCCACUACCGAAAUUUAGUCCAUAUUUAAUAAAGUUUUUAAUCUAAUUUGCUGCAAUACUACUCUCCUUCCAAUACAGCAGAUCAUUCAACGUCUUUAAAAACCUUAAAAUUAUUAUUGUCACUUAUGGAAUUUUUAUGUGAAUUAUUAGAAUUUUUAUGUAGGUUAUUAGGAUUUUUUUUUAGUUGUCAUGAUUAUAUUGCAGGUGGUUAGAAUUUCUGUGAGUUUGUUAGAGCAAUAUGUUGGUUGUUGGAAUUUUGUGUAAUUAUUAGGAUUAUAUUAGAAGAAUAUAACAAAAAAAAUGUAAAUCAUUCAUUGUUUUUUUUCUAAAGAGAAAAGUGAUAAAUAAUUAUAUGAUUUUUUUAUUAAAAACGAGGAAUCGUUUAGUAUCUUUUAAUUUUUGUUCCAUCCUUACGCUGAAUUGAUAAAAUAGAAUUGCUUGACCAAACAAAUUUUGUGUGAUGAUUGAACAUGCUCUAACGUCCUUAUUAGUCCAAUCACACAGACAACCCACUUGCUAGCCUUGUCAUCCAGACCCAUAACCGGUCACCUUGUCAUUUAGACUCCGGCAUAACCUAUCACCUUGUCUUUCAGACCCUAACUCAGUUGAGACUCGCCACACAUUUUCGGCUGGUGAACCGGUAUUAAGGAAAAUAUUAAUUAGUUGAUUGUAAUUAUCCUUACCAUUUAUCGUUGUAUAUCUUUUCUAUAAAUAGGAGAUGGCAUAGCUUAAUUAUAGGACGAGAUUAGCAUAAUUAUAGGUUGAGAUUGAUUCUUGUUCUUGUAUAUAUCAUGCACUUUUCUAAUGAAAUAAACACAAUAUUGUAAACCAUUAUCUUCUUCCAUUUUACAACCGGCUUUGAUAACAAAUAUAACGACCCAGCAUACUAGCAACAAUAACUCAUUUGGUCUAAACACCGGCCCAAAAUACUUAAGCCCGGUUAUUAUUAAUAGUGUCCAAGUCUUUUACAAUCACAUUCUCAUUCAUAUCCUAUUCGAUGUGGGAUUAUUGGGGUGUGACAUGGCGUCACCAACCAAUCACAUUGUUUUCCUUGAAUUCACCUAACCCAUCGUCAUGCUUAUUAAAAAAAUAUUUUUAUUAUAUUUUUUCUUAAAUAGAAAGAUAUAAUUGAAUAUUAAUUAAAAAAAAUGUGGUAUGGCUGAUAUAUAAAUAGAAGGAAAAACUUCGAAUACCACCCCUGUGGUUUCAUACUUUUUAUUUUAGUACUCUGUGGUUUAAAGUGUAUCAAUUUAGUACCCCGUGGUUUCAUUUUUCUCUUUUGAUUAUCCCCUCCACUGAUAUUUUUUUGUUAAAUCAGUGACAAAGUUAAAACUAGAAGGUACUAAGUUGAAUAUUUAAUAAACCUAGGCGAAGUAUCUAAAGUUUUUUGUAUAUAAUUUAACGAAAUAUUGACGGAGGAGCUGACAAAAAGGAAAAAAAAAUGAAACUAUAGGAUACCAAAUUUAUACACUUUAAACCACAUAAUACUACACUGUCUCCACGGAAUUUAUAAAUUGUGAUUUUGGUCUAGAUAAAAUAGGGAAUCUUGUAACUAUAAAAAAUUCCACGGAUUCAAUUUUUAAACUGUUUGAAUACGCAUUGUGUAAUUCCACGAAAUUUUUCUAAAUUUUAAAAUUAAAAUUAAUAUUUAAAAUUUCAAUAAAAAUUUAGAACUUAAAAUUUGAAAUGUGAAAUUCGAAAUGUGAAAUUUGAAAAUUUAAAAUUUCAAAUUUGAAAUAGAAAAAUCUAAAUAUAAUUUUAAAAUUUUAAAAUUUAAAAUUUAAAAUUUUGAAAACAAAAUUUUAAAAUUUAGAAUUUAAAAUUUAAAAUUUAAUUUCUUUAAAAAAAUUACAUUUUAAAUUUUAAAAUUUAAAAUUUGAUACUUAAAAUUUGAAAUUAAAGUUUGAAAUUUGAAAUUUGAAAUUUGAAAUUGGGAUUUUGAAAUUUGGAUUUUGAAAAUUAAAAUUUAAAAUUAAAUUUGAAAUUUACAAUUCAAAAAUUACAUUUGAAAAUUGAAAAUUGAAAAUUAAAAUUAUAACUUUAGAAAAUUUGAAAUUUAGAAUUUGACAUUUAAAAUUUCAAUUUUAAAUUUUAAAUAUCAAAAAUUUGAAAUUUUUAAUUUCAAACUUUAAAAUUCAAAAUUUGAAAUUUGAAAUUAAAUACGUGAAUAUAAAUUUAAACUAUAAAAUUUAAAAUUUAGGCUGAAAUUUAAAAUUUUAUGUUGAAAUUUAAAAUUUAGAAUUUGAUAUAUUUUUGNUCCACCAACCACUGCAAGAAAUUCUACUUAGGCACGUUUGGAUACUCAAAGCGAAAGCUUAGCGUAAUUAAAUUAUACUAUACCGGUAAAAAAAAAUUCUUUUUCUUUGGUUAGAGUGAAUUAUAAUUUUACUUUAUUUUUUAGAAUAUAGUUUAAAUAUUCUUCAAAAAUUACGUUAUUCUUCUUUUUCUUCCAAACAUUUUAUAAAAUAAUUUUUUUUUACCGGUAUAGUAUAAUUUAAUUACGCUAAGCUUUCGCUUUGAGUAUCCAAACGUGCCUAAGUAGAAUUUCUUGCAGUGGUUGGUGGAACGUACCUGUCCAUGUUGAUAGACACUCCGUACUAACGAUGCUACUAUCGGCUGUCCUUUUUGUGUCUGAGAGGAAUCUGCCAUGAAUUUUGUAUCACGGCUAAAAAACGACACCAACAUUUGGAUCGUCAGUGGGCAGGCAGCUGCCACAAGCAACUGUCGGUGUCAGGGAAAAACAGUUGAAGAUGGUCCAAUUUUUGAUCAGAUCAUAUCCAUAUUCUUAUUUUGCUUCAAAUGUGUAUAUCAAUGCAGAUAUAUAUAUUGAAUUUUAAAAUUUUCUUACGAAAUAAUUGUCUAUAUAUAUCUCUCAAAACUUUAAAAAUAUCUCAUUUACUCAUAUCUUUUUUUCUUUACAAUAUACUACUCAUAUGUUCCUCCGUUAUUUUAAAAUAUCCCUAUAAUUACCAUCCGUUAAGUUAACUUAUAUUAAAAACAAGUUAAAUAUCUACUAGAGUUAAAAAAAUCAAAAUGCGUCUUUUGCCCUUACUUUAAGGAUAAAUAAGAAAUGUUGGUGAUGGUAGAAGGGUAUAUUUGAAAAGGUCAAAAAUCAAAAUAAUUUUGUACCCCUAACUUAAGGGCAAAUAAGAAAAAUCGGUGAUAGUGGAAGGAUAUAUUUGAAAGGGCAAAAUAGUAAUUUUAUAUAGAUAACAGCUAUUGCUAAUAGUUUAUUAACAGAAUUUAACUCUAGAAUAUAUUUAAAAUAGGUUGAAAUAUGAAAAAGAUAUUUUCAAUAUUAGCCUUCUAAAAAGGGUAAAUCAGAAAGUCUGAAACUAACUUUUCAAGAGUAUAUAAGCAAUUGCUNAAGAGUAAACCAAUUUCUGGCAGCAGCAAUAGUAAGUAAACAACGAAGAGUUGUCAAUUUUGCUGUAGGAGAAAAGGUUUCCUUGUAGUCGAGACCUGCAAUUUGUGUAUAUCCUUUUGCAACGAGGCGAGCUUUAUAUCGCUCAAUUGUACCAUCAGAAUGAUAUUUUAUUUUGUAGACACACCUGCAGCCGAUGGGCUUGUGACCGGCGGGAAGAGAAACAAGAGACCAAGUGUUAUUGCGUUGCAAUGCUUGUAAUUCAGCAUCCAUAGCUGCUUGCCAAUGAGGGAAUUUGACAGCUUGGGAAUAUGUGGUAGGUUCAAUCUGUGAUGUUAUACUGGCUAAAAAGGUAAGAUGAGAUAAUGAAAAUUGUGAAAGAGAUAGAUGAUGAGACAGAGGAUACCUUGUAUUUCGACGAGGACUUGUGCGAGGGGAUGAAUGAUUGACUGCAGCAGACAUGAAGUACUCUUGAUGCCAGGCUGGAGGUUGUCGGUCGCAAGUUGAGCGACGAAGAUUUUGGAAAUUUUCAUUCGGUUGAGGUGGUGAAGAGUUGGAAGAUUCUGACAAAGGGAAAGUUUGUGGUGAUGGCAAGGUGGAAUUAACGGGCAAAGGUCGGUUGUUUUGAGGAGAUAAAGGAGGAUCUUGGGGAGAUGUAGAUGGCGCUGAAUUAUGCGCGGGUGAGGAUGAAUCCAACGCAAUAUGUGGUUUGGAUAUCUUGGAUUCUCCUUCUGGGAAAAUUGGCAAUAAAGGAAAAUUAUGUUUCACAGAAUUGGGAGAAGAUUGUGAUGACUGCAUAUUAUUAGGAGACGUAAAUGGAAAAGUGUCCUCUUGGAAGUAGACAUCUCUGCUAAUAAGGAAUUUUUGUGUAGAUAGGUCAUAUAAUUUAUAACCUUUUUUGCCAUGAGGAUAUCCCAUAAAAACGCACUGAACGGCACGGGGAUCGAAUUUUCCUUUCGGGUGAACGUUGGUCGCGUAGCACUGGCAACCAAAAAUUCGCAAGUGUUCAAGUGAGGGCGGUUUUUUGUAGAGUUUUUCAUAUGGUGAUUGAUUAGAUAAAAGAGGAGUUGGAAGCCGGUUAAUUAAAUAUACGGCUGUAAGGAUACAUUCCUCCCAGAAUUUAAGAGGUACAUGGGACUGAAAAAAUAAAGAACGUGCCACAUUGAGUAUGUGACGAUGCUUGCGUUCGACUACUCCAUUUUGUUGUGGAGUAUAAACGCAUGUAUUUUGGAACUCGAUACCUUGAUUGAGAAGGAAAUUUUGUAAAGGCUGAAAUUCAGUCCCAUUAUCAGUGCGAAUGAUUUUAACGGAAGUGUUAAACUGUGUUUUGGCAAACUGAAUAAAUUUGAUGAGUGAUUCAGGGGUUUCGGAUUUUUGUUUCAUAAAAAAAAACCCAAGUACAGCCAGUAAAAUCGUCAACUAUGGUGAGAAAAAAACGUGCCCCAGAAUGCGAAGGAACUUUAUGAGGUCCCCAUACAUCGCAGUGUAAUAGUUCAAAAGGAAUUUUGGUUGUGAUAGAACUUAUAGGAAAAGGCAAUCUCGUUUGUUUUGCAAGAGGACAAAUACUACAGUUAUUGUGAAAUGAGACUGUUUCUUUAUUGAUUGGUAAUGAAGGGAAAAGUAAUUUGAAACGAGAAAAAGAAAGAUGUCCGAGUCGUGAAUGCCAUAUAUCGGGACUAUUUGAGACUUGGAAGGAAGCUGGAGAAAUGGAAUUCGGCAUCAUGUAAUAGAGUCCUCCAUGUUGUUUACCCGAGCCAAUCAUCUUUCCCGUCGUUAAGUCCUACAAAACACAUGAGUCAGGAAAGAGGGUGAUAGAACAAUUAAGACCUUUUGUAAUUUUGCUGGCUGAUAUUAAGUUUAAACGAAAAGUGGGUACGCAUAGGACAUUUUCGAGUGUUAUAUCCCGAUUGAAAACUAUGUUGCCAGUGUGUGUAAUUGGUGCAGAUGUGCCAUUUGGCAAAUUUACUGUGUGAGAGAAAGGUGGUUGACUUUCUGACAAGAGGGAAGGGUGCGAUGUCAUGUGAUCGGUGGCACCACUAUCUAAAAUCCAAGAAUUGGUAAAAACAGAAUUGACAUGAGUCUCGGAUGCUGAAAACAAACCUGCUGCGUUUGCAAAAAUAUCAUUAUUACCAGAAGAAGAAUUCUGAUUCAUGGUAGAUAAUGCUUUGGCCAAUUUUUGAAGAUAUUCAGGCGAAAAACUCAUGAGGGAAUUGUCAUCAUUCAUGUUCGAAUUUUCUGCCAUAUUAGCCGCAGACUGUGGCUUGCUACGUGAGGCCCGAUUCUGUUGCGGCAGUCCGGCCUUGUUGUUUUUCCGCCUGCAGCGAUCCUCAGUGUGUCCGUUUUUGUCACAGAAUUUGCAGUAAUAUUUCAAAGUUCUGCAUUCUUCAAUUGUGUGACCAGAACGAUGGCAAUGAUCACAUGUUUUGGUAUUUUUGAUUCCGGAUGCCUUGCUCUGGACAUUCGCGGCAAUGGUGAAGUUCUCAGUGAGUUCUGAUGACAAUUGUCUCUGUCUCUGCUCUUGAAUCACCAGGGAAUACGCCUGUCGUACGUUGGGUAACGGUGUCAUCAUAAGGAUAUUUGACCUUACCCCUUUAUACGAUUCAUUUAGACCCAUAAGAAACUGCAUCAACCUGUCCUCCUGAAGUUGUUCCUGAUGUGCCUUGGCAUGAUUACAAGUGUAGGGAUCUCGAUAAUUUUCGAGUUCAUCCCAUAAGGCUUUGAGUUUGAUAUAAUAUGAGGCCACGGACAUAGAGCCUUGUGAGAUGGUUGCAAUAGAUUUCUGAAUUUGGAAUAUUGCCGGUGCAUUCUUUUGGGAAAAUUGAUCUUUGAGGUCUGACCAAACUUGGUAUGGUGUUUUGGCAUGAAUGACACCUUCUGCCAUAUCUGUUUCAACAGAAUGAGUAAGCCAAGAAAGUAUUAGGCUGUUGCAUUGAUUCCACAAUGCGAAUUCCGUUGGUUUUUCUUUUUGGGACGGGGCUUGUAGCGACCCAUCGAUGAACCCCAACUUGUUCUUCGCAGUAAGAGCGUGAAUCAUAGACUUACUCCAUGACUGAUAAUUUGCUCCAUUUAAUUUAACUGGUACAAGCAUGUGACCAGGUUGAUCUGAAUGAUGAACGUAAUAUGGAUGUGAAGGAUCCAUAUUACCAGCUUUUGAUGAUCCGUCUCCCAUUGUUGACUAUGGAAAAAAAAAAACGGAAGCUUCAAGAGCACCAGGAAAGGUGCUCUGAUACCAUGUGAAACAACCGUUGUACUCUAAAAGCUUAAGCUGUUAGAGAACGGUGUUUAAACAUUUUUAUAUUUAACAUGACGACAUCCUUGUAACAGGGAACAGUAUGCAAGAAAUCAUGGCCCUUAAACAAUUCUUACUCAAGAAAUUUUUAAUCAAGGAUCUGGGAAAACUUGGUUAUUUUUUGGGUAUAGAAUUUUCUCAUUCUAAAAAGGGUAUUUUUAUGUCCCAGCGCAAAUAUGCGCUAGAUAUUUUGGAAGAUUCUGGUCACACAGGUUCACGGCCGGAGAGCUUCCCAAUGGAACAAAAUGUUAAAUUAACACUCACAGAUGGAGAAAAAUUACAUGAUCCAAUGAGGUACAGACGAUUGAUCGGUCGGUUGAUCUAUUUAACGGUAACGAGACCGGAUAUUGUUUAUUCUGUGCGCACAUUAUCUCAAUACAUGCAUGAACCGAGAAAACCACAUUGGGAAGCAGCUAUUCGGGUUUUAAAGUAUAUUAAAAGUACUCCGGGGCAAGGUUUGUUGUUGCCGCGCGAAAAUAAUUUGAAGUUGACAGCCUUUUGUGACUCAGAUUGGGCAGGUUGUCGUACAACGCGACGUUCCAUUUCAGGUUAUUGCAUAUUUUUGGGAAGUUCAUUAAUCUCAUGGAAGUCAAAGAAGCAGACUAAUGUUUCCAGGUCUUCGGCAGAAGCAGAAUACAGAUCCAUGGCAAAUACAUGUCUUGAGUUGACUUGGAUCCAUUAUUUGCUUCGUGAUCUAAGAGUAAGUCAGACGGGGCCGGCAUCUUUGUUUUGUGAUAAUCAAGCAGCAUUACAUAUAGCAGCGAAUCCUGUUUUUCAUGAACGAACAAAACACAUCGAGAUAGAUUGUCACAUUGUUAGAGAGAAGUUGCAGUCAGGGAUGAUCAAACCACAGUAUGUCCCUACACGAUUACAGCUAGCAGAUAUCUUCACAAAGGCUUUGGGUCGUGAACAAUUUCAGUUCUUGAGANAAUGACUGAGAUUGAACGGGUCAUUUAAUGCGCGCCAGACCGUACGGCAGGGCAGUAUACGUAUGUCAAGAAAUACGCGGGAGGCUAUUGUAUAGGAGGGGCAUUUUGGCCAGGCGGCGGAAAAAGCGGACCGAAUCUGCAAAAAGGAAAAAGGUGGCCCGAUUUUGCAAAACCCCAAAAUAAGUGAAUUUUUUAUGCAAAUUGGCCAAAAUAAAAAUAUAAUUUUAAAACUAAACUUAUAAUAAAAUAAACAAAGAAUAGAAUAGAAAAUCACUUUAUGCUCCUAUAAAAACUGUCACAUGCAAUUAGCUUUUUAAGAAACUAUAUUUGCAUUCUUUUUUUCUUUUCUUUUUUUUGGUUUGAAAUGUGAAUUCAAACAUGAAUAUGUGUCAAAUACUAAAUUUGGACAUUUAUAUUUGCAUUCUACCGAAUCCGACGAUGUCAGAUUCGGUCGGAGUUUUCUAACCACUUUCGUCCCUCCUCCAUGUUUUUCUUCUUCUUUUUUUUUGAGUUAAUUUCUUCAAUGCCCUCUUAAAAUUUGAUAAUUUUUUAAAAAUUGUAAAAUAUUAUUAAUGCCCUUAUAUAUAUAAGGGUUUAAGGUUUAGGCUUUGGGUUUGAAAUUUAGAGGGGUAUUUAUAAUAUAUUUAUAUACUGAGAGGGAUAUGAAUGAUAAUUUAAAAUUUGAAAACUCACCUAUGAUAUUUUAAAAUUCUGGAGGAUUAUAUUUAUUGCCCUUUUUUAAAAAAUUCAAAAAAUGUUUGUUUAUAAGUCAUCCUUAAAAUGAAAGAAGUAUACAAGCUUAUCCCUCCACCCCAAAAAUUUUGAUGGGCAGGGAGAAAAAAUCCAGUUCACCACCGGUUUGAUGCACUUAGAAGUAAUUAAUCUGCGGGCUAUUUUUUUUUUUUUCCUUUGCAUUUGGCCCCAUCAUUUUUUUUUUCCACAAAUAGCCUCAUCAAUUUUAUAAUUAUAAUUUUGACCCUAUUCCCACCACACAAGCACCGCAUCAGUACCACGCGAACAGAGUGGGGGCUGAGUUUAGUGGUUAUAUUCACCCCGUGCUCAAGUAAUAUAAUACACUAAACACCGUGAAUGAAUUACCCUAUUCAACUUAUUCCACACCCUCCACCCCUGCUCGCAUGGCGUUUACGUGAUACCUGCAUGAUGUGGAUAGGGCCAAAAUUAUAAUUAUAAAAUUAAUGGAACUAUUUGUGAAAAUAAUUUUUUUGAAAAGGCCAAAUGCAAAAAAAAACUCUUAUUCUGUAGUUGUAAUUAGAGGGGUUUAACAAGCUGAGCACGAGCUAAUUCGUUAAAAUAUCGAGCCGAAAAAUUCAACUCAUAUUCGGCUCAUAUUUAUUAACAAACCGAAUAUGAGCUGACUGACGAACAAUAAUCUAAAAAUGAAUUUAAAAGAAUAUGUAUAGAAAAUAUUUUUUAAAAAAUUUUGCUCAUUAGAUUUUUAUAUAAUUAUUGGAACUUUAUAUAUAAAUGAGAUUUUUUUUAUAAUUGAGUUGAGCUUAGGUUGGACUAAAAAUUAAAUAAUAAAAAAUUAUAUUAUAUUAUAUAAUUAUUUAUUUAUAUAUAAAUAUAUAAUAUAUAAUAUAUAAAUAUAAGAUAGAUGUAUUAAAGCAAUUUUCGAAUCGAACACAAGCUCGCUCGCGAACAACAGCUGGAUUGCCAACCCUAGUUGUAAUAAUGUAAAGAUUUGAAUAUAGUAUCGGUUUAAUAUAUUUUAAUUUACUUGAAAUAAGUUAGAACUGAACAAGUUCCUAGAUGACAAGCCUAAAGGUUAUCUUAUCGAUGAUAUCGAUGAUGAUAUCGAUAUUGAUGAUAGCGACGAUAUUGAAAAAUAUAAAAAUAAAAAAAAGGAAUUGUGUAGUAUUUGGGACCUAGCUGCUGCUGUUGAAGCUCCAUCUACAAAUGGAUAAGACAGAAAUAUGUAAAGCCCUGGUAAGAUUCUUCGCUUUGCAUCAAAUUAAACCCUAGUUGUAAUAAUGUAAAGAUUUGAAUAUAGUAUUGAUUUGGACUUUUUUUGAAAAUGACCUUAUAAAAUUUUCUAAUUAGGUAAAUAACCCUAUAAAAAAUAAAAUUGGCAAACUAACCCUCAUCUUGCCAUGUAGGAGCCACGUCACACCACCUUUACGAAGGCGAUGAACGAUUCACCCCCUUUUUAAUUUUUUACAAAAGCGAGAAUUAUUUACUGACUUUUCUUAUUUACUGUUUCUUUCUAUAUUUCAUAUAUAAUUCUAACAACCACAUAAAAACUUUAACAAAUCAUAUAUAAUCUUAACAAUCUGAAAAUCGUAAUAAUCUAUCCAUACAAUCCUAACAAUCAAAUAAUCAAAUAAAAAUUAUAUCCUGGUUGAGGUAAUAGAAAAUUAUGGAGACGAUGAAUAAUUCGCCGUCUUCUUAAAGACGGUGAACUGUUCACCGCUUUUAAAAGAAAAUUUCACCCCAGCGCUGACUUGGCAAAAGGAAGGUUACUUUGCAAAAUAUUUUUUUAGUACGGGUAUGUAGCCAAUUAUAAUACUCAUUAGGGUUAUUUUGAAAAAAAAAGUCCUAUUGAUUUAAUAUGUUUGAAUCUAAUUGAUAUAAGUUAGAACUACACAAGUAAGCUCAAUUUUUCUAGUUGCUAGAGCUAAACUCAAAUUAGCUGUAAUUUCAACUGCAACAAUUUAAGAAAAAUACCUCAACCAUAAACUUAUCUUUUUUCUCACCAGUGAAAUAAAAUAUAUUUUUUUGCUGUGUUAAUUGGUUAUUUCACUGUCUCAUAUAAAAUGAUAAAAUUUAUAAAUACAAAAUUUCAAAAGCAUUCAACAAAAUAAAUUAUUUGUAACCACCAUAUUUCCUACUAGUGUAACCAAACAAGAUGUAUAAAGUUGUAACUACCACAUAUAAGUAUAACAUGCAUCUUUCACACACAAUCAAACAUUGCUUGCAAUUGACUUCUCGGACUACUAAGCCUUCUAAAUAUUUUAAUUAUAAAAAUAAGCAUAUAAAAUUUUUAUUUACAAAAUUAGGUUUAAACGGACUUUUUAAAAAUAAUAAAUCAUUCACCACUUUCACAUAACUUAAAUAUCUUCCACAUGCCAACUUUGAAAAAGUUAUAAUAUUAAAUUCUGAAAAUAAUUUUAAUAUGUUGAAGAAAGCAAUGAAUGAUUUGCACUAUUUAAAAAGCAGUAAUUUAUUGACCGCAUAUGCCUAGUUUUGUAAUAUUUUUUUUUGCCAAACUAUUUUUAUAAUUAUAAUAUUUUUAAAACCUGUUAAUUAAAAAAAUUAUUUUAUAUUGCAUGUAAAAUCGAAGAGUCCAACUACAAUGCUAACAAUAGUACUAAACACUUGUGCUACCAAGUUUUCUACCGUGAUCUAUCCCAUUGACCAUUUUCACCUUUUAAAUCAUACUAUUCAACCAACCACUCACUCAACCCUAGAGGACCGGUAUCAUUCUAACCGUACAUCCUUUCAUCCAAGAGCCAAAAACUUAACAACACCAAUGACUUGGUGCUAUUAAUAGUAUUCUAGUCUAGUUUUAAAAUGGAAUACUAAUUUCAAUUGGUGCAUUUCACUUUAGCUACUGCAGUUAAAAUUAAGGAUGUCUAACAGUUAGAACUACAUUCAAAUCAGCUAGAGCACUAACUACAGUAAUUGGUGAAGAAUCUAAUCACUCCACUUAACAAGAAAAUAAAGACACCUUCAUAAUAUGGUAAAAAAGAGAGAGAGAGAGUGUAGCUGCAGUAGUUGUAAUUGCAACAAAACUGGAAAAAUGGUGUAAUGUAACUAAUACAUUUUCAAUUGUAUUGCAUUUACUAUUACAUCUAACAAAGGAGGCUACAAAUCAAUCAAACUUAAAGAUGAGACAAUAAAACCAAAAUAUUUAAAGAUGCUAGUUGUUCUUUCAUUGACUUAUUUCUACAUUUUUGCCAUGAACAUAUAAAAAGUGAUAUUAUCUGUUUACAUCUUUCUAUUUAGUUGCUACAUAUUUCAAUAAUGUAAAUGCGUAACAAAGGCAUUCUCAGAUGGAUUGUCACGUCCGGAGAUUCUUUUUGAAAAUCUAUUUUAGAAAAAUCAGCAAGCAUGCAUAUAACCACACAGGAAAUAAUAAAAAAUAGAUGAUCACAUAAUACUAUUAAUCAAUGCUUAAGAAUCAACUAAACCAAUAACUUAAUCCACCGUUAUUAAUCAUCAUGAAUAAUCAGCAGGAAAUGAGUUAAACUGACCAAGAGAUCUGAAUCAAAGAACUAAUCCAACAAGAAUCGAAGACUAAACUAAGUACUAUUACAGAUUUUAAGUUGGCAUAUUUCGUGAAGUCGGAGUCUUGAAGGUUCAAAGAAGAAUAAACGAAGAUUGAAGACUUAGGCUUCGUUUGGUUUAGAGUUAAGUAAGAACUAGUUAUUCCAGGGAUAGAAUUAAGUUCAGGAUUAAGGUGGGGUUAAAGUAAUUUUGUGUUUGGUUGAGAAUUGAGUCUAGUCUAGAUAUAAGCAAAAUAGUGUUUGGUUAGAGUAAGUAAAGUAAGAAGGAUAAUGGAUAGUUAUUAAAAUUAUAUAUAAAAGGCCAUACCGGCCAUAUCGGCCAUUAAAAGGGUCACAAAAUCUAUAAUUUUAAUGGCCGAUAUGGUGCGUUUGCUCGUUUAACGGUAUAGAAGAGUUCAAAUCAACUAAAUUUUUUUUAGAAAAUUCUUUAAACUAUUUAAAAUAAGAUCUAGACUCUAGAUCUCAAAUAUAAAAAUUGUAUCAUCACUUUUUGAAGGAUAUUCAUUUCCAGCCAUUCAUUUUUCUGUUCACUUGAUGGACAAGAGAACAAUAUCGAAAAUGUGUGAAAUUUGAUUUCCAGAUAGUUUAAAUAGUUUAGAUCAUGUUUAACGGUGUCGAUCAUCAAUUUGGAAGCUCUAUGAUCUAAAACAAAUCAGUAGUAAACGGCUCGGUUUACUACCGAUAGUAUUCUAACAAAACUCUAUAUAUAUAUAUAUAUAUAUAUAUAUAUAGAGUCCGGCUACUAUACUUUUAUGAGUAAUAGCUCCCUUAUACUUAUAAGUUUUCGGCCCUUAGAUUUAUUCCAUUGAUCAUUUCCACCUAUUAGAUCAUACUAUUCAACCAACUACCCACUCAACCCUAGGGGACCACUACUAUUCUAAGUGGGGACCAUCAUCGUAUUAACCACACAUCCCAUCAAUCAACGGUUAAAAAUUUAUGAGUACAAGGAGGUCUAUACUCAUAAGAGUAUAGUAGCCCCAGCCUAUAUAUAUAUAUAUAUAUAUAUAUAUAUAUAUAUAUAUAUAUAUAUAGAGAGAGAGAGAGAGAGAGAGAGAGAGAGAGAGAGAGAGUUCGGCUACUAUACUCUUAUGAGUGCAAGUCCUUUUGUGCUCAUAAAUUUUCGAUCGUUAAAUCUACCACAUUGAUCAUUUUCACCCAUUAGAUCAUAUUAUUCAACCAACCACCCACUCAACCCUAAGAACCACUAUCAUCCUAACCACAUAUACUGUCAUCUAAUGGUUAAAAACUUAUGAGUACAAUGGAGCCUAUACUCAAUAGAGUAUAGUAGCCAAGCCUAUACACACACACACACACAAAAUGUAUAUGUAUAUAUAAAGGUUGCAUUAAGGUCCCUCGAACAUCCAGAAUUGUAAUUAAGUCCCCGCUAGCCCGCGUAAAAUGCAUAGUAGUACCUCUCCGAGCAAUUUCACGCAAUUUGGUGCAUGAAAUAUCACGUUAAUUACAGAAAUAUCCCUCAAUCUAAUUUUCUCUUUCUAACUUCCGAUUUGUGCCAUUUUGCACAGAAAUCACAGAAUUGCACGAAAUUGCAUUUGCGUGUUCCUCUCUCAAUCUGCUUUCAUUCGAGUUCUUCCGCUCAUCAAAACUCCAAGGUUUCUCACAUGAAAUGAUAGCCUCUUCAUGAUGUGCUCAAUUUUUGCAAAUUGCAAAAUGUGCAAUUUGAUCCCCUAAACUCCGAGUUUCUUACCAAGAACUCACCAGUGUAUUUUGCACAGUGACACCUUUCCCUGAAUUUUUAUGCAAUUCGGCACAUAAAAUAUCGCGCUUUCUAUUGAAAAACUCGUAUUUCCACAUUUGGCAUCUUUUUAUUUUCAUUUUAAACAGCGCUUUUGGCUCGCAGAAUCCGAAAACGAACCUCACCACGACUUCCGACACUGCUAGACCAUUAAAGUGGUGACUUCGUUUUGUCGGAAAUGGUUCCGAUUUGCGACCUUACCCCUAUCUCUUUCCAAUUCCCAUAUUUGAAUUCCAAAAUCCGAAUUAAUAUUUAAAUUUAGAAUUUCAAAUACUAGGUUUUUGAAUUUGAAUUUGCAGAUUUCUACAGUAAAACAUAACUAUUUCCCCUCUUUUAAUGGAUAACAGAGCCACUGCACCAGAUCACGAUGAGACCUAAAUACAAGCAGAAACAUAUAAGCAUUUUUCUUUGUUUUAAUGCUAAUACAUGGAUAUUUUGGAUAACAGUGUCAAAGUCAAUCCCAAACCUCCUCCUUUCCUGGUAAAUUUAUCCCAUUUAUGUGCAUCUAUUUCCAUCCACUAUUCAUUACGACCUCAGUUAGUACACAGUGACAUGAUUAGAGCGAUGUUUUCAGUAAGAAACAUCAUGAACUCGACCUAGGGAUGUAAUGUGGGCCGUGCCGGGCUGGCACGGCCCACAUUUUUCGGGCCACAUCGGGCCAAAGGUCGGCCCGGCCCGACCCGGUUUUUAAUCCGGGCCGUGCCGUGCCGGCCCGGUUUCAUGAAAUAGUAGGCCCGGCCCGGCCCCAUGGCCCGGCCAGCACGGGCCGUGCCGUGCCGGGCCGGGCUUCGUGCCAGCCUGCCAGGGGCGCCGGGCUUUUUUUUUUCUCCUUUCCACAGUUUUUUUUUUCAGAAUUUUAUUUUUCAGAAAAAAAAUAUUUUUAAUACUUUUUUUAUUAUUUGAGGAGAAAUUGAUGAAUUUGAAUGUAUGUAAUAGUAUUUAUAGAUAUAAAAAAAAUUUAAAAAUAUAUAUGAAUAUAUAUUUUACUUUUGACCAAAAUGCCAUCUUCUAACAUUUAAUUUUUGAAUGUUCGUGAGGGCAUUAGAUAAUUUUUGAUUCAAAACAUAUGAUUUUUUUUUAAUGUUAUUAUAACCCCACCACACUUUGUUUUUUAAAAAAUAAUAAAAAAAAAAUUGAAAAGGGAAAAAUACAACGCAUAAUAGCGUUGAGGGACCCACGUCCCAAGGCUCUACAAUCUGGCAGACACAUUGACAGUGAUCCGAAAAAUGGUUUAGCUAGGCCUAGUAGCAUGCUAAGCUAUCUAAUACUUAACUUAUUCGGCGUCGCCGCAGCGGGCCAUCCGGUGGGCCGUGCAUGCGGGCUGCGACGUACUUACGCCGGCACGGCCAACAGCCCCGAGACUGGCCGUUGCAGUGCCGGCCUACGGCCGCAGGCUCGCCGUCAUAGAACCGGGAUUAUGUCGGGCCGGCCCGCCAACGAUAUAAGUAGACCGUGAACCGAGCCAUGCCCGGACCGCUGUCGUGCAGGCCGGGCGGGCCACACCGGGGCCCUUUUACACCCCUAACUCGACCCAACAAAAAAAAAAAAACAAAUAUAUGACAUUCUAACAACAACAUGAGUUUAAAAAAAUAAAAUUUUUGAGUGAAACUUUUGCAAUAAUCCCUGCUUAAACCAAAAAACAAAGAAGAAAGAAAACAAAGGUCACAACAAAUCACAGCUUAGGACUACAAAUGCAUGUAAACAAAAUAUACUAUCCACACAAGGUUUAAAGUGCCGUGGCACGGGAGUGUGCCGCUGUCUGCUUGACACAAUACGACACCGGUAUGUUUUCGUGCCAACACGUGAUACACUUACGUGCCAAUAAAUACGCAUAACCUCCUACUAGUACAUUUUAGUACGAACUUAUUUUAAUUUUUUUGUUCCAAUAAACUCUUAUAAUCAUUAUUUUAAAGAUCUAAUCAAAUAAUUAUGAAUAUUUGCAAUGUAUAACGUACUAUACAAUUAACAUGCUUGUAAAAUUUUUUUGUAAGUAAAGUACAGCUAUACCUGAUACAGAAUAGAAAUUUUUACAUAUUAGAACUUUUAAAAUGCAAAGACAUAUUUCUUUCUUUCUUUUGAUCAUAUUACAGUCUUCUCUUUUAUAAAAUACAAAAAAAUAAUUUUAAAAUUUAUUUGAAAAAUUAUUUGAGAAAAGUAUUUGAAAAAAAUAUUUUUUAAUUAUUUUUUCAAAAUAUUAUUAGAUCUAUCAAAAAAACCUAAGCAAUAAAUUAUAUGACAAAUAAAUUAAAAUAAAUUUAAGUAUCAAUUGAUUUAGUUUAGCUUUUAAUUUUAUCAGUAUUUUUAAUUUUUAACGCAAAAAUAAAAUUUUAUAUUUGAUGUGCCUCAAAAUUUAUUUAUUGAGUUCGAUUUUGUUCUCUAAUUGGCAAAAAAUUUCACGAUGUGACAAAUUUUGAUAAAAUAAAUUGUGAAGGAAAAAUAAAUAUCUAUGGUGAAAGCAGAGAAAAAAUGGAUGUAUGGAUCGGAUAUGUAAAUUAAAAAUUUACCUAUAUAUUAAUAAACAAAAAAAAAUUAAAUUAUAAAUUUUUUAACUUAUCUAACAAAUAAAUUUUCGAUUUGCAAUGUCUUUAAAAGAUGUGGGAUACUCGAAUGUUUCUUGGUACCCCAAAGAACAAAACAAAAGAAAAAACCAAAAACCAAAAAAAAAAAGGCAAAAAAGCAAAAAGAAAACAACAAUACCGGCAUGGCACUGUGCCAUGGCACACUCCGCCGUAUCGCAUGAGACCGUGCGACACGGCGGACCGUGCAAUACGGCAGUGUGCCGCGGCAUGGAGGGGGGGGGGUCUCGUACCCCCCUGUACCGAUACGUGUCCGUGCCGGCUCGUGCCGUACGACACUUUAAUCCUUGAUCCACGCCCUUAAAUUAAUUUACAGGACAAGACCAAUCAAUAGAACUCAAUUCCUCCUAUUGCCCUCAUCUCAUAUAAGACUUUCUUGCCUGCUAUGAGAAGUGUGUUCCCUCAAAAUGUAACUUCUAUGGAAGCACUAGUAUACUGAAAUAGUAACAUAAGCAGUAAAGAAAAAGCUAUGUACCUUGCCAAAAUUUUCCCCUUUUUUUGUCCAAGAUUUGGUCAUCCAUUAUACAUCCGCAAUUCCGAGGGGUCAGCAAAGAAGAUAGACUGAUUGGGUAACCAAUGCGGCAUGAGACUCAGUAGAUCUCUUCGUAGUUUACAACUGUAGUUCUCCCAUGCGACAACAGCGAGCGAUAAGUCAUUUGAAUCAGUGAAAACUUUAGCUUCUUCAUAACAUGAACAACCUAAAGUAUUCUCAGCAAGCUCACGAUCGCAUGGUAAACAGAUUUCCAUGUCAGUGGAUGUCCUAAAUCGGAAAGACAGUUGUGGCGAUUCCGAGUUUUCGAUGGCUUCACUUCUUGCUGCAGCCAAUUCAGAGGCUUUCCAGUAGUAGAAUUGUAGCACCUGCUUGCAAAGACCAUAUCAGUUGUAAGCUAACAUAAACUCAGAAAUAUCAUGAGGAAUUUCGAAAGAGAACAUCUCUUCAAUGGAUGUUGACAAACUUUUAUUGCUUCAGUAACAAAAUGCUCUUAAUUGAACCUCGCGAGAAACCAAGUAUUGGAAAACACAAAAUGAAGUUCUUAGCAUAGCUGACUUCCGUUCAAAAUAGGUUUAGUAUUCACCGUGAAUGGUGAAUGAUUUCAAAGGAAACUGUUAGUUAACAAAACCUCCUUUUAUUCCAAAAUUAAUUAGAUGGACUUACUGUUCAAUUUGUCCAACGCCCAUUAUUUGAUGUUGGCCAUCACAAUAAAACUCUCAACGUCAAUUAGGAUAACCCCGAUAAGGUACUAAAAUUAGAUAUAUGAAGAACCACAAUGAUGAGGAAAGCUGAAAUGAAGUUAUGGAUUAAUGGCCACAUUACAAAAAUUACUCCUGCACUUUCUCCCCUAUCUCACUUACCUCAAGCAUCUUCAAUUGCUUCAAUUUGAACCUUGCAAUUUACUGUGUCAAAACGAUUCAAAAUUUUGGGAUGAUUGUUAAGGUUCAGAAAUUUGAACCUUGCAUUUUUACUUGUGUCAAAGCGAUUCAAAAAUUUACAGAGAAAAAAGAACGAAUUGAUCUUGUAGGAUUCCCAAGAAAUUCUUCGAUAGAGUUGAUCAAAUAUAGAAUCUGCUUUUGUGAUGUCAACGGAGUCUUUUGAGUACUUGUUCGAUAAGUCUUGACACAAGUAAUGAAUUUUUGUUCGACGUCUCUGCUUUCCUUUCGGUCAGCUGCCCCUCACAUCAUUUUGGAAGAGAUGAUGGAAGCAGGAGUUCAUUUUGGUCUGUAUAUGACGCCGAAAAUAGACCGAUUUGAUAUCACCCUUCAAUUCGAAUUAGCAAAAGCAAUGUCUUCUUGCAUAAUAUGGAUCACAGAAAUAAGACAGAUUCCCCUAUGUGUGCCUAAUGAAAUAGUACCACACAAAUCUAACAAUUUAUCCAACAAUCUACCGGUUUAUGUAGCUCCCGUAAUUGUACACAGGGUAGGGGGGCAGGGAUUAAUUGAGAUAGGAUUGAAAGAGCAAAGUGGCUUCAUUUUUAAUUCAGCCCGACUCAAACGGAUAAAACUUCUAAUCUAAUGGCGAUUACAACUGCAAUUUUAUAACAUUAGAGGAGGAAAAAUUGGAAGCAUUUUGGGUCUUUUGGGCUUUCCAAAGCAUAAAAAUUAGUUCUUUUAGUGACUAAAUUACCAAACUAAGCACACGUGCCCGUCUAUGCUAGCUUCUAGAAGAGCUUUUGUACUCUGAGAAGAAGCAGCCAGAUGUUUAGCAAUAACAAAGUCUAGAACUUCUGCCACCACAGAAAGUUGAUCGAGCUUUUGGACUCCACAGCCAAAACUCUAAUUUGAAGUUUUUGCUUCUCUUAUUGAAGAUAUUAAUGACGAAACCAUUGGUACUCCUUUAAACAGCUUCACAUAAGUAGUACCAUAUGUAGAAGCUCCAGCCAAGCCAAACAGGCUCUAAAUCGAGCAAUAAACCAAGACAAAUGUGAAAAGUAAAUUUCCCUGUAUAAGUUACCUGAAGUGCAUGCAAACUGUUGAUGAAUUUCAUAUCAAAAACCUCAUCUCCUCUAGCAAGUGUCAAUGGGUUAUUGAGCUGCUCAAAAGGUUCAAUUGAUUGAUCAGAUGAACUAUCCUUCAAAUCACUGGUCGUAAGGAAAGAAUACCCGAGAAACUGCACUCUGGCACAGCGGAUAUCAAACCCCGAUUUUUCAUUGGAAAACCAAUACAUAUUAUUGGAUGCAGGUGAAGGCAAGAAACAGUUAGGGUUAUUGAAAUUGUUGUUCGAUGAUGGUUGAUGAGAGAGGAGAGAGAGAAGUUUGGCAUCCUCAUCGUGAGCACUGUCACGGGUGAACCAAAGAGUCAGCGUGAGCCUUUCUCCUUCGAUUACCUGUUGAUUUUGGAGGUGGAUCAGAUUGUAAAACUUGGAUAUAGAAAGAAUACAAGAGCAAAUUGAAAUUCAGUGGUACCGCUUGCAUGUAUAUUCUUUUAAUGCAAAGAACUUCAGAAAGAACAUAUAUCAGAGCAAAUUGAAAUUCUAUGGCGGAAUGACAAUCUUACUAAAGGGAAGUUGUGCUCCCAAUUCCCCUGUAAAAAUAACAUUUCGAGUACAAUAGAAAAAGGUUUGAACUAAAUUAUGGCUUGCAAUUACAAUCUUACUAAAGUGACACUCUGCAUCAAGUACUGGCAAUGGAAUUCUAACUGCAGCCAACGAACUUUGUUUUUGCAGUUGCUUCUAUUGCUGAUAAACAGGUGCAGUUGCUUCUAUUGCUGAUAAACAGGAACAGUCGUUAAUCAAGUCCACCCAUCUUUCUUUCCGCCAACUUCAUUUUGGUUUUCUAAGUAUUAGAAGCGAUAUCUCUCAGCAUCUAUGUACGUGAACAUAUAUCAUACACACUAUAUUUACAUAUUUGAUAUUUUAUAAUGUGGUAUACAGCAAACCAAUCUGUCACUAUCAAAGAUGAACAGAGAUAACUACCUCAUCCACACAAUGGACAUUGCGACGGUCAGCUGUAUAGAUUACAACAUCCUGCGAGGACAAAAACAGAAAAACCAGUUUAUAGUACAGUUUUUUUUUUUUUUUUCUGUCUAACUAACAACAAGAAAUGCAAGUACAAUCCUUUUCCAGAGAUUACUAUUCUGAUUUUAGGGGUCUCAGACGGUCUGCCUGGCCCAAGCAGCCCAUUUAUGUCCUAUAAAGACUGAACUUGGAGAAAAGGUAUUAACACUUCCUUCUCUUCUUUUUUUCGCUUCCCUUAUUCUUAUAUUUUAUUUUUAUUUUUUUGGAGAGGGAAGCAAGGGAAGUAGCUAAAGAUAAAAUGCUUACACCAGCAAAUGGAACAACAGCAGAGGGUUCGCCAUCUUGAAAGUGAAAGAUUCCACCUUUAAAAUCCUUUCCAUGAUUAUUUAAAUAGCACACUGCCUUUAUCCAAAAGAACAAACAGCUGUUAGCAUAAAAAUAACUAGUGAAAAGCAGUUUCCAAACAUGGGAAUUAUAUAAAUUUCAUCAACAAACAACACAAGAAAGUCACUUCAUCUAUGGAACAGAAGCAGUGAUAUUGAAACGAUAAGGUUUUUGGCUUUUGCCCAUUAAGCUGCAGUCACAAUUAUGGCCAUUCCCCCAACUCCAUGUGCAAAUAAUAAACUAACAAAGAAAUAAGAAAAAACAUGUACUCAAAUGCAAGGAACGGGCCCAUACUUCCUAUAGCUGAUAGCAUGACUGAUACAUCCCUAAUUUAUUCAAGAAGUUCAGUAAAACAAAAGAGGGAUAGAAUCUAAUAAUCAGCAGUAUCAAUUAGUGUAUAGAAGGGGACUAGGAAAAGCCCUUUUAUAAAGCUAUUUCGGGUAAAAUGCAUGGACAGACCCUGCAGUACCCUAAAAUUGCAACUUGAUUCCUGAAGUUUCCACAUUAACACCUAGCCCCUGAACAUUCUAACAUUUUGAAAUUCCAUCCCAGAUCAGCACAAGAAAUUAGAUAUUUAUUGAGCUUUUUUUUCUGCAAAAUGAGAUUGUUACCAAUUUCAAACAAACUGAAACAUUCAGUUCCAACUGUUCAGAGAGAACUUAGUUCUUAGUACAUGAAAACUAAUUGUUACAAAACCUAUGUGAAAUUUUAUAGUUAAAAAACUCAGGAUGAUGCUACAAGAAGGUUUGUUUUUUAAAUAAGGGUGUAAAAUGGACAUUUUGCUACAAAAAUAAGAUUGUUCUUUUUCUUUUAUUAUCGCAUUCAUGGAGUUGCAAUAUAUAAGAAAGUCCAGAGACGAAGCAUUUAAGUUGAAAUCUCAGAGACCAAGUCACAAAUAACGGGAAACUAUAGGACUAUCUAUAUCAGUAAUGUUCAUCUAUUUGUUAUGGUGCAGCACCAAGAAUUGAUAGCUGAGUCAUGAAAGUUGGUUAAAUAACACACCUAAAUUUAGAAAGGUAUCAUGAUACAUGAAUGGAAAAUUCAAUCAUCAUAUAUAUAUAUAUAUAAUUUUGGAAGCAUUGUUCCAAGUGAACCAUACGCUGCCACGUGGCACACUUACAUAGGAAGUUCCAAUAUGCCACGUGGCGCAUAUAUUAUCAUAACAAUACAAAUAUUAUACUAAUCAUAUAUUAUAUUUUACAAAUAUUAUUUAUAUAAAUAUUUAAGUAAUUAGAAGAAAUCAUAACUGUGAGAUCCCUGGUAUUUGACUAUGGAGGCUUGUCGACAGCUCUGGAGAGUGUCGGGACAAGUUCGAGUCGCGUUGGCGUCAAAUAGACACAAAACGGACUCCGUACGACGCGAGGGCAGCCUUCAGCGAAGAAAUCUACAAAAUAGCAGAUUUUCCUGCUUGCUGUACCUGUACAGCCAGCGAGGUGUACCAGUACACUAUACUGGUUGAGCACGUACUGCUCUCGGGUUGGCCUCCUGUACCGGUACGCAAUCCCGUGUACCGGUACACCAGGGUAGGUGAGAGGGUGUUUUGGUCUUUUUCUACCUCGUUCGUAUCACCCUCCUCUCCCCAGCUUAUUUACAUGUAGAGUGAGGCUGAGAGAGAGAGUUUUGCUCUUGGUUUCCUCCCUCUCUCUCUCUCUAGAGCCGAUUGUGGGCAAGGUGGAGCUCGGGUGGAGUUUCGUCGCCGACGUGGUGCCGCGGAGCCGUUCGAGCGCACGUUGUGUCGUCUUGGUGCUGUGAGGAGCUCGGGCGAGCGUGGAUUUCCAUCGUCCUCGACAUUGCGCCGACUCUUGAGGAUCUAUCGAGGUGAGUGCUCUAUGGAAUUGCUGCGCAUACUUCGGGUAUCAUUAAUUCGAGCUUAAGUGCUGAUUCGCAGGAUCUUGUCGUCGACUGUUAGUAUUUCAGCUCGUUCUCGACGUAGGAGCAUCGGAUUGCGACGAGACUUGGUUCGUUGGAUUCGGGACUUCGAGAGGAAUCCACGAAGCCCUUACUUGCGAAUUUUGGUGAAGGUUAGCUUGGUCGAAAUCCUUCUCUUCUCUGCUGCUGUGGAUUUUGGACUGAAUUGAGGAUUUUUGGUGUUUUUAGUUUGGAGUUAGCUCGAUUUCGAGACUCGGGUGUUUUUGGUCGAUCCAGCAGGUGGUGUCGCAACUGAGGGGGUUCCGUGCUGCCAGGGAUUAGCGUGCGAGGUGGGUUACAUCGGUUUUGACUCCUAAGUUCAUAAUCGUCGACAUGUAUAGAUCUCGAUUUUUGAUAAUCUAUUCUAGUUCGAAUUCAUGGAUUAUAUGAUAGAUUGCAAAUCUGAAUUUGGAGCAUGUGGUAAUAAAUUAAGUAGGUUAUACAUGUUGGACUUGAAAAUUGAAUUAGGAGAAAACCUGCGAUUUGGACCUGUCACCUGUUUAAACUGCCUGAUUUAGCUCUAGGAGCCGUUAUAAAAUUGUACUGUCGCAGUAUCCUCAAGACAAGUACUCCAGGUAGUUUAGAAUACAUUUACGCUCGUGCUGGUAUGCCGAGUGAAUUUUUACAGGGUCGUUCAGGUUGUUCCGGACUGUUGGGUGCCGUCAGAGUUGACAGUGGACCCGUAUCGCCUUUUUGGCGUCAGAUUGUGUCGAGAGCACGUUACCUGUUGGUUGUUAGACCAGUUUCAGUCAGUUACUUGACUUUGGCUAUUGGGAGCCUGAUUGAGCUCGACAGAGAUACGCUGCAUACUCGGUUGGGUAGCGCCCACGAGUGCCACUCCGGAAACGGGCUUUGUGCUUUCGCAUUGGUGUCGCUCAUGCCAGUUGGACUUGCUCUCCACGGACCAGUUAGUGUGGAGGUAGCUGGACAGUCGCAACGGGGCAGGGACGGGUGUAUUCACAGUCCUGGGGACGGGUAUGCUUACAGUCCCGAUUGGAUUGGGUCAGAUUUGACAUUUCCUACAGUUGGUUAGCGUAGAGCAUGAUAGUGUAGUGAUCGAUAGCAGUAGAGUGUACUUCCUGCUUUUCCUACUAUCCUUGCUCCCUUCUGUAAACUUAGUGGGUGACCGAUGUUGGUUUGGACAGUACCCACUGAGGACUACUUGUUUUUACAGUAGUUCUCACGCCCAGUUGUUACUCUUGUUUUGCAGAGCCACAGGUUUCGUCUGCUGCGCCUUUCGCGGAUCAGGAUCGAGGCAAAGGUGUCGCGAGUUAGAGCCCUACCCGACUGACAGAGCUAGUGGCACCUCUGCUGCAGGUAGAUGUUUUGUCUGAGUUUAUGUACAUAGCUUACUUAACUCGCCAGUGUGAGUAACUCUGUAUUUUGGAUUUGGAACUAUGUAUAUGAAACUCUGUUUGUCUAUUUGAGCAGCUCUAUACUACUAUUUGUAGUAUUGUAUAUCUACAGGUACUUUUGACGCUUCGUAUACAGGGAAAAGUCCUUUAUAUACGGCGGAUUUGUCGGCGUGCCCAGGGAACGAGACAUCCGGGGCGUGACGAUAACCAUACAUACCAAACUAUUUUGAUAUUGUACAACUUGAUCUUCUUUUUUAUUUUUUUUUUCCUUAUAUAUAAUAGCUUUACUUAUUUUUAAAAAAAUAAAAUAAUUAAAAAUAAUAAUUGUUAACUAAUGGUGCCACUAAUUUUUAAGUCAGUUUUAUUUUCACAUUCCUCCUUUUUAAAAAACCAAAUAUUAGUAUUAAAAUAUGUUUCAGAUAUUUCUUCAUUUCACAUUUUCUUCUAUACUCUAUUCUAUGGGUAUUAAAAGUCUUCUUUUUUUUCCCCAAUCUACAAGGACUUCCUCUUAUUAACGUCUAGCUUCCUCCAAUAUCGCCGAAGAUGGCGUUGCCACCGCCGUCGCCAACGUUUCCGCGACCUCCGCCCUCACUCACCGACUCCAGUAAUUUCUAUUUUGCUUAAUUUAAAGGGUACAAAAUUAAUAAAAUUGAUUAAUUCUUGAGCCUAUUCAACUUCCACAAUUAAUACUCUUGAUUUCAUUGUGUUCUAGGUUUUUUUUUACAAAUAUGAUGAAUUUCCUCUUAUACUUGCACAAUUUACAAAUGAUGCCGGUACCACAUCUCCCGCCACCCUCGCCGCCCACCUCGGCCAUCAACCAUGUUUGGGUUUUUGUUUUUUUUUUCUUCUUAACUGCACAAUCGUUACAUUUUUUUUUCUUUUUCCUUCGAUUGUGAGGCCUAUUCAACUUUCGCAGUUAAUACCUAAAACGUUACAAAUCUUUACUUUAAAAAUUAUAAUUCAAUGAUUUAUUACAAGUACAUGGCACUAUUUUCUCACUGUUAUCAACUAUAUGUAUAAUAGGUGGAGUCAGAUUUAUUUUCCACCUUUAUACACCAUCUUUCUACAGGAGGCAAAUUUAUUUCAAAAUUCGAAAAUAGUCAUGCGUAAUAAUUUGGUCGGUUAGUAAUGUAUAUCUGAACUUUCUUUUUCAGGAUACAUACCAGUAGCUUGGGAGUUCAUCAUAGUAUUGGAAUUUUCUGAGAGCAUAACUAUUUGCCCCUACCCCAAGAAAUACUCGAUAAUUACUUUUGGGAGGUAUGUUUGAUAUAUAUAUAUUUAAAUUUUUGGUUGAUUUGCUGAAAAUAAUUGAUAGAUAUACAUCAUUAAUUAUUCAUAAUAACAAGCACUUUCCAGUUUAAAGGAAUCAUAAUAUGAAUCAUGCUACAAAUGUUCUAAAAACUUACUUUCUAAAUUUAGUCACGGCAAAUCCUUCAAAAUAUAACUUUACAGAAUUAGUCAUAAAGGAUUUGAGAUAAGGUUAAUUUUCUUCACCAUUUCAAUAUUGAAUAUUUAAAAAAAUAUAAAUAAUAAUUAUGUUAAAUAUCUAAUGGAUUUGAACCUUCUACUUUUUCAUAUUAGAACCUUUACCUUUCAAAAAACCCUACAACUGAAGACCAUUUAAAUUGAUCAUUUUGGAUUUUAACCUUAUACUUCUUUAUUUUAAAAGCUUUUCAUUAUGUACAUGUGCACCAUGACAGAAUCCUUUUAGAAAUUGAUGUUUUCAUAUCUAGAUUACGCUUAAGGGAUCGAAAGAAAUUUCAAUUGUAAAAUAGCUCUAUUAAAAANACCUAAAACUAAGCCUCCGUUUGGUUCAGAGUUAAGGAAAAAGUAGCUAUUCCAGGGAUAGGGUUAAGUUUAGGGUUAAAGUGGGGUUAAAAUUUUUUUGUGUUUGGGUGGGGGUUGGAGUUAGUCUAGAAUAAUGAAAAAUAGUGUUUGGUUGGAGUAGGUGGGAUAAGAAGAUAAUGAUUGAUAAAGAAGGAUAAUGAUUGGUUGGAGUAGGUGUGAUAAGAAAGAUAGUAGGUUAUUAUGAAUAGAAAAUAGUGUUUGGUUGGAGUUUGGUGGGGUUAGGUGGGGUUAGCUAACCCGGGAUAAUUUAUUUGAGGUGGGGUUAGCUAACCCCACGUAUUUUUUGGGGUGUUUGGGGAUAAAAUGGGGGUUAAGGGGUUAUUCCACCCCUUAACCCCCAACCAAACAAGGGCUAAGAGUUAGAAGUCAAGUCUUAUAAGUUCUUUUCGCUUAUCAUGUUAUUAUUUACAACUUCAUGUUUAAGUAGAGUUGGCAUGUUCAUUCCUGCACAAUAUCUAUUUAAAUAGCUUUAACACGUCUAAAAUAUUACAAUUCACUUUUUUUUUCCUCUUACCUAUUCUUCAUUAUGUGCAUCACCUCUUAAAGACUUUUUUUCUUAUGGAACAAUUAAGCAUCUUAGAAUAGAUUUAUAUUCUUUCCUAAAAACUUGCUAAUUUUGAAGAUUUUUCUUGCUCCAAAUGUAACAUCAGAUUUCAUGAAAAGAUAAAUAUACUUUAAAAUAUCAAGAUAAAACUCCAUGCAUGCACCAGUUAACUUGCUUUAACAUCACAUCUCUCAAUUAUUAAGUUAAAACUCCGUGCAUGCACGGGUUAACUUGCUUGUUGAAAAGAAAACUCAGAAUAUCCGGUUCGUGCCAGAAGCCAUCAGAAUAUCAGACUACUCUAAAAGUUCAAAUAAUAUUCUUUCUUUUGCAAACAAAUAGAAUACAACUAUAAAAAGAACUAAUAUGCAACAUUAUCCACUCAUAUAGAAUAAAAAAAAAACCAUGAAAUUAGCAUUAUAAUUAAUCGCCUGCAAAUAAAUAGAAAAUAACUUUAGAAUAAGAUCAUGUUAAAUAUUAACAAUAGAUACAGACAAGGAACACAUGACCAGAAGAUAACGUAACCAAGAAAUUGUAAUAUGCAACAUGAUAUGCAGUGGAAUUUUGUCUAUUCCAUGACUCGGACGUCCUAAUAACAUAAACAAUGGAAUUAUGUCAGCUUCUACAGAAUGCUUAAAGAGGACAGCAUAAAAAAUAAUUUAUAAAACGGAAAUUAUCAAAUGGAAUAAUGCUAACUUUUGCACAUUCAGAGGUUCUAAAAACACGGGCAUAUGAAAGCCACUUAUAAUGCUAUUUAUAAUCAUAUAAGAAAAUUCAGAUUUUGCAGGAUUAUGUAUGUAGAUACUAGAUAGAUAAUUUUGCAGGGUGAACAUCUCUUAAAUAUUAUGAUGCGGAACACUUUACCGCAAAAUCUCUCUGUUUAAGAUAAGGCUUAUUAUCAUCACUGUGCCAUCCAAUAGAUGCUCCUUUACACCAACUGCAUCCCAAACAACUAUCAUUUAUCAGAGUUAGGAAGAGUAUGUUAGCUCAUAUUUCUCUAUUAAUCUCAAUUAAGCCAACAUCAAGGUUGAAAAUAGCAGAUAGCGGAUACAUAGCGUUUGGGGUGUCUCGUAACGGAAAACGGAUAGAGGGCAUCAUUGCGGCACUACAAACUCAUAGCAGUUUCACAAAAAACUACUUUAUAUGCCUAUAUUCCUUAUAGAAAAUACAUAUGAUUUUAAAGAGAAAGAAAAACAACUAGCCAUAACCUUUUUCUAGUAUUGCAAGUCUAUACAUAAUUUUAUGUCAUUAUAUGGAAGUCUAACUUCAAAAAUAUUAUGAUUUAGCAAACCAAAAAGACAAAAAAUAGAAACUCUAUAGUCUAUUUACAGAUUUUUGAUCAUAUAUUUACCUUCAAAACCCUAUCUGAUAAGAGAUUUUAACGCGUUUGCAAUUUUCAAGCUUUUGGGCCUGUAGUGCCCGCCUUAAUCCCGCUUUAUAGCGCCCACUUUAGCGGCCCAACGCCUCUAAAGCGGUUGCUACUAACCCACUCCGCUAAAUCCCACUUUCAAUGUUAUGGCGUAGUGGUAGUAUAUUAAUUCUGCUAUAGUGGCCGCCAUAGCGGGCAUAACAGCCUAGCCAAUAUAAAAGCAAAACAGUGUGAAUGCACCUUCUAAAUGGUCAAUAGAUCAGAUACGAGGCAACAAUAUCCGUUUGUAUGCAACAGGUGUACUCGAAGAUUGAACCAAAUGCAAAGCAAUCAAAUAGAAACAAACCACUUCCUAUCAUUCCAAGUGAUAAAUAGAUACACCACGAUGUAUUAUUAUUGCAAAAACAUUCAUCUGAUGAAAAAUAACUCAAAAUACAAAAUAUUUCCCAAAAAAAUCAUGAAUUAAAGGAAAAAUUAGAAACUUAUAAGUUCAUUCCUCUAAUUAGCGCUAACACUGUUUAGAGAUCAAAGAUUAGAAUAUGACACUAUCCUAUCAAGGACAAAUUACAAUUUUGUACUAUAAAACAAAAGGCAAAUUGUAACAUAAGCCCUCAACCUUUCGUAUCACCGAAAUUGAUCCCCGCCCUUUAUUUUUUUUUUUUUCUGUUUUACGAUUAGUUUUCGAUUUUAUAUUAAAAACAAAGGGUGAAUUGCAAAAUAGGCCUUCAACCUUUUCUUAAUCUUCCACAUUGGUCCUAAACAUUAAUUUCAUUUAAAGUCGUCAGCUUACAAUUUGGUUGUUAACCUCUACUUCUAGUAACAAUCUUAGUCCUUCCAACAAAUUCAUCCAUGCCGCAAAAGCAAUGGUCAUGUGGACAAGGCCAUUUACCUAUUUUAUCCAAAAGAUUAGUCUAAGAAAGCAUUCUAGCAAUAGUCUUAGAUAUCAAAAGAACCAAUGUUAAGCGUACUAACCAAAGAGGUAACUAAAAGAGACAACAAACAAGAACUUAUACCAUUAUAUAGCGGAUGUGGGAAUGGAACACAUGAUCUCUUGGAACUCAUGCGGCUUAGGAUGGAUCUUCGUACCACGUAACUAAAAUAUUGUUCUAACAAUUCUAAAUGGAGAAAUUCUUAAGCAUUGAAGAAAUUAGAGUGCGAUAAGGCAUGGAUUAGGGAUCUAAUAGUGCUAAAUUUGAAAGGUUAAGGAUCUAAACACGAAAUAUCUAGAGCAAUCUAUUACAAUAUACUAAAGCCUGUGGAGCAACCUAUAAAUGUUGACACAUAUACUAAAAUUGGACAAAAUUACCUCAGUGAAUUAUGGAAAUUACAUAAUACAUUUUAACAUAAGUUGUUUUUAUAGGGGCUUUUUAGUAUUUUCAAUCAUAAAAGGAAUUUCCACAUCUUUUCAAUUAUGCCUACUCUCUCUCUCUCACUCAUUGAGAGAUGCGACCCCUGUUUCUCUAUACACCCAUCCGUCCCUCCCUCCUUCUCUCCCUUACCAAGAGAUGUGCCCUAUGUUUCUUUGUGUGCCCCCAUCUCUCUCUUUUAUCUCCCUCUCUCCCUCUCUCACACCAAGAGAUAUGCCCUCUAUUUCUUUGUGUGCCCCCAUCUCUCUCUUUUCUCUUUCUCUCUCUUCCCCUACCUUCCUCCCCCGCACCUCAUCCCCAUCCCCAUCCCCCUCCCCCUCCUCGAGAUAUGCGCCCUCUAUUUUUUUUUGUGCCCCUAUCUCUCUCUUUUCUCUUUCUCUCUUUUCUCCUCCCUUCCUCUCGAUUGUUUCUUUGUAUGCCCCUUCCUCUUCCUCUGUCGACAGCAGGAUGGUAAAGGUGGCGAUAUGCUGCUGCCCACCCUUCUCCAUUUUAGAUGCUGGCCUGCCCCGCACCGCCUCUACGCUGCGGCCCAGCGCGGGUCUUCCUCUCUCUCUCCCUCUCUCUCUCUCUCUCUCUCUCUGGCUCGCUCGCUCGCUUGCUCGCUUAAAAUUGUUGUUUUUUACUAUUCUCUAUGAUGGUCAACCAUACAACAAGAGUCAACAAUAGUCAACUUGAUAGUUGGGUUAAGCAAGGUGCUCUGCUUAUGGAUUUAAACUUUGGCACGUGUUGUUUUAACCUUUUUGACAGUUUUUUCUUUUUGACACCUGUAAGUUUUGUUUAUAAACCUAUAUAGAUAGUAACUACUACCUUUUUUAUAGUUAUCUCUGGUAACUUUUUCUUCCUCCAUUAGGAAUGUUAUUGUUCUAAAUUCUGCUUUUUUUUUCGUUUAUUCUCUAUUUUGCAUGUUUGUUGAUUUAUUUUCUUUAGUUAAUGAACUUUUAGAAAGUGAAGGAUUAGAAACCAGCAAAAGUUAUCUUUUAAGGAAAGUAAAAUUAUGCAUUAAAAAGUAAAAUUAUGGGACAAUUGCUUAUAUACCCCUAAAAAGUUUCCGACUUUCCGAUUUACCUCUCUUAGAAGGCAAAUAUUGAAAAUACUCUUUUUACGUUCCAACCUAUUUUUAAUAUACCCCUAAAGUUAAAAUCUGUUAAUUAACUACGUUAUCUCUAUAAAAUUACUAUUUUGCCCUUUCAAAUAUACCCUUCCACCAUCACUGACUUUCUUAUUUGCCCUUAAAGUCAGGGGCACAAAAAUUAUUUUGACUUUUGGUCUUUUCCAAUAUACCCCUCUACCGUCACCAAUAUUUCUUAAUUGCCCUUAAGUUAAGGGCAAAAUUGGCAUUUUAAUUUUUUUUUAACUGUUGUAGAUAUUUAACUCACGUUUAACCCAAGUUAACUUAACAAGAGGUAACUGCGGGGGUAUUUUGUAAUAACGAUGGAACAUAUAAGAGAUAUUUUAGAAAGAAAAAAAAAAGUAGGGGUAAAUCGGAUAUUUUCAAACGUAUGAGGGGUAUAUAGGCAAUUAUCCCUAAAAUUAUGCAUUAAAAAGGUCAACUUUUACAAAACUGCAUAUAGUGACUUGGUCUUUUUUUAAUAGCUAUAUGUGAUAGCUUUUUCUUCCCCUACAAGUAUGUUAUUAUUCUAAAAAAAUGCUCUUUUUUAGUAGCUUUUUUAAAUUGUAUGGAAUUUUCAAAACUAAACAACUAAAAAAUUAGUAAAAAUUUUCUUUUAAGGAAAGAAGAUUUAUGCAUUAGCAUGUCAUGCUUGGAUCAAUUUUUAUACAGUAACUUUUGCCUUUUUUUACAACUACCACUGAUAGAUAUUUCUUCAAUCAAGUAUGAUAUUAUCCUAAAUUCUGCUCCUUUUAGUAUGAUUUUUAAAUUGCAUGUGCUGUUGUUGUAUUCUCUUUUGGUUUUUUAUCUUUUUCCCAUCAUUGCUUAAGGGGCUGUUUGGUUCUUUGGAAAAGUAUAAAAAAUAAAUUUCGAAUGAAUGUUUUCCAUGGAAAACCUCUUUUUCAGUUUUUCAAUCAUUUGGUUCCAAAAAAACUAGCUUAUUUGGAAAAGCUUUUUUCAGAUUUCAUGAAAAACUAGUGUUUUCGUUUUACGGAUUUUUUUAAGGAAAAUGAAAACACUGGUUUUCCAUAAAAUUUGGAAAAGAAAAAGAACUUUCCAAAAAAGUUAGUUUUUCGUUGAACCAAAUGGACAAAAAACUAAAAAAGAAGUUUUUCACGAAUAUGUUUUUUCAUGGAAAAAAUUUUUUCUUGGAAAACUCUUUUCCACACUUUUCUGAGGAACCAAACAGUCCCUUAUUUAACAUAACACAUCAUUAUAUGAAGUUAAAGUUUUAUCGUAAAAUGGUUGUAAGUUACCAAUUUUAUUUUUAGAUUUUUUAGCUACACCUUACACGCAGAAGCUUUAUGUAUUUCAUUUUCUGCAAUAGUCUGUUGCUUUCUGAAUGAAGAUGAAUUUUGGCUCAAAUCAAGGCAUGGGAUUUUCAUAAAGCAGGAUAAAUAAAAUGUUAAUUUCUUAAAUAUACGGUGGUUUGUUGAUCUCUGAUAUAUGGUUUUCUCGCUCCCCGCAAUUUGCAGGAUGGGAGUGAGGAAAAGUAGAUUUGAGGUGAUAAUUUAUUUGAGUUGUAGAGGCUGGCUUUGAAAUUUCAUGUAGCGUGACAUGUGUUAUUUCCUAUUUGACUCUAAAAUUAACUAAAUGCAAUAAAAACUUACAAAGCCUAUCCAACACACCCGCUACAAAGUGCGGACACAUUGCUAAUUAGGCCUAAAGCAAGAAGUAUGGAAGGGUUAGGGUUCACGGAACUAAUUAGGGUAGUGAACGAUGAGAGGGCGACGUUGUGGGUGAAGAGGGAUUCAAUGGUGUUGGAACAUGUAUGAAGUUUUAGAAAAGUUGAGAGUAUCUUUUCCUUGCAGUGUUUAUGAACUUCAGUCUAAAUUUUUCUUUUUGUUAAAAAACUUCUAUUUUUAUGCAAAACUCUCUGUUCAUGGAUAGUAGAAUUGGAAUUAUAUAACAAUUUCCUAGCAAGUUUUGUUAAUUUAUUUUUUUAAGGAGAUCUACAUUCGGAGAUUAGUUAUGCGGGAGAAUAUUGAUUCUGUUUCGCACUUUUCAUGAACCAAACAAGAGGAAUGGGAGUGAUCCAUUUCGACUCCCAUUCCAAUUGCGAAGCAGAUGUUUAAGGAUAGUUGGUCUUUCCAUUUCCCGUUCCAAUGUAAACCAAUUAUGUUUCCUAUUUCCUUUCCAUUCUCAAACCAAACAAGCCUUAUAGAACAUGUUUGGAUGUCGGAAUAAGAUAACCAAUGAUAACUUAUUCAGUAUGAAAAUUUUCUCAUGCGAUUGAAGCUGGGAGUUCGAUUUUUGCUCCUUGAAAGAUCUUGGCAUCCGUGAUUUGGUAGCAUAGCAUAUUUCAAAAAGGCCAAAUACGAUAUCAUUGCUAUACUCUUUAUCUACCAAAUACUACGCGAUUCGUGCUUCUUGAGAAAAUCAAAGAGAUAUCUCGACCAACAUAUCUAUACAUCCACACAAGCCCAAAGGGUUAGGGUUAGGGUUAGGGGGACCUGAUGAGGGCGGUGAACUCGACGAAGAGGGCGAAGUCGCAGGCGAAGAGGGACUCGACGGUGUCGCGGAGGCGGUCGCGGACGGGGAGGAAGGGGAGGAGGAGGUGGGCGCAGUCGGUGGCGGCCAGGUGGAGGAGGGUGGUAGACAGCACGCCCGGCCGGUACCCCACGGCGCCGCAGCUCCGGUGGAUGAACUCCAGCUCCUGCCGCGCGCCCCACCACCACAACCAUUCAGUAAGAAAUCAAGAAUUAAUCAAGAAGAAGAAAAGCGAACGAGAGAGAGAGAGAGAGGGUGCGAACCUUGCAGAGAUCGCGGGAGACGAACCCGCGGAGGAUGUGACGGCCGCCACGCUCCGCAUCCGCCGCCGCCGCCGCCGCCAUGGCCGUCGCCACCUGGAGCUCGCGUUGCCUCGUGUGUACGGACGACGGGGAGGGGAAAUAGCAACGGCACGCGCACCACAAUUCCACGUGCCAAGAAGGCUUAAUUUGGUAUUGAAACCUAUCCAACGCCAUUACAUACGAUUCCACGUUCCAAGAAAGCUUAGUUUGAUAUUAAAGUCUAUCCAACGUUAUUAGAUAAAUAGAGUUGAAAAAAAAGUAUAUAGGAAAAUACUUCUGCGUUCUCUAAUGGGAUUGCAGAUACUAAGUUCAAUCGAACGCUGUUAAAUAAAAUUGAGUUAGAAAAAAAUAUAUUGGGAUACUCAUCGCUGUGUAUUACGUACGAAAAUAAACAGAUAUUUUUUUAUCGUCCUUUCUCACCGCACGUAAUGCAAUCUUCCCACAAUUCCAAACGAAAAAUCAUAAACGUAAUCUUUUGCAAUCCCAAACAAAGUCAUAAUAGUCGGUGUUUUGGUCUAGAUUCUAGAACGUGAUUUUAGUAUGUUAACUUAUAUUUCAUAAUCUUAUUCCAAUUUUUAGAGCCUGUUUUCUAAAUUUAGAGUUCCAAAAUCACAAACUGCUAAAUCUGCUAUCUAAAAUCUAAUACUAAUUUAGGAUUAAAUGUUAAAUUAAGUUUAUGUCUUGGAUUCAAAUUUAAAUUUUAAAAAUUUAUGAUAUAAGAUCUAAAAUUUUAAUUUCAAGUUUUAAAUUUUAAAUUUUAAAAUUGAAAUUUUAGAAUUUUGAAUAAAAUUUUAAAUUUUCAAAUUAUAAAUUAAUUAAUUCUAAAUUCUAAAUUUUAAAAUUUUAAAGUUUAAUUUCUAAUUUUUAAUUUUUAAAUUUCAUAUUUUAAUGUUUGAAUUUCAAAUUUCAAAUNAAUCUGCAAAAACGAAAAAGGUGAUCCGAUUUUGCAAAAGCCCAAAAUAAGUGAAUUUUUUAUGCAAAAAGGCCUAUUAUAUUUGAAUUUAAAUUUUUUAAUUUUAAAUUUUAAAUUUUAAAUUUAAAUAUCAAAUUUUAAUUUAAAAUUUAAAAUUUAAAAUUUAAAUAUCAAAUUUAAAAUUUUAAAAUUCCACAUUCGCAUUCAGUAGUUCAAAAAAUUCUCUAGUAAAAAUAUACAAAACUUACUGAAAUUAUAAGAUCAUUUUAACUUGGCUGUCGAACCUUGCAAAAUUUUAAUUUUAUUAUCAAAUCCUUUCAAUUUGUCUGAUUUGAGUGAGUAAACGAUACUUUUAUUUCAAAAUUUAAUCUAAUUAUUUUAUUUAGUAAAUUUAUAACUGUGAAAAUUGCAUAAAAUAUACUAACUAAACAAAACAUGUAAGGGAAUGCUAUGUAUUUUUAUUAACUAGUUAUAGUGGACGUGCAAUGCACAUAACAUUUAAUUAAAUUAAAUUUAUAUUUAUAUAUAAUACCCCUUGGUUAAGUUGUUGGGGGGGGGGGGGGGGGGUAUUUUUGUUGAUGGCUAUCCAUCCCACCAACUCAACCUAUAAUAUAUAGGUAUCUAUUGUAGAGAGAUAAUUAAUUAUCUCGUAUCAUCUUAGACAUUGAUCGUGGCUUGGUGGAGAUCGCGGAUUGAGUUCGGAUCGACAAGUCGCGUCGGGCGAGGCCGAGCAUGCGCGAAAAUUUCUUCUCCUAUCGAUUUCUCGCUAUUCUGAAUUAGCUUUUGAGGUGGGUUUAUCAUCGGAUUUAUACUCCUAUAGUCCCGUUGGUCGACAUAUAUAAUUAGUGUAUAUUCGUCGUUAUUGUUUUUAGCUCAAAUUCAUAGUUAUGCAUGUUUUAAACAUAUGAAUUGAAUUUGGAGCAUGUUAUUAAGUGUUAAUAAUUAUACAUGUUGGACGUGGAUAUGACAUAGGAGAAAACCAGCAUUCGGGACCUGUCAUAUGUUACACUACCUGAUUUAGCUCUAAGAGCCGUUGUAUUUUUGUAGCACCGCAGUAUCCUUGUAGUGAGUACUCCAUAUAGUUUAGAUUACUGUCACGCUCAUGCUGGGAUGCCGAGCCUGAUUUUACAAUAGUGUUUACACUGUUCCGGACUAGUGGGUGCCGUAGUGGUUGACAGCGGACCCGGAUUUGACCGUUUUGAUAUCAGAUUGUGCCGAGGGCAUGUGACUAGUUGGUUUGUAAUCCAGUUGGACCUGUUUUCUUGAUUUUAGCCUGUGAGAGUCUGAUUGAGCUCGGCAGAGAUACGCUUGCAUACUCGGUUGGGUCGCGCCCACGAGUGCCGCUUCGGAGUCUGGCUUUGUGCUUUCGCGUUGAUGUCGCUGAUUAAUUUUGCUAUACACGGAUUGUUUAGAGUGGAGGUAGCGUGGCUUAGACAGGCGGGACGGGUGCGUUCAUAGUCCCUAGUGAGAUUGGGUCAGAGUUGACAGUUGCUACAGUUGGAUAAUAUAGAGCAUGAUAAUAUAGUGGCAUAUAGCUGUAGAUUUCUUUCCAGCUUUACCUACUAGCUUUGUUUCCUUCUGUAGACUUAGUGGGUGGACCGAUGAUGUUGAGGGCGGUGCCCACUGAGGACUACUUGUUUUUAUAGUAGUUCUCACGCCCAGUUGUUACCACUGUUUUGCAGAGCCAUCGUCUUCAGCUGUUGCAGUUGUUGCCGAUUUAGAGCGAGGUAAGGGUGUCGCGAGUUAGAGCUCUAACAGUCGAGUUGCUGUGAUAGAGGAGCACCUGCUGCAGGUAGUAGUAUUUUGUUAUUUUAAGUUCAUGUACAUACCCGAAUUGUAACUCGCUGGAGCGAGUACUUUUAUAUUUGGUUAUUUUGUAUGUAUAUGAGACUUGUUUUAUUCUACCUGUUUAAUUUCUUUACAGCUCUAUACUACUGGUUGUGGUAUUGUAUAUUUUACAGUUACCUUUACGCUUCAUAUACAAGGAAAAUUCUUUAUAUACGGCGGAUUUGUCGGCGUGCCCGGAGAACGUGUAAUUCGGGGCAUGACAUUAUAUUUUAAAUUAAAUAAUUAUUGAUGAAUAAAUCUAUUUAGUAGUUAAUUUUUUUCUAAAAUUAAUUUUUUUAAUAUAUAUCCAAAUUUUAAAAAUUUAAAGUAAUUCUAAAUUUUAAAUUAAUAAAUUCAUAUUUAAAUUUAUGAAUAAAACUCAAAAUUUGAAAUUAAUUUUGAAUCCAUAAUUUGAAUAUAAAUAAUUAUUAAAGACAUUAAUUUAUUUAUCAUCCCAUCUAUUUUUCAAAUUUGAUAUAUUUUCAAGUUAAUUAAUUAUUUUUAAUUUGAAAUACUGUUUACACACCCAAAAUAUUAAAAUUUUAAUUAAUUUCAAAUUUUGAAUUAAAAUAUUAAUUCACAUUUGAAAUUAUGAACCAAAUUUAAAAUUUAAAGUUGAUUUUAUAAGCUUAUUUAAAUUAUUUUUUUUUCAAAUCUAAUUUUUUUUAGUUAGCUAAUUGAGAGAUAGUAGAUACAAAAUAUUUUCAAUGUUUGUUGCAUAGAGAUUUUCGUUUUUUUGAUAAGUAUGGAAUAUUAUUUUAUGGGACGCGCAAAUAUCUUUCGGUUGACAAAAAUUUGGAUAAGUAUAAAUUUCUUUCUAUUCUCACAAAUAGAAUGUAAUAUUUUUUCCGACUAAAAAAGGGUAUGUCUGUGUCAACAAUUAUUUUAAUAAUUAUCUCAAAUCAAUAUCAAUUUGUGAAUCAUAUUUACUACAAAUUUAAAAUUUUAAAUUGUAAAUUUAUAUGUUAUAUUUUAUUGAAAAAAUAUCUCAUAUUUUAAAUAUUAGUAGGUAAAAUUGAGAUAAUUUUUAUAUAUUCACUUUUAAAAAAAUAUGAUUAAAUAUUAUAUAUGCGGAAGUUAUUAUGUGAUUGGAUAUUAUAUAAGUGGCGUACGUGUAAGAAUGAAAAUAUUUAAGAAAUGCGAAUAUUAUUUGUGAUAAAAUAUGAUAUUAUGUUGGCGGCGAUUAUUAAGAAAUAUGACUCACAUAUAAAAAGUGAAAUUUGAUACGUACUAUCUAAGAACAAUUUAGGUAAAAAAAGUGACAGAUACUUAAUUCGUCAGUCAUUGGAUUAAAUCGAAUGACUAAGAAUUAAUAUAUUUUAUGAUAAUUUAAAAAUAAAAUAAAAAUUGUACGGCUGUAAUUUAUUUCAUUAAAGUUGAAUGAAUGAUAUUAUUAGUAUGUAAUUAGAAUUAUAUUAAUAGGAAUCGACAUUUUGGAAAAGAGAAAAAAAUUCAAAUCUCACGCUUUUGUAAGUAAUAUAAAUAGAAAGCUUAUCUCAGUCAUGAAUGAAAAUAACAAAACCUACUCACCCACCGCAUUGCAAUAUACCUACUAAGAGAUUCUACAACUUUACCAGAUCUUCGUACAUCUUCCUAAUUUAGGUAGUAUAGCACUGUUUCAGAGCAUCAUGAAUAAUAAAUGCAGUAGAAGAUUUGUGAAACCGGUAAACCAAAAGCCCCCAACCAUGUCGCUCAGUGAUUGAAUCACCGAAAUACCACUAAAAUCCCGAGUAUGCUCGCACGUUCCCAAUAUGGCAUCAAAUAAAUAUCUCAUGUUCCAAUACAUCAAAAGAAAAGAAGAGAAAAAGAAAGAAAGAAAAGAAAAGAAGUGGAACUAUAAUUAAUAAGAAAAUUCGGAUGGCUAAAGUGAGCGAGCUACAAAAUUUAAGACUGUUCCAGUUCUGAAUGACAUCUCGCGGGAAGCACCUCAAAAUUAAACGUAAAUCUCUGCUGUGCUUUACAUUUGCCACGUAUCUCUGUUCUCGCAACAAUAUAUUGAAAGAAUGCCUCUCUCGCUUGCUUUGUAUGCAUAUAUUUGACCUAUUUAGAUGGACUAGUAGCAGACGGUUUGUUUCCUAACUUCUUGGCAGCAGCGGAGUUCAAGCUCCCAUUACAACCCGUUUUGCCAUUUUCCGUCUCAGCGAUACCAUUUUCCGGAGAAGUUUGUGGAGAGCUGUUACCAAUGGGCGAAGCAGUAGUUGGCUCUAGAGAUGAGUUGGGGUCAACAGACAGUGGAGAGACUGGGGUCAGCUGAGCUUGGGCCAGCGGACUAGACCCAGGAGGGGGCAGAAAGACCCCGGUGCCGGGAAUAGGGAGCCGGGGGGCCGAGUGCCUCGAGGGAGGGGCCACUGAAACCCACCCAGGCGAGGGUGGCGGUGCUGGAUAUGCCACAGGCGCAGGAGGGGCAGGGGACGGGCCAACAAAGAGUGGCUGGAUUCCAUUGGCAGGGAGCACGUGUGGAGGCCGGACAGAUGGAGCUGGAAGGACACCGGUUGAUGGGAGGGCUCCAAAGUGCUUAGGGCGGGGAAGGUUGGAUGGCCUAACCGGUGAUGAUAUUCCACCCCAAGGUGAAGGUGGAGGUGCCGUGGUCGAAGUGAAGUAUGAGCCUUCAGGAUGCAGAAUGGGUUUCUUUGGUUGGGACUUUCCAAAGGUUAGUAAUACGCGCUGCUUGCAUACGGAGGGGAUGGCGCGCUUGACAAGAUCUGCGCUUUUACCCUGCAAUAUAAGAAGAGCCCUGCAAAUGGAGAGACAAGGAAAGGAGGACAUUAGAAGCCCUAGUGAAAAAGUAAAAGGGUAAUUAAAAUUAUAGUCUCUAUAAUGUAAACUUGCUAUUUCGUUCGCCCUCGUAAUCUUAACUGCGACAAUUUAGUCGUUGAAGUUUGUUUUGCAUAACAAUAACGGUGCGUUUGGUUCGCGUUAUCUUUUUAAGAUUCCUAGUAAUCUAAUAGGAAUAACAAAAUAUGACGGUGUUUGGCUAAACGCACUAAGUAAUCUAGUUAGUAAUAUUAGAUUUAUUUGGGAAUAAGAUUCAUCCCAAAGUACUAAUCUCAUUCCCUUGAGGAAGGAUAGGUAUCCUCAUAUUAAUAGAUUGGAAUAAUCAUAAUAUGUAUAAUCUCUUUCUUUCUUCCUAUCCGCCGGCUAGUUGGUAUUAUUUUUCUUUACACUCUAACUUCAUAUCUCUCUCUAAGCUUAUCUUUUUCUCUCUAAACUUCAACUCUUUUUCUCUCUCUAAACUAAGCUCUCUCUCUCUCUCUUUUCCUAAAAUCUCAAUUCUCUCACUCCCUCUAAUCUCGACUCUAUUUCUCUUCUUAUUUUUUUAAUUAUACUCUCUCUCUAACCUAUGUUCUCUCUCCUUUUUUUCUAAAAAAAUGUUAAAAUUUUUGAUAGCAUUAUCUAAAAUUAAUUAAAGAAAUAAAUAUAUAAAUUGUAUAUUUUUUUGUAAUCUUAAAUAACAUGACUAAAUAAUAUGACCGUACGAACCAAACACAGUAAUGCCACAUUCUUAGUAAUAGGAUGAAUAUAAAUAAGAUUCUCGGACAUCUUUUUAUUCCUAGUAAUUUUUUAAAGUCCAACUUUCAAUACAUCAUCAAGACAAGGGGUUCCAUGUCAACGCCAUACUUGAACUGUGCUUUGUCAAGUUUGAAAAUCCGAGAACAAAAUUAAAGCCGGCAUCGAAAUUCAUCGGCUAUAUAGCUGAACAUGGAACUUUGAGGAUGAUAUCAAAUCGAACUAUAGUAGGAACGGAAUUGUUACUAUUGAAACACUAUGGACGAAACCAAACUCUGGUUCAAACUUCAGGAACUCGUUAACCAUGAAAAAGAAAAGAAAAAAGUAAUCCACUAAUGACCACCCGAAGCAUGAUCAGAAAUCAUGAGACUAUAGGAAGCAUAAGUACAAGAAAAUUUCUACAUGAAAAAUCAAAAAGCAAAUGCACACAGCAAGGAAACGAAGCAUACCCCAUUUGAAGAGACAUCUUGUGAGAACCUCUAUAGUCCCCACGGUGAUCUCCUCCUAUUGCUCGGCCAAAGAACAUGUCACAGUCAGUCAAACAUAAGGUACAAACCGGCCUACCAUACCAAGGUGGCCAUACAUGAGGCUGAGAAUGAUCCCCCUGAAGAAUGUGAGUACCCAAAGUCAGGCUCAUUAAUCCAAUUUUCUCAAUCAUCAAUGCCAACUUUUGAAUAAGUUACCUCAUUAAAGAAGUCAAUGAUACAAUAAUCAGGCUUAAAAUGCAACACUUGCUGGCGAGCCAAGUGAUCAAAUACAUCCUGCACUAAGCUAGGAAUAGGCGCCACCUUCUUCUCUGAAAUUUUUGUUUUCAUGGUCCACAUAGGCUGUCAUUGCAAGGUCUAUCUAUGAUGAUAGUCAAACCCUGAUAUAAGAGGCUUGGACUUACCUGUUGAAUUAUCAGCUGUAAUUUCAUCUUCACGGGGUCCGUCAGUAACAGGAAUGCCUAACUGAAUCAUUUCCCUUCCGUGCCCCUUCAUCGGUCUUUUUGCUAUAACAAGUGUGCUCCCUGCUUGUCAUCACAUUCCGUGUUCGUUUUAAAGUAGCAAUUAACGAAGCAAAAAAAAAAAAAGUAAAAAUUUAUUCAACUUUUUAAUAUCUAUAUUCUGGAGUAGAGCUGAUGUGCUCUUAGGAGCACAGAGGCCUCCAUGCUCUUUAAGCCGUUUUCGAUGAUUAAGCUUUCGAAUCGACGAUCAGCUCCAUUAGACUUGAUCUAGCGUAUUUGAAAUAUCUAGAAAAUAAAUUUUGCAGUUUUUCGAUAUCAUUUACCUAAUGAUCAACAUGGUUCAAAAUCAAUGGCUAAAAAUAAAAAUCUCACAAAAAGUGGUGAUAUAGUACUAAAAUUUUCGAUCAGAGAUAUUGAUCUUGCUGUAAAUAGUAUAAAAGAUUUUCUAUCAAAAUUUCAACUGAUUUGGAUACUUCUAUACCGUUAAACUUGAAAAUGGCAAGCAUCAACCAUUAAAAAUUAUAAUUUUGAAACCCUUUUGAUCGUUAGUUACUUGCAAAAUUUAUUUUCGAGAUACUUCAAAUACGCUAAAUCAAGUCUAACGGAGCCGAUCGUCGAUUCGGAAGUUUAAUCAUCAAAAUCGGGUUAUGAGCACGAAAGCCUCGGUGCUCUUAAGAGCACAACAGCCCCGCUCCUACAUUCUGUAUUAAAAUUGUGGAGAUCUUGUAUCUGCUUCCUGUAUCAUAGUUAAGUGUUUCCCAACAAGACAGGAAUUAGCAGUAUGAGUUGAACUUGGAGAAAAGAUUUAAUCAAACCAACUAUCAAAAACAAGGGAUUCAUUUCAUUUCUACUAGCUUGUUUCCUAAUUUCCAAAGAAGCAUUUGUUUGAAUCAUAAACAAUUAAUUAAUUUGGCAUUUUCAAAUAAAGCAUUACAUUUCUUUGCCUGAAGAAUUACGAGGAAAAGAAUUUCUUGUAUCAUCAAAAACCCCAAGGGAUAAGCAGAUUCAAAGACCAGAUUGUUUUAAAAGCCUAAGUAGCAUUGGAGUUGAUGACUUUCGUUUUAGGUAAAUAACACUAGUGGCCUCUGAACUUACCACAAAGUCCAACAUAGGUCACCGUAAUGUCAAUUUGUUACAAUUUAGGCACUAAACUGCAAUAUUUGUUCCAAGUGGGUCAAUCUAUCAAAGUGAUUUAUUGGGCUCGUUUGCUUACAUUCACAAGCCAAGUCGAGUGUUAUACAUUAGUUCAUUUGGGUCACUCUAUCAAACUGACUUUAGGGUUGCACUUUAUGGUUGCUUUUUUAGGCAACUGAGCUCAACAAUCAGUCCAGCUUGGCACUUACCUGGAAAGAAACCCUAAACAAUUAAUGGAAUAUGUGGCAGAUGAUUUAGUUGUCAUGUCAUCUACUAAAGAUGAUGCCCAUGUGAUAAAGCGGCCACGUCAUUUCCUAAGGGUGACAUGGUAGUUGAAUUAAAUAGAAUUGAGAUGGCAUGGCAGCUAAAUCAGUUGCCACAUUCUCGCCAAGUCAUCUCUUGGAGAUGAAAUGGCAGCUAAAUCUACUUCUAAAUCAUCCCUCUGGAAACUUUGACAGGGUAACCCAAUUGAAACAAAAAUUCAAGUUAAGUGACUCAAUUGCAACAAAUUAAACAUAGAUGAUUCAAAUUAAACAUAGCUAGAAAACCAGCGAUUAAUGGUGUAAUUUACCCUUCUAAAUUUACUAUAGCAAGAGCAAAGAGGCUAAGCAGAGAGCUUACCGUGAAGUUCUCCACGACGCCCAGAAGCUCUCAUUUCAUUUGCCCACAGGAGUAGCUGCUUUAUCUCAGUAAUAUCCACCGAGUCCUCAUAAAGCUUAAGCCCUUCAACAACAUUUACCUACAACGAGAGACUCUUAUCUAAUUGUCGGCAUGAACAAGGUCAUGUUUUCUCAUAUUGAAAGGCCAAAUACGAGGCACAAGGUUUGAUCUAAAUUCCAAGAACGUUGUACAAGAACUUACCAUUUUUCCAUCAAUUAACUCGUUAGUGACAAAAUCUUUUGGAGUUAGCGUUAGCUUCCCAUUUCCAUCUUGAUCUGGCAUUAUGCAGCCACUAUCUUGGGGAACAGAAUCACUGCUAGCCUCUAAAAGAUAUUAAAAGGGAACAAUAAGUGAGUACAUCAACUAACACAUUCUCUUUUGAAAAAUAUUGACCAGAAAAGUAAGGAUAUAUGUGAUUUCCAAAUGAUAAAAAACAUCAGCAUAUGACACUGAAAGGACAGAAAGUUACAUAUGAGAAAUCAGAAUUAUGAGAAAUCAGAAUUAUGGUAGACAUGAGUAAAGAACAACUGAUUACAUGAUCAUACUGCUUGACAUUUAUAAGAACAGUCUAAGCAUCACAUGAAAAAAGUGAUUUUCGAGGAAUUUUAACCCAAUCAUCUUAGCCAAUCAUCAAUGUACUUGAUCAGCAGGCUGAUAAGCCAAACUAGAACAAAAUGAAAGUAGAUUGUAUUACCUUAGUAACCACCAGAUCAGAUCGACAAUGGUUAUAAGAGUAAUUGUGCAUUUAAAACAACUGAUGUUAUUUACUUCCAUCUACGUUACUAAACCAAAAUAAGCUCUGUUUAUCAGCCUUUUCUUUGAAAGGAGAAUAAGCCUAUGAACUACGAAGAAAUUUGUGAAGAUUGGAUUAGUAAAUGAAUUUCUGGAGGUAAAAGACGAAUGGAUAUUAUCCAAACUAUACUGCAUUUUGAAAUGGGUAACCUGAACAUUAAAAGUUUUGAUUUCAGCAGGUAACUUUUUAUUAUUAUUUUACCACCUCUCCAUCAGAAGUCAAUGGUGUUCUAACUGUUUUAAUAGAAUAUUGUAUUACUUGAUGGGAUACCCUAUAGAUUUUUAUUAAAACCUAUCAAAUUUUGACAGCACCUGAUGGGGAGGAGGUAACACCAUAAAUGAAAGCCUAUUUAUUAAAAUCAAAACUUUUAAAGUCCAGAUACCCUUUUCAAGGUACAGCAUUGUUCAAGUGUUGUCUGUAUGUUUUUACCUUUCCGAAAUAAAAAUCACAAGGAACUUUUGCAAGAUAAGGAAUUUAGUAAUCAAAGCUGUUAUCGCUUAAAUGGAGGCUGACAAACUUAAAAUUGACACUAUCUAGAAUUAACUUUAGCCUCCAGGCCCACCACGGUGAGAAAGAAACAAAUAUCAAAAUGGUCAAACGUGGAUCACUAACUGCAAAAGAUAGUUCAAAAUUAUCAACAAAAUUAAACAAACAUAUGUGGAAGCAGAUGAUCUACCACCAAGUUAAAGAGAAAACGUAACAAAGUAAAAAAGAAAAAAAAAAAAAAAAAAGGUGAUUGAUUGUUGAACAAUUAUUUGAUAAAUUAUCAUGCCAACAGCAUCGGCUGAACCACCAAUUGCAACCCCGUUGUUCUUUAUUGAUGCCUUAAAAUUAUGUAGUAAGAGUUGGUAGUAACAAAUAUUAUUAAAUAAAACUAGUACUCUUUUAUCCUGCAGCAGUAUUUUUCAUGUGACGUUAUCAUGCCCCAGAUGAAAGAGGCAUUAAUUAAAAGAAACAAGGAUCAUGAUGAUGAUCAUCAUCAUGAUUUAUGAUGCACUUUUCUUCAACAAUAGAGGUAGAAAGAUUGUAGAUCUGUAGCAAAGAAAGUUCUAUUAUAUAAUUAAUUAAAGAAUUAUUUGAUGAUGCACCCUUUUGCAUUGUCUUAGAAAUAUGAAAAUCUUUUUCAAACUUCCAUAAAGAAAUUGACAAUUGAAAUCAGGCGCCCAAGACUAUGGCACUGUGAGCAUUAUCCAUAUAUAAUAAAGAUCAUGCCCAUUACCCAUCAAAUAUAACAAACUGUAGUGAAAUUAAAAUUUCAUAAACAGAGAAUCUUGACAACAGUGUACAAUAAGGUUUCUUAGUAGCAACUAGCAAAAUCCAGAUUUAACGAACAAGAGAUAUCAGUGGAGAAACAUCCUGUGCAGAUCAAGACAAAGUGGGAAAUAUCUUUUGCUUGGUCCUGCAGGAUCUGACAAGAAGUUGGUACACGCCAAAGAAGGUGAAUAAGCACUGUGCACAAAUGAACUAACAGUUUGCAUAAUUUACAACCAAAAAUUGCAAUUCAUGUUGUUUAAAAAGUCAAGAUAGGGAAGAUGAGGAGAAUAUAUAAGGGAUAAGAAAUAAGAAAAAAGGUGAAAGCUGAAUAACAUUACGAAUAGGACAGAAAAAUGAGCUCAUUAGAGAUGAUUUCAAAUUGUAGCAAGAUCGGAGUGUACAAUAUAAAGAUUACAGAAAGAAUAUGCAGGCAUUGCAAGGAAAGGGACUCCAGCUAAAAUAAUUAUAGUACUAUCCAAGAUUCAAAACCAAAGGGACAGAGAUAACAGAUACAAGAAGUUUAAAACUAAACGCAUCAAGACACUGACAUUAUCAACAAUAUCGGUAGGGACUUGCAACAUAAAAGAUAUACAGAGCAACAAGAUAACAGUUUUACAAUUCUCAAAGUGAGAAAAAGGAAAAAAAAGGCAAUCAACUAAAGAAGCAGUUGAACUAACAGAGAGCUAUUACUAACAAAAUAAUCUUAUAUUAAGAAAAAAAUCAAAUCAUCAACAGAUGGAGCAGUUAGCAUCCAAUUUGAGUAGGCAUCUCAUAAAGGCAUAAAGCUGAAGUUGGAUAGGAUAACAUUGGUGGUCGUGUAUGGAUAAGGAUUACAGAUGAGAUCGCCUCCAAGAAUCUUUAAAAGUUUGUCAUAUUAGAAAAGUUUGAUGACUACUUUCAGCCCCAGAAUUUAUUCACUCAAACAAAAAAAAAAGUUAGACCUCUGAAAAUUUUAUCUUCUUCUGAAAUUCCAUUCCUCUUUCACAUCAAAUUUGAAGGCUCUUAGCAGCAAUAGAAAUCACAGAAAGGAUGAUUUCAAGACUUUAAGUAGUAUAUGUAACUGCCAACACCACAUCAUGAGCUCUGCUAUUAAGUAUUGAUGUUCCAGUAGAUAAAAUACACAAAGCUUUUGUUAGUUUGGAAAUAUAGACACUUCCUAAUAGAUCAGUGUUUUGAGCUUCUUUUUCAUCAUCAAUCAUUAAAAAUUUCAGGUCCUUACGAAUUAAAACCCAAAAAUGCAAAUGCAGACCAGCGAUCAAAGUUCUAAAACAUACCUAUGUUUUGCGGGUAGCCAAGACAUCAAAUAGCAUAAGCAUAUCCACGCGCAUAUGUAGGUACUAUGUGAUUUAGCAAUAAAAGUAAUGUAUACAAUACCUUUAAAUAUGGAUUUAGAAUUUAGGGUUUAGGGUUUAAGAUAGAUAUGAUAUUUUAUUGCUAUCACACUCGCUGCAAGGCCCACAACUACUUUAUUCCCUACAAUUCUCUCUCUCUUAUCUUUAGGUAUUGCUCUUUAAUAUAGGCUACUUAUGUAAUUGAACAGUGACCUCACAUAUGAUUUGCAGACAGCAUAUGCAGUCAAUAUGGGGUCAAGAAAGGUGUACAAUCUGCAUAUCAGAAAGAUGGAUCAUUUGCAAAUAAAGGCAUAUAAUGCAUAUGUAGUCCAUAUGCAGUACAACCACAUGGAAUUUAGGCUAGGCACCAUCUUGUCUGCUUUCCAGAAUUGUACCUACACAAUUCCUUGCUUUCCUUUUUUUUAACUUGAUACGAAUACAACAUAUAUCAAGAGAUGCAGCAAAAAACAAAGAAUGAUCUGAAAGCAGAAUUAGGCUAGAAUACUUCUGGAAGUAAAUGGAUUUAUUUCCACAUCGUUUCCGUUGAUGAGGGAUCCUAAUUGAUGAUCCACACCAUUAAACUUGAUCUCUAGGCUAUUUGAACUUCUUAAAUUUCAAAUUUCGCAACUUUAGGAUAUCAUUUGCUAAGUGAUCAAGUGGUCUCAAAUUCACUAUAUGUUAGCUGUUAAAGAAUGUGAAUUUUGGGAGUAUUUGAAUACUAGAAAAAUGAUGUCAUAAAAUCACGAAAUUUGAAACCUAAGAGGUUCAAAUAGCUUAGAUCAAGCUUCACUGUAGGGAUCGGCACAUUGCAGGAAAUGGCGCGGAAGUAAACUCCCGUAUUUACUUCUAGAAGCAUUACAGCUGGAACUCUGAAGCAACAUAAUCAAGUAAAUGUUAAAUGAAACAGUUAAAACAUACUUCUUGCCGUAAUUGUCUGGCUGUCGCCUGUAACAGCUAGUUCUGACCUACUAGUAUGAGUUUCAACAGGAUUUUCUCCUUCAGUUUGCAAACAAUUCGACUUGGAGCAAAAAUUAUUAAUCCCUGGGUGUCAUGCGAAAGAAGAAAAAAGGAAAAUGUUAAAUCAAUCGAUCCAACCUCUAUGCUCAAAUUCUUAUAGUUGUAAAAUUCAAUCAUUUUAUUUCUAGCAUAUGAGACACAUUAUUUAAAUUAACAGGAUUAUUUUGUGCAUCAUGCAUUCAUUCACUAAGCCAAAAAGGACAACGUGACGGUAAUAGCAAAUUACUACUUUCUGCGAAAAAUAACCUAACAAAUGUGAACACAAACAGAUUUGGCAACCUACCGACCCCAAUGUUGCAUCUGAAUUAAGUUGAUGCGAAUAAGAGUUCGAUAAUUUAAAAGAGAAUCCAAAGCAGAUGGCUGCAUCAUCAAGCUAGUACUAUAAAAGAGGCAAAUAAUACAUUCUCACCAUCAGUCCCAUCCGGGAUCUGGGCUUCGCCCUUCGUGUUCCGAUCCUCCCCCUUCUUCUCCUUCUCCUUCUCCGCUCCGUGAUUCUCUCUGGCCCCGUCGAACCGGUUACCGUACCGGUGCCCAAACCCGGCCCUCCUCCCAUCCUUCUCCUUCGCCCCAUCGAAAUGCCGCGCCUGCAGCGGCGGGGGCGGAGGCGGCGGGGGCACGAUGGACGGCGGCGGCUGCUGCUGCUGCCGCCGCCACCCGACCUGCUGCAGCGCGAACGCGACGUCCGCCACGGGGAAGUACUGCUGCAUGUGGAGCACCGGCGUCCAGCUGCAGCGCCUCUGGUGGACGCACGCCGCGACGUAGUCGUACUCCCCGGGCUCCCCAACGCCGCGGAGAUGGUGCAGCAGCAGAUCGAUCAUGGCGUUCGCCGCCGCGAACUCCGCCCUCAGCCAAGAGAUGAACCCGUCCCUCUCAUCGAACACCCACCCCCUCUGCACCUCCCCGCCGCCGCCGCCGCCGACCGCCGCCGCCAUUGCCGCCGCCGCCGCCACGCCGGAACCCUAGUCUCUGCUCAUCCCCUCCUAGAUCCGGCAGAGAAUCCACCGAUCCGAUCGGAAAACCGCGAUCCAAGGGGCAAUGCGAGUGGAAUUUGGGAUCUACAGAUCGAUCGCACGAGUAAGAAUCGAUUCACUACAGAUCCGUUCUACCGAUCCCGAUUGAUCUUAGGAAUUCGAACCACACCUAAUGGAGAGGGAUUGAGGGUAGGAGAUCGUUGGGAUCGGAGAUCUAGGGUUUCGGAGAGGAGGAGGAGGAGAAGAGUAGUGCCUUCCGAGGCACGCUUCUCCUGCUUCUGCCCAUUUGAGUGAGAGAGAGAAGAGAGAGAGAGAGAUAUUGGAGGGAAGAUUCGUGGCACUGAGAUGCCCCGGCGACCGCAUAGUGGUCUCUAUGCGGGAAUGGAGCACGUUACGGACGGUUGGGAUCGGUUUGGGGAGGUCAAUGGACGGUGGAUGUGGCUGCUUCGGAGUAAUAGUGGUGUCGGUUGGACCAGGAGGGGUAUUUAAGGAAAAGUAGUUGGAAAUCACGCACGAGUCGUUACGCGAGUCUAGUGUGAGCGAGUAGUUUUUGCCUGCACCGAGUGUUUAUUUAUACACUUCGUACGCCACACAUCAUAUUUAAUGAUUUAUAUAUAUUUAAAAAUAAUUUAACAAAUUUAAUUUGAAAUGUUUAAAGUCAAUAUACAGCAAUUUGUAUACUUUUAUUAAAAAAAAAAAAUCUAUAAUCAAGGCAUCAUGUAGGCCCAAAAUUAAUAUUUAGAAAAAACUAUUGUUUAAUUUCUAAAGAAAAUGCCUAAAAUAUAUUAAAAGGCCUUGAUUAAGUAUAAUUAUAAAUAUAGUACAGCAAGAAAUGCAAGCAGAUAAAUAUGAUGUUGUUUGUAUUGUAUUUAGUUGAAUAAAAUGGAAAGUACGACAGCAAAAAUAUAUUAUUUAUUUCGUUGCUGGUAGCUGAGAAUUAUAUUUUAUAAAUUUAACACUUUAUAUGUAGGAUGAUAGGAUUAUUCUCAAUAAAAAAGAAAAUAAAUUACUUAUUUAAAAGAUAUUAGUAAGGUAAGUUUAUUUAAAACUAAUCUUUUCAACCAUUGCAGUUGAAAAUGCGAUCAACUCAGGUGUAAUUUCAACUGCUGUAGUGGAGCUUUUUUGUGUAACUCGAACUACAACAGUUAUAUUUAAAACAUACCAUAAUUUGUAGAUAGUUAAAAUUGCAGUGUAGUUACAAAUGUAUGCAACCCAACGGUCGUUAAAAAAAGUUGCAUUUUGAUUUAGGGGCAUUUGGUUCAACGUAAGACAAAGGGAAAAAUUAUUUUUUGUACGAAAAAUACUUUCCCGCUUAUUUUGUUCGACGUAAAAUUAUUUUUCCGUAAAAGUAUUUUUACGGAUUUGGAAAAAAAAAAUUGAAGUUUUAUUUUUCGCUAUUUUUUGGCCGAAAAUAAAAACUCAAAUUGCAUAAAAUUUUUUCAUUCAUUUUUUUUCAUUAAACCAAACAAAUAUAGAUUUUUUUUUUCUUUCAACCAAACAAAUGUUGUUGAAAAACUUUUUUUUUGCUUCUACAAAUCACACAUUACAAAACUUUUAAAAAAUUUCCACGGAAAAAUUUUUUUCAUAAAAAAUUAUUUUUCAUAAUUUUACGUUGAAACAAACCGAUCUCAACUCGAAUUUGUCACCAAAUUUUAAGGAUGCAGUGUGUGAGAUACACGUGUGCACCAGGUGCACGCAGUAAGUUCCUUUUGUUGCAUGGGAAACCAAACCCGUUUGUCUAAAGCGGCGAGUAGGGGAAGGAGAAAAGAUUAGGGAAGUGGUCCAAAUUCAUUUCCCACGUUCCACGAGCUCAUUCACUUGAGGACAGAGUCUACGGUAAGGAGCCGCGUAUGUAACGCCACGUUCAAAGACACCCUCAACUAUAUGAAAUUUGACCUCACAACUUCUUUUUUUUUUUUUUGAGCUUUGCCCCUAUCUGCACCUUAAAAAAAAGGAUUCAUUGUUUACACGUUCCUACAAAUAUGAUGAAUUAUAGAUAUAUUCCUGCAAAGCUCAACUUUCAUAAGUUAUUUCUACAAAAGUCCUAAUGUAUUCAGAUAUAUUCCCUCUGGUUAAGAUCCGUUAGAGAGCUAUUAAUUUUUUAAUAGUAGCGUUGUGAAAUGACAAUUUUGCUCUUACCCUUUUCCUCUUCCUCUUCCUCUUCCUCUUCAAGCUUCGGAAGCAGAUGGCGGCGACGGCGACUUUGCGGAGCUUGUCGGGGUUGCGGCCAACGAGGACAAGGAAGAGGUGGAAGGCGAAUGCGCGACCGAUGCCGUCGGAUGAGCCCGUGACGACGGCCCACGCGGGCACCACGACGACGACUACGAUCGGAUCAUCGACGACGACGACGGCGACGAAGAAGAAGAAGAAGAAGUAGGAGAAAAGGAGGAGGAAAAGAAGGAUAUGGAGAAGAAGAGGAAAGAGAAGAAGCAGGAGAGGAAGAAGAAGAAGGGAAAAAUUGUCAAUUCACAUUAUUAAUUAACCAUGGUUAAGUAUUUUAACUGUGGUUAACGAAAUUUCUCUAACGGACCCUAACAGAAGGAACAUAUCUGAAUAUAUUAGAAUUUUUGCAAGGAUAACUUAUGAAAGUUGAGCUUUGUAGGUAUAUAUCUGUAAGUCACCAUGUUUGCAGGGACGUGUAUGCAAUCAACCCUAAAAAAAAUAACGUACAUCUUACACAUCCUCAUCGAAGAAUAAAAAAAUAUAAUAUAAUAAAAUCAAUUCGGAUUUGUGACAUCCCAAUAGUCUCACAUCGGAUAGUUAUGGUUAAAUGUGGGAGUAUAUAAACUUGAUUGGACUAAACAUAAUAACUGGGCUUAAAUAUUUUGGGCGAGUGGUUUUGGCCCAACGAGUUAUUAUUGCUAGCGGGUCGAGUCAUUACAUUUAGUAUCAGAGCAGGUUCACCAGCCGGAAGUGUGAGAUAAGUCUUGGCUGAGCCAGAGUUAAAAUGACAGACUAAGCCAAGGUUGGUAAUUGACAGGCUAAGUCAGGGUAGGAAUGACAAAGGCUAGAAAGAUAAGUCUCACAUAGCCUUGUGAUUUUGGGCUUGGGCUGUGUUUAAGACUGACAAGGACAUCAGGGCUUAAACAAGGAGAGUCUGUGACACCCGAAUAGUCCCACAUCGGAUAGUUAUGGUUAGAUGUGGGAGUAUAUAAGCUUGAUUGGGCUAGACAUAAUAACUAGGUUUAAGCAUUUUGGGCCGGUGGUUUUAGCCCAACGAGUUAUUAUUGCUAGUGGGUCGGGUCGUUAUAGGAUUCGGGUCAAAUUUUAGGUUGGGUUUGGGUCGAGUCGGAUAUAGACAAAAUGCAUAUCCGAAUUCAAUUUGUCGAAUUUUCGUUUUUUAUAUCUGUAUACGAAACUAUAUCUGUUUAGUAUCUGCUCCAUUCAGGUUCCGAUUCGAAUAAAAUUUCGGGUAUCCAUACCUAUUGAUAUCUUUGAAAAUAGGCCUAUAUCUUGUCAAUUUUUUUUUUUUUUCUAAUACUACUAAUUUAUUGAACUUUAUGAACCCUACGAUGAGGAGUGUAAGAUCCACACCCCUUUUGGGGUCUACAAGUAAAUUUUACUUGUAUUUUUUCAAUAGGAGUGUAGAUCUUAUGCCCACGUUACUUGGGUUUAUAAAAAUUUAAGUAAUAUUUAGUAAAAAAGAUUGAUAUUAUAAGUAGAGAAUGAUGGCUCAUGGAUGAAGAAAGUGUUGUUAUGUAUUUUUGGGUUGGCAUAUUUUGUGACUUAUCGUGAUGAGUCGUUUAGGUUGAGUCGGAGUCUUAAAGGAUUAAAAAAGAGAGGAUGAAGCUUGAAGACUUGAAGACUCAAUAUUUGAAUUCACGAUGCUUGGUAAGUCUUUAUAAAGUUAAUGGUGAUUUAUGAACAUUUACAAGUGUUUGGAAGACAUUAGAAUAGAUAAAAAUUGAUUUAAAAUAUAAAAAUUAAGUUUUUCAAAUUUCAAGUUUUGGACCCUGUUGGAAGGUCCGGAACCCAUAAGCCUUCUUGGCUGGUAGGCUGUGAAGGUCAGGACCUUGGUAGGGAAGGUCAGGACCUUGGUAGGCAAGGUCAGGACUUUGAAGUUCUGGAAAACUUUAAGUUCCGGACCCUGAACUCAUGGUCCGGAACCUGAACCCGACACAGGUUUUUUAAACUCAGUUUUUUAAUUUUAAUUUAAUUCUAAUUGCCUCCGAACCUAUAAAUAAGAUGUGGGGGUGUCUCUAAAGCAUGGUUAAGCAUAUUUUAUCCUUUAGAAACCCUAGAAGCUUGUAGGUACGUAGCUGUCCUUCUUAUCUUCUACAACAAGCUUCUCUCAAAUUGAUUCUCAUUGCCCUAGAUCUUUACUUUCUUCUAGAAUCAAUUUGAGAUUUGUUUAGAGAUAUCUUCUGUGGUUCCUUCAUGAUCAUCUAAGCAAUAAAUCAUCAUUAACUUAUUCAAUCUUGCUCCGGACGGAGUGUGCUCAUGGAUUUGAGUAGGCGUUGUGGAUUUGGUGUGAUCAAAGCUUCGUGGAUUUGAAGUAUGGACGUCUAGUGGAUUCGAGACGUUGCGUUCGGACGUGGGGCGUGGACAACCUGUUGGUAUGCGCGAGAUCCAAAGAAGAUAAAAGGAGUAAGGAAAACUCCUAGUGGAAGGUUCAUAUUGAGAGCCUUUCUAAUAGCCAUUGAUGAGCGGGUUUGGCAAUCGAUCGAAUUUGGAUGAAAACAUCCUACCGAAAGGUUGAGAAUGUUGAUAAGCUAAAACCUCAAAAUAAAAGGAGUAAGGAAAAGAUUGAUUUAUCUUUUUACAACGGUGGGGGAAUCAAUGUCUUAUUUAAUUCCUUAAAUCAAAUCGAGUUCUCACCUGUCUCAGCAUGAGAGACGGCAAAAGAGAUAUGGGAUACUCUCCAAGUUACGCAUUAAGGAACUAGCUUGGUAAAGAUCCAAAAACUACAAAUCCUAAUAAGUAAAUUUGAUUCUAUUUGUAUGGAGGAACAUGGGACCUUUACUAAGUACUAUACCCGUCUUCAAGACAUAGUUAAUACAUGCGCAAGCUUAGGAGAGAAAAUUUCGGAGCCCAAAGUUGUAAGAAAAAAUUUAAGAACACUUCACGAAAGAUUUCGUCCGAAGGUUGCGGCAAUUGAAACCGUUAAACAUCCGGAUAAUUUGAAAGCUGAGGAAUUAAUAGGUACUUUACAAACAUAUAAGAUGACUUUUCCUACUAAUCAAUCUUUUUCCAAAGUUUUUUCUAAAAGUAUAGGUAUUGCACUCAAAUCUACUACGGAGAAAAAGACGACUCAAAUUUUGAUAAAGAAAUCACUUUUGCCGAUUUUGAACAACAAUUGACACUUCUUACCAAGAAAUUUCAUCGGAACUUUCGGAAGGAUCUUCAAGUUUAAAAUCCUUAAAAGACAAGAAACUUACAAAAAUCUCUAAAGAAAAAGAUAAUUUGAAGGAAAAAUCCAAUGCUAUAAAUGCAAAGGUUACGGACAUAUUUCUACGAAUUGUCCUACUAAAAAAUUGUAACAUAUUAAAACCUCGAGAGCGAUUAUCGAACUUUACCCAAAUUGGGUUAAAGUGCCGAGAGAACUGGUUGGACAAGUUCCAUUUAGCAUUCCAACAAGGUUGGAAGGGCUAAGAAUAAGUUUAAGAGGGGUUAGAAGGUUUUAGCAUCGACCGGCGCGAAGUAGAGUUGAAACGAUGCAAAAACUGCAGUCUGGGCAAAGUGUACCGGUACAACAUCAAUGUUGUACCGGUACAAAACGGCUGACCGAGAGAAAGUUGCUCUCGGGUUUGCCUCUGCACGAUCGUGUAACCGGUGAUAGAUGAAAGUGUACCGGUACACUUUGGUCUGGCAGCAACUUUGAAGUUGUUGCAAAUAAAAAUUGUUGGGGGGCCUAGUUGCAAUUGUGACACACUAUGUAUGACCCCAUCCCUCCCCUUUCUUCACAGCAGCAAGGAUAUCUCUCUCAUUCUCAUUUUCUCUCCCUCUCUCUCUCUAGAAGCUUUGCACCAAGGCAAAGGAGAAGGAGAAGAAGGUUUGAAGGAGAUAUUUUGGAGGUCUAGAAGGCUUUAGAAGCUCUCCAACAAGGUGGAACUUGGGAGGAGCUUAGGGCUAAGGUGAGUUUAUGCAAGAACAAUUCUAGGGUUUGGAUUUCCACCAAAACUUAGAGUUUUGACCUUAUCUCAUGUUUAGAAACUUAGUUGAGACAUUGAAUACAUGAAAUCCAUGGUUUUCUCAAGGUGCUCUCAUGGUGGUCAUUUAGGAUUCAUAGUAGAUGCUCUAGAAAUGGUUCAAAUGGCUUAGGAAUGGUAUUAGAGAGCUUCCUAGAUGAUUCUAAGCUAGUAUUUUGCUUAGAUACAAGAUCAAUCUAGGAGAAAUUUAAAUAUAGCAUUGUUAAGGCAUGGAAUUUGGGGCUUUUACCUCCGAUCGUUUUCGAGGUAAAUUGACCUCAUGGAAAUGUAAUUAAGAGUAUUUUCGACGCGUUGGUGCGCUCGGUUCGGAGAAACGAAGAGUCUAUAUAAAGAUAUUUAAUAAAAAGCCUAAUUUAGCACUAUUUUGGUACAGAUCACCGCAGCACACGGAAUAGGAGUCUAAAAAUUGCGAGAAUCGAACCCCAACUUCUCUACUACUAUUCGAGGUGGGGGGUGCACUCCGAAAUCAUUGGAUUCCCUUUUAUAUCUAUUUCAUAUUUUUGUUGAGUAUUAUGUCAAUAGUUAUUCAUGCAUGGUAGGGUGGUUUACAUGUGAAAAUUGGUUGAAUUUCAUUUAUAUACUUCUAACGUAGAUGAACAUAGAGAAUGAUAAGAACCAUAGUGGACAUGUAUGUGGGAACCCUAAACUUGUAUGAAUGUGAGACCCGGACUAAGAUAAUAGUAAACAAAUGUGACAUUGAUAAUAGAGACAAGAUUGGCAUCGAGAUACACAUUGUUAAACCUAGUUUAAACAAUAGUGACAUUAUGGCAAGAGUAGCCUAGAGAUUGGCAAGUAUGAUAAGGUAGAGACCUAUCAUUGUUAAAGUGGCAUUGUGACUAGUGGCUAUAUGUCCUCAAGUUGAGGAUUGGAUUGAUACUCACGAUAAGUUUUGGCUUGAGGGAGGUAGCUCCCCCUUAAGCGGUGCGUUCUGGAAUAGUCACCAUAGGGAGCGAGGUCCCCGAAGACGGUACCCAGGGAGGUUUGAGUCCCCCGUUAUUAAGAGAUUUUGGGUUGUGAGUUAUUGGGGUUAACAAGGUUAGCCGGUGAGAUUGGGUUAAAGCCAAAGUAAAGUUAUGAAAUAAGCAUGCAUGCAUAAUUAUUCUUAUUCGAUUAUAUAUAUCUACUGACAGUGUUUCUUGCAGGCAUAGUAUUAGCAUUAGUAUUGGUUACUGCUUCUCUUUCUUGAAAUACUUAUACCUAAAUAGACCUAGUGGGUAAGUCGGCGAGGUCGGUUGCCGAACCCACCGGGAACUUCGUUGUAGUUCUCACACCACUAACCCUACAGAUCCGAGCGCGAGCGGGGUGGCGGAGGAUCGAGGCAAGGGUAUUGUGUUAUAGCUAGUGGCCACCGGAGUACUUGCAUUUAGUCAUCCCUUUUGUGUACAUGUAUCAACUUUUAUUUUGUUGAUCUAUAGUUGUAUAAGUUGAAAACAAAUCAUGUAUUUUUGGCGGAAUGAUUAAGAUGUAAAGAAACCUUGAAUGAAAGCAAAAUGAAUGUAAUAGUUUAGUUUACUAGUAUUUUGUUUAAUUGUAAUAAAAUAUUAUGUAUGGUUGUAUGUUGUAGCUUAGAGCUUUCGCUUCCGUUGUUGCUUGCCCUCGUGCAAGCCUUGGAUAAUUGCAAAUCUCAUUGUUUGAUUACUUUAUUAUACUUGUUGCUAGAGCCUUGGGCGGGCAGGGGAGGCCCUGUCCGUUCGGCGUUUGUUCGCGUGGCCCGAACCCGCCAAAUUGGCGGGGAGCAGGGCGUGACAAAAAUCAUAUGAGAUAAAAGCUUCGCAAGUAAAAACUUGGGACGAUUCUACCUCUGAUGAAUCAACCUCAAGUGAAGAGGAGAAAAAUGAUGCCAUAGCUUUAUGUUCUUAUACUUCUUUACCUUCCUUUUCGACUCUUUGUUUAUAGUCAAUUAUUUCUGAUUCUUUUGUUUCUCUUUCCUUGCAUGAAACAUCAACGAACAACGGCGAGAGUGAGAGGGAGUCAGACGAUGAGUGCUUAGCCAAGGCGUAUCAACAACUACUUAAAGAAUCCGAGAAGAUGGCUAAGCACAACAAAAAUCUGAGAAAGCGAUUGCUUGAGCUUGAGGAUGAGAACAAUAGAUUGAAGAAUGCAUUUAAAGCUCUUGAGGAGGAAAAGGAACACGUAUUAAAGAAUAAUAAUGUCCUCCAAGAGAAGUUAGACUAAUCGGAGAUGACGAUCAAAUCACACCAAGAAAAAAUUGGUUUUCCAGAACAACAAUAUAAGGUAAUCCAUACUUCCAACCAAGUUUUAACCAAUCACGUUCAUCAAUUGAAAUCUGACAUUCAAAAAUUUUCUUCUGGAUCGAAAAGGCUAGAACAUAUACUCGGAUUCGGUCAAACGGACAAACUUGAGCUUGGUUAUGAAAGAACUUACAUUAAGAAGGUAAAAAGUUCAACAUCUAAAUUCUCAACAAGACUGAGAGUGGACUGAUAGGGGACUUUACUCACGACAAUAAAAUCGGUCUAUAGCGACACUUUUAAAUGUCGGUAUAGGUCAAAAAAAGUGUUGUUGGCUAAAUUACCGGCACUUUUAAAAAGUGUUGCUAUAUGUGGGGUCGCUAGGUAUAUAGUGACAGUUAAAGAGUGUCGCUAUAACCUAAAAGAGUGCUGCUAAUUUAUUAACACUUAUUUAAGCAUUUAGCAACCGCCGAAACUCUAUCUCAUUGGCUGUGGUAGUGGAGGAGAACGAAAGGAAGGGAUCUUCGUCUAGGAUUUCAGUGGAUUGAGUGAGGAGAGAAGGGGAGAUGGUAAUCGAUUUUUUUUUUUUCUUUUCUAUUUAUAAUCGGGCCGAAUGGGCUGGGUAGGGUAGAUUGAGUAGAGUAAUCUUUUAUUUUUGGUUGGAUUGGGUUUUAUAUUUAAGCAUUAGUAGAUUUUUUUUUAAGUUUUGGCAUAAAUAGGAUACUUACACAAAAGUGUCCCAAACAUGUGUCCCUAUAACCUAAUUCUGUUGUAGUGACUGUUGAUAGUUCGGGAGUACUACGGUACAUGGACCGAUUGUGCGCCUAUAGAUUCAGAGAUUCGAGAGGAGAUUUUGAGAGAGGCUCAUUACUUCCCUUUUACGGUUCAUCCUGGUUGUAACAUGCCGAACUUCUAUAAUUAUGAAGUUAUGGUCUAUGUUAGCUUGGAAAGCCGUUAGAAUGGUUACGGUGAAGUUCGGAAGCAUUCGGGUGCUUCAAUGCGCGUAGGGUGCGAAAACGGAGCCCGAAAGGCUAUGUUGGAUCAUGGACUAAAUCCAACAAAGGCAUGGAUGAAAAGAUGGUUUAAAUACGCUCGAAAACAUAUUUUGUGAGUCUCGGUUCGAUUUGAAACGAAUCGGAGGUCAUACAAGCGAAAACGGACCCGAAGGCUGAAAAUGCUGAAAAUUUGGCUAAGUCUGGAAGGUGCAGAAUUUUUGGACCUUCGGGGACCGGUCUCUCACUGCCAGGGACCGGUCCCAGCACGUGAAAAUGCCCAGAAUGAGCAGGGGCAUUGUGUUAAACAUAGAGGGGUGUGGGGGAUUAAGUGCAAAUGUGUGUAUAUGAGUUUAUAUGUUGGAGAGAUGAAGUUUAGUCCUUAUUUCUCUCCCUCCAAUCCAACAUGAGAGCUCUCUUUCUCUCUCUAGAUUUCCCUCUCCCUCUCCCUUUGAGGUGCUCCAAUGGUGGAGCCAUGGUGGAGAAGAGAAGCUUGGUGGAGAUGAACCCUCUUGUACAACCUUGCUUGGAGGAAAGCUUCAAGUUUGAGAUAAGUACCCUAGGUUUUGAGGGUUUUAUGGCUUUGAUGUUAGGGUUUGGUAUUUCCUUCUAGAUCUAGCUUCUAGGAGUGUCAUGGUGAGGUUAUUCAUGGAUUUCUAUGGUCUAGGUUAUUCAUGGAUUUCUAUGGUCUAGGGACCUAUUUGGGAAAGAUGAUAAACCAUAGGGGUUAGAAAAUGGGAUUUUGUAAAGUUGAGAUCUAACUUGAGUUUGAUCUCUUGCUAACCUAAUUGAUAGGUCAACGAACGCGUUGGCGCGCUCGAUUCGUCGAUUCGUCGAGCCGGUACGAAGAUAUUGAAGAAACAAGCUAAAUUGGUACAGAUGGCCGCAGCUCGCGGCGUAGGUGUCUAAAAAUCAUGAAAAUUGAAUCGGGGCUUCUCGGCAUUCCUACAAGUUGGGGGGUGCUGUCCGGAAACACCAGAUCUCUUUUUAUGUCUAUGUCACUUCUUUGAGCAUGUUGAUAAUGUUGUACUCAUGCAUGUAGGGUAAUGAGAUAAAUGUUGAUUGUGUUAAUUAUCUGCUUAUGAACAUUGCAAAUAUAUUAUAGAGCCAUGAGAACGAGAAAAUGAACAAUCCUAUAUGUAUGUGAAAGUGAGAAAAGACUUGAUCCAUAGUAAAUAAAGGUGACAUUGACUCUAGUGACAUGAUUGGCACCAAGGACAUAUUGUGCUAGAUAAGGUAAAACCUUAAAAGCAUUGUAAAAUAUUGACUAUCCCAUUAGUGGACAUUGUAGCAAGUGUGGCCCUAGAUAAUGUGACCCUAUGACAAUAUGAAUUGAUGUGCUCAGUAGGGUAAGCCCUUAUGAGCAAUAUGAGAAUAAUGGAAAAAGUGGUUAAAGAUGUAAAGACCAUUCUAUGCAUUGUGACUAUUGUUGCUUAGUAAAGUGACAUACAUGAUUAGGUAAAGACCUAUCAUCGGUAUUGUGGCAUCAUGGUUAAAGAUGUAAAGACCAUUCUAUGCAUUGUGACCAUUGUGGCUUAGUAAAGUGUCAUACAUGAUUAGGUAAAGACCUAUCAUCGGUAUUGUGGCAUCAUGGUUAAAAGAAACGACUAAACAAGAUUUAGCUUAUUGUGGCAUCAGGACCGUUGUGAUAUUGGAAAUGGUAGUAUAUGCAUGAAUAGGUAAAGACCUUUCAUCGGCAUUGUGGCAUUGAGACUGGUUGGCUAUACCUCCUCAAAUUGAGGAUGGGAUCAUACUCACAUGUAUUGGUUCCGGCUUGUGGAAGGUCGCUCCUCCACAAGCGGUGUACUCCGGAGUGAAAAACACCACGGGUGAGAGUGCCCGGCGAAGAUCCUUCGGGCGGUUGAGCCUUGUGCCUUCCCCGUUAGACGGGAUAUGUGGACUGUGAGUUUGGGGUAAACCAGGAGCACCCCGGGUUGAUUGGGUAAAGGCCAAAGGAAAGUGAAAAGGGCAUGCAUGAAUAAUCAUCAUGUAUUUGAAUAUGAAUAUCUAUCUAUGAAUUGCUUUCUUGCAGGCAUUGUAUUAGAAGUGCAUUAGUUGGUUUGUUAUCCUUCUUUAUUGAAAUACAUAUGCCUGAAGUAGACCUAGUGGGCGAAUCGGCGCAGUCGGUGGCCGAACCCACUGGGAACUUCUUCUAAUUCUCAUCCCACUAACCAUGCAGGUUCUAGCGCGAGCGGGGCGAUCAGGGCUCGUGGCGUGGUUAUCGUGCUCUAGGUAGCGUACUACCUUUAUGUAUAGAGGCACCCAUGUAUAUUUCAUUUAUUAUGUCGAUAAUAUAAAAUAUAAAAUAUAAAUGUAAUAAGAUCAUGUGAGAGGUGAAAAUGUAUUAAGUUCAUUUGAGAGAUGAAAUUGUAAAAUUGGGAUGAAUGAAUGUAAAGAAAUUGUAUGAGCUUUGUAAUUGAUUGAAAGUGAUCAAGAUACAAUGUAUAAAAAUGUAAUAGUUAGAUCACUUUCACUUCAUAGAUGGUUGUUGCUUGCCCUCGUGCAAGCCGUGUAUACUUGCAUUCAUUAUGUUUGAAUUGCUAUCGUUAUACAUGUAUUGGUGUAGCCUUGGGCGGACAGAGGAGGUGCUGUCCGUUCGGCGUCUGUUUACGUGCCCGAACCGACCAACUUGGCGGUCCCGGGGCGUGACACUGGUGGAACCAAAAUAUAUAAGUAUUCGAAGGCGCACUUCUGGUGGAAUAGGAUGAAGAGAGAUAUUAGAAGAUGUGUGGCUCGGUAUUUGAUUUGUCAAUAAGUGAAGACGGAGCAUUGUGUACUUGCUGGCAAGCUUCAGAACCUUCCAGUGCCAGAGUGGAAGUAGGAUCAGAUCACCAUGGAUUUUGUUGUGGGUUUGCCGAGAGCACAUGGUGGUUUUGAUGCCAUCUAGGCAAUACUGGAUAGAGUGACCAAGUCUGCUCACUUUCUACCGGUGCAAACCACUUGGUCCAAGGAGCGACUUGUCCAGUUGUAUUUGGAUUAGGUAGUGAUGUUACAUGGAGUAUCUACAUCAAUCGUAACUUUCACGCCCCGGGACCCAGCGGAAGCCCGCCUGGUACAUGUCCAGACCCGCCAUAUGCCUAUAACAUAUAAGGCGUCUACAGCAAAGCGAUAAAUAAAACAAUAAUAAUCGAACAACUAAGAGUAUCAGAGCAUACAAUAACUAGAUUCUAGAACAAGGAGGCAAAUAAAAGAACUAAUCUACUAACACAAACAAUAGAGUAGUACAAUAGGAAAUCCCAAAUACAAGUGCUAGAUGUACAAAAAUGGUGGUCUCUACUCAUAAGUACAAAACUCAAACUUUUUACAUCAAGUACAGAAAUAGAGAGAUGAACCACCUAGUAGAGAAUACUCCUCGUUAUCUAGCUAGUAGCGAUCCCUUUAUCGCAAUCCCGCGCCUCUCCCAAGGUGGAAGGCUCUGUAAUAAAACAACAAAAUAUGGGGCGUGAGAACUAUUAAUCAAUAGUUUUCAGUGGGCAAUUGUUGACCUUAGCGAAAUGCACCACUAGGCUAAAAGGCAAAAGUAGUAAGUUCAACUAGUAAAUGAAAAGAGCGACAUGCAGAUGAAACAUGAAUAAACUUACUAACUACUAUGCCUCUACUUUAGCAUGUAUAUCCACAAAUAUAAAUGCUAUUCUAACAUGAAUAUGCAUAAAUAUAACCAACAUGAUGCUCACAAGUGCAACUAGUAAAAUGUCAUUGUUUACUAAUUUGUCUAAUAUUCAUUUUGUAUUUUAGUUCAAUAAUAUUCUGAUUAAAUAGGACCUACCCGUGGGUAGUCCGGCUUGCGCCGUGCCUAAUGGCCCCGUGGUAGUUAACAUUCCCAUCCUAGGAAUGAGGCUCCCCCACGGCAUGCCAUUUCGGCGCCCAAUCCCGCACGAGCAAGCUUAUGUCGCGAUGGCUAUCUCCGGAGUGCCGGCUUGUGGGGCGACCUUCACAAGCAUGUGUGAAUGAGCACAAUGGCAAGUAAGCGUAAUCAUCCGUCUCAAAUCCAAAGUCAUCAUGUCUAAAACAUGGUAUAAGAGCUAGUGACCCCAAAGGCCUAUCACUAUAUCAUCUUGUAGAAGCUAAACAUUUACUAUGUUGAAUGCUCCUUUAUGGCAUUUUUGUCCACUAUGUCACACAAGAGUUCUAAAUCCAACAGCAUGUUAUUCUCGUCCUUUUCAUUACAUAAAACAUGAUUCCAAACCAUAAAAUAGAAUGCUAACCAUAUGCAUAGCUACAAUGCACAUAUCUCUCUCUACUACAUAGAGGCAAUUUUUCAUAAAAUAUAACAUAUAUAUUUUAAGCAUUUUAAAAUUCACAUAUGCUCUAUCUAGCAUGAAUAUGCAUGAAUUUCUAUUUUUAGAAUAAGAAAAAUAACAUAGGGGGGAUUUCACCCGUUUCGGUGAGGUCAAACCCACCAAGAGCUCCUCGGAACUCUUCGUUCGCGCAAAAGAAGGUAUCCACUAGCCUCCUAGCUCCCUAAAGAAAAUUCUACAAGGGUUAGAUGCAACGAACGAACACCCCAAAGAUCAACUUUAACCAACCCAAAAAAAGGGCAAAAACUCACCUUGUAUGGUGAAAAUCUCUUUCAAUCUUCAAAUGAGAGCUAUAACCCUUUUAAUCCAACCCAAAUGAAGGUUCUACAUCUAUCAAUUAAGCCCCUAAAGCCACAAAUCAAAAAUUUUCAAAUAAAAUCCUAGAUUCUCAUUUCUAGGUUUUCAUCAUGAAAAAUCCACCAAAACAUGGAUUAAAUGAGGGAAACAAGCUACUAACCUCUUUAGAAGCUUCAAACUAAAUUUGGAAUGAGCUAGGGUUGAAGAUCUCUCGUCCAACAAGCUCCAAUCCAAGCUUCAAGACUUUUCUUAUAGUGGAAAUAACAUCAAGAAGCAAAAAGAAGCAAAAAGAGGUGAUUAAUCCUCAAAAAUUCCAACAAUAAUGGAAGAAAAUCAAAGAGAGGAAGAGGAGGACUUCCCUAUCUUAUUCUCCACUGGUCCAAGCUCAGGGAACACAAGAGGGGGCGUGGGGUAUAUGUAGUAUUGCUACAAAUGCAAUUACACCCCUAAAAAAUAAGCAGUCUACGAACUGCACUGCGUACCGGUACGUGGGAAAGAGUACCGGUACUGGCCAGCAGUACGCGCAAACCCGAGCCUCGGGUUGGCGAACAAUUGCACUGGGUAUCGGUACCAGCUCGAUGCAGUAUCGGUACCACCUCCAGUUCCGGUACCAGGUCAAUGCAGUACCGGUACUCAGCCCUGCAGAGGCAAACCCGAGAGCAGCUCAAAAUCUUCACUUUAGAGAUUUUGGUGCUAAGUUUUAAAGCUCGUUUCUCGGGAUGCGAGCCAUAGGUCGGAACACCAUCGAUGACCCUCCAGAAUACCUGGGAAAACUCUAUACACAAAUUAAACACUCGAACCUCGUAAUUUGCAAAGGUCCAGUGUGUUAUAGUAUCAUAUAGAGAUUCGAGGUUCGUUUCGCAUUUCUAGAGGAGCUUUCAGACAGCUUUGGGUACGCAACUUCACUUUAGCAUGACGUUUCAUCCGUAGACAGAUGGUCAGUCGGAGCGGACUAUUCAGACUUUAGAGGACAUGUUGUAAGCUUGCGUCUUGGAUUUUGGAGGUGGGUGGCAUCGAUACUUGAGAUUGGUUGAGUUUGCGUAUAACAAUAGCUAUCAAGCAAGCAUUCAAAUAGCUCCGUUUGAAGCGUUGUAUGGGCGCAAGUAUCGAUCACCCUUGAAUUGGAGUGAGGUCGGUGAGAGAAAGGCUUUGGACCCUGAUUGUUACGCCCCGGGACCGCCGAUUUGGUUGGUUCGGGCACGUGUAUAGACCGCCGAACGGAUAGAGUUUCCCCUAUCCGCCUAAGGCUCCACAAAACAAGUAUAUCGAAUUUCCACUCAGGAAAAACAGUACAGCACAGUUUUGCACGAGAGCAUAUGACAAGAGCGAGAAUGUAAACCUAACAAUUACAACAUUGAACAUUUAUAUUUUACAUCCACUUUUUCACUUUACAUACAUGAAUCUUUUUCCAAUAUACAAUUACACUUCUGUUUCCCAAAAUUACAUUUACAUUCUUUUGCUUGGACAUAGGGCGAUCUAUACUAGAUGACCCUGCUAUCUAGGUGCAACGCCUAUGCCUCGAUCCGCUGCCGCUCCACAAAUGGUAGCUCUGCAACAUCAGGGGGUGAGAACUAAAAGAAGUUCCCAGUGGGUUCGGCCGCCGACCUCGCCAACUUUCCCACUAGAUCGAAUAAGGCAUAGUAAUACAAAAGGAGAUAGCAAUGCGAUAUAUAAGCAACUGAAUAUGCAAUCUACCACUACUAAACAUACAAUAUGCAAUAAUGAUUACUACUAUGCCUUACAAUAAGGAAUGAAUGUCAUGGUCCAUUAUGAUCAAUGGUGUUUCUCACACACACUUGACCCAAUCGGGGCUUCUCACAAGACCAAGCCCAACUCACAAGAAUAUCAUGAUCGACCCCAUACACAGCAUGCGAUCUCACUAUGCUUACUCUCUACAUAAAAUGCAACAAUGCAAAUAGUAUAAGAUACAAUAUGGUCAAUCAACCUGUCUCUUUUCUUUUUGACCCAAUCAUAACAGCUCACACGAAGUCAAGCCAAACUCACCAAACCAAAUCCCUCAGUCAGGGAGAAUUCUGCUACAACCCGCUGGGACCGUCUGUUGGGGAGAAUUCCGCUACCACUCAGAUAUAACAACUCCGAAGCUCACUGCUUGAGGUGGAGCGACCACCCUCAAGCUAAUCAGACUAUAUGUGAAUAUGAUCCAAUUAUCUAACCUUGAGGAUAUCAUGCCAACCAAUGCCAUAACACUCGGAUGUAUUAAUCCCUAGUAUGGUCCAGAGCAUCUAUUUCAAUCCUUUGCAUGCUCAAUAAUAUCAUAGCACUAGAUGCCACGCUAUAAAUGCACUGACCCAAUUUUUUCCAGAUAUACUCGAGAUUUUAUUCAACUCAUGUAGCGUGCAUCAAUAGGAUAUACAAACACCACACUAUCUGGACAAAGCAACUAUGCAAUGCUUCAUAAUAAUAUGGUAACUCAACAUCAUGCCACGAUGCAAUGACCUAAUUUUUUAUUCAUACUUGAGGCUUUCUCAAUUCAUGCCAUAUCCCUCUCAUGCACAACACAUUAUACCCAAUCCAUGGUUUUAUCACAAGGUUGACAUUCAAUAUUACAAUAACAACCAAUGUAUCAUUUAUUUCAAGGUCACUACUAGAAAAUUAGUCAUUAGUGACAUUUAUUUAUGCUGUUAAAUAAUCAACAAAUGCUGCUAAAUAUUUUAGCAGUAUAUGACACCAAAUGCUGCCUAUGCCAAUGUUGCUAAAAGUAUUAGCAGCAUUUAUAAUAGGGGCGAUUGCUUAUAUACCCUUGGAAAGUUCCCAACUUUCCGAUUUACUCUUCUUAGAAGGCUAAUAUUGAAAAUACCUUUUCUACGUUCCAACCUUUCUAAUAUACCCCUAGAGUUAAAAUCUGUUAAUUAACUCUGUUAUCUCUGUAAAAUUACUAUUUUGCUCUUUCAAAUAUAUCCUUCCAUCAUCACUGACUUUCUUAUUUGCCCUUAAAGUCAGGGGCACAAAAAGUAUUUUGACUUUUGGUCUUUUUCAAUAUAGGUUAAUUACGUCGGUAGUUCCCAACCUUCGCACCAAUUUUCACUUGAGUCUCCAACCUUUUUUUUUUGCAAUUGAGUCCCUAAUCUCUUGAUUUUAUUACAAUUAGUUCCCAACCGUUAAAAAAACUGUUAAAAUUAACGGAAUCGCCACGUCAGCAUCUAUGUGGCAACCUUUUGCAUUUCAAUUUUGGUCCCUAAACUUUGCACAUUUUUUAUUUUAGUCCUUAAAAAAAUUCCAAUUUUAAAUUUAAAUUAAAAAAUAAUAUUAAAAUUAAAAUUUUAAACUAACGAGAAAUUAGAAUUUUGAAUUUGAAUUUAAAGCUGAAUUAAAAUUUUGAAUUGAGAUUAAAUUUUUAAUUUAAGUUUUUAAUUGAAUCUAAAUUUUGAAUUCAAACCUAAAAUUUUGAUUUUGAUUUUGAUAUUGAUAUUUCAAUUUACAUUUAAAAUGAAAGUUUUGAAACCGAAAUUUAAAUUUAAAAUAUGAAUUUAAAUUUAAAAUUAUAUUCAAAAUUUUGAUUUUAAAUUUUAAAUUUGAAUUUAAGAUUUGAUUUCAAUUCUAAAUUUGAAUUUAAACUUCGAAUUCAAAUUCACAUUUUGAAUUUAAAAUUUCAAAUCGAAAUUUGAAAUUAAAUUAGAAUUUAGAAUUCCAAAUGUGAAUUUGAAUUUAAAAUUAAAAAUUAAAAAUUAAAUACAAAAUUGGAAUUUGAAUUCCAAUUUAAAUUUGAAUUCAAAAUCAAAAUUUAAAUUUAAAUUUUAAAUCUUAAAAUAAUUUUUUUUUGAAUUUAUAAAUUUAAUGGGUUAAUUACACUAUUAGUCUCAAGCUUUGCACCGUUUUUCAAUUUGGUCCCUAAUCUCUUUUUUUUUUUGCAAUCUGCUAACACAGCGCCACCGUGGCGCUGACAUGGCGCCUCCGUGGCGCUGACGUGGCAUUUUUCGUUAAUUUUAGCAUCUAUCUAAUGGCUAGGACUUAAUUGAAAUAAAAUCAAAAGAUUAGGGACUUGAUUGCAAAAAAAAAGGUUGGGGACCAAAUUGAAAAACAGUGUAAAGGUUAGGGACCAUUGGUGUAAUUAACCCUUUUCAAUAUACCCCUCUAUCGUCACCAACAUUUCUUAUUUGCCCUUAAGUUAAGGGCAAAAUUGGCAUUUUAAUUUUUUUGAACUGUGGUAGAUAUUUAACUCAUGUUUAACCCAAGUUAACUUAAUAGGAGAUAACUGCGGGGGUAUUUUGCAAUAACGGUGGAACAUAUGAGAGGUGUUUUAGAAAGAAAAAAAGAAAGUGGGGGUAAAUUGGAUAUUUUCAAACGUAUGAGGACUUGAGGAGUAUAUAGGCUAUUAUCCCUUUAUAAUAAAUGCCGCCAAUAUAAAUCAAUUAUUGCUAAAAGGAAUUAAAUGCUAAUUUUAGGUUGUUUAUUAGUGGCUCAUAAAUAUAAUACUGCUAAUACAAACAUAUAAUUUUAGGAACUGAAAUUUUAAAAUUUUAAUUUUAUUUUAAAUUUAAAUUUAAUUUUUUUGAGAUAAAGGUAGCAUGUUACCUGAGAAAUAAAAUUAGCUGGAAAUGUGAAUCAAACAGGAUUCGAACUUGAGACCUCAAAUACCAACCACCAAGCCCUUUGCCACUUGCGCUAGCGACUAUCAAUUAUAUAUAUUUAAAUUUUUUAAAUUUUAUGCCUUCAAUUUUAGAAUUUUAAAAUUUUAAAUUUAAAAUGUUUAAAUUUAGAUACUAAAUUUAAAUUUUUAAUUUUCAAAUAUCAAAAUUUAAGUUUCAAAAUUUAUAGUUUUAAAUUUGAAAUUUUAAAUUUAAAAUGAAUUUAAAAAAUUAAAAAUUAAAAAUUAAAAACUAAAAAUUAAAAAUUAAAAAUUUAGAGUUUAAAAUUUAAAAUAUAAAAUUUAAAUUAUAAGUUUAAUUUUUAAAAUUAUAAGUUUCAAAUUUUAAACUUUAAUUUUAAAAUUUUUAAUUCUAAGUAAAAAGAGAUAUAUAUUAAUAAUUAUAUAUUAAUUACUAAUGAUAUUUAGUACCAAGUGCUGCUAGUUUGUUAUAUUUAGCGGCAUUCACUAAUUUACGCUGCUAAUUUAUCCUAUUUUGCAAUAUUAAUAGUAAACUGUUGCUAAAUAAUUAAAUCUAGCAGUAAUUAUCAAGUAAUACUGCUAAAUAUAUUAAUUAGCAUGAUUUAAAUAAAUAUUGCAGAGCAAAUAUCGCGACAUUUAAUAAUAAGUGAUGCUACUUUAUUAUAUUUAGUGUCAUUUUUUAUAAAAUACUGAAAACUUUAGGGGCAUUCACUAAUUUAUGUUGCUAAUUUAUCCUAUUUUGCAAUCUUAAUAGUAAAUUAUUGCUAAAUUAUUAAAUCUAGCGGCACUUAUCAAGUAAUGCUGUUAAAAAUAUUAAUUAGCGUUAUUUAAAUAAAUGCUGCGGAGUAAAUGCCGCUAAUUCAUGAAUUUGUUGUAGUGUCAUGUCCACAAUAUUUUCUAUGUUCAAUCCACUAGUUUUUCUCUACUAGUUCAACAUGUCACUAGGGUUCAUAUGUCACUAAGUUCAUGCAUCCUAAGUUCUAAGUUAUCACCACAAUUAUUUAUAUAUACAUCGUAGGAGGCAUGCAAGUUUUUGUAACAAGAAAUACUUGAACCCUAUCACAUAUAAUUAAUACACACACACACACACACACACACACACACACAUAUAUAUAUAUAUAUANNNNNNNNNNNNNNNNNNNNNNNNAGUUACUAAAAAAGUUCAAGAUGAUAAGCGCGCGGGUAUAUAUAUAUAUAUAUAUAUAUAUAUAUAUAUAUAUAUAUAUAUAUAUAUAUAUAUAUAUAUAUACUCAACAAAGAGAAUUAGACAUAGGGAGAAAUCCAACCAUUCAGGAGAGCACCACCUACCUCGUAUCGAUGUCAAGAAGCGAGAACCCAAGUCCCGCAAUUUACCGUUGUCGUUUUAACUCGACCUAAGGCUAACGAAGGUAAAUCGAUGGUUUUCCUCAAUAGGACGCCAUAGCCUCGUAGAAACUCCAAUCUUAGUUCCCAAUGCGUCGAUUUAUUCUUCAAUUAGAGAUUUAUAAGGUCAAUUUAACUCAAAACCCUAGGGUUUCCAUAUUAUCAAGAACACCCUAAAAUCCAUGUUAAAUCCUCAACCAACCUAGUUUAGAAUUAUACAAAGAUUUCAAAUACCUCAAUUGUAGGGAUUUAACCCAAACCCUAACUCAAAUCCCAUGAGCUUACCUCAAAUCCAAGCUCCACUAGCUCAACCAAGCACCAAGAGGCUUGCUUCACCUCCAAAAUCCAUCUCUAAGCUUGAUUUCCAAAAGCUCUCAUGGCUAAAAAAAGAUGGAGAAGAAAAGGUAUGAGAGCUUCUCUCUCUUCCUCUUUCCUUCAUAUGUGCGUGUGUGGGUGGGGCUAACAGGGAAAAGGGGUAAAAGGUCCCCUUAUAUAAGCCCCACUAUGAAUUUACCAAAAUACCCUUCAAAAAUAGCAUUCUGCAACGUACUCAUACCGGUACUCAGGUUGGCGUACCGGUACUCGGGCAUCCAGUAUCCGUACCCAGUUUCCAGUGCCUCAAAACCCGAGAGCUCGAAUUUCUCAUUUUGUAUUGCGUACCGGUACUUAGAUUCCAGUACCGAUACUCAAUAUAAAGUUUGCAACUUAGGCAGGUUUCACCUUUUGGAGCCUGUUUUCGCGCACGGUUUGCGCCGAAAACACUCGAAUGCUCCCCAAACUUUGCCGAAACUUAUUUAGUAACUUUUUAAGCUAGUUCCCACCAAAACUUUAUAAUUAUAGAAGUUCGGUAUAUUACACUGAUAUUCCGUUGAAAGCUGAGGAAAAUGUCAGAGUUGUGCGGCGACUUCUUGAGACCGCCCAGAGUCGACAGAGGAGCUAUGUUGAUACCAAGAGACGAGACUUAGAAUUUCAUGAUGGUGACCAUGUAUUCUUGAAAGUCUCGCCGUCCAGAGGGAUUCGCAGGUUUGGAGUUCGUGGAAAGCUCAGUCCACAAUUCAUUGGCCCUUUUGAGAUUUUGGAGCGAGUCGGGCCAGUGGCUUACAGGAUUGCACUACCACCGCGACUUUCCGAUAUUCACGAUGCGUUCCAUGUCUCGGCUCUGAGGAGAUAUGUUUUUGAUCCUUCACAUGUGAUUGAUUUCACUCUACUUGAGUUGGGCGAGAACCUGAUGUACGAGGAGCGAUCGGUGCGGAUUCUUACUCGUGAGACAAAAGAAUUGCACAACUGGGUCAUACCUUACAUGAAAAUGCAGUGGCGUAAUCACGAGGAGCGUGAGGCGACUUGGGAGCCGGAGGCUGUGAUGCAGGAAUCCUAUCCCUACCUGCUUGAGGUAUCGAGCUGAGAUAUGAGUUUAAGUUUCGAGAAAUAUUUUGUAGUGGGGGAGGAUGUAGUGUCCCUAGGGUUUAGUUGUCGGAAUGAUUAUAGUAUUAGCAACUCGUCAACACAUAUGUAGAGUGCUGGAACGAGUCGGAAUCGUUUUAACACGAAAUGGAUGCGAACACAGACUCGGCGCACAAGUAAGUCAAAACUGAAGUUCUGACAGCUUUGGGUGCCCAGAAGUGGUUUAGGGCGCCCAAAUCCUGCAGAAUUCUAGCAACAACUUGGAUAGUUUUUGGGAUUGUGCUUUGUGGGGGCCUCCAAUUGCUGUGGUGAAGGAUUUCUUGGAUUGUGGACUUGUUGGAGAGUGUGUGGAACCAAUUUAACAGUAAGUAAUUGAGAUUCAUAUGAUCAAAUUGCUGUUUUCUUGGAAUUUUAGUGUUCUUGAGCUGAAAUUAAGGUUUUUUUGGUGUUUUUGGUUCCGAAUCUUGUUGGAGCUGGAUUUUUGAAGUUGGAAUUUGUCUUCCAUCAUCAUCUACUGGUUUAGAAUUUGUUCCUUACCUGAAUUGCAACUUCAAAGGUGAGUUUAGCUCAGAUUUUUGGAUCAUUAAGCUUAUAUGCUAAUUUUUGAGGUUUUAAUGGUAAUUCUUGGAUUUUUAAAUUUAGAUUGAUGGAGAGCCUAUUGCUGGUUAUGAAGUGAUCCCUUACUCAUUUAUAGAGGUUUUGGACCCUUCUUUAUCGAAAUUAAAAGUUGAAAUUUCUGGAUUUGGGCUAGAACAAGCUUUUGCUUAAGUGCUGUAUUCUGGGUGUAGGUUUUGGUCACCGAGAAAGUGGAUUCGAAUCUGGUUGAGGGCCUUUUGGUGAUCGAUUUGAGCUCAACUUUGGCGAGGAAGCUGGGGAAUUAUUCUUAAGUAUCUAGAGGUGAGUUUGGUGAAAUUUCACUACAUUUGGAUGUGGGAAUUGGAUUAAAUCCCAUGUUGAACUCCUGUAGAUUGAAGCUGCCAGGCUGCAGUUCUGGGCUCAGGUUCUGGGUGCCCAGAAGUGCUGCAGAGUGGAUCCGAAUCCUAUUUUCUGUUGGUUUGUUUUCGGUUGAGGCUGACUUUAUGCGGGGCUUCUCCUAUCAACUUCUAGCCAUUGUUGGACUAACGUUUAAGGUGGGUCAAUAUUGUCCGGAGCCUUCGAAAUUCCUCCUAAACAUUUGAAACCCCAGUAUGUAUAGUUUUUAUAUAUAAUCAUCCAGUUUAAUAGCUCAAACGGUAGAUUUGCAUGAUAUAGGUAAAAUCUAAGUUUUGGAGCAUGCCUUAGCUAAUUUAUAAUGAUUAUUAUCUGCUGAACUGGAAUUUAACUUAGGAGAAAACUUAUUAAACUUACACCUGUCACUUUUCGAAAAGUUAUCAAAUUUAGCUUCAGAAGCUGACUUUCCUUUUGUAUCACCGUUGUUAGUGUGUCGUGGAUACUUAGAUUACUGUAGGUUGAGAUUACGCUCGUGCUGAGGGGCCCAGCUCGUUUUUACAGUAGAGUUAGACUGUUUUGUGCUGUCAGGUGGCGUCGGGAUUGACGGUGGACCCAGUCACCCAGAUUCUUACAUCUUAUAUUAGAUUGUGUUGAGGGCACGUGAGCCUCGGUUGUUAGACCAAUUUUACCCAUUUGUAUUGAUUAUAGACUGCGUGAGCCUAAUUGAGCUUCGGAGUGAGGCUUACAUGCUUACAUGCUUACAUGCUCGGCUAGAUAGCUCCCUUGAGUGCCGCUUCGGAGUGAGGCUUUUCUUGUGUUGAUAUCGCAACUGUCCCGUUUGGGUAGUUUUCUUAGACCGACCACUUUCGGGGGUGGUGUGCGGUGUAAUUUGGGCAUAGGUUGAGUUGGCCAGUUGGCGGUCCCUUGAGAUUGGACCAGUUAUGACUGAUUUGUAGCUAAUGGUGCAUUUAUAUGUCUACAGAGAGCAUGGUAUGGAUAUCAAUAAUAUAACGACAUUUAGCUGUAAAGUUUCUUCCAUCUUAAUUUACUACUCUUUUACCUAUCAGUUUAUUACUCGUAUAAAAAAUUUUGUAUCAAAAUUUUAUCUGAUUUGACUACUUUUAUACCAUUAAACUUGCAAACGACACACAUCAACAAUUAAAAAUUAUUAAUUUUGAAUAAUUUUCUAUCAUUAGGUAAAUGAUACUGAAAAAGCGUAAAAUUUAUUUUCUAGAUACUUCAAAUACGCUAGAUCAAAUCUAUCGGAGCUGAUCGUUAAUUCAGAAAUUUAAUCAUCGAAAACGACUUAGAAGCACGGAGACCUCCGUGCUCCUAAUAGCACACAAGUUAUUACUCCCUCUAGAUACAUAACUAGCCUCAAUAGUCUCAAGUUAUUUCAAUUUGCUCAACAUACUGUUUCUCAAAUUAUAAUAAUGUUGUUCGGUUUGUCAACAAAGCGUCUGCGAGGGAAAUCACAGCACACUAACUUACACCCCAAGACGAAAUAAUUUGCGCAUGAAAGAAUGCCAUAGACAACUUCACUUGAUGCAUGGGAUUCAAAAGAGAAAAAGGAACGCAAACUAAAGCAGAUAAGUGAGAAUCAGAAUUUACAAAGCAACUCAAAUCUUUUUCAGCAUUGAGAAGAGUUACAACAGUAAAACUGCAGCUAUUACAAUUUUCAUGACUCGAGGUAAAGAGAUUUCAUAUGUACAUUCUAAAGAGACUGAACAUCAUUCCAGAUCAGUAGUGACUGCACAUUUAACACUGGUAGUAUUUAUCACCUCCGUUUUAACAAGCCUUGAAAUAUUAAAACCUUCUGAAACAACAAGUCAGCUAAUUGGUAACAAAAUGGUACCUGGAAUCAACAAAGCUCUCGACAUCCCAGAGAAACGACCCGAAAGUAACAGCCUCCAAAAUAAGCCUCCUCAAUCCUGCAAAGCUUAUCUUAAUAAUCUCAUCUUUUGAAGAAUCAAUAGUCCCUUGUGGCGUGAUGACAACCUCUGGCCUCCCAAAUAAUGCUUCAGUUUGUCUCUCAAUAAUGCCGAAUGCUUCCUUCGACCUAAUCGUCGCGUACCUCUGCAGAGUCUCCGAAUCAAACGACAUGACGUACGAUCUUAACGGGCUUGGUUUAAAAGAUUGGCUCGGCCCGCCUGCACUAAAACUCAGCCCUUCCAUCUCGGGAUGAGAACUAUCAAUAAAUGGCAUCUCUUGCUUGUUUUCAGUCUCUUCUUCCUCUGGUCCCCAUGGAAGGGUUUUCAUCGACUUCUCGAGUUGAAAUCGUUGAUCCACUCGCUUGAGAAAGUACCCAUACAUUACAGAGGCAGCGUAGACCUGGCCCACACGAAGCUUGCUAAUCGGUGCAACAGAGCUCGGGUCGGGUAACCGCUGACCCAAGAUGAGAGCCAAAUGGUUCUUGAUCAUCUCAUAUGCCUCGGAAGAAUGGAGCUUCUCGAAUUUCUCCUCCGUUGAGGACCAUUGGUCAACAUUUUUAGAAGGGUCGACCGAUUGGGAUAGAGCUGGAACCAAGGAAAUUUCAGCUUCCACAAAUUUUUGGACAACCAAGGCGUAGAGUAUCUCCUCUAAAGCCCUUUUCCUUUCUUUAGCUUUCACCUCCGCGAUUCUCCUAUAUUUUAAUACCAAUCCAAAAAAAUUUAAAAUUUCCUCUACACAACAAAUCCCUAGUUUAAAUAUAGAUUUGAGACAUAUGAACCUAAGCUGCAUAGCUGAGCUUUAAAAUUUUGAUUUUGGCAACUGGCAUUGCAAUAAUUAUACUCUCUGCUGCUUAACAGAUAUUCUGCAGCUUUGCUGAUGGAAAUACUAAACCUUGUUUGUCUAGGGAAUAGGUACUUCAAUGUAAAUCUUCGCUAGAUACAAUUAUACUAAUAAUCAUCUAUUCUAGGAAAACAGGGAUCAUGCCAAAGAUGAAACUUAUGCCUUGUUAGUAUUGUAGCCACUAUUUUCUUACUUUUUUUUUAAAUGGAAUUCUAUGCAAAAGACUGCAGGAGAGAAUGAUGGAUUGCCUGGACACCUGCACCAAAGAUGUUUGCUAGGCAACAAAAAGAAAAACCUUUAGGCGCUGUUUGGUUCGGGGAUAACGAACAUUGAGAUAUAUUUUUAUUUUUCUAUGUUAGCUUAUUAUUCUGGGGUAGUCAAGAACAAAAGUAAAAAUAUGUUUGGUUUGUAAUGUCGUUAUUAUCAGGAUUAACAGAAAUUGAAUUUGUUUAAUUUUAUGAAAUAAUAAAGAAUCGUGAAAAAAAAAGUAGUGGUUGAAUUUAAUAUAUAAAAUAUAAUUUAAUGAAAAUAAUUUAUUCGAAAAUUAAUUUUAUUAUAUUACUUAAGUAAAAAUUAUAAUAUGUAUUAAUAUAGUGUAAUCAAUAAUUUUUAUAAUAAAAAUAAUUUAUUAUAAUAUGUAAUAUAGCAUUUCUACAUAAUUUACUUUAAUUCAAUAUAUAAUCUUAAUUAAUACAGCUUGGAAUUAAACCUUGCAAUAGCAUUAUUCCACCAAAAAGGGUGAGAUAGUUUAUCCCAAUUAUCUCGGGAUGACCCAGAAUAACAAGGUCUGAUCGGGAUGGCCAAAAAACACCCCAUGUGGUAAAAUAGCAGGAAUAACAUUCAUUAUCCCCGCUUUAUCCUCAAGCCAAAAGGGGUGGGGCGUUAAAGAACCAUUAUUUGCUUCUUUGUUUUUUGAAAGCCGUCGUGUCGCUAGCGUAGAGCCAAAGUUCGUUGCGAGCUAACUAACAACAACAACAGAAAAGUGCAUGUGCCGGCAUGUCCAAUCACGGAGAAUUUCUGCUUGAAAAGAAUGGUAGCAACAUCAAAGAAGGGCUUAUUAAAGGUUUUCUUUCCUUUUUCUUUUUUUUUUUUCCCCUUUUCUUCUUAUUUAUUUAUAAAAUCAAAUUCCAUAUUGUUCGAUGCUCCGACGGAUCAUGGUGACAGAAAAUCUAAAUAAAAUUAGUGAUGAAUUUUUUUUUUCUUUUCCCCCUUUCUAAAGAAAAGUGACACAAUGGCUUAAAUUCUAACAGAAAUUGGCAGGAUAGUUUUUCCAAUUUAGUUUAAAGCUCAGAUACGCACUUAAUGCACCAUAAUUCAGCUAGGUUACUAUGAUUUUAAGCUAAAACAUGUUAAGAAGUAAUUACUUGAAAAUUUUCGUUUCUACCUGUGCAAGACGAGUUCGUUUCCGGAAGGCGUCGGCGGCUCCUCAUUCUUCUUCUCGGCAUCGCGAUCGGUUUGGAGCUGCUCGAGCUGUUGCUCGACGGCGGCGGGGAGGAGGUGGGGGUGAGUGACGAGCAUCUGCGACAGGAACUGCCCGAACGGCGACUCCAAUCGCAGGGGAGCGAUCGGAGACGACGAUGGAUUAUCCGACGAGGAGGGCGAGGACAACGAUGAUGAAACCCUAAUCGCACUUCUCCUACACGGUCCUCCAAAUGGCCUCUGCGACCGCUUCAGCACCGAAAUCGAGCCAAAACCCUAUCAAAGACGAAUCAAUACACACCAAAUUUAGAACAGGAAAAAGAAAUGAGAAGCAUAAUCAUAUACAUACCUUGAUCGAUCUGGUGGGGAAAUGGGGUUUCGGAUCGAAGGAGAGGAGAUCGCGGCGGGCGAAAUCGGGAGCUCGGGAGAGGUAAAGAGGAAGAGGAGGAGAUCGAAGCGCCGCUGCAGUUUCCAUGGAUCGAGAUCUCCUAGAUUCAGAGAAACUGGGGAGGGGGAGUGAAUAAGAUCAGAUCCAAACCCUAGAUUAAGGGGAGAAAUCGAUCAAAAAUACCUGAAAUUAGGGUUUGAUGAUCGAUCAAAUGAAUUGAAAUGGGAUGGGGAAUUGGGGAUCGAAGUAGACGAAUAUAUGAAGAAGAAGAAGAAGAAGAAGAAGAAGGGUUUUACACGGCCCUCACGUUGAACGAAUUUGGCAGCUUGGGGAUUAUUUAUUUGUACUGUGUGGUGACAGCGUCGACAAGAAGAAGAUUUUGGUGCAGUAGUUGGACUUUAUUACGAAACAGUUAAUGUUAUAAUUUUUUUAAAUUAUUAAUUUUAAUUAUUUAAUUUUGUCUAAUUUGUAUUUGUAUAAAAAAUUUAUCAGUUUUGUAUUUAGGUAUAAACGAGCCACUACGGUGGAACUUUUUAGUGUACUAAUUAACUAAAAUGUUUUUAUUUUUUCUUUAUUUUUUUCGUUCGUUCGUUCGUCUUUUUUCUUUCACUUUUGAUUCAUCUUCUUUCUCGCUGCUUCUUUCUUUUCUUCUCUUUCAGUUUCCUCUCCCUUUUUCUUUUCCACCUUCCACACGUCGACGCCGCGCUUCAUUCUCUUAUUUCGCCCCUACUUCGGUCGACGCCGACUUAAAUAUGGCACAGAUUGGCUGCGGCGAAGUAUAUGGCCGCGGACGGCAGUGGCAACGAGGGUGCCGUAAGAUUUGAGGACGACAGGGAGAAAGAGUGCGUCGAGCGGGGAUGGUGACUGCGGCAGAGAGGGAGGGAGGAAGGGGACACAAUAAUAAUAAAAAAAAAGAUAUAAAGGUUGUAAAGAAAGAAAGAAGAAAGAAUAAAAAUAAAAUAUAAAAAAAUUCUUCCGAAAAAUUAUUAUGUGCUGUGGCCACUAUAGGAAAGACCAAAAGCAAAAAAUAAAGAAAAAGAAGGCGAAAUUACUGUUUGGAAUUAAAAUUAUACUUUUUAAAAUAAAAUUUGUACGAUUUGAUAUUUUGAGAUAAAAUUUGUACUAUUUAAAAUAAAAGUUACACUCUUUAUGACGAAAGCUGCAUAAUUUAAAAUUAUUUAAAAUUAGAUUAUAUAAUAUGAAAUAAAGAUGGUAAUUUUCGAGGCGAAUGAUUGAAUUAUAUUUUUAUGCACAUACAUCUGAAAAAUAAAUAAUAUAAUUACAUAAAUAAAAAUUAUUUACUGUAUUCUAGUCCUACUAAAAUUUGAGCCGGAAUAUAAUUUAAUUUUUCAUUAUUAUUAUUAUUAUUAUUAUUAUUAUUAUACCACACGAAAGGUUCCUCUGGUAAAUGUUAGAAUAUUAGUGAUGGCGACAUGUUGGUCGCUUUGCAUGAGUAAUUUGUGGAUCUUUGUACUUUCGUGAGAGAAAGAGAAAUCACUAUUGGAUUUGACAACAAAAACCGAGUUCCGAGCUCUCCGCCACCACUAACACACUUCGAACGCACGAAUAUCGCACAGUGGGGCAACCAAGUUUGUGGUCUCUUUUAAUUACUGUUGCACUCUAAUGAUGUCAAAGUAGUCCACGACGAGGCAAGAUAUACACCUCAAGUUUUUUAUUUUUUAUUGUUCUUCUCAAAAAUAGAGGAUGAGACCAAAAAGAAAGCAAAUUUUUAUUUGGAGACUUGAACUUGCACAUCUUGUUUGGCUAGUUUAAAUUCUAGAAUUCCAGAAAAUUACAAGCAUGCAAAUUAUUUAUUUGUCAACAAAAUAUUAAACAGAAAAAUAAUUUUUUUAAGGUCAAUUUGCAUAAAACAUUCAUAAAUUUUAAGCUUUUGCAAAAGUGAUUGCCGGCGCCUCGUACGUGGAGGGGCAAUCUUGCUUCUAGGACAGUGCAAUCGCACGCCUCGACUCACAGGCUCCAUCUAAUCCUUUAUUCUCUAUAGUUUUUAUUUAUUUCGUUCUUAAUCAACGUUUCUAAAAACAGUGGAUAAGUUGUUUUCAAACAAAACUGUUUAUACAAAUAUUUGACUACAGAUUUCGAAAGAGAACUAGCUUUUCCAACACUCCUUGGACCUGAGGCAUCAUGGUUACUUCACAUGUACGUAGAUUGCUACUGUUUGACUGUACUAAUACUUAGACUCUAAUCAUUGGUCUACGUCUGGUACUGAUUGGCUGUAGUAGUUUAUAUGGGAAGGCAUGUGAAUGCGCAAUAAGGAAUUCAACACUCUCAAUAGUGAGAGAGAAUAUCCUAUGUAGAUUAUCGAACUUGACUCGGAAAAUCCUUGACCAGGGUACGUGGUGUGUGGAAAGAGUUUCUAGCUGUGUUACUAUAUUGAGUCAAUUUUAGAUAUUCUAGUCAUAUGAUCGAAUAAUAAGAUUUGGCGAGUAACCAUAAUUUUAGUUCAAUCGGGGCGUUGUGUGUUGGAAGGAAUUAAUCACACGGUAACGGUUAGCGGAAAGAUUCAUUUUUCAUCAUCAUUCUGAAUUGCCGUGAUAUACUGCUAGGUGUCACUCGCGGACAGUGAGAAAAGUAAAAUUAAUUUAAAUAAAUUAUUUUAUAGAUUAGAAGAGUUCUAAUUCAAUAUUGAAGAGUUUGAUAUUGAAUUCCACCGCCGAAUGAUAAUGGACCUACGUGGUCACACACAAUAGGAAUUGUGUGCAUCCAAUUUGAUAAGAUGAGUCUAAUUAAUAUACUAAACAGUUUAGUUGAAAUAGUGAGAAUCAUGAUUUGAUUUAAUCUCUAAUUAGAUUAAAGAAUAAUUAAAUAUUCAUAUAUUAUUAUGACCUAAUAUUCUAAUUAGAUUAGAUUUAAAUAUGAAUUUUUAAUUUAAUGGAUAAGAUCUAAUUAAAUUAAAGAGAGAGAUAAAGAUAAAAUAUCUAUAUGGAUAAGCAUAAAUUUAUUUUUACUUAUCCUAUGUGGCAACUAAUUGGAAAUGAUCCAAUUAGUAGACAACUAAUUGGAUGUGAUCCAAUCAGUUGCAACAGGUAGUGGGAUGUGCUGGUUUGUAUGGCUUUAAUUAGAUCGUGGGAUCUAAUUAGUUGCAACAGAUCGUAAGAUGUACAUAAGGCGCGGCUUUAUUAGUAGUUAUCAGAGUGACUACGUGAGGAGAUAUAUAUAAUAACUUUACGAGAGGGAUUUAAUGAUCGCCUCUUGAGAAGUAUCAGAUUAUCCAUCUCUGUCUAUUAUCCUUCGUGAAAAUUAGUAAAUCUCACAAAAGGGAACGUAGAUAUCAGAAGACUGCUAGCACUGUCUUUUGUAAUCUGUGACUCAUCUGUUUCGUGCGACGGAAGGCGUUGGAUUUGCAUCAAUUCCGUGUGGAUACGCGUAGAGGCCGGGCACGUGCGCGGCUAAUCGGAAUUUCAGUUUCAACCGUACAGUAGAUCAAGAGAUCUUAAUUGGUCCGAGGUGAUGUAGCCUAAACUUCAAAUCUGUUUAGGUUAAAUUAUUAUUUUACAUUGUAACAUGAGAAUGAUCCGCCAGCACUGGAUUGAUUUGUUUUUGUUUUGGUUCAUAUGUGAUAUGGAUUUUUGUUUUUCAAAAUUACUAUUUUAAUUUCUGCUGCGAUUCUUUUGUGCCGGAUAAAUUCUUACAGUGGUAUUAGAGCCAGGUUCUCAUGUUCUAUGUAAAAUACUAAUGAUCUGUAUGGUUUGAUUAAAAUUUUGGAACCUUUUACGAUUAGAUCGAUAUUGUUGUUUUUAAAUUGCACGUAUUGUGAUUUAUUGGUUUUACACCAUAAAAUAUAUACGUGGAGAUUUGAGAAAAACAUAUUAUUGAGUUCCAAAAUUUUAAUCGAUGUUUAGAUCGAUUUGGUUAUUAUUUUCUGCAUAGUUUUAAGAUGGGUGAUGAUCAUGGACCUUAGACAUCUGUGAUGUGAUUAUGGAUGUAUUUGUAAUUUGAUUAUGGAUGUAUAAUUUUGAUUACAAAGGGCCUGCGUGCCACUUUUAUUGGGAUCUGCGAAUCCUUGUAUUUUUUAUUAGAUAAAAUUAGGAUUAUUUGGAGAAGAAUCCACAUCAAGCGUUGAUGAAUUGGCGUCGCAAAUCGUGAUGGCAUCAAAAGGAUGUAUCAGAUCCAAUAGAAGAAGAUGGCUAAAUAUUUGCAAAAGUUGAGAAUAUGUGUGUAUCACCGUAUUGACCGAUUUGACUCAUCGGCUCGAGUCGAAUCAGAAAAGUCCAUGAUCAUCCCUAAGCUAUGCAAUUUAUUUUUGUGUAUGUGAUACGUGUGUUUUAUUUUAUAUGAGAUAUAACAUGUGAUGGUGAGACCGAUAUAUUUUAAAAGUUUUUAAACCCCCUAUAAAAUAUUAAGUUGAAACGAAGGGGCAUUUGAUGUUCUAUCGUGGCCUUCCACCGAUCACAAGAUGUAGCAUAGUUUCAAGCAUUGAGUAGUUAUGCAUGGUCCCAUGGGGCUACUUGUGUUUGAACUAUGCGAACAUCUUGACAUAGAAUGCUACAAUAUGGCAUUAUCAAUGGAUUCAAUAAACUGUCCGGUGAGGGUCUUUUGAUAAUUCCAUAUUUGUAGGAGAGGAGGAUUAGACUUAACUAAGGUUGUUGCGCCAAGAAACCGUCCGGUGAGGCGUAAAAAUCUUAGAGGCCAAAGGACGAUUGGAUUGCACAUAAGAUGUGUCGAAGUAAGAUGUUACCCGUUUAUUAAAUUACGAUUUUUCAAGAAACUGUCUGGUGAGAUAAAUCAUAAUUUAUGAAACCCCAAUCACCACUAAGAAAUCUAACGGAUGAGGAUUUCCGUCUUUCUACUUAGGGAGUAUAGAAAUUCGAUAAAAUUAGUGGGAGGAACCUUUUAAAUUGAAAGACCCUAGUUUAAUAGGUUAAAAAGAAAAAUACUCAUCUGACUAAAAUCUCUACUUUCUGCAGACAAAAUGAAUGCCUCUAACCCUUUUUCUUGCCUAAUGGAAUCUAACCGAUUAACCGGUCCAAAUUUCCAAGGCUGGCUACGUAACCUAAAAAUUAUUUUAGGUAUUGAAAAGCUUGAUUAUGUUCUUCAAACUCCAAUUCCCGAGCUUAUCGCUGAGGCCACAUUUGAAGAAGUUGAGGAGAGAGACAAGUGGGUUGAUGAUGACCAGCGUGUCAAAUAUUACAUGCUGAUCUCUAUGUCAAAUGAGUUGCAACGACAGCAUGAGAACUAUGCUUGAGCAUAUGAGAUGCUUCCGCACUUACAAGAGUUGUAUGGUGCACAAAGCCGAACCGCAAGAUAUGAGAUAUCAAAGCGAUUGUUUAAGGCUCAGAUGACUCCAGGCACGUUAGUUAGUGAACAUUGUCUUAAAAUGAUUGAUGAUAUGGAGCAACUGAUAAACCUCGGCUUGAACUUGGACGCAGACUUGCAGAUCGAUCUAGUUCUACAGUCUUUGCCAGAAUCGUUCCCUCAUUUCGUAAUGAACUUCAACAUGAAUAAAAUUCAUGCCACUUUGUCCGAGCUCAUGAAUAUGCUAGUCACAGCGGAAAGCACGUUGAAAACAAACGGGAUGGCAAUGGCGACGGGAUGGCAAUGGCGGUUGAAAGAACUUCAAAAGGAAAGUUCAAAGGAAAGAAAAAGUUUCCUAAGUUCAAGUCAUCGGGUGGAGUGAAGCAAGCCAAUUUUAAGAAAUCCGACAAAGGCAAGGUUAAAGGAAAAUGUUUCCAUUGCGGAAAGGAUGGGCAUUGGAAGAGAAAUUGUAAAAAAUAUCUUUCUAGCCUAAAAGAAAAAUUGAAGGAGGGGCCUUCUGAAGAUACGAACGAAAUGCUCAUCGUUGAGGCCAAUAUGAUUGGCUCUACUUCUUCUUGGGUAUUAGUUUCUGCAUGCACCAUAUAUCUUUGUAAUUCAUUGCAGGAUCUAAGGGAAGUAGAACACUGAAGGACUGCGAGGUGACCCUACGUGUGGGUAAUGGAGCAAGCGUUGCUGUAUUAGCCUUAGGGAGCUGUUCUUUUGAGACUUCCAUCUGGACAUAUUUUAGAAUUAGAGAAUUGUUAUUAUUCUUCUUUAGUUGUUAGGAAUUUGAUUUCUGUUACAACUUUAGUUCGAACUGGUUAUCGUUUUAAUUUUGAAACUAAUGGUUGUUUUAUUUAUUUCCAAAAUAAAUUGAUAGCUACUGGUAGUUUAGUUAACAAUCUCUACUUUCUAAAACUGGAUGGAAAUGUUGCUAAUAUUGAACAUAAAGAGAAUAAUUCUCAAAUCAAGAGACCUAGAGAUAAUAGUCUGAACCAAAAGUAUCUAUGGCACCUUCGACUAGGUCACAUUGCAGAAAAUAGGAUAAACCGACUAGCCAAGGAUGGGCACUUGGGAACUUGUGCUUUAGAAUCCUAUCCAAUUUGUGAGUCUUGUCUUCAAGGCAAAAUGGCCAAGUCACCCUUUGUUGGACAAAGAGAGCGAGCCACAGAGUUACUUGCCCUUGUGCACUCAGACGUGUGUGGACCGUUUAGUGAAACGGCUCGGGAUGCUUAUCUUUACUUUGUAACUUUUACCGAUGAUCAUUCACGGUAUGGGUUUGUGUUUCUUAUGAAACACAAGUCUGAAACCUUUGAAAAGUUCAAAGAGUUCAGAUAUGAAGUAGAGAAGCAGAUAGAAAAAAGUAUUAAGGCUCUUCGAUCAGAUCGAAGAGGCGAAUACCUUAGUGCUGAAUUUUUAAAUUAUCUCAAAGAAAACGGUAUCCUCUCGCAAUGGACACCUCCUGGAACUCCGGAAUUGAAUGAAGUUUCAGAAAGAAGGAAUCGUACUUUAUUAGAUAUGGUACGAUCGAUAAUGAGCUUCAUAGACUUAUCUUUAUUUCUUUGGGGUUAUGUUCUAUUAACUGCAGCCUAUAUUCUAAAUAGGGUGCCUUCAAAAUCUGUUCCUUGUACUCCGCAUGAGAUGUGGUUAGGCAAAAAACCGGGUCUCAAUCAUUUAAGGAUUUGGGGAUGCUCAGCUUUUGUUAAAAAACUUAAAACAGAUAAAUUGGAGGCUAGAUUGGAUAAAGGAUGAUUUAUUGGUUAUCCUAAGGAGUCUAUGGGAUACUAUUUUUAUCUUCAAAAUGAACAAAACGUGAUUGUUAGCCGGCAUGCAAUAUUUUUGGAAAAAGAGUUUAUCCAAGAAGGUGGUGCCGGAAAGGAGAUAGUGCUCAAAGAGAUGGUCUCAAAUGAGCAAACAAUUUCUCUAGAACAAUCUGAACAAGCUAUUCAAACUGAACCCACUAUUACACAAUUACCUCGAAGAUCUGGUAGAAUAUCCCAACCUCCAGAGAAAUAUCGAGAUUUCGUUAUGGAAUGCACAAAGGAAAUGUUCCUCAUUGGCGAUAGUGAUCGCAGGGAUGAUCCUACUAGUUACGAAGAGGCGAUGUUAGACAUCGACUCAAUAAAAUGGCAAGAAGCUAUGAAGUCCGAAAUGGACUCAAUGUAUACCAAUCACGUAUGGACUCUUGUUGAUCCGCCAGAAGGUAUAGUACCUGUUGGUUGUAAAUGGAUUUUCAAGAAAAAGAUUGGUGUGGAUGGAAAAGUAGAGACAUACAAGGCGAGACUUGUAGCAAAAGGCUACAGUCAACGAGAAGGUCUCGACUAUAAAGAAACGUUCUCUCCUGUGGUCAUGCUUAAAUCCAUUCGAACGUUGCUUGCCAUAGCCGCAUACUAUGACUAUGAAAUCUGGCAAAUGGACGUAAAAACUGCUUUCCUCAAUGGAUUCAUAGAGGAGGACAUAUAUAUGCAACAGCCUAAGGGGUUUGUGUCUGAUAGCCAUAAGCAUAAAGUAUGUAAGCUUCAGAGGUCCAUUUAUGGAUUGAAGCAGGCUUCGAGGAGUUGGAACAUACGGUUCAAUGAUGCAGUCAAAACGUUUGGCUUCGUGAGAAAUCAAGAUGAACCUUGUGUUUACAAAAAGACUAGUGGGAGCCAACUUGUCUUUCUCGUAUUGUACGUAGAUGAUAUUCUUUUGAUUGGAAAUGAUGCUGGUUUGAUGACCUCUGUCAAGGUUUGGUUGUCCCAGAAUUUCUUAAUGAAAGAUCUAGGAGAGGCAGCCUAUAUCCUUGGAAUUAAGGUCUAUAGAGAUAGAUUUAAGAGAUUGAUCGGUUUGUCAACAGCAGAUGUACAUAGAAGAUGUGUUGAAAAGGUUCAAUAUGGAAAAUUCCAAAAGGGGUCUUCUUCCUCGUAGACAUGGAAUUAAUCUUUCCAAGAUGAUGUGUCCUAAAACACCUGAGGAAAGAGAGCGUAUGAGCAGAAUUCCCUAUGCUUCCGCAAUAGGAAGUCUUAUGUACACUAUGCUAUGUACAAGACCAGAUAUCGCAUAUGCCAUAAGUGUUACGAGCAGAUAUCAGUCCAAUCUAGGUGAAGAACACUGGACUGCUGUGAAGAAUAUCCUUAAGUACUUGAGAAGAACUAAGGAUUUGUGUUUAGUGUAUGGUGGAAAUGAGCUAACGUUAAAAGGCUUCACAGAUUCAGACUUCAUGUCAGAUGUUGAUGAUAGAAAGUCAAUAUCAGGAUAUGUCUUUACAUUGAAUGGUGGGGCUAUCAUUUGGAAGAGUUCCAAACAGAAUACAACAGCAGAUUCCACCACUAAAGCAGAGUACAUUGCAGCAUCUGAGGCAUCAAAGGAGGCAGUUUGGCUUCGAAAAUUUGUCACGGAACUAGGAGUGGUGCCUUCUAUUGAGGAGCCAAUGCCACUUUAUUGUGACAAUAAUGGAGCUAUAGCGCAAGCUAAAGAACUGAGGUCUCACCAGAAGUCCAAGCAUAUAGAUCGGCGCUACUACAUCAUCCGACAAUUUAUAGAUGAGCGUCAGAUUGUUGUGCAGAAAGUAGCAUCCGUAGACAAUAUAGUGGAUCCCCUUACUAAGCCGCUCACACUUCAAAAGCUGGAUGUGCAUUUAGAAAGAAUGGGUAUGAGAUACAUGAGCGAUUGGCAUUAGUGUAAGUGGGAGAUUGUUAGUGAUAUACCCUAAAGCCAAUCGGUGACAUAGGCUUGUGAACAUAUUAAGUAUUUUUCUUAAUUAAUAAAGAGCAAGUUUUAUUCAUAUUUAUUGUUAGCAGUACAAUACAUUUAUAUGAAUCGUCCAUUGAAUCUUCGUUAAGAAAAUAUAUUCCUAAGAGUUAGGAAUUUGAGAUAUAUAUUUCUUUGUACAAGAUUCUUAAAUGCUCCUAGCCAUAGGAAUAUCAUAAGGACGAUGAUAUUUCCGGAUAGGCCGGUGUAUGCUAUAUUUCUAAGUUGAGGUGACGAAUCUCAAGUCAUUAGUGUAGAGACACUAAAAUAAGCAUGUAGGUGCUUGUUAGCGAACAAGUACACUGAGCAUGACCAUUUAGUUGAGCAGUCACAUUGUUCCAUAUUCGCUAGUGACUUAUUCUUUGCUACAGUUGUGUGAAGUACUUCUUGGACUUGAGGCAUCAUGGUUGCUUCACAUGUAGAUUGUUACUGUUUGACUGUACUAAUACUUAGACUCUAAUCAUUGGUCUACGUCUGGUACUGAUUGGCUGCAGUAGUUUAUAUGGGGAGGCAUGUGAAUGCACAAUAAAGAAUUCAACACUCUCAAUAGUGAAAGAGAACGUCCUAUGUAGACUAUCGAACUUGACUCGAAAAAUCCUUGGCCAGGGUACGUGGUGUGUGGAAAGAGUUUCCAGCUGUGUUACCAUAUUGAGUCAGCUUUAGAUAUUCUAGUCAUAUGAUCGAAUAGUAAGAUUUGGCGAGUAACCAUAAUUUUAGUUUGAUCAGGGCGUUGUGUGUUGGAAGGAAUUAAUCACACGGUAGCGGUUAGCGGAAAGGUUCAUUUUCAUCACCAUUCUGGAUUGUCGUGAUAUACUGCUAUGUGUCACUCGCAGACAGUGAGAAAAGUAAAAAUAAUUUAAAUAAAUUAUUUUAUAGAUUAGAAGAGUUAUAAUUCAAUAUUGAAGAGUUUGAUAUUGAAUUUCACUGCCGAAUGAUAAUGGACCUACGUGGUCACACACAAUAGGAAUUGUGUGCAUCCAAUUUGAUAAGAUGAGUCUAAUUAAUACACUAAACAGUUUAGUGGAAAUAGUGAGAAUCAUGAUUUUAUUUAAUCUUUAAUUAGAUUUGAGAUUAAAUAUUCAUAGAUUAUUAUGAGAUAAUAUUCUAAUUAGAUUAGAUUUAAAUAUAAAUAUUUAAUUUAAUGGAUAAGAUCCAAUUAAAUUAAAGAGAGAGAUAAAGAUAAAAUAUCCAUAUGGAUAAGCAUAAAUUUAUUUUUACUUAUCCUAUGUGGCAACUAAUUGGAUAUGAUCCAAUUAGUAUGACAACUAAUUGGAUGUGAUCCAAUCAGUUGCAACAGGUAGUGGGAUGUGCCGGUUUGUACGGCUUUAAUUAGAUCGUGGGAUCUAAUUAGUUGCAACAGAUCGUAAGAUGUACAUAAGGCGCGGCUUCAUUAGUAGUUAUCAGAGUGACUACGUGAGUAGAUAUAUAUAAUAACUUUACGAGAGGGAUUUAAUGAUCGUCUCUUGAGAAGUAUCAGAUUAUCCAUCUCUCUCUAUUAUCCUUCGUGAAAAUCGGUAAAUCCCACAAAAGGGAACGUAGAUAUCAGAAGACUGCUAGCACCGUCUUUUGUAAUCUCCGACUGAUCUGUUCCGUACGACGGAAGGCGUUGGAUCUGCAUCAAUUCCGUGUGGAUACGCGUAGAGGCCGGGCACGUGCGCGGCUAAUCGGAAUUUCAGUUUCAACCGUACAGUAGAUCAAGAGAUCUUAACUGGUCCGAGGUGAUGUAGCCUAAACUUCAAAUCUGUUUAGGUUAGAUUAUUAUUUUACAUUGUAACAUGAGAAUGAUCCGCCGGCACUGGAUUGAUUUGUUUUUGUUUUGGUUCAUGCGAUUCUUUUGUGCCGGAUAAAUUCUUACACCAAUACCGUGGAGGUCGCUGCGGCGCUGCAGCCUCGGAGCAGGGGGUCCUUAGCGGCAUCGUCGUGAGGACCGUGGACGUUGGCAAAGAGGGGUGACAAAAAAAAAUUAUAGAAGAAGGAAGAAAAAAAAAUAAAGACAAAGAAUUAUAGAAAAAGAAAGAUGAAGAUGAAAUUGAAUCGUUAAAAUAAAAUUGCAUUAUUUUAAAAAAAUAUUGCAGUAUUAUGGACAUAAGUUGUACUACUUAAGAUAUAAACUGCACCAUUUAAGAUAAAAAUUACACUAUUUAAACGAAAAUUGUACUUUUUGGAAGAUAUUUAUAUUUUUUUUUCUCUUAUUAUACUAUUUCAAAUGCAAACUGCAUCAUUUAAGAUGAAAGUUAGACUUUUUAAAAGAAAGUUGCACUCUCUGAUAGCUCCUCUUCUUGCACUCUUUGAGAUAUAAACUGCAUACCUUUAAAGGGUGUAGUUUAAGAGGAGAAAUAGUGUAAUAAGAGGAGAAACAGUGCAACAAGAGGAGAAACAAUGCAACAAAAGGAGAAACAGUAUAAAUAUCUCUUAAAGGGGGCAGUUUACAUCUCAAAGAGUGUAAGAAGAGGAGAAAUAGUGUAGAUAUCUCUCAAAGAGUGCAACUUUCGUUUAAAGAGUGUAACUUUCAUCUUAAAUGAUGCAAUUUAUAUCUGAAAGAGUGCAAUGAGAGGAGAAACAGUGUAAAUAUCUUUCAAAGAGUGCAAUUUUUAUUUAAAGAAUGUAAUUUUUAUCUUAAAAGAUACAGUUUACAUUUUAAGUAGGGCAACUAUGUCUAUAAUAGUGCAACAUUUUUUUAAAACAGUGCAAGUUUAUUUUAAUGGUGCAAUUUCAUCUUCAUUUUUUUUCUAUAAUUUUUUGUCUUUAUUAUUAUUUUUCUUCUUCUAUAAUUUUUUUUGGUCACCCCUCUUUGCCAACGGACACGGCACCGGCGACGACGUCGCUAAGGACCCCCAGCUCCGAGGUUGUUGCGCCGCAGCGACCUCCACGGUAUCAGCGUUGGCGAAGAUGCAUCGUCGUCGGAGGCGGCAGAGGAGGAGGGAGAGGGAGAGGACGAGAAGGGCGGGGAAGGGCGAGAGAGGCAUCGUCAUCGGAGACGGUGGAGGAGAGUUGGAGAGAAAAAAAAAAAGUGUCGCGGCACGGCCUCAGCGAGGUCGGAGGCAAGGAAGAUGGGGGGUGCAUGGGCGAGUAGUGGAUUUUGCAAAAUCUGGUCCGAAUCUGCAAAAUCGAAAAAGGGCCCCAAUUUUGCAAAAGCGCAAAUCUAGUGGAUUUUUUAUGCAAAUUGGCCUUUUUUUUAACUUACAAAUUUUAUUUUAAAGUAAUUGUUAUAUAUCACUUAGCAUGAACAACUCAUAAUAUUUUUUUUUUUUGAGAGAUAGGUAGCAUGCUACUCGUUUCGUUUAUUUUAUUUAGAAAUAAAUUUAGCUAAAAAUGUGAAUCGACUAGAAUUUGAACUCGGGAUCUCGGAUACUAACCUCGAAGCCUUUUGCCACUUGGGCUAGGAAUGGUCGAUGUCUUAUAAAAAUUUUAAACAGAAGUCUUGCAACUAAUAUAUUAAAUUAUAUAGAAUUAAUGUAUUAAAAAAUAUAAUAGGACAAUAACACCAAAUUAAGACUUAGUCGAGAUGAUGGUAUUGAAAAUUUUGAAGGAAAAAAAAAAGCGGAGAAAGUUUGUGACAGUUUUGAACAUAGAGAUUUUGAUUAAAAUAUAGACGCAUGAACGAAUGGGAAAAGAUUUUGAUAUCUUUAUUAAUAAACUUUGUUCGUGUAGAAAAUGAUUUUUUUUAUAAAUCUUUGCAGAUCUUUAAGAUUCCAAAUGUGUCAAAGUUAUAGAGUUUGUUUUAGGAGUUAUAAAAUUAUAAUUUUGUAUUUUGUUUGGAUUUUUCACGCAAAAAGUUUAUUGUUUUAGUGAUAACAAAAAAUUUCAAUUUUUAUUUUUCGUGAGUUGAGCAUUGUGAGUGUUUUUAUAUAAUUUUUAAAUUUUGUCAUGAAAUUGCUAAAGUAAUAAAUUGAUACGAAUUUUAGUGUUGGCUUAUUUCGUGACGAGUUGUGACACGUAGAGUUGAGUCGGAGUCUUGAAGGCCGAAAGAUGAAAAGAUCAAGAUCGAAAACUCAAAGACUGAAAAAAUAAAGCACACGAAUCUAGGUAAAUUUACAUAAAGUUAUUGGUGAUUUAUAUAUAUAUAAUUUAGUAUUUGAAAGCAAUUAAAAAUUGGAUUGACUGAUUUUUAUUCUUUACUAAAGUUUUCCUCGCGUCAAGAUCCGGAUCGUGAAAGGGUGAUAAUCUGUCAUGUACAGAUGAUCCAAACCCUAUGGAGGAUUCGAAUCCCGAACAGCAGAAUUUGCUGUUCCGAUGACAAGAUUCCGAACCCUGUCCAGAAUAUGGAUUUCGAGAGGCAUAAUUUCUAUAAACGCAGCCAGGAUCCGAACCUUGUUUUGGAUCCAGAUCCCAAACCCAAACCUGACGCAGAUUUUUUAAAAUUAGUUUUUCAAUCCUAAUCUAAUUCUAAUUACUUUCAAAACUAUAAAUAAGAUGUAAUGGUGUUUCUAAAAUGUGAAAAAUAAUUACUUUUUAGAUAUCCUAAAAACUUGUGGGUUGCUUCUUCUCUCAUCUUCUACAUCAGGUUUCUCUCAAAUUAAUUUUUAGUGUCCUAAAUUUUGAUAUUCUUCUAAAUUUAAUUUGAGAUUUGUUUAGAAAUAUUUUCUACAGAUUUUUUCAUGAUUCUCAAAGCAAGAAAUCACCAUCAACCCUAUUAUUCGUUUUCCGGACGAAAUGCACUCGUGGAUUCAAGUGGGCAUCGUAGCUUUGACAUGUUGAAGGUUUCGUGAAUUCGAAGUAUAGACGUUUCGUGAACUCAGAAUGUAACGUUCGUGGAUUCGAGUAUAGGCAUGGACUAGCCGUUGGUGUGCGCGAUAUUUAAAAAAGAUAAAAGAGAGAUUUGAGUCCGUGGUGUCUAUAAUCAUCUUAUAAUUUUUUAUUUUUUAGUGGAAUAUUAUCACGUGUUGGUCUCUUGGUUUUUUUACUCUUGGUUGACGUUUUUUCACGUAAAUCUUGAUAUGUUGAUUUUACUUUUUGGAAUUAUUUUUGUUACAUUGAGAUUUGUAUUUUUGGCCUAUAAAUCUAUUUACCUCUCACAAGAUAUUUAAUAGAUUCUAAAUAAAUUCUUGGUUCCCAACUCUAACAAGUUUUUCUAAACUUGCUGUUUGGUAUUGUAAGAUAAUGGACUUCAAUUUAUUUGAAAAAAGUUUGUGGACAAUUGACUCGCAUCCACUUACCAUAAUAUGAGGUCGGAUUCGGCGAGAACCAAAUAUAUAAUUGAUAAUAGAAGAGAAAAAGUAAUCACAUUGAAAUAAUUAUUAUUUUGCCUCAAAUAACAAAACAAAAAAGAAUUUACUUUAACUCUGAUUUUAAACCAAAUAAAAAUUUUUAGCUCGAAAUAAAUUUAACUGAAUUAUUUUCAUUUGAAUAUCAUUGGUUUAUAUUUUUAAUUAGAUGCCUAAGAAAGCGUUAAGUUGGUCAUUUGAUAUUUUAAAAUUUAAAUAUUAUUUUAAUUAAGAAUGGUAACAAAAAGAUAUUCUUGGAAAAUCUGUCCAACCCCAAUAAACUAAUUAAGAGGUUAUUUGGUUGCAUGCAGUUAUAUUUAUAUUGUUAUUUUAAUUACAUAUAAAUCCAAAUUUGAUAUUUGUUUUAAUAAAUUUGAAUACAACUACUGCAGUUAAAACUAUACAAAGAGGCUUAACCAUAGUAAUUGAAACUACACUGUACAAAUUAGUCAUAUUUUUAAUUUCGACAGUAAUUUUAAACAAGAAGUAAGCUACAUUGGGCUUAUCCCACUAUCAUGCCUCCAGUCCUGCCAAUUGGAUCCACUCGAGCACGUGCAACAGACCCGUCAAAUGGGUACUCCUACCCACACGAAACAGAGAAUAUGCCAACCAUUACAUCUAAUACAUAAUAUAUAUUCUCACGUUCCAGAUUAUAGCGGAAGCUCCAGUUACGUCAACACAUGUACAAGAACACAUCUUAUACAUAUGAAACAUCAAUAAAACUUGUCCAAAGAAAGUUACUAAUAUCCAACAACAAUAUGUAUCAGAGUAGAAUGCUGUUAUCAUACCUCAAUAAUGUAAUUGAAAACUAUAAAUAAUGUAUCUCAUGCAUCAAUAGCUGCUGAACAAAAUAAUAUAAUAAUAUCCAAUCAUAAUGAUCGACUCAACAGUCAAGUCUAAAAUUUAAAAUUUAAAUAUAUAUAAUCGAAUGUCCCUAGCCGAAGCGGCAAAAUACUUAGUGGUUGGUACCUGAGGUCUCCAAUUCAAAUCCUAGUUAAUUCACAUUUCUAGCUAAGUUUAUUUUUUUAAAAAAUAAACAUAGCUAGAAAUACCGACCGCCCCUAAAGCAAGUGGCAAAGGGCUUGGUGGUUGGUACCCGAGGCCCAAGUUCGAAUCCUAGUUGAUUCACAUUUCCAGCUAAGUUUAUUUCUAAAUGAAGUAAACGAAGCAGGUAGCGUGCUACCUAUCUCUCAAAAAAAAAAAAAACAAAGCGGGUAGCAUACUAUUUUUCUCUCCAAAAAAAAAAGAAUUGAAUUGAAAUUUCAAAAUUGAAUCUAAAAUAAAGUUAAAAUUUUAAAAUUAUAGUCUCCAAAAUCAAGUAUUUGUGUUAGUGGCAUUAUAUUCAUACGCCACUAAUAAACUACUUAAAAUUUGCAUUUAACAGCCAUUUUAGCGGCAUGUUUCUAAUGACACUAGUUGAUUCACAUUGGCGACAUUGUUAUAAAUGUUGCUAAUACUUUUAGUAAUAUUGAUAUAGACCGCAUUUGGUGUUAGAUGCUUGUCACGUUUGUGCUCUAGCGAAGUCUACCCGGUACGUGCACAAACCCGGUGUGUGCACUAGGCAAUCCCAGUGCACACAAGGCAUACUCAACAAGAAGCACGAUGUGAACAAAAAAUAGUAAAGUUCAAACAUUAUACAUGAGAGAAUCAGAGUAUACAAGAGAUUCUAUGAACAAAGUUAAAUGAAAAAUAUAGACCUUUCACAAGAUAGACAAUAUGUAUCAAUCCAAAAGUACACCUUAUGAACACUAAAACGGUCACUAUACAAAAGUAAACUAAUGCGCCUUUCAAGACAAAAAUCAAAAGAAAGAUGCCGCGGGUCCACCUCUAGCCACUCUUGUAGGCUUUGGCUAGUCGCUAAUCCCUUUCCGUGGCCCCUAACCUGUUCUGCCGUGGAAACCUCUGAAACAAAAGCAAACAAACAAAGGGCAUGAGAAUUAUUAAAAAAUAGUUUUCAGUGGGUAAGACGUCGAGAAGAGCGAAAUACACUACUAGAUUAACUGAGGCAAGAUUAGUUGAUAGUUGAAAUGAAAAGCUAGUAUAUACGAGCUGAAAUAUACUUUCUUCUUCAAGCUCCACUCCAAGUCUUAGGAGCAAGCAUCCAUGGUGGAAAAGAAAAAAAGAAGGAAAAAUCCAAGGGAGAAGGAAGGAAGACCCACCUUCUCUUGUUUCCUUCACCCUCUCCAAAUGAGAGAAGUAGAGGGGGUGAAAUGGGUAUAAACCCAUUUCCACAAAAUCCUAAUAGACCCCUCAACAAUCAAAAACUUGCGCCUCGUGUGAAAUCAACUCUGCACCAUUGAGUACCACCACACGAAUUGGAGUACUACUGGUACCCUCGGUAAUUUCGGUAUCCAGAAGCUCAGUCCCGCAAAACUCGAAUGUUGGAUUUUUUGAUUUCUAUUGCGUUCCAAUACCCGCUUGAAUCAGUACGGUACCACGUGAGUCAGUACCGAUACUCAGUCGAGUUCUGCAAAACUCGAGGGCUUCUCAAAUCCGCGCUCAACUAAGAAUUCAGUAUCGGUACUCAACACAAAAACUGCAAUUUUGUAGAUUUUGAUGUCAAAAUCCGUUCUCGCGCUCUUUAAGCGCCGAAAAUAGGUCUACACUCUCGGAACUUCAACCAAAACUUCCAGAAAAGCUUAAAAUACUAUUCUCACUCUAGAAUUCUGCAAUUUGUUAACGUUCAGUGUGCUACAAUGCUGAUAAAACUUUUAGCGACAUUCAUUGAUCUAUUAGCAACGUAAAUAAAAAUCACUAAUGACUACUUUUCUAGUAGUGACAGUUAUAGUCACAAACUAUCUAUCACUGUCUAUUGAUUAUUAGGGCAAUAUCAUAUAAUACUAAUAGUAAAAAAUAUGAAUGUCUCAAAAUAGGUAGGUGUCAAAAUUUCACUAUUAUCUCAACUAUAUCAACAGCUCAUCUCAUUGGCUAAACAAUAAUAAUAUGGGCAUAGAAGUUAGUCCGCUAAUUUUGACAAUACGGAAUCCACCUAUAUUACAUAUCUAAGAAACAAACGAUAGUCAAGAUAGUAUAACACACUGAACCAUUGCAAAUAGCGAGGUUCGAGUGUUUGAUCUGUAUUCCGAGCUUUACCAGUUAUUCUGGAGGGUCGUAGACAGUAUUCCGGCCUAUGGCUCGUAUCCCGAGAAUUGAGGUUUAAAACUUGUACCAAAAUCCAAAAAGAUGGAUUGUUGGUCCUGCUCUCGGGUCAGCCUCAGCCAGGCUGUGUACCGGUACAACCUUGAUGGUUGUACCGGUACAGGAUUUGUACCGGUACACCUUGAUUGUUGUACCGGUACACUAUGGGAUUUCUGCCAACCUGAGGCUCGAGUUGGGCUGUUUCGUAGGAAGUGUACCGAUACACUUUCCCGUGUACCGGUACACAAUGCAGACUGGGCAGUUUUUCAGGCAGGGGUGUUUUUGUAAUUGUUGCAUCUCUAUUUAAACACCACCACAGCCUUUGGGGGGCUCUUUUGAGCCCUCGACCUGUGGAGAAGAGGUGAGAACUCCUCCCCUUUGAUUCCUUCUCCAUUUUUGUUGGAUUCUAGCUAGUUUUGAUCUCUCUCUUCUUCUCCUUCUUGCUUUAUGAUAGUUUUUCUCUAUGGGAGAAGCUUGGAUUUCGGGAUUAGAGUUUGUUUGAGGAUCAACCUUCAACCUUAGAGGACUCUAGGCUUGGUUUGGAGCUUCCAAGAGGUAAGCAACAAGUUUCUUUCUUCUAGAUUUGUAUUUUGUUGCUUUAUGUUAGUUGAAACCCUAGAAUGUGAUAUUAGGGUUAGAAUUGGAGAUUUUUGAUUGGAGGCUUCUAGAACCAAAUUGAUUGGUUUAGAAUCAUGGUUUAGGUUGGCUUUGAAGGACUCUAACUCCCAUUUGGAGAUCGAGAGAGUUUCCUUCGCGUUCGGUGAGUUUUCACCUUUUCCUUGAGUUGCUUAUUGUUCGUUCACUCGGGUAUUCGUAAAGUUUGUUUAACUCUCUUUUCUAUACUUUUAGGGUACUAGGAGAGUGGUGGACACCUUCAUCAGAGCAAACGAAGGGUUUCAGUUAGCUUCAGUGGGUUUGGCUUCAUUGGAAUAGGAGAAAAUGUCUCCUAAGUGGUUAAAUGCUUCCGUAUCAUCGUGGUUUAUGCAUUUUCAUCCUAGAUAGAAUUUAUGUGAAUUUUUGAAUACUUAGAAUGCAUGCAUUAUGUAUCAUGAAUAUUUCACUCUAUGUGUAGAGCCCUAUGUGUAGUAUCUAUGCAUGUGUUAAGUACUCUUAUUGCAAGUUUGGGAAUAUGUCUCUUAUGAGGAAAAUGUUUAGAAUUUUGUACUCUUGAAUAUAAUCACCAUGCUUGACUUAGUGGACAAAGUGCCAUAAAGGGGCACCUGACUUAGAAAACUGUGAAACUGCAACUUAGAGACAUAUUGAUAGGUCAUUCUGACAUCCCCUAUUAUUCUAUGUUUUAGACAUGACGACGUAGUGGUAGGCCAUCGAGAUUCUUGAUAUAUUCCAUGUUUUUAGACAUGAGGACUUGGUACUUGAGACAGAUCUUUCGCUUGCUUGCCAUUGUGCUCAUUUGCACAUGCUUGUAAGGGUCGCUCCCUACAAGCCGGCACUCCGGAGAUAGCCAUUGCGACAUAUGCUCGCUCGUGCGGGAUUGGGCGCCGAAAUGGGAUGCCGUGGGGGAGGCUCAUUCCUAGAGUGGAGGUGUUGACUACCACCGGGCCAUUAGGCACGGUGCAGGCCAGACAGCCUAUGGGUGGGUCUUACAUGAUUGAAACUUAGUGACAGAACAUGCCAUUUGGACUUUGACUAGAAUAGUAGACAAUGACAUUUACUAUUUAGCUUGUGGACAUUAUGUUAGUGAUGCUCGUUUACAUUCAUAUUACAAUAGCUUUAUUACUUAUGCAAUUUCAUACUAAGUAGAGACAUCAUAUUGUAGUAAAUUUUCAUGCUUACUUACUAGUUGUUCAUAUUGCUUACAUUUACAUUUACCCUUUUUUAGUUGUUCGGCCUAGUGGCGCAUUUCACUGAAGUCAGUAAUUGCCCACUGGGAACUAUUAUUUAAUAGUUCUCACGUCCUCUGCUUUAUGUUUCCUUUCAGAGCCUUCGACACCGGCGGAGGUACGGGAUCGCGGCAAGGGUGUCGCCUAGUUAGACAGAGAGGAGCUACUUUUGAGCUUAGGUGGUUACUCUUUCUUUUGUCGUAGUGAGAGAGAGAUUCUUGUACCAUGUAUAGAGACCACCUAUGUACUCUUUUAGCACUUGUAUUUGGGUUUUCUUUGUACUACUUUAUGGUUUCACUUUAUGGAUUUAUAGUUGCAUCAUUACUCUCUCGUCGUAGAAUCUAGUAGUACUUUGCUCUGAUAUCGCAUCUCUUGUAUUAUUGUUUUAUUUACUGCUUUUUCGUAGAUGCCUUAUAUGUUCUAGACAUAUGGUGGGUCUGGACAUGCGCCGGACGGACUUCCGCUGGGCCCCGGGGUGUGACAAAUUAAUUUGGUAUCAGAGCCUAGGGUUGAGUCUUAGGGGACCUAGCAAACUGGUUGGACUAUAGGAAAAAGGCUCGUGAGAGACGAGGUCUAUUUGCCUUGUAAGCGAAAGUAUCUUGAUUGGGUAUCUUGAUAACUCUAAAAAGUUGGAGUUGAUCGAAGUGUAUCGCUUCUAACUUCGCGGAGGGUUACGUUGGCGGCCGACAACAUAACAUCGGAAGUUAGUGGUGAAGAACACUUCCUUACUUUCGCAUGAUUUUGGUAUUAUCUUUUGAGCGGGGAUUCGAUAGCGUGGGUUUACUAACUUGCACUUUUAUGAUGUUGUAGUGACGAUGCCGAUUACACGUUCCCAGUCUGCCGGGGCGGAUGAUGCGGCACACCCCGAGGAGGUCGAGACCUCCGCUACUUCCGGAUCCGGCGAGGUCCGUGAGUUGAGGGGCCAGCUUGCGGCCCUCACUGAUAUGGUGGCACAGCAGACGGAGGUGAGGAUGAAGCGCCUAGAGGACCUUCUUCUGCAGCAGGCAGCAGCUUCCAGAUAGACCCAGGCCCCUACACCGCCAGCACCAGUUGUGGACGUUGCGUUGAGAGCGCCGUCCCCCGCGCCCAGUUCGUCGCGUGCAGCGUCCACGGCCGUGCCUCAGGAGGAGGCUUUGGCGGCACCACCUGUUCUGGCGCCCCCGAUUGGAGCUAUUUUUUUCGUGUUGGUUGAGAGAGCGGAGCGGGACCUACUGAUGGAGCGCCUCAACGAGUUCUGGAGGUGCGGUCCCCGGAUCUUCGACGGUGAGAAGGUCGACCACUGGAUCGUGGAAAAGUGGUUAAUGCACAUAGAGAAGCUCUUCCGCGAUACCUUCGUGGAGGAGAGGGAUUGGGUUUGGCUCGCCACACACCACCUGGACGGCAAGGCCUAUCGCUUGUGGUUGGACCUCUAGGAGCACCCCAGUACUGACUUGGCAGCUAUUACUUGGAAGAGGUUCAAGGAGCUUCUUUUGGCGCAUUACUUUUCGACCAGCGUCAAGAGGAAGAUGGAGCAGGACUUGCGAAACUUGCACCAGGGAGACAGGACAGUAGCCGAGUAUGAGCGGGAGUUUUUUUGACUUCUACACUGCGUGCCUUUCGUCGUGCGGAACGACGAGGACAAGGCCCGCAUCUUCGAGCGAGGGUUGCGACCGUCGAUCUUCCGAUUUGUGCAAUCCUCUAACCUCCAAACCUACCGGAAGGUGGUGGAUCGCGCGCUCAUCGUGGAGAGCGGCGCGACGGAUGUCCAGCAGCGGCGAGAGGCUAUGGACAAGGGUAAGGCCAAGAGACUUGCGGCUGAGGGUGCGAGCCAGACGCACUCUAGGAGGCCGUCGAAGCAUCCUAAGAGUGAGCAGCGUGGGCGUGGCUUGGCGACUCACCGUGGAGGUUCUGACCGAUGCCGGCCUCACCAGUGCGUGAUCUGUGGUGGUGCCCACAUUCCACCGCAGUGCCCGCAGCGGGGAGGGAGGUGUUUCCAGUGUGGCCAGGAGGGCCACUUCCGGACCGAGUGCCCGAGGGGUUUGUCACCGGCACCGUCAUCAGCAUCGGCAUCGGCUCUACCAGCCGCCAGCCACGGGACUCUAUCAGCCCAGUACCAGCCUAGGCGGCCACACGUCCAGUGCUAGAGUGAGGGUGCUCGACAGGCCCCGAGUGGACGUAUGUAUGCCGCUCAGACCGAGGAGGCGGCAGCAGCGGAGGAUGUGGUCGUAGGUAUCAUUUUAUUUGAUGGCAUUAGAGUUCGUGCAUUAUUUGAUACCGGUGCAUCGCAUUCAUUCAUAGAUCGGCUGUUUGCCGAGUUGCAUGGCAUCCCUAUGCUUUCUUUGUUGCAGCCGGGACGUGUAGUUGUCCCCGACCACUCUUUGGAUAUUAGAGAGUAUUGCCCCAGUUGCCCUAUUCGGAUAGGAGAUUGGGUUAUGCCUGUGGACUUACUAGCCUUGCGCAAGCUGGGGGAAUUUGAUGUGGUCUUAGGCAUGGAUUGGCUAACCAAGUAUUAUGCCACGAUCGAUUGCAAGAAUUGCACGGUUACUUUUAGAGAACCGGGACAGACGGAGGUUGUGUUUAGAAGAUGCCAGAGUUCGCUUUUUGCGAUGACGAUCAGCUCGUCUCGAGCUAGGCAGCUGAUCAGUAGAGGCUGUGUAGCCUACUUGGCUAGUGUUGUGUUGAGGGGCGAGAGUGAUACCCCUAGGAUUGAGGAUAUCGCGGUAGUGCGGGAGUUUUGUGAUGUGUUUCCAGCUGAGCUACCGGGUAUGCCACCCGAUAGGGAGAUCGAGUUUGUGGUAGAUCUCGUCCCUGGGACUACUCCAAUCUCGAAAGCGCCUUAUAGGAUAGCACCGGCGGAGCAGAAGGAGCUGAGGGCACAGCUGCAGGAUCUUCUGGCUAAAGGCUACAUUCGACCGAGCGUCUCGCCUUGGGGAGCACCAGUUUUGUUCGUCAAGAAGAAGGACGGAUCACUUCGCCUAUGUGUGGAUUAUCGUGAACUUAAUAAAAUCACGAUCAAGAAUAAGUAUCCGUUGCCGAGAAUUGACGACUUAUUUGAUCAGCUUCAGGGAUCGUGUGUGUAUUCCAAGAUCGACUUGCAGUCGGGAUACCACAAAUUAAAGAUCAAACCCGAGGAUGUAUUGAAGACGGCUUUUAGAACACGGUAUGGACAUUAUGAGUUCACUGUUAUGCCGUUCGGGCUUACUAAUGCCCCGACAGCUUUUAUGCAUCUAAUGAACAGUGUUUUUAAACCUUAUCUAGACAGGUUUGUCGUGGUGUUCAUCGACGACAUUCUGAUUUAUUCCCGAAGUGAUGCAGAUCACGAGAAGCAUUUGAGGCUUGUACUCCAAGUACUUCGGGAAAAUGAGCUCUAUGCCAAGUUGAAAAAGUGUAAAUUUUGGCUUCGAGAGGUAGCUUUUCUUGGACAUUUGAUUUCAGAAUCGGGUAUAGCUGUGGAUCCUAAGAAAUUAAAGCAAUUAAGGAUUGGCCGAGACCGACGAGCGUCACGGAGAUACCGAGCUUUCUUGGAUUGGCCGGGUACUACCGGAGAUUUGUUGAGGGGUUCGCCAAGCUGUCUACUCCCCUCACGAGGCUCACGCAUAAAGGAGUCAAGUUUGUUUGGAAUGAGGCGUGCGAGAGAAGCUUCCAAGAGUUGAAGCAAAGAUUAAAGACCGCCCCGAUCCUAACCCUGCCGGUUGCUGGAGCAGGGUAUGUGGUUUAUAGUGAUGCUUCAUUUAAUGGAUUGGGUUAGUUUUGAUGCAGGAUGGCAAGGUGAUCGCGUAUGCUUCACACCAAUUAAAGGAAUAUGAAAAGAACUAUUCGACGCACGAUUUGGAGUUGGCGGCCGUAGUUUUCGCAUUGAAGUUAUGGCGUCACUACUUAUAUGGCGAGCGGUAUAAAGUGUACACGGAUCACAAGAGUUUGAAGUACUUGUUCACUCAGAAGGAGUUGAACUUGAGACAGCGCAGAUGGUUGGAGCUGCUCAAAGAUUAUGAUCUGACUAUUCUUUACCACCCGGGCAAGACUAACGUGGUGGCGGAUGCUCUAAGUAGGAAAUCUACAGAAAACUUAGCGAUGCAUGUUGUUACUCAACCGCAGUUGAUCGAGCAGAUGAAGUGAUUGGAGUUGGAGGUGGUGACUCCAGACACGCCUUUGAGGUUGAUGACUUUGGUGGUGCAACCUACACUUGUGGAUAGAAUUAAAAAGAAGCAAGCUUCCGAUACGGAGUUGCAAAAGAUUAGAGAUAAAAUGGUUAAUGGUUGCUCCGACGACUUCCUUGUGGAUGAUCAAGGAUUGAUGCGUUUUCGCGGACGGUUAUGUGUUCCAGCGGAUGCAGGAAUCAAAGAGGACAUUCUUCAAGAAGCACGCCGAGAACUGUAUGCUAUACAUCCGGGUGGCACCAACAUGUAUAAGGACUUAAAGUUGCUCUAUUGGUGGCUCGAGAUGAAAAAAGAUGUUGGCGAGUUUGUAGCUCGUUGUCCAACUUGCCAACAAGUAAAGACUGAGUAUCGACUACCUGCGGGAAAACUUCAGAGUUUGCCUAUUGUGGAAGUGGGAGAAGAUCACCAUGGACUUUGUGACCGGAUUGCCUCGCUCCCAGGCUGGGCAUGAUGCUAUUUGGGUAAUCGUGGAUAGGUUGACGAAGUCGGCGCACUUCAUACCUAUUCAUACUACUUGGACUGGGGAGAAGCUCGCACAAAUGUACCUUGAUGAGAUUGUGCGGCUUCAUGGAGUGCCUCCGUCGAUUGUAUCGGAUCUAGAUACCCAGUUUGUGUCUCACUUUUGGAAGAGUCUACAGGAUGCCCUAGGCACUCGACUGGACUUUAGCACUGCUUUCCACCCUCAGAGUGAUGGGUAGUCGGAGCGCACCAUACAGACUUUAGAGGAUAUGCUCCGAGCAUGUGUGAUUGUGUCACGCCCCGGAUGUCUCGUUCCCCGGGCACGCCGACAAAUCCGCCGUAUACAAAGGAAUUUUCCCUGUAUACGAAGCGACAGCUGUACCUGUAAAUCAUACAAUACUACAAACAGUAGUAUAGAGCUGCUAAAGUAAACAGAAGCUAAACAAACUGAGUUUCACAUACAUAGUCCAAAAUCCAAAAUACAGAGCUACUCGCACUGGCGAGUUAAGUAUACUAUGUACAUGAACCCGAAAACCAAAACGUCUACCUGCAGUAGGGGUGCCUCUAGCUCUGCUCGUCGGGUAGGGCUCUAACUCGCGACGCCCUUGCCUCGAUCCGUCUCGGAGAGUGCAUCAGCCGAAACCUGGGGCUCUGCAAAACAGGGGUAACAACAGGGCGUGAGAACUACUGUAAAAACAGGUAGUCCUCAGUGGGUGCCGCCCUAAACAACAUCGGUCCACCCACUAAGUCUACAGAAGGGAGCCAGGAUAGUAGUAAAUGCAGGAAUGAAAUCUACCGCUAUGAAUCACUACACUAUCAUGCUCUACACUAACCAACUGUAGGAAAUGUCAAAUCUGACCCAAUCCAAUCGGGACUGUAAGCAUACCCGUCCCUGGGACUGUGAACACACCCGUCCCUGCCCAGUUGUGACAAUCAGCUACCUCCACACUACUGGUCCGUGGAGAGCAAGUCCAACCGGCAUGAGCGACACCAACGCAAAAGCACUAAGCCCGCCUCCGGAGUGGCACUCGUGGGAGCUACCCAACCGAGUAUGCAGCGUGUCUCUGUCGAGCUCAAACAGGCUCUAACAAGCCAAAGUCAAGUAACCGACUCAUACUGGUCUAACAACCAACUAGUAACGUGCCCUCGGCACAAUCUGACGCCAAAACGGCGAACCGGGUCCACCGUCAACCCCGACGGCACCCAACAGUCUGGAACAGCCUGAACGCUACUAUAAAAAUACACUCGGCAUCCCAGCACGAGUGUAACUGAAAUCUAAACUACCUGGAAUACUCACUAUGAUGAUACUGAAACCGUAUAAAAUCAUACCACGGUCCCUAGGGCUAAAUCAGGUAGUUAACAUAUGCCGAUCGUUAUCGCGUUUUCUCCUAAGUCAAAUCCAAGUCCAACAUGUAUAUUCAUAUUUAUUAAUCAUGUUCUUAAAUCGUAUUUAUCCAAGAUAUAAUCAAUGAGAUAGAGCUACACAUGAUUUAUACAACUACAAAUCAUACAUGUCGACUAAUGCUAUACUUAGGAAUAAACCGAUGUAACCCACCUAGCUCGCUAAUCCCUGGCAGCACGGAACUGCCCUCGGCUGCGGAACAACCUGCCGAAACGUCCGAAAACCUCCCAAGGCCCGAAGUCAAGCUCCCGCCAAACUCUACACGGAGAAUCCGACAAUAAGCAUUAUUUCUGCCUCAAAAACAGCAACAGAGAAGAGCGAAAUUCCGACCUAGCAAACCUUUAUCAAAUCCAGCAAGUAAGGACUUCGUGGAUUCCUCUCGAAGUCCCGAAUCCAACAAACCAAGUCCCGUCGAAAACCGACGCUCCUACGCCGAGUACGAACUGAAAUACCGACGGUCGACGCUGGAAAUUCUGCAAAUCAGCACCAAGCUCGAAUGGAUAAUACUUGAAGCAGUGCAACGGAACACUCACCUCAAAGGCUAAUCGGACAUCGACGCGGCGUCGAGAACGACGAAAACGCAUCCUCGCCUAGUUUCCUCGCAACGCUACGAUCCCAACCGUACCCUCGAACGGCUUCGCGGCGCGUCGUCGGCGUCGAACUCGUGCUCGCGACUACCUCCUCCGAGCUCUUUGCUUCGGUUGAACAAAGAGAGAAGUAGAAAGAUUAGGCAAUGCCCACCUAAUUUGUUGAUAAGCAUGCAAAGGGUGCACGCGGCAUCCAAGCCACCCUACUUUGCAUGCAUGGGUGGACGUGGCAUCCAAGCCACCCCACUUAGCACCAACCGACAUAAAACAUAAAUAAGUUAAUUAAUUAAUAAAUAAAACAAGGAUACUACAUCCUCCCCCACUACAAAAAGUUUCGUCCUCGAAACUUAAACAUACCUCAACACGAAGUAACGAACAGGUCGGGGCAGGACUCUCUCAUCACCGUCUCAGGCUCCCAAGUCGCCUCCCGCUCCUCGUGAUUGCUCCACUACACUUUCACAUACGGGAUGACCCGAUUGCGCAAUUCUUUCGUCUCCCGAGCAAGAAUCCGCAACGGUCGCUCCUCGUAUCUCAGAUCCUCGCCGAUCUCAAGUGGAGUGAAGUUGAUCACGUGAGAGAGAUCGAAAACAUAUCUCCUCAAUGCUGAGAUGUGAAAAACAUCGUGUAUGCCAGCAAGUCGCGGGGGUAGAGCUAUCCUGUAAGCAACCGGUCCAAUACGCUCCAAUACCUCGAAAGGGCCAACAAACCGUGGACUGAGCUUUCCACGUACUCCAAAUCAGCGAAUCCUUCUAGACGGCGAGACUUUAAGGAAAACAUGAUCUCCAACAUGAAACUCUAAGUCUCGUCUCCUGGUAUCGGCGUAGCUCCUCUGGCGGCUCUGGGCGGUCAAAAGGUGUCAUCGAACGACUCUCACCUUUUCCUUAGCCUCAAGUAAGAUCUCCGGUCCAAAUGUCCUCCUCUCACCCACAUCACUCCAAAACAGAGGGGAUCGACAUCUGCGUCCAUACAACGCCUCAAACGGAGCCAUCUGGAUGCUCGCUUGAUAGCUGUUGUUGUACGCAAACUCAACCAGUCUCACAUGUCGAUACCACCCUCCUCCAAAAUCCAGGACGCAUGCCCUCAGCAUGUCCUCUAGAGUCUGAAUGGUCCGCUCUGACUGACCAUCUGUAUGUGGGUGGAAUGCCGUCUGAAGGCUCCUCCAAAACUGGGAUACAAACCUCGGGUCUCUGUCUGACACAAUCGAUACUGGCAUGCCGUGCAGCCUAACGAUCUCAUCCAGGUAUAGCUGCGCGAGUCUCUCUUUGGACCAGAUAGUCUGAACCGGUAGGAAGUGAGCAGACUUGGUCAGUCUGUCCAUUAUAACCCAAAUCGCGUCAUAGCCACCCUGUGCUCUAGGCAAACUAAUGACGAAAUCCAUCGUGAUAUACUCCCAUUUCCACUCUGGCACUGGUAGACUCUGAAGCUUGCCAGCAGGCACCUGAUGCUCGGCUUUCACCUGUUGNNNNNNNNNNNNNNNNNNNNNNNNNNNNNNNNNNNNNNNNNNNNNNNNNNNNNNNNNNNNNNNNNNNNNNNNNNNNNNNNNNNNNNNNNNNNNNNNNNNNCGGUCUCACCACCAGGGACCGGUUGCCUCAGGACUUCCUGGCAGGCUACGCGUACGGGGACCGGUCUCUCCUUCAGGGACCGGUCCCCGAGAGCAAAAAAUCUGGGACUUAGCCGGAUUUUCAAAUUACUCUCUCGGGUCCCAUCUAGCCUCACUUAUGGACUCUAACACGCUUAGGGCCCACCCAAACUCGUUCAAUUCCGCGUUCCGCUCAUUUUGACGGAACCCGGCACGAUUUAUAAGGGACGUGGUAUGUUACAACAAAGAAGUCCAAACAAUCACUACAUAUAUGCUAACUCCUUCAAUUCAAGGACCUAGACAUGAAUCGCACUAUGGGACCAUUGAAAUUGUGAACAGCAAAUUUCAAAGGAUUGAACAAAAAAUAUACAACAAAUAUAGCAAAUUUCAACUCGAAUUUCUACCCAGCUUAUUUUGCUUUAAACUAUUGCCUCAAACCGAUAGGUAUGAUGGUGUCGACAUGAACAAUCACAAUUCAAUAUUUAGUUAACACAAUUUCUCCUUCUGUGGCAACAAUAUUAGUUUAUUAGUUUAUCAUUAAAAAAGAUUUUUCUUUCUUACCGCAUGAAAACAUAAAUAAAUUAUCUGAAAUUCCCAAGCAAUUUAAAUUGUGCCUCAAUUAUUCAUGGUAUAAAAAGUUGCAUUAAUUUCAACCGUACACUUUCCUUUUUCAAAUAGACCUAAAUAUCUAUACAAAUACAUUAAAGGACGAACCCUGGGCGAACCCUCAACCCUUUCCAUAGUUUUUCCGUGAUUUCAGGAGUGGGUCCCUCCUACUACCAUGUAUUCCCCCCUCUUUCUGUAAUGCACUGGAUCUUGCAAAUCGCAAGAUUCGAGUGUUUGAUCUGUGUGGGGAGCCUUUCCACAGUUUUUGGAGGGUCGUUGAUAGUGUUCCGACCCCUGGCACGCACCCCGAGGAUGUUGGAGUGAGACUUGGCACCAAAAUCCCAAAACUGGAAUUUUUGGUCAGCUCUCGGGUAGCCUGCAGCAGAGCUUGUACCGGAACAAGACUGGUCUUGUACCGGUACAAGGUUGAUGGUUGUACCGGUACAGCCAUCGGGCUUGUACCGGUACAGAGCCGCAGACCCCGCGACCUGAGCCUCGGGUUUGCAUUUUCGUGGGCCUUGUACCGGUACAAGAGCCCGUGUACCGGUACAAGGAGGCAGUUUUCGUGCAGUUUGGUCUGCAGGGGUGUUUUUGCUAUUGUAGCACUUCUAUAAGUGCACCCCACGCCCCUUAGGGCCUCCCCUGUGCAGAGACCAGCAGGAGUUGAGGUAGGAGGAGCUCUCUCUCCCUUCCUUUGCAUUUUUACUCCUUCUGCUUGGUUUUUAUUGGGUUUUCUCUCCUCUAUUUGCAUCUUGGUGGCUUCUCCACCAUUGUUGAUGGCUUAGAGCUUGGAGAGGAGCUAGUGGCUGCGGAGAUCUUCAACAUCACUUGGAUUGGAGCUAAGUUUGGAGCUUCGUGAGAGGUUAGAGACUUGAUUUUUUCCUUUGAUCCUUGAUUUGAGGUUUUUGUGAGAUGAAACCCUAGAAUGAGGUUUUAGGGCUUAAUUUGGGCAAUUUGAAUCUAGGGCUUUUGAAGCUAGUUUGAGUGGAUUAGAGGCUUCCAUUUGGUUGGAUUGGAAGGACUCUAGCUCUCUUUUGGAGCUUUAGAGGACAUUUUUGCACUAAAUGUGAGUUUUUCUCACCUAUACUUGAUUAGCUUAAUGAUUGAGCUAGGUAUUGUUCGUUUGGCUCGUAUGACACAUGUUUCUAUACCUCUAGGGUACUAGGAGACUAGAGGACACCCUCGUUGGAGCGAACGAGGAGUUUCGUCGUCAUCGGUGGGUUUGGCUUCGUGGAAAUGGGGCGAAAUGGCCCCUAUGCUCUUUCUACUUGUUGUAAAAUAUUUUUAAGUUCAUUUCUAUGCUAAAUGAAAUUUAUAUGAAUUUUAGAACACUUAAAAUGCAUGCCUUAUGUAUUAUGAAAAUUCCACUAUAUAGUAGAGCUAUAUGAGUAGAAUGCAUGCAUACGGGAAAAGUGUUUAAUUUUGCAAGUGGAAAAUACAUCUCUUAUGAGGAUUAUGACUUAGAACAUAUACUUUGGAACAUAGUUGCCAUACUUUGACAUAGAGAGUAAGAGUGGCAUCAAGGGGCACUUGAAACUAGCAAACUGUUAAACUGUAACAUAGAGACAUAUUGAUAGGCCACUACGUAUCUGUUAUAUUCCAUGUUAGAGACAUGAUGACAUAGAGAUAGACUAUUGAGAUACUUGAUAUAUUCCAUGUUAUUAGACAUGAGGACUUGGUACUUGAGACAUAUCAUUGCUUGCUUGCCAUCGUGCUCAUUUGCACAUGCUUAUGAGGGUCGCUCCCUACAAGCCGGCACUCCGGAGAUAGCCAUCGCGACAUAUGCUCGCCCGUACGGGAUUGGGCGCCGAAGUGGAUUUCCGUGGGGGAGGCUCAUCCCUAGAAUGGGGAUGUUGACUACCACGGGGCCAUUAGGCACGGCGCAGGCCAGACAGCCUUCGGGUGGGUCUUAUAUGAUUGGGACUUGGUGACAGAACAUGCUAUGUGAACUUUAUAACUGUUAAAGUGGACUUGGACUAGAAUAGUAAACAAUGACAUCUUUACUAUUACAUUGUGGACUGUGGGUAGUUGCAUAAUCAUGCUUUAUAUGUUGGGUGUUCAUGUGCAUAUAGCUAGUAGUUGCUUCCUUACUUAUGUAAAUUAUGCUAAGUAGAGGUAUCAUGAUUAUUGGGUACUCGUUUAUUUAUUUGCUUACAGCGCAUUUAUCGCUUUUGUUAUAUUGUACACUGACCCUUUUUCUAUAGUUCGGGCCUAGUGGUGCAUUUCACUGAAGUCAGUAAUUGCCCACUGGGAACUAUUAUUUAAUAGUUCUCACGCCCCUGUUUCUAUGUUUCCUUUUUAGAGCCUUCGGCACCGGCGGAAGCACGGGACUACGGCAAGGGUGUCGCGUAGCUAGCUCGCGGAGAGUUCUUUUGCGCUAGGUGGUUACUCCUCCAUUUUAUAUUUUGAGAGAGAGGGAGAGGUUUUGUACCAUGUAUAGAAAGACCACCUUGUACUUCUUUUAGCACUUGUUAUGGGAUCCCUAUUGUACUUACUUUAUAUUUUUAUUUAGUGGACUUUCAGCUUUAUGUCCUUUUCUUGUUAUAGAACUAGUUAUACAAUGCUCUGAUGUCACUAGACCUCUUGUAUUAUGGUUUUAUCUAUCGAAAUUUUUGUAGACGCCUUAUAUGUUUUAGACGUAUGGCGGGUCUGGACACGCACCGGGUAGGCUUCCGCUGAGCCCCGGGGCGUGACAGAUUAAUUUGGUACCAGAGCCUAGGGUUGAGUCUUAGGGGACCUAGUAAACCUUAGGCCGGUUGGACUAUAGGAAAUAGGCUCGUGAGAGACGAGGUCUAUUCGACUUGUAAGCGAAAGUAUCUAGAUUGGGUAUCUUGAAUAACUCUAGAAAGUGGAGUUAAAUUGAAGUGUAUAACUCCUAACUUCGCGGAGGGUUACGUUGGCGGCCGACAACGUAACAUCGGGAGUUAGUUGUGGAUAACACUUCCUUACUUUCGCAUGAUUUGGGGUUUGUCUUUGAGCGGGGAUGCGACAGCGUGAGUAUUUCUAACUUGCGCUUUUAUGAUGCUGUAGUGACGAUGCCGAUUACUCGCUCCCAAUCUGCCAGGGCGGACAAUGCGGCAAACUUCGAGGAGGUCGAGACCUCCGCUACCUCCGGAUCCAGCGAGGUCCGUGAGUUGAGGGGCCAACUGGCAGCCCUCACCGACUUGGUCACUCAGCAGGCAGAGGCGGCCCGACAGCAGACCGAGGCGGCGCGCCGACAGGAGACGCGAAUGAAGCGUCUGGAGGACCUACUAUUGCAGCAGGCGGCAGCUUCUAGGGAGACUCAGGCCCCUACACCGCCAUUACCAGUUGUGGACGUUGCACCGAGAGCGCCGUCCCCCGCGCCCAGUUCUUCGCGUGCGGCGCCUGCGACCGCACCCCAGGAGGAGGCUUUGGCGGCACCACCUGUGCAGAGGCCUCCGGUUGGAGCUGCUUUUCCUACCUUGGUUGAGGGGGCGGAGCGAGACAGACUGAUGGAGCGCCUCAAUGAGUUCAGGAGGUGCAGCCCCCGAGUCUUCGAUGGCGAGAAGGUCGACCACUGGAUCGUGGAGAAGUGGUUGAUGCAUAUGGAGAAGCUCUUCCGCGACACCUUCGUGGAGGAAAGGGAUAGAGUUUGGCUCGCCACUCACCACUUGGACGGCGAGGCCUACCGCUGGUGGUUGAAUUUUCAGGAGCACCCCAGCACUGACUUGGCAUCUAUCACAUGGACGAGGUUCAAGGAGCUUCUUCUGGCGCACUACUUUCCGACUAGCGUCAAGAGAAAGAUGGAGCAGGAUUUGCGCAGCUUGCGCCAGGGUGACAGGAUUGUAGCCGAGUACGAGAGGGAGUUUUCUCGGCUUCUGCAUUGCGUGCCCUUCGUCGUGCGGGACGACGAGGAUAAGGCCCGCAUCUUCGAGCGAGGGUUGCGACCGUCGAUUUUCCGGUUUGUGCAGUCCUCUAACCUCCAAACCUACCGGGAGGUGGUGGAUCGCGCGCUCAUUGUGGAGAGCGGCGCGGCAGAGGUCCAGGAGCAGCGAGAGGCUAGGGACAAGGGUAAGGCCAAGAGGCCUGCGGCUGAGGGUGCGAGCCAGACGCACUCCAGGAGGCCGCCGAAGCAUCCGAGGAGCCAGCAGCGUGGGCGUGGCUCGGCGACUCACCGAGGAGGUUCUGAUCGACGCCGACCUCCCCAAUGCGUGAUCUGUGGUGGUCCCCACAUUCCACCGCAGUGCCCGCAGCGGGGAGGGAGAUGUUUCCAGUGUGGCCAGGAGGGCCACUUUCGGACCGAGUGCCCAAGGGGAUCUUCACCGGCACCGUCGACUGCAUCGGCACCGGCUCUCCCAGCCGCCAGCCAGGGGACUCCAUCGGCACAAUACCAGCCUGGGCGGCCACCCGUCAAGCGCCAGAACGAGGGAUCUCGACAGGCCCCGAGUGGGCGCAUGUACGCCGCUCAGACCGAGGAGGCGGCAGCAGCCGAGGAUGUGGUUGCAGGUAUCAUUUUACUUGAUGGCAUUAGAGUUCGUGCUUUAUUCGAUACCGGUGCAUCGCAUUCAUUUAUAGAUCGGUUGUUUGCCGAGUUGCAUGGCAUCCCUUUGGUUUCUUUGUUGCAUACGGGACAUGUUGUUGUACCCGACACAUUUUGGAUAUUAGAGAGUAUAGCCCCGGUUGCCCUAUUCGGGUAGGAGAUUGGAUCAUGCCUAUAGAUUUGCUAGCUUUGCUCAAGCUGGGAGAUUUUGAUGUGGUCUUGGGCAUGGAUUGGUUGACCAAGUAUUAUGCCACGAUUGAUUGCAAGAAUCGCACGGUUACUUUUAGAGAACCUGGGCAGACUGAGGUGGUAUUUAGUGGAUGCCGAAGUUCGCUGUUUGCAAUGACGAUCAGCUCGUCUCGAGCUAGGCAGCUGAUUAGCAGAGGUAGCGUAGCCUAUUUGGCUAGUGUUGUGCUGAGGGGCGAGGAUGACACCCCUAAAAUCGAGGAUAUCCCGGUGGUGCGGGAGUUCCAGGAUGUGUUUCCAGCUGAGCUACCGGGUAUGCUUCCUGAUAGGGAGAUUGAGUUUGUGGUAGAUCUCGUCCCUGGGACUACCCCAAUCUCAAAGGCACCCUAUAGGAUGGCACCGGCAGAGCUGAGGGAGCUGAGGGCACAGCUGCAGGAUUUGUUGGACAAGGGCUUCAUUCGACCGAGCGUGUCACCUUGGGGAGCACCAGUUUUGUUCGUCAAGAAAAAGGACGGAUCACUUCGCCUUUGCGUGGAUUAUCGUGAACUUAAUAAAGUCACGAUCAAGAACAAGUAUCCGUUGCCGAGGAUCGACGACUUGUUUGAUCAGCUUCAGGGAUCGCGUGUGUAUUCCAAGAUAGACUUACAGUCGGGAUACCACCAAUUGAAGAUCAAACCCGAGGAUGUGUCGAAGACGGCUUUUAGAACACAGUAUGGACAUUAUGAGUUCACAGUUAUGCCGUUCGGGCUUACUAAUGCCCCGGCAGCUUUUAUGGAUCUAAUGAAUCGUGUUUUCAAGCCUUAUCUAGACAGGUUCGUCGUGGUGUUCAUCGACGAUAUUUUGGUCUACUCUCGAAGUGAUGCAGAUCACGAGGAGCAUUUGAGGAUUGUACUCCAAGUACUCCGGGAAAAGGAGCUUUAUGCCAAGUUGAAGAAAUGUGAAUUUUGGCUUCGAGAGGUAGCUUUUCUUGGACAUUUGAUUUCGGGAUCGGGUAUAGCCGUGGAUCCCAAGAAGAUUGAAGCAAUCAAGGAUUGGUCAAGACCGACGAGCAUCAAAAAGAUACGGAGCUUCCUUGGAUUGGUCGGUUACUACCGGAGAUUUGUAGAGGGGUUCGCUAAACUGUCUACUCCCCUCACGAGGCUCACGCACAAAGGAGUCAAGUUCAUUUGGAAUGACGCGUGCGAGCGAAGCUUCCAAGAGUUGAAGCAGAGAUUGACGACCGCCCCGAUCUUAACCCUACCAGUAGCUGGAGUAGGGUAUGUGGUUUAUAGUGAUGCUUCACUUAAUGGAUUGGGUUGUGUAUUGAUGCAGGAUGGCAAGGUGAUCGCGUAUGCUUCUCGCCAACUAAAGGAAUACGAGAAGAACUACCCGACGAAUGAUUUGGAAUUGGCGGCUGUAGUGUUCGCAUUGAAGCUAUGGCGCCACUAUCUCUAUGGCGAGCGGUGUGAAGUAUACACGGAUCACAAGAGCUUAAAGUACCUAUUUACUCAGAAGGAGUUGAACUUGAGGCAGCGCAGAUGGUUGGAGCUACUCAAGGAUUACGAUUUGACGAUUCUUUACCACCCGGGCAAGGUUAACGUGGUGGCGGAUGCGCUAAGUAGGAAAUCGAUGGAAAACUUAGCGAUGCAUAUUGUGGCUCAACCGCAGUUGAUUGAGCAGAUGAAGCGGUUGGAGUUGGAGGUGGUGACUCCUGACACACCCUUGAGAUUGAUGACUUUGGUAGUGCAACCUACUCUUUUAGAUAGAAUUAAAGAAAAGUAAGUUUCCGAUGUGGAGUUGCAAAAGAAUCGAGGUAAAAUGGUUGAUGGUUGCACCGACGACUUCCUUUUGGACGAUCAGGGAUUGAUGCGUUUUCGUGGGCGGAUUUGUAUACCCGCGGAUUCAGGGAUUAAAGAAGAUAUUCUUCAAGAAGCGCACCGAGCGCCGUAUGCUAUACAUCCGGGAGGCACCAAGAUGUACAAGGAUCUAAAGUUGCUUUAUUGGUGGCCCGGGAUGAAAAAGGACGUUGGCGAGUUUGUAGCUCGUUGUCUAACUUGCCAACAAGUAAAGGCUGAGCACCGAGUUCCCGCGGGAAAACUUCAGAGUUUACCUAUCCCCGUGUGAAAAUGGGAGAAGAUCACCAUGGACUUUGUGACAGGAUUGCCACGCUCUCAGGCCGGGCAUGAUGCUAUUUGGGUGAUCGUGGAUAGGUUGACGAAGUCGGCGCACUUCAUACCUAUUCAUACGACUUGGACCGGAGAGAAGCUCGCACAAGUGUACCUUGAUGAGAUUGUGCGACUUCAUGGAGUGCCUACAUCGAUUGUAUCUGAUCGGGACACUCGGUUUGUGUCUCACUUUUGGAGGAGUCUACAGGAUGCCUUAGGCACCCGAUUGGAUUUCAGUACAGCAUUCCACCCGCAGAGCGAUGGACAGUCGGAGCGCACUAUUCAGACCUUAGAGGAUAUGCUCCGAGCAUGCGUGAUAGACUUCCAGGGAGGAUGGUCGCAGCAUCUACCGAUGGCGGAGUUUGCUUAUAAUAACAGUUAUCAAGCAAGCAUCAAGAUGGCGCCUUUCGAAGCACUUUAUGGACGGAAGUGUAGAUUGCCACUUCAUUGGAGUGAAGUCGGCGAGAGACUGGCUUUAGGCCCUGAUGUACUCCAGGAAACUGAGGAUAAGGUUCGAAUUGCUCGGGAGCGACUUUUGACGGCGCAGAGUAGACAGAGGAGCUACAUCGAUCGACGACGGCGAGACUUGGAGUUCCAAGUUGGAGACCAUGUUUUCUUGAAGGUCUCGCCAACUAGAGGGAUAAAGAGAUUCGGGAUUCGGGAAAAGUUGAGCCCCUGUUUUAUUGGACCGUAUGAGGUUUUGGAGCGUGUAGGUCCGUUAGCGUAUCGACUCGCUCUACCACCGAACCUAUCCGGCGUGCACAACGUCUUUCACGUAUCGGUCCUUCGGAGGUACAUUCAUGAUCCAGCUCAUGUUUUGGGAACUAUACCAGUGGAGCUGCGUGAGGAUUUGAGCUUCGAGGAGCAACCCGUGAAGAUUUUGGCUCGUGAAGUGAAAAAGCUGCGGAAUCGGGAUAUUCCGUAUGUGAAGGUUCUUUGGAGCAACCACGCGGAGCGCGAGGCCACGUGGGAGCUAGAGAGUGCGCUGCAGGAGCGCUAUCCCCAUCUUUUUCAGAUGGAGCCUUGAGGUAUGCGGUUGCUUUCGAGUUUCGCGGACGAAACUCCUUUUUAGGAGGGGUUAAUGUAGCACACUGGACCUUUGCAAAUUGCGAGAUUCGAGUGUUCGAAUUGUGUUCCGAACUUUUCCACACUCGGUGGAGGGCCGUCGAUGGUAUACCCGCCUAAAAGUUCGAUCUCGCGACUUUUGGCAGAGUCCUGAGAGUUUUUACUCUCGGGGACCGGUCCCUGAUAGGAGAGACCGGUCCCCCAGUGAACAGUGCUGCGUAGCCGGCGAGGCAACCGGUCCCUGGCAGUUGAGACCGGUCCCCGAGCGCGUCUGUGCGGGGAGAGACCGGUCCCGUGCAGGGAGAGACCGGUUCCCGAACGUUGGAUUUUCGGGGGGCAGGCUGAGAGACCGGUCCUAGGUCGGGGAGACCGGUCCCUCUGGGCGAAAACUGCCCAGACCGGGCUGAUGUAAAUUUGAGUUUUUGAGUGGCCUAAGUGGAUUUUGUUACUUUAGAGGCUAUAAGCAGCCUUUCCUCCCCUCUCACUCUCAUUUUCUCUCCCUCACACUCUUCCUACACUUCUAGAGAGAGAAAGGGAAGGAGAAGAAGGAGAAGAAGAGGAGAAGAAGCUUGCAUAGAGGCCUUGGAGCACCAUCUUCUUCCUCAUUUCCCACCUUUGGAGGCUUGGAGCUGCGGUUGGAGCUUUGUGGAGGAUCAAACCUCAACCCUACUUGGUUUUGAGCUUGGAUUAGAGCUUCUCUUGAGGUUGGUAGCUUGAAAUCCCCAUUUGUUACAUGCUUUCCUAGGUUUUACUAGAUGAAACCCUAGAUUUUGGGAUUUAGGGCUUAUUUUGGGGGUUUUUGAAUUUGGGGGCUUUGGAACCAAAUUGAUGGGUUUAGAACCUUUGUUUAGGUUAGAUUGGAAGGACUCUAACCCCAUUUGGAGAUCGUGAGAGCCUUCUUCGCAAUCGGUAAGUUUUCUCCAACCCUAGCUUGAGGAGCUUAAUGAUUGAGCUAUUCGCUCUUCGUUUCGUUUGGGUGACCCUAUUUUUGAUGUUUCUAGGGUACUAGGGAGCUUGUGGAUAUCUUCGUUCGGCGAAACGAAGAAGUCGAUUCUUUUGGUGGGUUUGACUUCAUGAAAAUAGGGCAAAAUGGCCCUAUGCCUUCUAAGCCUUUCGUAAAGUAUUUUCGAAUGCAAAUUCAUGCUAAUUAUGAUUUAUAUGAAUUUUAGAACACUUAACAUGCAUGCCUCAUGUAUCGUAAAAUUUGUACUCCAUAUAGUAGAGCUAUAUGCGUAGAUUGCAUGCAUUGUGGAUAGUGCUUGGUUUUGCAAGUUGAGAACAUGUCUCCAUGCUAGAGUUGAGUGAAUUAUGCAUCAUGAACAUAUUAAUGCCAUGCUUGGAACUCGUUGAACAAAAGUGUCAUCAAGGGGCACUUGAAACUAGUAAACUAUUAAAAUUGCAAUAUAGAGACAUGUUGAUAGGCCACUAUAUAUCUGCUACAUUCCAUGUUAGAGACAUGAUGACAUAGAGAUAGGCCAUUGAGAUACUUGAUAUAUUCCAUGUUGUUAGACAUGAGGACUUGGUUCUUGAGACGGAUCAUUGCUUGCUUGCCAUUUGUGCUCAUUCGCACAUGCUUGUGAGGGUCGCUCCCUACAAGCCGGCACUCCGGAGAUAGCCAUCGCGACACAUGCUCGCCGUGCGGGAUUGGGCGCCGAAGUGGACUGCCGUGGGGGAGGCUCAUCCCUAGAGUGGGGAUGUUGACUACCACAGGGCCAUUAGGCACGGCGCAGGCCAGACAGCCUUCGGGUGGAUCUUAUAUGAUCGGGACUUAGUGACGGAACGUGCUUUGUGAACUUUAAAACUAUUAAAGUGGACUUGGACUAGAAUAGUAAACAAUGACAUCCUUAUUAUUUUGCAUUGAGAACAUUGGAUUGGUUGCAUUCCUACGCUUUUGCAUGUCAUACCCAUCCAUGUACAUUCAUGAUAUAGUUGCUUUAUUACUUAUACUAAUCAUGCUAAGUGGAGACUCUAUGUUAUAGUAAGUCACUUUAUACUUACCUUUUUAUUAUUACAUUGUUAGUCACUGACCUCUUCUUGUAGCUUUUGGGCCUUGUGGCGCAGUUCACUGAAGUCAGUAAUUGCCCACUGGGAACUAUUUUUAAUAGUUCUCACGCCCCUGUUUUCGUGGUUUACUUUUCAGAGCCUUCGGCACCGGCGGAGGCACGGGAUCGCGGCAAGGGGAUCGCUUAGCUAGCUAGCGAGGAACGGCUCUUUUCCUAGGUGGUUUGCUCUUUCUUUUGUAGUUGGGAGAGUGAAAGAUUUCUGUAUCCAUGUAUAGAGACCACCUAUGUACCUACUUUUAGCACUUGCAUUUGGGAUUUCCUAUUGUAUUUACUUUAUGUCCUAUUUAGUGGAUUUACAGUUUUACCUUAUCCUUUGUCGUAGCAUUUAGACAUUUAUUAUGCUCUGAUACUCCUAGAUGUCUAUUAUUAUUGCUUUUAUUACUGUUGUUUCUAGACGCCUUAUACGUUUUAGACGUAUGGCGGGUCUGGGCACGCGCCGGGCGGGCUUCCACUGGGUCCCGGGGCGUGACAGUCUAAUUCUAAAUGUAAUUUUGCUUUCUCUAUGUAAUUCAAUACUUUUUCAUACUUUUUUUUGUGUUAAUUUUAUUUGAGCUUUUAAAUUCUCUUUUGUUGUUACUCUACUCGAUUAAUUUUUUUUUGUGAUUUUGCUUUCACUGUGUUGCAUCUUUACUUUCUCCCCUUUAAUUGCUUAAUUUUAUAAACACAUUUUCAAUGCAAUUUUGGUUUCGCUAUGUUGCCUCUUUGCUUUCAGAUAUUUUUCCAUAUUGUUUGGAUUUUCCCUUUUGAUGUUAGGCAAUGAUGCUAUGGAUAGCUUCCUAUGUACAGCAAUGUUACAUAGACGCCUCCCAAUAUUCUCUUUUCUGCAGUCAAGGUUAGAGAGCUCCCUGCUAUUCCCUUCUUUGUUGUUUGUGCAUAAAGGCGUGGUAGCAAGAAUGGCCUUAGGGCAAUCACUGCACCCUUCCGAAACUACUCCACUGUUUGCUUUAGCAUGAUGUCCGUCAUAGUCCUUCCGAGUUUGAGCCUUAUAUGACUAGCUUUUUAUGCUUAUUAUUAUUUUAAAGUUUGUUCUUUAAGAAAUUACUGUUAUCAUUAUUUUUAUGACAAACAUUUUCUAAACAUUCUGACAAUUCAUUUUGAGUUGAGAAAUAUUUCAAAUACUCUAACACUUUGAAAUCUACAUUGAAUCUAUUUCAAUUUUUCUUCUUUGGAGGUUGAGUUGAACUUUGUAAAACCACUUUUACGCUGAUCUUUGUCAAAGAUUCCAAGUAUUCUACCAAAAAUGUUCAGCGCUAAUUUCACACUUUGAAACCUACAUUGAACCUAUUUCAAUUUAACUAUCUUGCUUGCUGUGUUGCUUUGCGAUAUUUAAUUUGCAGAACUUGAUUUAAAUAUUUUUUUUCCUUUCUUCUGUGUCGAUUUGAUUUCCUCUAAAUAUUUUCUACAUUUUCUUUUACACCCACUCUUCCUAUUCAUACCUUUCCACUAUCUUCUAUUUGUUCCUACUCCUAUUCUUUGAUGAAAAGUAAUGGUACUUAAAUAAUUUCCUAAUAUUCCCUGCUCAUACUUACAUAGUUUUUGUUGAGUCCACCCUUUGCUUGAUUUAGUUUUUCUUUUUAUUCUUUCCACCCUUUGAUGUGAGGCAGUGAUUAUACGGGCAGCUACCUAAAUAUUAUUUUCUUCGACAUUGUACAUCUGUAACGGCACAGCAAGACGAAUGGCCUAGCCUAUUGGCAAUCGUUGCAGCCGUAUAAGGUUUUGAUGUACAUGAUGGCGGAGGUAGGUCUUUUCCCUUGGAGCUCGAGAAAUCUGACCUUACUUUGCUGGAGCCUUCCUACUCUUCGCUUUUUUACUACUUUCUAAUACACAUCCUUACAAAAUAUAAUACUUUUUAAAGGUUGGAUUGUUUAAUGUGUUUUUCAAUCUUUGUACAUUUUAUUCUCUCAGCCUUUUUGUCGCGUGUUUAUUUUGAAUUGUAAUUAUCUACAAUUAAAGAAGAACUUGGUUUGCCGUAAUUAAUUUGCUCAAGUGAGCAGUGUCGUAUUUAAUUUAUGGUUAGAAAAGUAAUAAAGCAAAGUAAUUUCAUUGUACCAAGAGAGUGGUUAUAUUUAGUUCAUGUUAUGAAACUUGCUAUCCUUUUUUUCCGCUGAAAACACAUUAUUUACUAAUUUCUCGGCUCUACAAGGAUCUUGGCGGUUUAAAAUUAUCUAGUCAUUUAGUACCUAAGCUUUGAAAACGGGAACAUCUUAUAUACUUAUUUCUAUACAAUAUAAGAAUUUAAAUUGGGUACAAAUCAGACAUGCAACUUCGUUAUGUGUACAAAUCUACAUAAAUGAAGUGACUCCAUGAUAUAUAGAGAGGAUUCACUAGCAUUGUAUCGCCAAGUAUGUACAAAUCUACAUACUUUAUCAUUCAAUAUAUUUUCUUCAGAACAUUGGCUUCCAUUGGAUUCAUAGGCAUUUUAUCGCCAAGAAUGGGAGAGCUCAAGUACUUAAGCGCACUGUAAGUAUAUUCUAUAACCUGCAAACUUUGUAAAGCAUAAUAAUGCCAUGUAAUAUUUAUCUCAAUGUGCAAGAUGGAUUCCCUUGUAUUUCAUAUAAAUCAAUAAUCUCACGAUAAUUUGAAGCUUUAUUGGCAAUCAAACUUUAUCAAUCCUGUCACACCCCAAUAAUCCCACAUCGGAUAGGAAUGGAGAUGUAAUUGGGUAUAUAAGAGACUUAGACACUAGUAAUAAUAACUGGGCUUAAGCAGUUUGGGCCGGUGGUUGGGCUCAACGAGUUAUUAUUACUAGUGGGUCAGAUUGUUACAUUUGGUAUCAGAGCCAAUCACCAGUCGAAAAUGUGUAGCGAGUCUCGGCUGAGCCAGGGUCUGAAAGACAAUGUAAUAGGCUAUGCCGGAGUCUGUAUGACAAAGGUACCAGCUGGUGAUCUUCGGCUGUGUGUGAUUGGACUGACGAGGAUGUCAGGAUCUUAUCGGCGGGAGUCUGUCACACGGGGGGAGUCUGUCACACCCCACCCCAAUAAUCCCACAUAUAACAAUUGGGCUUAAGCAUUUUGGGCCGGUGGUUGGGCCCAACGAGUUAUUAUUGCUAGCAGUUUGGGCCAGUAGUUGGGCCCAACGAGUUAUUAUUGCUAGCAGGUCGGGUCGUUACAAUUCCACUGUGCAUGGUGAGUUGAUAUGUGAUUUAAAAGCGUUAUGAGUUUCUAUUUACUCCUCAAUCCUCAUUCUUUAAUUUUCUUAUUAUCCAUAAAUGUCUAAUCGGACCUGGUUAGUUGAUGAACAUAUCAUAUUUCUAUUGUAUUUCCAAUAUUCUCCAAAUUAAGCAACUUUUUGUUUGGAUAAUUUCCAAACUAAUUGCAUUGAGUAGAUCUCAAGAUAAUCGGUAUAAAUGAAGUACUCUGAAAUUCCUAGGGGCCGAGAAAUCUGAGCCUCACUAAGUUGCUCAAUCCUUCUUGCUCUUCACUUUUUUUUUUUUUUUCAGACCGUUGUUACAUUGCUGCUCUAUUGUUCAUUUCCACAUGCAUGGCAAGCGGGAUGGUUUUUUUUUCUUUUAAACUUACUUUUUGACCACCGGUUUUUUUUCUCCUUUCUUUUAAACUUUUUCUUUUAUCCCACUGCUCUUUACUCACAAAUUGGCUAUGCCAGCUGCCGGUGAUUGGCUUCAAAUUCUGUUUGCAGAAUUGUUGAGAUUAUGAAAGAAAAAAGCCACUCUUCUUUCCCAGUCAACAGGUGAAUACACCUACGUAAAUAUAUACACAUUAUAUAUAUAUAUAUAUAUAUAUAUAUAUAUAUANNNNNNNNNNNNNNNNNNNNNNNNNNNNNNNNNNNNNNNNNNNNNNNNNNNNNNNNNNNNNNNNNNNNNNNNNNNNNNNNNNNNNNNNNNNNNNNNNNNNCAGGACGCAUGCCCUCAGCAUGUCCUCUAAAGUCUGUAUGGUCCUCUCUGACUGACCAUCUGUCUGUGGGUGGAACGCCGUGCUAAAAUGCAGCUGUGUACCCAAGGCUGUCUGCAAACUUUUUCAGAAAUGUGAUACAAACCUCAGGUCUCUGUCUGAUAUAAUCGAUACUGGCACGCCGUGCAGCCUAACGAUCUCAUCUAAGUAUAGCUGCACGAGUCUCUCCCUGGACCAGGUAGUCUGAACCGGUAGGAAGUGAGCAGACUUGGUCAGUCUGUCCACUAUCACCCAAAUCGCGUCGUAGCCACCCUGCGCUCUAGGCAAUCCAACGACGAAGUCCAUCGUGAUGAGCUCCCAUUUCCACUCGGGCACUGGCAGACUCUGAAGGUUGCCAGCAGGCACCUGAUGCUCGGCCUUCACCUGUUGGCAAGUCAAACACUGAACUACAAAUCUGCCAAUGUCCCGCUUCAUUCCAUGUCACCAGAACCGUGCCUUAAGAUCCUUAUACAUCUUAGUUCCCCCAGGGUGAAUCAUAUAAGGGGAACAAUGAGCCUCUCUGAGAAUAUCCGUUCGAAUCUCAGGAUCCACAGGCACACACAGUCGGUCCCUGUACCGUAGUACUCCCGAACUGUCCAACGCAAAACUCUCAGCCUGCCCCCUGUCUAGCUGCUCUCUAACCCUCAACAAAUACGGAUCUCCACUCUGUUUUUCUCGGAUCCUAUCCAACAGAGUGGGUUGUAACAAAAGAGACGUCAGCCUCACCGUAGACCCAGGGGGUACUAUCUCGAGUCCCAGCCGCUGUAGCUCCUCGAGUAGGGGUCUCUGCUCAGUAAUCCUCAAACUCAGGCUCUGCACUGACUUCCUGCUCAACGCAUCUGCCACCACAUUCACCCUGCCGGGAUGAUACUGAAUACUAAUGUCAUAGUCCUUCAGUAACUCCAACCACCGGUGCUGCCUCAGGUUCAGCUCCCUCUGUGUGAACAGAUACUUGAGACUUUUAUGAUCGGUGAAGACCUCGCAGUGCUCGCCAUACAAGUAAUGUCGCCAGAGCUUCAAAGCAAAAAUCACCGCGGCAAGCUCCAAGUCAUGCGUAGGGUAAUUCUUCUCAUAAUCCUUUAACUGCCGUGAAGCAUAAGCAAUCACCCUACCAUGCUGCAUCAGCACGCAACCAAGUCCACUGUGCGAUGCAUCACUGUAGAUCACAAAUCCUUCGCCCAUAACAGGAAGGGCAAGGAUAGGAGCCGACAUCAACCUCAAUCUCAACUCGUCAAAGCUCCUCUGACAGUCGUCGCUCCAGACAAAACGAAUCCCCUUCCGCGUCAAGCGUGUGAGGGGUGUGGAAAGCUUCGCAAAGCCUUCCACAAACCGACGGUAAUAUCCUGCCAGUCCCAGGAAGCUCCGUACCUCAGUAACCGUCGUCGGUCUAGGCCAAUCUCGAAUCGCCUCAAUCUUCUUCGGGUCCACUGCUACGCCCUCAGCUGAAAUCACGUGGCCCAAGAAAGCAACCUCCCGUAGCCAGAACUCGCACUUCUUUAACUUGGCAUACAACUUCUUCUCGCGCAGAAGCUGUAGCACAAUCCUCAAGUGCUCCUCAUGCUCAGCAUCACUCCGGGAGUAAAUCAGGAUAUCGUCGAUGAAGACUACCACAAACCUAUCCAAGAACGGCUUGAACACUCUGUUCAUCAAAUCCAUGAAUGCGGCAGGGGCAUUCGUCAAUCCAAAAGGCAUCACCGUGAACUCAUAAUGCCCGUACCGAGUCCGAAAAGCCGUCUUGGGAACAUCCUCGGCCCUCACCCUCAGCUGGUGGUAACCUGACUGGAGAUCAAUCUUCGAGAAGACAUAAGAUCCCUGCAGCUGAUCAAACAAAUCAUCAAUGCGCGGCAAGGGAUACUUAUUCUUGAUGGUCACUUUAUUCAGCUCCCGGUAAUCCACACAUAACCUGAGCGAACCAUCCUUCUUCUUUACAAAUAACACCGGCGCUCCCCAAGGCGACACACUGGGUCUCACAAACCCUCUAUCAAUCAGAUCCUGAAGCUGUGCCUUUAGCUCUCUCAGCUCUGCCGGCGCCAUCCGAUAAGGUACUUUUGAGAUUGGUGCAGUUCCAGGAACUACAUAAAUCACAAACUCAAUCUCCCUCUCCGGCGGCAACGUCGUCAACUCAGGGGGAAACACAUCCGAAAACUCGCGGACUACUGGAAUGUCCUCGAGUCCCGGCGCUGCCGUAGGUACCUCCACAACAGUCGCUAGGAAAGCGAUAUACCCACUACUCAGCAUCUGUCGAGCCCUCGCCGAAGAUAUCCAGGUGGCAAACAGUAUGCUCCUGCAGCCUCUAAAAGUAAACUGCUCCUGGCCUGGCUCGCGGAACGUCACAGUCCUCGCUCCACAAUCAAUAGUAGCAUAGUACCGCGCCAGCCAAUCCAUACCGAGCACAACGUCGAAGUCCAGCAGCUGCCCUAGCACCAACAGAUCUGCGGGCAUGACCCACGAAUCCAACUGCACCGGACACGACCAACAACACUCUGCAAUCUGUAAAACAUGGUCCGGGAUCUGCACCUCUCGUGCCUGUGACAAUGCCGCUAACUCUAGACCAUGCAACAAUGCAAAUGCUCGACUAACAAAAGAAUGCGAGGCUCCAGUAUCAAAAAGAGUACGAGUACGAAUGCCGAAAAUCAAAGUGAUACCUGCCACCACUCGGUCGGCUGCUAUAGAGUCCUCCACCUGAGCUGCGUAGACACUGCCACUCGGAGCCUACUGUCGCCGCUCACCCUGACGCGGCACAGACGAUCUAUCCUUCUGGCGGUAACCCGGUGCUGCUCUGUAAGUCUGCUGAGAUGCUGGUGGAGCUGAAGCUGAUGAGGGUGCUGGAGAUGCUGCUCGGGGACAAGCUGCCCUCAUGUGUCCCGGCUGACCACACCCGUAGCACCGGCCUUCCUUCUGCUCACACUGUCUGGGCCAGUGUGGUCCUCCGCAGAUCACACACUGCAGCGUCCUCUCUGGCUGUCCCCUAUGACGAGAGUCCCUGGAUCGCUGACGCCCCGAGAACCCACGACCCUGUGAACGCGAUCGUGGAGGCCUUGGCGGACGCCUGCUACUCAACUGACCUCCGUCGUCUGGAGCUGGGCGCUUCCAGUCCUGACUCUGUCCCGGCCCCUGAGUCCUCUCUCGCAGUGACACCUCUCCUCUCUCCUUCCAUAAUGCCUGCUCAAUGGACGCAUCCAGAAUCCUCGACCUCUGCGCCCUAACGAACCUGAAAAGGUCAGGUCUCAAACCCUGCUCGAACAAAUAGACCCUAUGUGCCUCGUCUCUGGCCACAAACGGAACACAGUUCAGGAGUCUAGUAAACUCCCGAACAUACUCCUGAACUGUCCGCUCGCCCUGCUGUUUCCUCUUUAAAUCCUCCUCAAUCUUCUGUUUCAUGCUGUUGGGAAAAUACAUCCCAUACAGCAUUCCACAGAACUCAUCCCACCUCAGCUGCGCCGCCACCAGUCCCUGGUCACGCCUCGCUCUCCGCCACCAGUCACGUGCAUCACCUGAUAAACAGUGUACUCCCAACGUUACCUGCUCCCCUUCUGGAACGAACAGAUCCUCAAAUAACCUCUCCAUCGCACUGACCCAUCCCUCAACAACCCAGGCCCUAGUGCCGCUGCCAUCGAAAAUCGGUCGAUCAAAUCGACGAAAUCGAGCUAACCUCUCCAUCCACCGCUCCUGCUCGGCCUCUGUCAAUGGUACAGGCCCCCUGGCAGGCGCAACUAGCGCUGUAGGAAUCUCCAAUCGUGGGGGCAUAGCUGCGGCUGGAGCUGACGCUGGAGUAGUAGGUGGUGGAACAGUCUGCUUUGGUACACUUGGGGCCGAACUAGGUGACUGAGCUAUCCUCUCACACAACCUCUGCAACAACUCCCCCUGCUGCCUCGUCACCUCAGUCAGGGCAGCCAGUUGUGCACUCAAAUCCGGAGGUGCGCUAGCCUCAGGUCGCGCACUCGGCUCUACAACAGGGGGUGCACUCGCCUCCGAUCUGUCCCUCUGCUCCUGCCGAGCACUCUGCUCCAUCUGCUCCGGUCUCUCAGAAGGUCCAGCACGAUCCCGCGCCAACUGGGCACGCUCCCGCAACGAUGGUCGACCUCGGCGACGAUACAUAGCUGCAAGGAACAAAUCGGGGUCAGAUACAAACAACACUCUCGACCCAAUCAACGAAAAUCUGGAAGGCGGUCCCUAUUUUCCUCCAAAAUUAUGUCGUCUGCAGCCAACAUAAUUUUUCAGGCCAAAACAGGAACUCCUUCAGUCACUCACUCCACUCUAGGAGAAGUUAGAACAAAUAAUCAUUGACCUUCGCAAUUAAAUUACGCCUCUCGCGUCUUGCUUCCGAAGGUUUGCCAACUUAGGGUUUCCUAGGUCCCAACGACCUAUAGCAAGCUCUGAUACCAACUUAAUCUGUCACGCCCCGCAUGUUUCGUUCACUGGGCACGCCGACAAAUCCGCCGUAUACAAAGGAAUUUUCCCUGUAUACGAAGCGUCAAAAGUACCUGUAGAUAUACAAUACUACAACCAGUAGCAUAGAGCUGCUCAAUAAACAAAAGCUAACCAACUGAGUUUCAUAUACAUAGUCCAAAUCCAAAAUACAGGGUUACUCGCACUGGCGAGUUAAGCAAGCUAUGUACAUAAACUCAAAACAAAACAUCUACCUGAAGUAGGGGUGCCUCUAGCUCUGUCAGUCGGGUAGGGCUCUAGCUCGCGACGCCCUUGCCUCGAUCCUGAUCCGCGGAAGGCGCAGCAGCCGAAACCUGUGGCUCUGCAAAACAAGAGUAACAACUGGGCGUGAGAACUACUGUAAAAACAAGUAGUCCUCANNNNNNNNNNNNNNNNNNNNNNNNNNNNNNNNNNNNNNNNNNNNNNNNNNNNNNNNNNNNNNNNNNNNNNNNNNNNNNNNNNNNNNNNNNNNNNNNNNNNNNNNNNNNNNNNNNNNNNNNNNNNNNNNNNNNNNNNNNNNNNNNNNNNNNNNNNNNNNNNNNNNNNNNNNNNNNNNNNNNNNNNNNNNNNNNNNNNNNNNNNNNNNNNNNNNNNNNNNNNNNNNNNNNNNNNNNNNNNNNNNNNNNNNNNNNNNNNNNNNNNNNNNNNNNNNNNNNNNNNNNNNNNNNNNNNNNNNNNNNNNNNNNNNNNNNNNNNNNNNNNNNNNNNNNNNNNNNNNNNNNNNNNNNNNNNNNNNNNNNNNNNNNNNNNNNNNNNNNNNNNNNNNNNNNNNNNNNNNNNNNNNNNNNNNNNNNNNNNNNNNNNNNNNNNNNNNNNNNNNNNNNNNNNNNNNNNNNNNNNNNNNNNNNNNNNNNNNNNNNNNNNNNNNNNNNNNNNNNNNNNNNNNNNNNNNNNNNNNNNNNNNNNNNNNNNNNNNNNNNNNNNNNNNNNNNNNNNNNNNNNNNNNNNNNNNNNNNNNNNNNNNNNNNNNNNNNNNNNNNNNNNNNNNNNNNNNNNNNNNNNNNNNNNNNNNNNNNNNNNNNNNNNNNNNNNNNNNNNNNNNNNNNNNNNNNNNNNNNNNNNNNNNNNNNNNNNNNNNNNNNNNNNNNNNNNNNNNNNNNNNNNNNNNNNNNNNNNNNNNNNNNNNNNNNNNNNNNNNNNNNNNNNNNNNNNNNNNNNNNNNNNNNNNNNNNNNNNNNNNNNNNNNNNNNNNNNNNNNNNNNNNNNNNNNNNNNNNNNNNNNNNNNNNNNNNNNNNNNNNNNNNNNNNNNNNNNNNNNNNNNNNNNNNNNNNNNNNNNNNNNNNNNNNNNNNNNNNNNNNNNNNNNNNNNNNNNNNNNNNNNNNNNNNNNNNNNNNNNNNNNNNNNNNNNNNNNNNNNNNNNNNNNNNNNNNNNNNNNNNNNNNNNNNNNNNNNNNNNNNNNNNNNNNNNNNNNNNNNNNNNNNNNNNNNNNNNNNNNNNNNNNNNNNNNNNNNNNNNNNNNNNNNNNNNNNNNNNNNNNNNNNNNNNNNNNNNNNNNNNNNNNNNNNNNNNNNNNNNNNNNNNNNNNNNNNNNNNNNNNNNNNNNNNNNNNNNNNNNNNNNNNNNNNNNNNNNNNNNNNNNNNNNNNNNNNNNNNNNNNNNNNNNNNNNNNNNNNNNNNNNNNNNNNNNNNNNNNNNNNNNNNNNNNNNNNNNNNAGGGCUUCGUGGAUUCCUCUCGAAGUCCUGAAUCCAACGAACCAACUCUCGUCGAAAUCCGACGCUCCUACGUCGAGAACGAGCCGAAACGCCAACGAUCAACGCAGGAAAUCUGCAGGGCAGCACCUAGCUCGAAUUGAAGAAGUUUGGAAAUAAAGAAGUACUUUGACGGCAUACCCACCUCUACAGCGAUUCCAGCGCCGGCGUGACGUCGAGAACAGCGAAAAUACUCCCUCGCCCGGCCUCCUUGCGACACAACGGCGGCGAACGUACGCUCGAACGACUCCGCGGCGCGACGUCGACGGCGAAACCUCCACCCGAGCUCCCUCCUCCUUGCGUACGGCUCCAAAGAAUUACGGAGAGACAAUGAAAUUUAAUUAAAGAGGUGGUGGUGGUGGUUGCAUCCUCGGUUAAAUCAGCAUGCAUGGGGAGAGGGGGGCACGUGGCAUAUAUAUAUAUAUAUAUUAGGAUACUACAUCCGCCGUAUACAAAGAAAUUUUUUCUGUAUACGAAGCGAUAGCUGUACCUGUAAAUCAUACAAUACUACAAACAGUAGUAUAGAGCUGCUAGAAGAAUCAGAAGAAAACCAAACCGAGUUCUAUAUACAUACACCGAAAUUCAAGAUACAAAACUAUUCGCACUAGCGAGUUAAAGAUAGGUAUGUACAUGAACUCCAACAAAACAACUACCUGCAGAAGGGCACCUCUAGCUCGGCUCGACAGGUAGGGCUCUAACUCGCGAUGCCCUUGCCUCGAUCCUGAUCAGCAAUAGCAGGAGCCGAAGACGAUGGUUCUGCAAAAAGAUGAAACAACAGGGCGUGAGAACUACUGUAAAACAAGUAGUCCUCAGUGGGUACCACCCUCAACACAUCGGUUCACCCACUAAGUCUACAGAAAAAAACAGCAAUAGUAAAAGAAAUCUGAUCUACUCUACAGCUAUAUGCCACUAUACUAUCCUAUUCUAACUAACCAUCUGUAGGAAAUGUCAAAUCUGACCCAAUCCAAUCGGGACUGUAGGCAUACCCGUCCCUGGGACGGUGAACACACCCGUCCCUGCCCAGUUGUGACUAUCCAGCUACCUCCACACUACUAGUCCGUGAAGAGCAAGUCCAACCGGCAUGAGCGACACCAACGCGAAAGCACAAAGCCCGUCUCCGGCGUGGCACUCGUGGGAGCUAUCCAACCGAGUAUGCAGCGUAUCUCUGUCGAGCUCAAUCAGGCUCCAACUAGCCAAAGUCAUGUAAACAGGUCAAAACAGGUUUACAAACCAAACCCACGUGCCCUCGGCACAAUCUGGGACCAAAACCAAGAAUCUGGGUCCACCGCCAACCUGGGCGGCACCCAACAAUCCGAAACAGCCUAGACUCUGCUGAAAAAUAAGCUCGGCACCCCAGCACGAGCGUAAAUGCCUUCUAAACUACCCCAGGUAUCUAUCGCACUGAUACUACAACGAUACAAUCGAACCACGACUCCUAGAGCUAAAUCUGGUAGUUCAAGCAUAUGACGGGUCAAAACGCAGGUUUUCUCCUAAGUCAAAUUCCAAGUCCAACAUGUAUAAUAUAAAUGUUCAUUUCAGCAUGCUUCUACAUUCAUAUUUCAGUCAAGAUGCUAAUUGAUGAAUUUAAGCAUGAUAUACAAGAACCGACCGAACUAUACACGUUGACUAAACAUGCACUUAGGAGCGAAACCGAUAAUACACCCACCUUGAGAGCAAUUUUCUGGCAGCAAGAAGGUCACUCAGCUACGGAACACUCUGUCGGAACCAAACGCACCUGCUUUCAACCAGCAAAGAUCCACAGUCAGGAUCUAAACAUCAAUUUACUAAAAUCCACUAAAAUAAUUCCAAUUUCAGCACUUAAGCUUGGAUUUCUCAACUCCAAUGUCAAAACUCACCUAACGAUCUCCAAUUCGGGCGAGGACAGUUCCAAAUCCAGUAAAUACUGAUAGGUGAUCAAUCUCAGGUCCAAAAUCCCACUACCUACAAAGAUAGCAUCAAGAAAAGCUCAAAAUCCCAAUUUCAGCUCAAAGUCAACAGCAGUCCAGAAAAACCUCAGUUCAACCAAGCUAACCUCAUCUAAAAUCUAAAUUCAGGUCUUCGUGGAUUCCUCUGGAAGUCUAGAAUCCAGCAAACCAAGUUUCGUCGAAAUCCGACUUUCCUACGUCGCGCACAAGCCAAAACAGUGGAGGUUGUCGCUGAAGAACUGCAGAAUCAGCACCUUGAAAUUCUUGGAGAUGUGGAUCUUGAUGCAAAUUGGAAAGAUUGGAGGGAUUAGAGAGCAAAAUCUAAGUUCUCUGUGAAGAACAGGUAAAAGAGCUCAAAGGGGACGCAUACCAGGUAUUAAUAGGCUACUGGAGGGAUAAAAUAAGCCCCAAGAGAAACAGCUGCUAUCCAGUGUUCUUGCAGAAUCGGGCGUUUCUGGGCGCCCGGAACCAUGUUCUAGGCGACCAGAACAUCCUGACUGCACACUUCAUGCUCCUCGGACUCUCCGCUCGCGGUCUGCUGCGCCCGUAAACGGCUCCGACGGAACUCACCUACACCCUGCCACGCGUCGAAGCAAGCGAUAUGUGAGAUCCCUGGUGUUCAGCUCUGGAGGCUUGUCGACAGCUCUGUAGAGUGUCGGGACAGGUCUGAGUCGCGUUGGCGCCAAAUAGACGCAAAACGGACUCCGUGCGACGCGAGGGCAGCUUUCAGCGAAGAAAAUCUGCAAAUAGCAGUUUUUCAGCUUGCUGUACCGGUACAGCCAUCAAGGUGUACCGGUACACUGCACUGGGCCGCGCGCGGGUUGCUCUCGGGUUGGCUCCUGUACCGGUACGCGAUCCCGUGUACCCUUACACCAGGGUAGGUGAGGGGGCAUUUGAGUAAAUUUUCACCUCGUUUGUAUCAACAGCUCUCUCUCUCUCUUUAUAGCUUCGUGUAGAGAGAGAGGGGGGGGCUUCCUGUUGCUCUUCACCAUCUCUCUCUCUCUCGGCUGAAGGUAGGGAAGAAGCCGGUUGAUUUCGUCGCCGACGUCGUGCCGCGAACCGUUCGAGCGCACUUGCUGCCGGAGCUUUGCGAGGAGGCCGGGCGAGGGAGCGUCUUCACUGUUCUUGACGUCGCGCCGAGGUUCGACGCUGUCGAGGUGGGUGAUUCGGCGUCUUUUCUGGAUUUUGGGCAAGUAUUACUAUUUUCUACUCGGUUUGUAGCUGUUUUGCUGAAAUCCGCCGUCGACUGUUCGUAUUUCAGCUCGUUCUCCGCGUAGGAGCGUCGGAUCGCGACGAAACUUGGUUCAUUGGAUUCUAGACUUCGAGAGGUUUCCACAGAGCCCUCACUUGCAAUUUCUGGUGAAGGUUAGCUCGGUCGAAUCCCGUUUCUACUCAGCUGCUGUAAUUUUCUGGACUGAAUUGAGGAUCCUUAAUUGUUUAGCUUGGAAUCAGCUCGAUUGCGAGAAUCGGACGUUUUCAGUCAACCCAGCAGGUGGUGUUGCAGCUGAGGGGAGUAUUCCGCUGCCUGGGAUUAGCGUGCGAGGUGGGUUACAUCGGUUUUGACUCCUAAGUUCUAAUCGUCGACAUGUAUAAAUGUUGAUUGUUGCUAUAGCCUUUUCUAGCUCGAAUUCGUGGAUUUAAUUAUUGUUGGUAAUUCUGAAUUUGGAGCAUGGCAUAUUUAAAUUAAAUAGUUUCUACAUGUUGGACUUGGAAAUUGAAUUAGGAGAAAACUUGCGAUUUGGACCUGUCACCAGUUUUAACUACCUGAUUUAGCUCUAGGAGCCGUCAGAAAAUUGUACUGUCGCAGUUUCUUCGAGACGAGUACUCCAGGUAGUUUAGAAUGUAUUUACACUCGUGCUGGUUCGCCGAGUGGAUUUUUACAGGGUCGUUCAGGUUGUUCCGGACUGUUGGGUGCCGUCAGAGUUGACGGUGGACCCGUAUCGCCUUUUUGGCGUCAGAUUGUGCCGAGGGCACGUUACCUGUUGGUUGUUAGACCAGUUUGAGUCGAUUACUUGACUUUGGCUAGUUGGAGCCUGAUUGAGCUCGACAGAGAUACGCUGCAUACUCGGUUGGGUAGCGCCCACGAGUGCCACUCCGGAGUCAGGCUUGUGCUUUUGCGUUGGUGUCGCUCAUGCCAGUUGGACUUGCUCUCCACGGACCAGUUAGUGUGGAUAGAGCCCGAUAGUCGCAACGGGGCAGGGACGGGUGUGUUCACAGUCCCGGGGACGGGUAUGUCUACAGUCCCGAUUGGAUUGGGUCAGAUUUGACAUUUCCUACAGUUGGUUAGUGUAGAGCAUGAUAGUGUAGUGGAUGAUAGCGGUAGAGUAUGCUUCCUGCUUUCCUUCUAUCCUUGCUCCCUUCUGUAGACUUAGUGGGUGACCGAUGUUGUUUUGGGCGGUACCCACUGAGGACUACUUGUUUUUACAGUAGUUCUCACGCCCAGUUGUUACCUAUGUUUUUGCAGAGCCACAGGUUUCGGCUGCUGCACCGUCUGCGGACCAGGAUCGAGGCAAGGGCGUCGCGAGUUAGAGCCCUACCCGACGUGCUGAGCUAGAGGUGCCCUACUGCAGGUAGAUGUUUUGUUUCGAGUUUAUGUACAUAGUUGACUUUACUCGCCAGUGCGAGUAGCUCUGUAUUUUGGAUCUGAACUAUGUAUAUGAAACUCUGUUUUAUUUAGCUUCUGUUUUCUCUAGCAGCUCUCUACUACUGUUCGUAGUAGUGUUUGAUUUACAGGUACAGCUAUCGCUUCGUAUACAGGGAAAAUUUCUUUGUAUACGGCGGAUUUGUCGGCGUGCCCGGGGAACGUGUAAUCCGGGGCGUGACACGAUAUUUACGAUGUAGAAUUUUCGAACCCACUUCUGGGCGCCCGAAACAUAGGAUCCGAAUUGGCUUCCAGUUUCAGUUAAAUUCAAGACUCAGUUCUGGGCGACCUAAACCAUGUUCUGGGCGCCCGAAUCUGGCAAAACUCCAGUUUUGCUUAUUUGAAUGCGCCGAGUCCAAUUCUGCAUCUAAUUCGUGCAGAAUUGACUCCGACUCAGUCUGACACUCUCCAGAGAUGUCGACCAGUCACUAAUACUGAAGCCAAUCCUAUCCAAAGCUCAAGACCACUUCAUCUUUCUCCCUCUCUAUCUAUAUAUAUAUAUAUAUAUAGAGCAGGGCUACUAUACUCUUAUGAAUAUAGACCACUUCAUAUUCAUAAUUGUUUUUGAUGAUGGAGCUUUUGAAUCGACGAUCCACUCUGUUAAUUAUGAUCUAGGGCCCGUUUGGCCUAGCUUCUAAAAAAGUAAUUUCUGAAAAAGUGAUUUUGGUUUAGAGAAGUGAUUUUUGUUAAAAGCAGUAGAGCGUUUUGCUGAGUUUAGAUAAAAGCGAUUUUUCUGAAAUGAUUUUGAAAAGCUAUUUAGAAAUUUUUUCUUAAUAUUUGCAUAAAUUAAUAUUUUUAUUAAAUUUUGUUUUAAAAUAAUUUAAAAUCUAAAUUUUAAUUUUAAUUAAAAUUAAAAUUUUUAAAUUUCAAAAUUGUACAAAAUUUAAAAUUUGAUAUUUUAAUUUAAAAAAUAAUUUUAAAUUUUAAAAUUUUAAAAUAUAAAUUGUUAGAUUUUGAAUUUCAAAACUUAAAAUUUUAAAAAUGUUAAAAAUUGAAGUUUAAAAGUUUGAAGGAAUUGAGAAUUUGAUAGUUUUUAAAGGUAUUAAAAUGUUAUAAAUUUAAAACAUAUAGAAUAUUUAUGGAAAAUUUAGCGAGAUAUUAGAUUUAAUAUUUUAAAAAAUAUAGAUUUAAAAUUUUUUAGAGAUUUUCAAAGUUUUAAUAUUUUAAAUUAUAAUUGCAAUAUCAAUAUUAUUAAUUUUAUAUUUUUAACAUUUUCAUAAUUAUGUAAAAUGUUAAAAUAUGAAAAUUUAAAUUUUUAAAGAAUGAAUAUGGAAUUUAAAUUUUAAAAUUUAAAAUUUGAAUAUUUAAAAUUAUAGAAAUUUGAAUUUUAUAAUUUAAAUUUUGAAAUUUUAGAAAUUUGUGAAAUUGUAUUAAUUGUGAAGAUGAAAUACUUGUAAUUUAAAAAUUUCAACCUUUUAAAUUUUUUAAUAUUUAUAUUUUAAAAUCCUAAAAUGUCAAAUUGUUGAAAUUGUUAUCUGUAAUUGUUGGAAAUUUCAAUUUGAAGAUUUGAAAUUAAAUCUAAUAAAAUUUGAUAUUUGAAAUUUUAAAAUUAAUGUGUAAAUUUUAAAAUUUGAAAAUCUAUUUUUCAAAUUUUAAGAUUUAAGAAGUUAAUUUAAAAUUCAAAAUAAAUUUGACAAAUUUAAAUUUAAGUUUAAAUUUAAAUUUAAUAUGAUAUUGAAAUAAAAUAUAAAAUUGAAGUUUGGGUUCAAAAUGCAGAAUUAGAUUUUAAGAAGUAGUUUUUUCUACUCCUGAUUCUGAGGCCUUUCAAAAGCAUGUUUUCUUAAUUUAAACGACGAAUAUAGAUUUAAAAAUAUAAGGUUGCGCGACACUUUUUUGAGGCCGAAAAAUCACUUUUCAUACCCGAAAUGACUUUUUAAAGUUAGGCGAAACAGCACCCUAUGAGUAUAAUAGUCGAACUAAUAUAUAUAUAGUAUACAUAUAUAUAUAUAUAUAUAAUAUAUAUAUAUAUAUAUACAUAUAUAUAUAUCUUAUAUAUACUAUAUAUAAUCCCUGUAGAAUUAAGUGGGUGAACGCGAUGAGUUUUGAGGGCGGUACCCGCUGAGGACUACUAUGUUUUUACAGUAUUCUUCACGCCCAGUUGUUACCACUGUUUUUGCAGAGCCGUCGUCUUCGACUGCUACUGUUGCUGAUCUUGAUCGUGGCAAGUGUGUUGCGAGUUAGAGCCCUUCCAGUCGAGUCGCAAAGCUAGAGGAGCACCAGCUACCGGUAGUUGUAGUUUUUGGAUUUUUACAUACAGUUGUUGUUUCUCGCUAGUGCGAGUAUUUGUAUACCGUGGAUGACAUGUAUGUAUUGAACCACAGUUUAUAUAUUUGGUUUAUUUUUCCUUGCUGCUCUAUACUACUAUUUGUAGUAUUAUAUGAUUACAGGUAUUUCUACUUUUCGCUUCGUAUACAGGAAAAAUAUCUAUAUAUACGGCGGGUCUGUUAGCGAGCCCGGAAAAACGAGUAAUCCAGGGCGUGACAUUUAUCUAUCAAUCAAGUAGUCUAAAAAUGAACGGCUAAAAAUAAAAAUCUCAUAAAAAAUGAUGAUAAAAAAUUUAAAUAUAAGAUCAGUGGUACUGAUCUUACUCUAAAUAGUGAAAAAAAUAAAUUUUAAAAUUUCAUCAGAUUUGGAUUAUUUUAUACCGUUAAAUUCACAAACGUAUCACAUCUACAGUUAAAAUUAUCAAUUUUAAGACCUUUUGAUCACUAGCCAAUGAUGCCGAAAAAUUAUGAAAUUUAGUUUCCAAAUACUUUUAAUAGUAUAAAUCAAGUCUAACGUAGUCGAUUAUCGAUUUGGAAUCCGUAACAUUGAAAACAACUUGAUAGCACGAAAACCUCCAUACUACCGAUAGUAUACUCUCUCUCUCUCUCUCUCUCUCUCUCUCUCUAUAUAUAUAUAUAUAUAUAUAUAUAUAUAUAUAUAAAAAACUUAAAUUCUCACACUUGAAUGUUUUCAAAUGAUUCCACUUUGAUUUUCAUACUUGAAGGGGUGCAUGAAAGAGCCUAAAUAAGCUUAAAAAUAUGAUAUUUCGACCGACGUUAAAAUUAACAAAAAAAUUCUAACUAAAGCGUGCAUUUGAUAGACAUCUAAGGUGCUGGAGUAACAUUCUUUAAAUUUUUUUUUUCCUUUAUGUAGAAGAAUAUUAAGUUGAGACGGGGAGUAAAAAAAUGGGUGAUGGUUUUUAGAAGAAUGUUAAUGACAUGCUAAUAUUAUUAUAAUAUUUUAAAUAUUAAUUACUAAAUUCCAAAUAUUAAUAUUAAAUUCAAAAUACCAUCAUUAUACUCUAAAUUCUAGGCCCUAAUUUCUUCACACGUACGUGUUCGCCAACACAACAACAGGGUACGUAGUUGGAGUACCCCAAAGUGGGCAAACGAAACCAUUUCUCAUUUUUUGUCAUAAUAAGCACUACUACCGGGACUCCUUUUCCCGUUCCACACAAUGUUGUUGGUGAUAUUGCAUUAUUUUUAUUAUUAUUAUUAUUAUUAUUAUUAUUAUUAUUGUUAUUAUGCUCUAUAAACAUCAUUACUAAACUCCAAAGGCCAUUUGCUAAACUCUAAGCACCAUUAUUAAUCUAAAUCCUAAAUUCUAAACAUUCCACAUUCGGGAACGAUAUGCAUUUCAACACAUCAAUAAUAUUAUAGGGUACAGAUAUUGUGAUACAUCAAACAUUUCUCCUGUAUAAUAAGCCUAUUUUUGAAGACAAUAGAUUCAAAGCCACAUGCACUUCAUAGUAAAAGUUGGGGUCUACCAAAUGCAGUUACUUGUCGCGCGAGGACGAUGAGCUUGGCGCGUGCAUCGCCGGCUUGGAUCUGGUAGAGCCUUCCCAGGCCGAGGUGCUCCAUGAGGAGCCAGACAACGGUGAUGAGCUCCCCUCCGUGGCUCAGCUGCCGCGCGUGCUCCCUCGCCUGGCAGUGGCACGCCGUGUACGCCAGCAUCUCCGCCCACACCGCCGACAUCACCUCCCACUUCCUCUCCCCCAUCGGCCCCAGCUUCUUCGACAGGAUGCACGCGUUGAACAGCACCGACUUACUGCGGUCUCCGUUCACAGCGGCCGGCGGCACGUAGAUCUUCACUUGGAGGAGGCACUCGCGCUUCUGCUCCGGGGUCAGCUACUGCCAUUCGCCCAUGGCGAAUAACCGGCGGGCCUCCGCACACGUGUCGUGGUAUGAUAGCAGCCUGAGGCCCGCCGCCAUUGGCAGCAUUGCCGACCGCAUCACCAACAGGUACACCAGGUACUCCGACUGUCACGUCUCGCAAUCGCCAAUUUGGUCGAUCCGGGCCCGUACAUAGACGCCGAACGAACAGCACCUCCUCUGUUCGCCUAAGGCUCAACAACAACGAAUAUAUGUAUAAAGAAAUAAACAAUUCCCAGGACACAUUUCAAUAUACAUGGCUUGCACGAAGACAAGCAACAACACAAGUGAUAGUAAGUCUAACUAAACAUGAAAUCCACUGUAAUUUAAAACUUUACAUAACUAAAACAUUUAGUUAUUACAUGCUUUAUAUACAUUCAUUUACAUGUCUCUGUACAUCAAAAUAGAUGAUACAUGAACUCAAAAUGUUAAAUAACUAUAACUCUGGUGUCAGCUAGCUAGGAUGCUGGGCUCUUACCUCGAUCCUCGGCCACAACGCUCGCAUUGGAACCUGUAUGGUUAGUGGUGUGAGAACUACAAGAAAGUUCCCAGUGGGUUCGGCUGCCGACCUCGCCGACUCACCCACUAGGUCUAUUCAGGCAUAUGUAGGCAAAAGAAGUAAACAGAUAGUAACCAACUAUAAUAUGUAACUACUACAAUGCCUGUACAAAGCUGAAAGAACGAUAUAUAUGAAAACUGUAAAUAUGCAUGCAUGCUGUAAUGUACCAAUACUCAAUCAAUCUAGCUAACCAUUUGGUUAACUGUAACUCACCAACUCAAUCCCUGGCGGGCCCUAAGCUGCCUCCCGACGAGACCGUCUGCUGGACAGAUACUUUAGUCCAAGGGCAAAUACUUUAGCCCAUCAAGUGACCACCUCCGAAGUGCACUGCUUGGGUGGAGCGACCACCACCAAGCUCAAAACAGACUAUGUGAGUAUGAUCUGAUCCUCCUUUAGAGGAUUCAACAACAGACAAUGUUACACUUUAACUCUAACUAGCUCUUUAUGCUAGUUGCAAUUUCAUUCCUCGAUGCUAACCCAAUCUCU
rnacentral:lncRNA from 1 species